AGCCAAUUCAUGUAUUAGAUCAUGCAUUACAAAGCAUGAUCCUUCUAUUCCAAUAGAUUUUUGAAAGAAAGACUUGGCAAGAAGCUCAUCAAAAUAUGACUCACCGAUCUCUUCCAUUCUCCUUCCUUUGUUUUGUUGUGCAUGUAAAAGACCUUCUGCCAUCCAUAAUAAAAUCAGCUCCUCUUUGUUGAAUUGGUGGUCCUGGGGAAAAAUAGAACAAUAAGCAAAACAAUGCUUCAGAGGUAAAGAAAGAUGAUGGUAGCUUAAUAUCAAAGACGGAAGAAUUUCGGAGCCACGCUGCGGAUGCCAUAUUUCACUUCUCAACACAUCGUCCCAUUCCCUUUUUUCGUCCUUAGAAUACAAGAGACAGCCGAGUGCUUUCACAGCCAAAGGCAAUCCUUGGCACUUGUCCACAAUCUGUCUGCCUAUGCGUUGAAGCUCAAGGUAUGCGUUGGGGUCUCUAUCUUCAAAUGCAUGCUUUUUAAACAGGGACCAACUAUCUUCAGAGCUUAAUUCCCCAAGAUGAUGAGUAGGGACUGCUCGCAUGGUUGUUGCAACAGAUUGAUCACGACUGGUCACGACAAUCUUGCUUCCCUCUGCUGCGAGGAGUGGAGUUCGUAGAAUAUUCCAAACUUCACGAUCACUAAGCUCCAUAUAACCUUCAUCACGAGGCUUCAAAUUCCAGACGUCAUCAAGAACAAGCAGAAAUUUCUUGUUACGAAGUUGCUCUGUGAGUUGAAGCUGAAGCAAAUUUAGGUUGUCAGCGGAAGUAGGUGGAGAACCAAUUUCCUCAAGAAUUGUUUUGGUGAGUUUGAUAAGGAAAAACUCAGUGGAAACACAGACCCAUGCUUGCAAGUCGAAGUGUUUCUUCACUUCCUCAUUUUUAUAGAGACGCCGAGCAAGCGUGGUCUUGCCGCUGCCGCCCAUGCCCACUAUGGACAUCACCCCCAUUUUGUCGCCUGUUGUAUUGUCAGAACGCAACCACUCCACCAUCUCCUUCUGAAUUCCAUCCCUGCCGACAAAAAUGGAGUCAUGCUCCAAAGAAGUGGUUAUUGGUGAUCUUGGUCUUGGUGACCGUUUCUCGCCCCCACCUUCUGCCAGCCCCAACCCAACUUUUUCUAGUGCGAUUUUUUCCAGUUGAACAAUCAUGCCCCUGACCCUGGACUCCAUGCUUUUGAUAGCAAAUGGGGCCUUCACAGAAGCAGAGAACUUCUUCCAUUUCCACGCCUUAAGAGUUCCGUCGGUAACGAUCUCGUCCAGCAGGUCUUCCGCACCAUACACAGCAUCCUUGACAGGGACGAGCCACUCUUUGACAUUUGGGUUCGAAAAUUGCUUCACCUCCGCAUCAUCGAGCACAUUGUGAACAACCACGAGUUUCCUCUUCAACUCGUUGAGGAGUUCAUCGCUAAGGCUCCGUCGCCGAAUGAAGUUUAUGAGCUCUGGAGAAGCCAACCUUUCGAAUAGAACUUGAAGCGAAGUUGAGAGGAGGGCGUCCGCCAUAUCUGUGUCGACUGUUGCUUUGCAAUAGGAAUUCAGAGGAUUGGUUUCUGUUACCGCGAUACCACCAAACUGCAAAAGACUGGGUUUGGAUUACCACACUGCAGAAUGCUUGAAGGAAUCAUUAUUGGUGGUGGACCCAGCUGCCAGAUAUUGGUGGUGGACCCAGCUACACUGCAGAAUGCUUGAAGUUAUUGGUGGUGACCCAGCUGCCAAUAUUUGUCAAACACCAUAGUGGUGAGAAAAAGAACAGGAAAAGCGAGUGGGAGGUAGAUGCGCUUUCCCCAAGGAAAGCAGAAUCAACAACAGCAUUCGGUAUUUUUCUUUUUCAUCUACGCAUUUCUUCUUUCUUUCUUCUAGUAUUAUUAUUAGUAGACAUAUACACACAAAUAUUUGUUUAUAACAUUUUCAUUCUUAAUAUUAUAAAAUUUAUUAUUAAUAAUAUUUAUACUAAUAUUAUUUUUUAAUAAUUAUAUUAGUAUCAGGAUUUUAUAAUUAGUAUCCUUACUUUUAUUGCUUAUAAUAAUAAUUAUUAUUAUUAUAUUAUGUUAUUAUUAAAAUUUAUUAGUAUUUUCACAUAAACAAUGAUAUAUGCAUAAGACAUAUUAAAAUUUUGAAUAUUAUGGUUAUUAUUAUUUAAUAAUAAUAUUAUUAUUUGAUUCAAAAAAAGUUUAUAAUAUAAUAAUAACAAAAAUAAUUUUUUUAAUAAAAUAAAUUAUAAAAAUAUAAUAAUUUUAUUAUUUAUAAAAUACAUUUAUUUUAAUGCAAUUAAAAAAAUUAAAAUAAUUUUAAAAAAUUUAAAAAUUUUCAAAAAAAAGUUAAAUGGGACGGGAUUAGGAUGGGAUCGAUCCAUCCCAAUGUCGUCCCGUUGUCAUCCCUAACUCAUCUUGUGAUAAUUAAGGCCAUUUUUUAUCAUUGUUUUUUUAAAAUGGUCUUUUAUCCUUAAUAUAUAUAUAUAUAAUAAUUAGAAAUAAAACAUAAUUUUUGUUUUUAAAAAUAAAAAAUAAGGCAUUUUUAGAUCAUAUCCUUUUAGUUACUUUUAUUUGUUUUUAAAAAGUAAUUAUAUAAAUAUAAAAAAUAAAAUAAUUUAAAUAAAAUUUAUUUUUAAAAUAUAGAAAAUUAGUUAAUAACACUUUAUCUUCUCAAGCUCUUGUUUUAUAAAAUAUCAUAAAAUAAUUUUCAAAAACUUUUUUUUUUCACAAUUUUGACAAACAAAACGUGUUGCAAUAAUGCACUUAAAUUCAAUGAACCUAAAAGCCAAAUGUGCAGUGUUGACUUUUCAACAGAGAGUUCACACAUGCCCAUUUUUUUAAUUAAAGCACUAUUGAUAUAAAAUAUAUAUUUAAAUAAAAAUUAGACUUUUAAAAAAAUUAAAAUAUAUUUUUAAAAUUAAAAUAUAUUUUUAAAAUGUUAAAAAAAUAUUUACAAUAUUUCCUUAAAAAAAACAUCUUCCAAAAACAUUUCUUUAAAAAAUACUUCCACCGAUAACAAUUUAGACACACUUGUGAUUUAAUAGUUAAAUAUUCUUUCCAACAGGAAUUCAACUAUCAGUUUGUAUUACCACGAUACCACCAAACUGCAAAAGACUAAUUUUGGAUUACCAAAAUGCAGAAGAGCUGAAGGAAUCAUUGAUGGUGGACGACCCAGAUGUCCACAUUAUUUGUCAGACACCAUAAUUGAGUGAUGAGGAAAUGAAAGAAAAGAAAAUAAAAAACAAAAAAGGUGAUGCCAAACAUGGUCUUAUAAGGUGGGUGGAGCGAAAGCAACAAAGGAAACUAGCAGGAUUUUUCAUUGCUAUUCCAUACCUUAAAGGACAAAUUUUGAAUUACCAAAAUACAAAAGACUUGAAGGAAUCAUUGAUGGUGGUGGACCAGAUGUCCACAUUAUUUGCCAAACACCAUAAUUGAGUGAUGACAAAACAAAAGAAAAAGCAAAAAAGGUGAUGCCAACAUGGUCUUGUAAGGUGGGUGGAGCAAAAGCAACAAAACAAACUAGUAGGAUUUUUUUAUUGCUAUUCCAUAUCUCAAAUGACUAAUUUUGAAUUACCAAAAUAUAGAAGACAUGAAGGAAUCAUUGAUGGUGGUGGACCAAGAUGUUCACAUUAUUUGCCAAACACCAUAAUUGAGUGAUGAGAAAAUGAAAAACAAAAAAGGUGAUGACAAACAUGGUCUUGUAAGGUGGGUGGAGCGAAAGCAACAAAGUAAACUAGCAAGACUUUUCGUUGCUAUUCCAUACUUCAAAGGAUUGAUUUUGAAUCAUCAAAAUACAGAAUACUUGAUGGAAUCAUUGAUGGUGGUGGACCCCGAUGUCCAUAUUAUUUGCCAAACACCAUAAUUGAGUGAUGAGAAAAUGAAAAAAAAAAAAAAGUUAAGAAAAAACAAAGAAGUGAUGCCAAACAUGGUGUCGUGAGGUGGGUGGAGCAAAAACAACAAAACAAACUAGUAGGAUUUUUUGUUGUUAUUCCAUACUGAGAAAAUAAAGGGCUAUUCUAAAUAGAUAAAAACACCCAAGAGAGGAGGUGAAUAGAAGUUAAAAAAUUUCUUUUUAAACACAAUAAAAUUAAGCAUAAGAAGUACAAAUAUAAAGAAGUAAGGUUAUAGAAAGUAAACUCAAAUUUAUAGUGGUUCGACACUUCCUUACUUACAUCCACUCUCCUCAAGCUCCUAAUCGAGUGAGGGUUCCACUUAUACUUGAAGUUUCAACCAAACUUCUAAUCACUUUUUACACUUGGAUUCCAUCUCCAAUGGACUCUUACACAAUCUUUUCAAGUCUUUACUCACUUGAAGGUUUUAACACUCAAUUAACAAGUUUGAAUCUCUCAACCUAGCUCAACAAUGACUCAAAUACAACUCAAGGCUAGGAUGAAUCACUAAGGUGCACUAAAGAAUAUGCAAAUGAAAAUUUAAUGCACUAAUAAAAUAAUGAGAGCUUUUAUGGCAAUAAUAAGUAGGUAAACAAAUAAAUGCAAGUGUUCUCUUACUCAUAAAUGAGGUAGAGCUCUCAAUUUAUAGGUUUCUAACCUCAGGAGCUAAAAAGCCAAAAAACAGUCUCAACUGGUUGAACUGGGGGUUGACUGGUUCAUUAGCCGUUGGAACAUUAAAUGCUUGGCAGGUGACCGUUACCCUCGACCAAACCUUAACUGAGAAGGCAAAUCCAUCAACCAGGAAAGAAAGGCUACUAGAAGAGAGAGAAUGUUUUUCACAUCUCUCAACCGGACCUUGACAUAGAAAGAGUAAUCGGUAGACCGAUACCUUAGCUGAUUGAGCCGAUUGGCCAGUGCCUCGACUAGUUCACCAUUUUUAGUCUGAAAACCUAUCUUUUUCUGGUCUUUUUGCUUCUAGCACUUAGGUAAGGACUUUAGAUAAAAUAAUAUGUCAAUUUUGAAAUGUUUUGCCUAAGGUUCAUUUGAUAGAACUCGGAUUUUGAUGGAAAUGUAACUUUAAUGCAUAAACCGAGUUUUAAAGAUGUAUGAAAUGAUAUGAAUACCCUAAGUACACUCAUGCAUUCAUCUUACGUAUGUUUCCUAUGAUUAAAAGGUCGUUCAAAAGUCUUGAUCUUGCAUUCAUUAGGUCCUUUAAUGAAUUUCCAAAUUAACACCUGAAAUUCUUUAUAAUUCAAAUCAAUUAGUAACUUAACCAUGAUUUGUUAUAAUCAAAACAUGAUUAGGAGAAUCAUUGGGCUAACACAUACCUCAAAGGACUAAUUUUGAAUUACCAAAAUAUAGAAGACUUGAAGGAAUCACUAAUCUUUUUAUAAUUUAGAAAAAUAAGUAAAACGAGUUUGAAGAAAUGUAUAAAAAUAAUUUAUUAAAUUUAAAUUUAUUUCUUAUUUUCCUUCAUUUUUUCUUUUUUUCUACUUUUUCUUUCUAUUUUCUUUCCUUCUCGUUUUCCCUCAAAUUUUCCAAGAGCCAAAUAUAGCUUAAAGGUUUAGAAUCUUAUGCACAAGACUUUCAAUUUUUUUUACAAUAUUAUUUUAUUAGUUAAGAAUUAAAAUUUAAUGUACCAUAUCUAACACUAACAAAAAAAUUUAUAACAACCAAUCUUAUCUUUUAAGAAUAUAUUGUUUAAAUGAGAUUAAAAAUUAAAAAUAAAUUUUAAUUCAUUUAACAACUAAAUUAAAAUGAAAUUUAUAUAUAUAUAUCAUAAAUUUAUACAAUUUUGAAUCAUUUUAUAUGGAGGAUUGAGAAUGGAGAGAUUGAAGAAUUGUUUGGUGACGAGGAGAUUGAUCGAAGAUUUUAUAGUCUUAAGGUUCUAUGGGAUGAAAUUUUUUGUAAAGAGUUUAAAUUUUUGUAAAAAAUAAAAUUAGUUUUAUGUUAUUUGAUUUCAUGGAAAUACAAAGUUUUAAUUCAAAGAUUAUGUUUUAAAAAUAUUAUUUUUAAAAUAUAUUUAGUAAAGAUUUAUAAAAAUUUAAAAUUAAAAUUAGUUAAUCUAUCAACUAAAUUAAAAUAAGAUUUAUAUAUUAUUUUUAUAGAUUUACAUGUGUAAAAUCUUUAAAAUGCCUCAACUUAAAAUAUCCUUACAAAAUUUCAUUAAUCUACUAGCAAUCUGCAUAUUGUCUCUACAUAGAGUCAAUUUGCAUUAGGAUGAAUACCAUCAUAAUAAUAAUUACGCUCCACAUAUGAUGUAUCUUAACAUCCACUUGGAGGUUAAAAAAUAAUUAAAGUAAGGGAAACUAAUAUAUUUAAAAUUUAAAAAUCAUUAUGAAGAUUUGGACAAUAAUUCAAGUAGGCAUCUUUGAAAUUUGGCUUCCAAAUCCCUUUGUCAAUAUACACCACCCUAUGACAAUUAAAUAAAUUAAAAGAAGGAAAAAAAAUGUUAAAGGAAUGACAAAACAUAGGGAACAAUUAUAUUUAAGGAGUGGAUGGAGUUGAUAAUGACUAAAGGGUACAAAUCUUGCAUAAUUGAACUAAAAAGGUAGAAAAGGUUUGUAGAUUGUUGUGGAAGAUAUAAACCCACUUUGUGAGUCAAAAAUGCUCAAAAUACCCUUAAGGGUGUUUUUUAAAAAAGGACAAUUAAGUACUCAUGAUAAUUAAUAUAUUAAGAUUUCAAGAAAAAUUAAUAAUAAAUAAAAUCUUUUUCUAAAUCUAUUUAACAAUCAUAUAGUUUUUAUUUUAUUUUAUUUUUUCAAGUGGCAACUAUUAUCUUAAUUUAUUUUUCAUUUUAAGGUUCAAUUAUUAUUAUUCUUUAUUUUGAAAUUUAAUUAAAUGAAACUGUAUAAGACAUGUUUAUAUUAAUUAGCUAAAAAGGAUAGAUUUUUUAGCAAUAUGAUUAAAAUAAAUAAAAACAAGGAAUUUGAUUUUCUUUAUAAAAUAGAUUAGGAAAAGUAUAUUUCGAUACAUUCGUAUGAAAAAAAAAUUCAUAAAAUAGGAACUCAAGUUUAUAAAAUACAAAUUUUAAGCAUUCAUCUAAAAAUAAUUAUCAUUUCAUGCAUUUUUUUUGUCAAAUAUAUUAUAUUUGAUAAUUUAGGUAUUAUAUUUUAAUAAUAUAAGUAGUACCUUUGACCCCCAUAAAACUUGAAUUAUUUUAAAUAGUUUCUAUUAUAUAAUUAUUUAACCAUUUGAUAUAAAUAUUAAAUAAUAAAAAAUAUAUCAUUUUUUAAAGAAUUUUAAUUAUAUUUGACUUUCUUUUGUAUUUUCUAUGGUGUAAUUCACAUAUGAGAAAAUCAUUUUCUUUAACAUUUUUUUUUCUUUCCUUAAUAAUUUUCGAGAACCAAACAAGGCUUGUAGGUUUGAAUUAUAGGGUAUAGAUGCCAAAAAUACCAGAAUGAGUUUGGGUUUUCAUGCUAAAUGUCUUUAUUAUUAUUUGGUAGCACUUUUCCAAAAUUGUUCCAUUCCCAAAACCACUUAAUUUGCUUAAAUAUUUUUACCUCACGAUAUCAUAACAUUAUAAUGGAAUAGAUUUUGUUGGUGUUCAAAUCAUGUCAACUCAAUUUCCAAACCAUUCGGAUUGUCAUUUGGUGAAAAAUAGAAAGAAAUUUUACUUUAUUGAAAAGCAUUUCAUUUUGAUUUGAAUAUGCUGCAAUGAAAUAGUUACUAAACCAUGGGGUAGCAGAAGAAGUAAUCGAGAAAAUGAAGAAGGAUGUUCAAGAAUUCUUUAUGCUGCCAUUGGAGAAGUUUUCAAGAUUUCUCCUGAGUAGAAAACUUAAUGGUAAGAGUACAAUAAGUCAUAUGAAAUUGGAGAACUGAAAGAGCAUAAGAACCAUGUUUUAUUAAAAGACCUGUGAAAGUUUAAUCAGUCAUGGAACUACUAAGAGGGGAUGAAUUAACAGUUUUCUUAAAUUUUGUCCAAAGUUAUGAAUUUUUAUUUUUUAUAAUUUUUUUUUACUUAAAUUGAAACUUAUUAAUCAAGGUAAGAUUUCAGCCACAUCGAGAAACAAUUUACGUGAAAAGGGACUGAUAAAAUCUUGAGUUUACAGAUGUAAAAACCAUAAGGCCAAAGACUGUAGAACUCCAACCCACUGAAUCAAGAAUAGAAACACAAAUUUAUCUACCAACCUACACUAAUCUCAUAUCUACAAUGCAACACCAUCGUACUCUUAAGUGACUUGAAAGGAUGUGAAUAUUUCUCACAAACUUCAUAAUGAAAUUCAAAUUAGCUCUGAGAGUUUUGGGUUAGGCACAAAGAGUAAUAAUGCAUAGCUUUUGUGUGUGAGUUUUUAAGUGAACUUAAGACUCAAUUUAAAGCAUGUAUUUUACUAAAAAUAAAAAAAUAAAUUUAAGAAACUUCAAGAAUUUUGGAAAGAUAAAUUUUAAAAAAAAUUCAAAGAGAGUCAGAAAAUGUUUCCUUUUUAAAUUCUCAAUUUAAUUUAUUUUCAAAUUUAUUAAGAGUUUAAGAAAUAUUUUCUUUUUAAAUUAUCAAUUUAAAACUCUCUUUUAAAUUAAUUUUAUUAUUAAUUUUCAUGCAAGUCUACUCUAUACAUUUUACAUCGUUAUUCUCAAUUAACUCAACAAUAUUAGAGUGUAACAUCCCCAAUUGAUUUUGCACCAACCUUAAGUCUUCAAAGACAAUGAUUGAGGCAUUUCUUCUCCUAUUUUCUCCGAUGUAGAAAAAAAACUUGAAUAAGGUUAAAGCUGGUCUAUAGCAAAAAGUCUUAAUUUGAGUUAGCCUCUUUUUUUUUUUCCAAAUGAUAUGCAGGUCCAUCUAGCCUUCAACUCAAAUUUUUUAUUCAAAAAUCACAUGUGGAUAUGUGAACAAGUAAAAGUUGAGUUUUACCUAACAAAUCAUUUUGAAAAUUAGGAAAUUUAAAAGGUAUUAGUUUGUUAAACUCACCACCCCUGUCUAUUCUACAAAACAAGAAGAUUAGCAAAGAAAAAGUAUUCAUAUUUGUACUACAAAAUAAAAAGAUUAGCAAAGAGAGAAAUUGUACCCAUGAGUGCAGAGUUUUGGGUUAAAACAACCCUUUUGAUGGGAAAAAUAUUAAAUUUAACCACUUUGUCAAACUAAUGUGUAAAAUGAUCCUUUUAUUAUCACAUAGGAGUCAUAUCACUAAUAUAUAUAUAUAUAUAUAUAUAUAUAUUUAAUUUAAGUUGAAGCCUCAAUUGCCAAUUAAGGCUUCAAUUAUCAAUUAUGACUUUAUUUUUAACCCGAAACCUUACUUGCCAAUUGAGGUUUCAACUAAAAAAAGAAACCUCAAUCGUCAACUAAGACUUAAUUUUUUAAUUGAAGCCUCAAUUGACAAUUGCGGUUUUAUUUUAAAACUGAAAUCUCAAUUGUCAAUUGAGGCUUUACUUUUGUGGAAGGAUUAUGUGACACUCACGUUACUAGAAAAAAGCCAUACUGAAUAUAAGUUUCAAAAGUGGCUUAAAAGGUAUAAAUUUUAUGAUCAAAGAUGCCAUUUUGACCCAAAAUCCCAUGGGUGCAUGAGACUCUAGUUAAUCAUAGAUUUCAUAGAUAAAAAUCAGAGUUAGGAUGAUUCAACCCCUAAGCGUCAAGAAUUCUUUAACAUAAUGUUAGAACAUUUUCCAAUUUAAAUUCGAGAGUUGACUUUAUUUGAAUGUGCUUUUGAUUUUUUUUUUUAAAUAAGCUUCAGUGUUUUUUUUAAAAAGAAAUAAAAAUAAAUAAAAAUAGGAGCUUCUAUAUAGAAAGUAAAAAUUUUAUCCAACAAAUAUAAGGCUCACCUUAUAUCCUUAUAAAAUAAAAAAUUUUAAAUUUUUUAAUACCUCAAAAUUUUUAAUCAAUAUUUAAAUAUCAUUAUAUUUUCAAUAUGAUUCCUUUAAAAGUUAAAAUUACUUAUAUUUUUUAUUUUCAAAAAAAAAAUAUAUAUAUAUAAGUAAUUUUAUGUUUUUUAAUUAUUAAGAUGGAUGAAAUAAUCCCAAAUUUGCAAAAAUAACUUCUUCUAUGUUUGAAUUUGAAAAAUAACUCAUUUCCAACAUAAAUACUCUUCAAUAUUUGGAUUAUUUUAAUAUAAAUUUUAGAAGAAAGUGUUAUUUUGACAGGAAAACAUGAAAGACAUUUUUGUUAAAAAUUGAUCUUUUUUUAAGGCUAAAAUAUAUAUAGGUUUAUAUUUACAAAUUUGAGACUAUUUCGUCCUCUUAAUCAAAUAACUUAAAAAAGAAAAGAGUUAAUUCCACAAGUGGGUUUAAAAUACUCACAAAAUUGCAAUAUAUAUAUAUAUAUAUAUAUAUAUAUAUAUAUAUAUAUAUAUAUAUAUAUAUAUAUAUAUGAAAUUACAAAUUUACCCUCGUGUGUUGAGCACAUGACACUUCCAUUCAUUAAAGCUAACAUUGUUAAAUAACAAAUGUACAUUGCAACUAUUUAAGAAGUAUGAAGGGCACAUUGCUUGAUUUUAGUACAUGGUGAGAAACUUGUUGAACAAGUUAUGUGUAAAGUUUUAUGGUUCAUGUAUGAUAGAAAAUACAGAUCUACUACAACACUGGAUUUGCAAUUUGGGUUAAUAUUUAAAGAAAAGACCAUAGGACAAAAAGAAUUAAACUUUUGGUGGAAAACAAUAAAGAAAGGACUACAUGGAAAAAGGGAAGAGAUCAUUAUAAAGGAAGAUUAUUGAAUAGAAAUAAUUCCAAGAACCUAAGGCAAGACAUAGAGUAUCACUACUACUAUCACAAAAAGGGGUAUAUCAUAAAAUUUAUGAAAUUUUGAAAAAGACCUAAAAAAUGAAGAAAAAAAAAAACAAAUCAAAGAAGCCUACAAGUGUAACUAGUGUUCUUAAAGUUGCGAAAUGAAGGUAAUAAAUCAAAAGUAGAUUUGUUAAUAGUUUUUAAAAUGCUUGAAUUAGGAAUUGUCUACUUGUACCAUACAAGCCCUUGUAGAGACUGGUUUGACAUGUAAAUUGUUUGUAAAAUCAUUUUAAUGGGCAAUAAUGCACCAAGUUGCUCCACGAGAAGGGGAGGGGUUUGUGAAACCAUCACUUGUCAUGACAUACAUCGUCGGGUAAUCACGGAUGAGGGCAUCCACGGGAGGCCAAUGUCUACCCUCGCUCCACACCCCUCUAGUACAAGGCUCUAGGAGGGAGAGAGGCAACAAGUGUGUGACACCAAGGUAAAUAUGCUUGACCUUAUGGCUUUGGGAGCAACUUGCAUUGAAAGACUUGAUGAUUCACAAGAUUCUACAAUUCAUACAAAGUAUUGCAUUUUGCGACGUUCUUCAUCAAUAAGAGAGCCUAGAUAUCCAUUGUCAAGAAUUCUUUAUGUAUGAAAACAAAGGCGCCUAACCGACAUGCCCAAGAUCAAGGCAACUGGAGCGUGUUGCUUCGCCCAAGUUACUUAGCGCGUUUUGUGCCAAAGUUUGUUGUUCGCUCAAGAGGGCUUUUGUGAAUCUUUGUAAUAAAGGGAUAAUACAGAGUGGGCCGUAAUUUAGCAUCUUACACGCUUAGUUUCUUCCAUUGGUGGCAUAUAUUAUUUUGUCUGUCAUUGGUGAUUAUUUAAUAAAACUAUGAGAGUAUUUCAUGAAAUAUAAAUAAGAGGUUUUUAGGAUAUUUAAUCGAUGGUAAACAAAAGUUGAAAACUAAGUAGGGAGGAAGAUAAAAUAUUUUAGAUUUGAUAGUGGACUUGAGCAUUAGAACAAGAAGUUCACAAAGUAUUGCGAGAAUUCUUAUAUUACUUAACAUCACAUGUAAAGAAAUUACAAAGCAAAAUGGAGUGGUUGAAAAGAUGAAUAGAACACCAUUGGAAUGACUAGGUGGCUAAGAUUAACCAUUGGGUUACUUAAGAAUUUAAGGGCUAAAGCUAUCAACAUAACUUAUCAUGUAAUUACUUAGUUGUCAAGUUUUACAAUUAUUUUCAAUAUUCCAAAAGAAGUGUCAAGUAAAUCAAUUGACUUUUCAUCUAUUGAAAUAUUUGAUUGUUGCACUUAUAUUCAUAUAUAGGUGAAAAAAAAAUUCAAUCCAAAAUAAAAAAGGUAUAUAUUCCUUGGGUUUGAAAAAAGGAUUGAUUAAAGACUAUAGACUUUGGGAUCCAACAAUUAAAGAAAAAAAAGUGGUGAGCAGAGAUGAAUUCAAUGAAAAACAUAUGUUAAAGAAAGAUCAAGGACAAAUGAAAUUGGUAUUGAAAAAAAAUUCAACUACAUGACCAAUCAUCGAGAUGAAAUUUGAGAAAAAUGUCAUUAAAUAUGAAAUCCCUCCUAAUUGAUGUCCCUAUUAGAACUUUAUAUGGGCAUCUUUCUCUAUUGCUCUAAAGAAUCAUCGAAUUGGGUAAGGACAUCAAUUUUAAGAUUUUAAUUUUUUUUCAUUAUUUAUUGGAAUAGGAGAUCUUUAAAUUUUUUUGGGGCUCAAUUAGGAAGGAUGAUAGUUAUCAAUGUGUUGGUGCUAUGUCAAAUGAGAAUCCAAUGCACAUGUUGACUAAAGUUGUUCUUAAGGAUAAGUUCAAGCAUUGGUUGAAUGUCAUUAAUUUUUCAUUUUGUAGAACAUGGAAGGUCAAUUUUAUCGAAGAGCCAGGUCAAUCAACUUCUAUUAGGACUUCCAUUGAUUCUUGAUUUGACUAGAGGGACUCCUAGCAGUAAAUUUGUAUGAAGGGGCCCUACGGAGAUGCAAGAGCUGCCAAUCGGAUCGACCAAUAAAUGAUAGGCCCAUGCAGAGAUGUCCCUGAAAUAGGGGAUUGGUUGAUUGGAAAGCUUAGGCAGAGUAUAAAGGAGAACAAUUUAGCAUUUUGGGAAAAGCACAUAUGAAGAUGUUUACAAGUUUGGAAAUUUGAGUUAAAGAAGAGAUGGUCUAAAAAUGUUUCAAAUUUCAAUUUUAUGUUUUUCUAAGUUUGAUAUAUCCUAUUUGGAUAUUUGGGAAGUCUUCUCUUGUUACAUAAGGUAGUCCUAUGAUGAGAUUUGUUAUGAAAAUAGGUUCUUCCUCGUGUGAAAUAUUCCUAUGAAAUUAAGAAGGAAUAUAGGAAGAGUUUUUAUUGAAAUUAUGAAUCUUUUUUUUAUGUAAUUAGAACUAAAAUAUGAGAGUUUUAGAAUUGUAAUUACACCUUUGAAUAUAAAUAAUUGAUAAUAGUGAAUUAAUUUACCUUCUCCCUCUAGAUGUAGGUAAAUGCUAAAUUAUGUUAAAUCUUGUAUUCUCAUAUGAUUUUUUUUUUCAUUUAUUUUUCAUUUUCUUGCCCAUUUCUAACUUGCUACUACAUAAUAACAGGUGGUAUCAGGCUUUUUGUGUUUGCACAACAAAUGGUCUCAGUUUUUCCAGCACCACAAAAAUGAUAUUUUACUUAAUUGCUCCUCAGUGGAAAAGUUGGAAAGAAAAAUUAAAUCAUCGACUACACCUUUUUUUUUUUUUCCAAAACUUUUCUUGUCUUUGUGCAAGAAAAUUAGUAUAUUUUCUCUUUAGUAUUUGUUUCUCAUUUAUAUAUAUAUAUAUAUAUAUAUUCAAAUGGAACCUUAAUCAUCUUUUAUAUGAAGUAUAAAAGAAUUAGAAAAUAUUCAAAUUUUAAAUGAUUUUUAUUAUACUUUGUCCACUUCCUAUUUCAUAUAUCAAAUUACAAUAGAAUUUAAAAUUCUUUUAUAAGUUUUUUCUCCCUUUGCUACCACAUAAACGCAAAGACAGUAUGUGAGUUAAAUACCUUAAAAGAAAAAGAAAUUAAAAUGUGAUACAAAACAAAAGUAACCUCUUUAAAUUCAAGGAAACAAAACACUAAACUUUUUCAUGUAUUUUAUUCCAUUUAUAAAUGCAACAUGACAAAAAUAGACAAAAAUAUAAAUGGAAACCCUUUGGGUCCUUUAUUUUAUAUUUUAUCAACUUCAACCAAUUCUAUUUCUAUAGCACAACCGAUAUUAUAAAGUUCAAUGAGUAUAUAAUAUAUAAAGAUACUAAUCAAUACGAAUUAUUCUUUCUUUCAAAUGGCUACUUGUAUUAAAAAUUAAAUGUAAUUCCUCCUAAACAAUAAAAUAUGUUGACACGAUUUCAAUGAAUAUACAGUACAUAAAGAUAUGACCAAUUAGUACGAAUUAUUCUUUCUUUUAAAUAGCUACUUAUACUAAAAUAUAAGUAAACAUAAUUCCUCCUAGAUAAUAAAAUAUGUUGACACAAGGAGGAAUAUAUUUACUAAUUAUAUCAUUUGCAAUAGCCUCAAUCUCGUGACGUUCUUCGAACCAACCAUAGACUUUAUUGAGAUAGGUUAACCAAGGGAGCUUCCACUCUCAUAACUCGUAUAUGAAAAUUUCAUCUUGUACAACUCAAAUAGAAACCCAUAAAUACCAGUUGAAACCAAAAUGUAAUAAAUAAAUAAAAACAUAUUUCAAUGGAUCCAAUUAGUAUUUUUCUGAUCUCGGAUAAACAAACAAAUUUUUCUUCAUUUUGUUUUUUUUUCCAUUAAUCUUUGUAAGUAAAUUAUAUUUUAAUUUAACAAAGCACUAAACUUUACUUUAAUUUUCAUGCAGGAUCAACUAGCUUAUCAUAAUAAAAUUUAUCAAUAUAGCUGAGCAGAGAUUUGAUGUAAUAAUACCAUACAAAAUUCAAGUAAAAUUAAAUUAAUCAAAUAGGACACUACGGUCAUAUUUGGAUACAUAUUCUAUUUUUUAUUUUUAAAAUUAAAAUUUUGAUAUAAAAUAUGACAACCCUUUGUAUAAAAAAUAAAAAUUUAUCCUAUAAUCUUAAAACUACUUUUCAAUAUUAAAAAAAAAUGAGGACGUGUCCUAAAAUUUUAAACAAAUUUAAAAAUAUUUUUAAAUACCAAGAUAUCCACUUUUUUCUUUUUUAAUAAAAAUUCCUAUAUUUGAUAUAAAACUCUAUUUUAAAAAAUGAAAAAUAAAAAAUGUAUCCAAACAUAAGCAAAAUUGUUAGAUUUCAUUGUGAGAUUUCUUAGAUUCUACAAUUCAUAGUGAAAUGAAGACGAGAGAUAACUGACUGAAUUAUGAAAAAAAAAAUUAACAUUGAUGAGAUUCAAAAAUGCUAGUUAAUGAAAGAGUUUCUCCGCCAGGAUGACUAAGAAAAAUGCUGAAAAAUGUGUCAUGCCCAAAGCAAUGUUACAAUGAAGAAUAGAAUGAGAGCUAACCCGAAACAAAAUCCGACAAUCGCCAUGAAAGCCUGGAUGCAGAGGAAAUGUAACUAGAGACAUGUAAGGAAUCAUUAAGCAAGUGAGAACAAUAUCAAAAUCUCAUGUACGACUUACUUACCUUUCCCUGAGAUUCAAACUUGAAUUUUACUGUAAACCAUGACAAUCCUCUAUCUACAAUAGGUGCAAGUGCAAGGGCCCUGCAUGAGAAGCACCUCUACAAAAAUCACAGAAAACCCAAAGGAAAAAAAAAAAAAAAGAGUAAAUAAAUAGAAACUAGUCUAUCAGAAACCAGGAGGCUGCAACAAAUAAUCUCCAAAUGUCAGAUUUAAUAUUUAUUUACAAAUGCCACUAAAAGGCCUUUUCAUCAGAGAAAUCUAGAAUAAAAAAGGAUAAGGAGCCAUUUGGAUUACAGAGGUCAAAGAUUGGGUUGGAUGGGAGCAAGUUUAACCUCCUCAGUGAAAAUGAAAAUGCAAGGCCCAUCAUCAACGCUAGGUUCAAAAAUUGACACCAUUUCUUGAAGACUUUCUUUUUUCAUUCUUCAAUUGUCAUUUUGAUUCAAAGAAGCAGCAGCAUGAUAGACUAAACAAUCAUCAUAAACCCAGUUGCAAGUUAUAAGGAUAAGAAAGAAAAUGAACAGAAAACAUAUAUGAGAGAACUGAUAGGCCAAAAAAAUCAUUGUUGAAGGAAUCGAGCAUAAAUCUCUGAACAAAAUUUAGCUGAAAUUCACUGAUUUUGGGUUAUUUUGUGAUAAGAGCAUUGCAAUAUCCCAAUAAACUGUUACGCUAACUAAAGAUUUAAAACAGAAUUUAGCUGCUUACCCUCCAGCUCUGACAAGUUUAGUGACCUGGCUGCCUGCCCACACCAUAGCCAUGAUUUUGACAAAUCUGCCAAUUGGAUUCCAUGUCAAGAUAUUUUGAAAAACUUGUGCAAAAAGAAACUUUUUGGAAUAAGUUUUUACCUUUCAACUGCCGCCAAAUAACCCAUCCUUCCUGGUGCUGGAGCAAUAUAAAACCUAGAAGCAGCAUAGUGAAUUCAGAGUUAUACUGGUUAUUUGAAAUCUACUCUGAACACCUAUGAUAGAGACUGCAGGAUGUGGUAAAACACUAAGGCAUAUUUCAAACUACAUUAUAAGGUAUUUGAUUAGAAAAUUAAAUAAAUAAAUAAAUAAAUAAAAUAACAUAACAUAAAAUACAAAAAAGAAAAAAAAAAUUAACAAACUGAAUUUGUCCAUAUGCAACAAUAUGCAAUUGUUAGCCAUGAAUCCCAGUUAUGUCGGUUUCCAGUAUUAAUAAUUAAGCAUGAUGUUUAUGAACUAGACCAGCAUUCUAAUAACUCUAGAUUGAAGGGCAUGGAUGUCACAUUUGUAUUCCAUCAUGUGCAACUAACAUCACAUUGAAAUAAUAUCCACUAAAGCAAGUUAAGACCCAGUAUAUCAGAUUAAAUUUUUUCUACCAUGAACAUAAGCUUGAUAAAAAUGAAGAUGGAAAUGCAAUACUUCUUUAUAUGACAUAAUGAAGGGAACCAAAUACAAGGACUCCCCAUUCCAGAUGCAGAAAGCCAAGUUACAACCUUUGCCAAAUAAAGAGAUCCACCAUAAGUUCAUUUUUAGACAUGCUAUAGUUGAAUAUGCCAUCAGUAAGUGAUCAAAAGCCAAUUCAGAUGGGAAUAACAGCCACAAUGUUGGGAAGGUCAAUAACAAAAGCAUUGACUUGAAUGUUGGCAGUGUCAUUUACACUGGCCAUAAGAACCAGAGGUAAUGCAUACAGUUGGUAAGGUGGGGAGGAGGAGAUGAGAAAUUGAAAAGUCUUGAAUUUAUUUGUUUCAUGCAAUUCCGUUUUCCAAUACUCUAUACGAUAAUAUACAUUGUACAGCACAAGAAUAGGGUUGUUUUAAAAUUUUGAACAAAUAAAAAUUUCAUAUCAAUAUCUAAUAUUUAAUAAAAAAGAAUGAAACAAGAGUAAGUACAUUCUCUUCUCCUUAACAUGGUAUUAAAGCAGUCUCCAAACUCUUAACUCCUAGUUGCAUACUUGAUUUGCACUGGAAGUUGCAGUUUGCUCAUUUUGUUAUUCAAGUAAGUUACUUCAAUCUAUCAUAGUUUAAAUGACUUGGGACGGUAGUUGUCAUGGGCACGAAUUUUCCCACAAAUUUUUCGCAUUCACACAGCGCUUAGAAGCCCUCUAAGCCAACAUACUCAAACCCACAUGAGAUUGCAAUCAAGAAAAACCUCACAAAGACACACAAGGCUAUGGAGCUCAAUCCCUAACUUGUAUUUUAUUUCUUCUCUAAAUAACAAUACCAGACAUAGCUUAACAAGACUUCCACAAUCUCUUUGGUGAGUUCAUGCUCUCUCUCAAGCUAUGUAUAUUCUCUAUGAUCUCCAGAUUGCACGAUAAUUCAAAGGGCACUCCAGUCCUCCUUUUAUAGGUGUGACACCAACCACUCCCUAUUUGAUAAGGAGCAACGAAUCCUAGUUCUACUCAAACUACAAUUAAAAUAAGAAUCUAAACUCCUAUUCAAACUCAAAUUACAAUAACAAUUUGAAUUCAACUCUGAACUUUCAAAUGUCUUCGGCCCAUUCCUCUUUCAUUUGAAACUCCUUGUAUCAGGCCACAUAUCAGCCCUUCAAUUCCCUGGUUUGUGGUGCAAUAUAUCUUCCUUAAGCUUGUCCCAAUGCCAAGACAUCUUUGUUGUGUUCUGCCUGAAGUCUACCCACUCUUGUGCCUUGAGUCAGUCCAUUCAUGCAUUUGAAUCAGCUGAUGCAUCCGAUCAGCUUGCUAUAGCGUCUCUAGGCAGCCUACUACAUGUGUCUCUAUGCAACUAGUGUGCAUGCCAAGCCCUCUCUUAGCCUACAGAUCUAGCAAUUUUCCUUGGUGCCAAUCUUUCCUUUGGCUGUAGCCCCUUGUUGUUCCUUGAGCGUGUCAGUCAUGCUCAUAUGUGUUCCCGCAUCUGGAUCACGUCCAUGCUGAGGCAACCUGCCCAAGUUUGCUCUGCCUAGCUGUUGUUAUGGCAUCAUGCCAUGCCCAAGCCCUCUUCUUGGUGCAGCAACGAGUCAUGGCAUUGCACCCAUGACUCCUCAUCUCUAUGCACAAGGCAUUGUGCCCUUGUGCCACGCCACCUCAUUGCACAAGGCAUUUCCCCCUCAUGCUACCGUUGGGAAGGGAAGACUGCAUAGCACCCCAUGUCGUUGCAACCUUGAGUUGCACACCAUCACAUGUCAUGGAGCCCAUAUAUGGUUGCUAGCAAGGCUUGCCCAUGUGCCUUGCUCAUGUUUGAGGACUUGCACCAAAGCCCCUAAGUGUGGCCAUGCCCAUGCCACCUCGUCUCCCUUGAGUCACCCCCACCCUCACCCCCCUUAAAAGAGCAUUUUAAGCCCUUUUAAUUAAUUCAAGAAAAUCUAGAAAAUUUUGCUUCCACUUGGAGUCUCCCUUUUGAAGGUUCCUAUAAAUCUUUUAUCUCUAAGCGAAUUAACCAAGUCACUUAAUUGUUUUGCAACAUUCCUUCCCUUCCCAUAGUGUAUUUCAAGAUCUCUUAAUGAACAAGACAAUUGGUGGAGGGCAUGAAGUAAGUGGAAUUUAUCACCAUAUUGGCCCACCUUUUACUCCAAUUGCUCUACGUACUUCCAUUUCUUCUAUGUAGUGGCACACCUUUCACUACGCAUCUUUAGCAUAUGGGACUUCUAGUUAUAUUGGACUCCAAGUUAAAGCACCAAGUUUGUGAGUCAAGCAAAUAGCAUCACCAUAGUGUUGUUCUAGUCCUUUUUGUUCUAUAAUCAAUAAGAGGAGUACUAGUCCUUUUCAUCUUGUUCAUUUAGACAUUUACAGUUUAUGUAGUGUUGUUCCUAAUGUUGAACUAAACUUUUUUAUUGCUAUUUUAUUAAUUAGAUCAAUGAAAAUGGUAUGAGCAUAAAGAGGCUGAAUAAUAGGUACUAAUCUCUUAAAAAAAACUAUCUUGUAGAAACAUCAUCAGGUGACUAUGCACAAGUAAAUGGUCUGACAAGGCGUGAGAAAAACAUUCAUUUUUGUGCAACAACCAAGUAUUUGCAUCUUAAUCAACCAAAGAAUAAAUGGCUGAAGACAAUAAAUGACUGAACAAAAAGAAAAUCAUAAGUUUUAGGCCAGACACUUUUUUCAUCAAUUAUAUACAACAACAAUAAAUCAAAUAGUCCUAAAUUUCAAAAGAAUAAUGCUCAGCAGCUAUGCAUACUCACAAGUCACAAAUACCUCAUCCUUGACUAAUUUACAUGAAUGAAUUAUUUACUUACCAUACCAAGAGAAACGUUGUAAGAUAGUAUGCAGUAUUCAGGAGUCCAUAGGAUAAUAUUCCAGAAAUUCCAUAUCUCUUCAGUUUCUUUAGAAGACUGAAAGGUUAAGCAAGAAUGAGCUCUCAAUGUAAGUAGACAUGCAUUUCAGCAUACAAAGGGCAAAAGGAUUGAGGUAUCACUUCUUACAGAUUGUUUGCAUGAAAUUCAGUAGUAGAAGAGAAAUUAAAAUGAUUGGGACAAGAUCACUCAUCCAAACAAUAGUUUAUUUACAGAGAAAAGGUCUAAAGCAUAAUCAUGCAGUAGACAAAAUGAAUCUUUUGUGUCAUGUUCCAAUAAUGUUAACAAACUACAUUAAAUUCAUAAGGUUACAUAGAAAAAGAAAGAAAAGACAUUGUUGCAAUAGUUUGGUUGUUACACUGCUAGCACCCAGACUACGACCAAAUCCUUGCAUUGAAAUUGAAUUUCAAACUCCCAAUGUGAAAAAGGAAGAUACAAAAAAGAAAAGAAAAACAGGAGGAAAAAAAAAAAAACAGAGGGAAAGAAAAGAAACAUGGGAUUUCCAUGUAUAAUACAUACAUAUUAUAUCUAUAGAUAAAUGCAUGUAUGUGCAUAUGUCAUAGAGGCUGGUCAGACACAUUUCAAGAAGUUUCACAACUUGCUUUGGAAUGACAAACACGUGGAUCAAUAAAUGGCUUGUCUCCAUUAUUGAGAAAUUGCAGGUAAAUUUCAUCCACUACAGGCAUGGGGUGGCUGGACAAAGUUAUGCCAUUUGGUGGGAUGUAGUGGACUUAAGACAGAAAAUUCUCAAUCAUUCUUCUGUCCCUUGUGCAGUGUUGAAGCUGACAAUAUUAUUGAGCAUACAAGGAAUGUGAUGUAAAACAUCAUUGAGGACCAUGAGCUGCGAAGGCAGGGAGAAAUUAAGUUAUGAUUAAGUUUUGGUGAGGGAUUUUCAGAUGCAGAUCAUAUGGCAAAUUAACUUCAGAGAAUUGCAUGUUUUUAUUCAUUUCCAUACACAUUGAAUAAUCAUAUUUAAAAUCCCUCAUUCACUUGUUUCGCUUCCAUUAGUGCUCCUUCCACAUGCCUAUUAGCAGCAUAGACCUCAUGAUAGUUUGGUAAAGGUAAGACAAUAAAAUUGAAAAAUACAGCUAAAGCCUAAAAUAUUGGCUCAUAAAGAGAGAAACCAUCCAAGUUCUAUCUUAAAUGACUCUACAAGUUCUAAACAGGGAGACAAGGACUUCAACCUGGUCCAUCAAUGCAUAUAAAUGGGUAAUCAUUCCAACAACCAUUACGUUAGAAGUACACUAAAAGAAAAUUAUUAAACAAUGUUGUUUCCAAAAAUUCCAUGUUAAAGAAUAGAAGAACAUACUGCUAUAAAUGAAAUUCAUUCAAAACAGUUCAAACAGUAAAGUUAAGAAUUGUGACUGCAUAUUUUUUUUUAAAAGAAACAAGAAUUGUGACUGCAUAUCACCACACUUGUUUUAUUUAUAAUCCACACAAUGUAUUCUUCCCUAGCAUGUUAUCCCAUUAAGUAACCUCCAGAUAAAAUUCCCUUUCUGACUCUGUCAAUCAGCCAAAAAAUUUGAUGUAAAAUGUAAAAUACAUGGGUACACAAAAACAACUAUAUAAACUGCCAUCCCAUCAUUAAUAAAUCAUUUGUCUAUAACAUAGACUAAUAGCACUGUAAGGCAAGUAGGAAGUACUCUUUUGAUGUGUGCAGUUCUCCUUCACCAUUUUCGCCCUUUGCACUGGAGUCUAUAAAAAUAUGUAUAAGUAGAUUUUUAGAAAUAUCAAGUUUAUCAAAUGUAAAAUAUGGUAUCACAGAAAGCUACACCAUUUUUCUAGUUAUCAUUUGAAAGAUAUUGAUACCUUCAUGGUUGGCAGAGUAGUCAUGACCAUUUGACAUGCCAGAAGCCUAACCUACAACAAAGGCAAUGUUGAAAAAGCAAUAUUCAAAAUUCAAUGAAAAAAACAGAAGACAAACAAAUGAACAAAUAGCAAAUCAUCACACUCAAUUGUUUUCCAAAAAUGAAAAACCAAAUGAAAGGAACAAGGAAUAUAUUGAGAAAAAAACCUAUGAUCAAUGGAUAUGCAGUUGCAUUCUAGCACAUAUAUAGGAUCAAACAAGUAACUAAUCUAGACAUAGCUGCAGCAAAUUUGUGUAUCUCUGAAUGCGUGUCUGCUUUUUGUGGGGGGAUAUUUAUUAUGACAUGUUCUUAGUGCAGACAAACCAUCUGCAUUUACUUGAGGAUUAGGUAAACAUACUUUCCAUUUAAAAUGAGGCCUUGAACAUCAAGCCCCGGUGAGUUUUCAAAUAAGGAAAACAUAAUAGCUUUACAAUGAGUCCCAUAGCAAGAAGGCAUGCAAUUCCAUUCAUCAGCAUACCAGAAUAUAGAAUAGUGUGGACAUGUGGACACAUGCCAGAAUUAGCAUUGGACACACUAACAUGCCAGUCAUACAUAGAAAGACUUUCCAAAGAUAUUAAAGUAAAACACUGGUAGUAAGCAAAUUAGACCCAGAAAAACAUGCAAGUAUAGGCCAAGAUCAAAUCUUAAUUUUAAUUUCCAGAAAAAAAAUAAAAAAUUAUAUCAACCAAUAGAAAUGGUAUCAUCAGCAAUUAACACCAAAACACACCAACAUAUCGGAAUGCAUAUCACGUGUACCAAUCUCCAAUCAGCAUUACACCUGUACAAGUUAGCCUGUAGCAGGUCAUAAUAGGUUCAGACUAUAAAACCUUCCAAAUCUUCCUUUGCAGGGCUUAGAAACUAUUUUCUAAGUAAUUUGCAAUUUUAAAAGCCUGUGACAAAAUUUUGGAUGAAGAGCUUAAACUAUAUACUCACAAACCCACUCCAAAAUUUCCUUAAGGUAAUACACAUUUUUUGAAGUCCUUUCCAAUGUCUUCUCUUAUUUGAGUUAGAAAAGCCAAUGUUUUUAUGAAUUGACUACUACGGCUGUUGAGGUUUGAGGUGUAUAACUAAUUUCUUAAUAUAUCAUAAUUUACAUCAGUCAUUAGAAAUUAAGGUUCCAUCCUUUUACACUAAGAAAAUCCUGAGAGCAAUUAAAAAAUACCUUCUUUAAUAUUAUUAAAUUUAAGUUUCCUUUAGGUCUUUGAGUCUAAUAGAAAUUAGUAUAAAAGGAAUUUUAAUUUUCUUACACUAAGAAAAUAAAAAUAAUAGGCAAAAUAAUUUUCAAAUUUUGGAACUUUAUAGGUAAUGCUUAUUAAAAUAAAGCAACAAAGUUUGUCAUUUGCCAAUGAAUGAACCAAUUGUGGAAAACUAUGCAAAAAAUUUUAUUAGCAUGGAAUUUUUUUUUUCUGCCAAUAUAUAGAAUUCAAUUUCAAACCUGCCCCUCCCAACCCACCACUUGCUACUUGAGGCAAGCUUAGAGGCAGAAAACUAUUUACAAUUCUACGUAUGGAUAAAAAUUAUUUCUUAGAUUUUAUGCCAAUUCCAUAUUUAUAGGUAUCAAUUUAUUAUUCUACUGUUGUCAGAAGCUUCAAUUUUGGGCGUCCUCAUGGCUAUGCCACCCUUAAAUGAGAACAACUUUGGUCUUCUGUUUUUCUUUUUGAGCUCUUCAAAUUUUUGCAAGUUACUUCUAUCCAGGUUCUAGGAAACACCCAUUUUUUUAAAUCUCCAAUAAUUUAGGGUUCUGUGGCUGAGGGAAUAGACUUAUUUUUGGUUGAAGCACAUAAAAUUCUUGGCUAUUUUUUUAUUUUUUAUUUUGCCAUCAGGUCCUUUUAGGUUGAUUUUUCUACUUAUUUUUCACCCACCAAUUAACAUUGCCCUAACUCUGUUAUCUAUCCGAACAAAUGUUUAUGAACUAGCAAAUCAUACUAAAAUUUCUUACUAGUUGACAUGUGCAUCAUCUCAGCAUGUCAUUCCAACACCAAACUACAACCAUAAUCUCACUAACAUCCUAACUGCCUCAAUGAGUAUGGAUUACAGAAAUGCAAUUAAAAUAUACUUCCCUAUUUAAUUUCAUAAUUUUUAUAAUAAUAUUUCAGCAAUAUUUCCACAUAGUAGCUUAUGUGAGAAAUCCCCAUUUCCGUAUAAAAUCGAAAAACCCUAUAGCUUGCGCAUGUAAAUAGAAAAAAAAAAAAAAAAGACAGAUUUUGCAGAAUUGGGAGAGCAGACUCACACCAGCAUGGCCAUUGAUUGAGCAGAAACGCAGAUGACGAUGAUGGUGGUGGAAUUGGGAGAAAUUGUUGAGUUUGUGGAAUGUGGGAACCCUAGGAAUGCUGGGAUUGAAACCCUGGAUUGAAACAAGAGGAUUGUGAGAGAGAAUUGGAAAUUGAAGAAUCAAACACAAAAAAUAAAUCCAAGAAAUAAAAAAGAAGCGUAAAAAUGAAAUAGAGAAGAGUGUGUAUGACGCACCUGAUGAUGUGAAAGCAGCUUCAGCUGGUGAAGGCAAACUUUCGACGGGAGAGACAUGAGCAUACCGGCCUCCGACAACAAUCCCUCCAAAAUAUUCUUUCUAUACCAUUUAUUAUUAUUAUUAUUAUUAUUAUUAUUAUUUUCAGGUUAUUUGAAGUGCAAUGUCUAGCUAUACCAUUUAUUAUUAUUAUUAUUAUUUUAUUGCUAUUAUUAUUUUCAGGUUAUUGAAGUGUAAUGUCCACCAUACCUUAUAUGCCAUCCAUGAUGAAGGCCUUAGAACUCUCCAUGGAGCCUAAAUCUCGGGAUGCUAAUCACCCUAUAAUAACCAGCAUAGAGUAUAUUCAAAGUAUCAUUAAUGACAAAUUUCGAACUUAGGACCAUAUGUCAUUUACUGAGACCACACUUCUUAAUGUUCAUCCUUAGCGACACACUCAUAUGUACCAAAUCAUCCGAUAACCUGUUUUUCCUAUUUUCUCAUUUUUACAAAAAAAAAGAAAAAAUAAGAAUAACUUCUAUUUUUAAAAUUUUAAUUUUUUUUAUAAGUAAAUUUUUGUUCUCAUUAGGACCUGUGGAACCUCCCACAAGUCCUCCCGAAUCAUUUACCACUUGAGUCAUGCCUUAAUGGCUUGUUUUUUUAAAAAAUAAUAACAACUUUUAUAUAAAAAAAAAUACUUAUAAAAAAUAUAUACAUGUCAUUAAAAGUUUAAAGAAAUUUAAAUUUGAUAAUAAUUUUUUAAAUAAUUUAAUGUGUUAAUUGUUCUUAAAAACCGUAAAUAACCUAAAAAAGAACAGUAUGUUUGUAAAUUGACCAAAUUGUUAUAUGGUUUUAAAUAGUCACCUUAACAAUGUUACAAGUGAGUUGAUUAAUUUAUGGUAGAGAAGAAUUACAAUAGAAUUCAAUUAGUUAUCGCAUUUGAAGUCUUUGAUUAUUUGUUGAAUAAUAUUUGCAGCCAAUUAGCUAGGGUUGGCUAACCCAAGCCAAACCUAGUUACCAAUAUGUCCAACCUAUGCUAAACUCGAUUCAAAGUAAGGUUGGUAGUUACUAAACUCAUUAACAACUAAAGUUUCUAUGGAUUCCCACGAGUUUUCAUGGAUUAUCAAAUAAACCACAUAUAAUGGAAUCUCCUAAUAUAUAAAAGACAUAUUUCAAAUUAUAAAUUAAACCAUAUUAUAAAAUAAAAUUUUAAAAGCUAAGUAUAUAUCAAAGUCAUAAAUUAUAUUACUAUUCACUAAUUUUAAUGGUAACAUGAAACACAAGUGUGAAUAUUUAAAAAUAUUUUAGUAAUUAAACAAAAAUGAUAGACUUAUAGUGUAAUGUAAUAAAACUAGCAAAAGUUAUAGUUAUUUCAUUAUCCCUUUUAUAAAUUUCAUAUUUUAAAUAAACUAAUAAAUAAUAUAAUAGUAAUGAAUUUGCUUAGUCUUCAUCAUGUAGAACCAAUUUGAAGAAUUUUUUUUUAACAGGACUGAUUAAUGACUUAAUUAAGGGUAGGUUACAGCUAAAAUAUUUAGUAGGACUGAUUAGUGACUUAAUUAAGGGUAAACUACAGCUAAAAUUUUCCUAGUAGUCUUCCACUAUGGCAAAUUGUGGGAACUAGUAGUGGCCUGUCCAACCUAUAGAGGAAACAAAUAGGUGAGUGAGUUAUUGAAUAUGUGGCUGAGAGUGACCAACCAUUGAGGCUCACAUGAAGUUGUAGUGGCUGAAAGGAAGGGAUAAGAGACCAAAAACAUGCUCAGAGAGAUUCUUGUUAGGAUCAAAUUGGGGGCAUAGAUAUAUCUCUUUGGUAAGAGUUCCCAUAAUUUAGGUAUUAAUGAAAUAGGUAUAAAAUAAUUAUAUAUCUUGAUAUGAUCAUGUUGUUAAUGAUGAUCUAAUGAGUUGAAAUAUUAUGUUUUCAACUGUGUAUAUCUAAUAAAUACAUCAAGUGCUUAAACUUUAAUAUAGAAAUGGUCCACAAUGGCUUGUAUGACUCAUCGUCUUAUAAACAUAUUAUUUAGAUUAGGCUAAAGUGGUCAAAGUAAGAAGAAAAAUUGAUACUUGAUUUGAAGUAUGAAGAAUUCUUCUUAGACUUUGUGUGUAGUGUUGUUAGCUUAUUGUUGUGUUAAAGUCUAUUUUGAUGUAUUUUGGAAAGAAUGACCAACUAGAACCACAAUAAGAUGUUGCAAAACUUAUUUAAACAAGGGCUUGUGAGCAAGAUUUUUUUUUUUCCCUUUCAUGUACAAAUAGUAUGAUGAAUGAAAAUUUGAUUCUCGAUUGUAAUUAGUGUUUUCUUUAAGUUUUAAAUCAUGCAAUGAAUACUUAAAAUUAGCUUACGAUGUCAAAGAAUGUAAGUAAACAAGGUUUUACAUGUUGGAUAUAUAAUAAAUUCAAAACCUUUACCUUCCACAUUGAAUGAUUACAUUUUUUCUUUAAGUGCCCUUUAAUCAUUCUCAUUUUGUUUAAUCAUUUUCUAUAAUGUCUCGAGCAUAGUAGAUUUCUAUAAAUUUACAUGAGCAUUCCUUAACUCUUCUUGAGUGAUCCUAAACUUAGCAUUGAAACAAUCAUAAUUUAGGCGAAGAUGCUUAUACGUCUUCAUAAUCAUCCUUGGUUGCUAGCCAUUUUUCCUUAAUUACUUUAGGAUGUUUAGUGAAGAUGAUUACAAAUAUUAACUAGUUCACUCAAACAUUUUUGUAUGAGUGUAGAACAAUUUUGCAUUCUUUCCACAUCACUUAUGCAUCUUCGUUCCAAGAAAUAAGAUAUAGAACUCUUAUGUUUUGCCUACACCACUUGGUUCUCCAACCCAUUGUGCUUAUGCAUCCUUUUUAUAUCACAUAUGCGACUUGCUUCUCAUUAAGAUAUUUCACUUACAUGUUCUUGUAUAUGCAUAAUUUAGGAAAAAAUAUUUAAAAAUAGAAAAAUAGAUUUUAAUACAUAUAUUUGGAACAAUUAAACUCAAACUAUGCAAGUGACCUUGUCUACUAUGUAGGUGACUUUGUUUACUACAUAGGCAAAGUAUAUGACAGUGAUAGUCAAGGAAGCUAUGUGGUUGCAUGGUUUAGUGGAGAAUUUAAGAGUAAAGCAAGAUCACAUUGUGAUUUAUUAUGAUAAUGGGAGUGCCCUAAAUUUAUUUAAGAAUAAAAUUCAUCACUCAUUGGUAAGGCAUAUUGAUGUCUAAUUUCAUUUUAUUUAAGAGAUUCUAGAAGAAAGUCAUACCUUAUUUUAGAAAAUUACUGAUGUUAAUGAGGUAGGUCAUAUUUAAAUGUGAUCCAUGUUGAAAGGAUCAAUGUACCUUUAGGUGUGUAGUAGCAAAAUCUUUAAAGAUUGUUUGGUUAGCUUCAUUUAAAUUACUUAGUUAAAUAUUACAUAGUCAAUUAUAUGUUUGACUUUUUGAACUAGAACAUUUAGAUUUUGGUUGUUGUAGUUGUUAUAAUUACUAUUUAGGUUUUUAAAAAGGUAUAAAUUUAUAAUUUUAGUUGGUUUUAUUAGUUUCAUUUAAAAUUCCCAAGAAACUUCAGUGAAGGAAAACAGAGCAAGAGAGUUUUUGAGAAUUGCUUAUAAUUCUUGUAUAUUAUUUUGAUAUCUUUAGUGCAUUCAUCUUAUCAUUACCAUAGAUGAAGGCAUAUUGUCAAACCAUAUAAAUUGUUUAUCUCUUUGUCUAUAUUGAGCUGCCAAGAUCAGUUCCUUGUAAUCCAAUGGCUUAUUUUGAUUCCACGAUGCUACAAUGUAUUGAAUUAAGCAUAGGGAUUAACAAUUCCAAUCAUAAACAAUAAGAGAUCCUCCCCAACAGCAUAAAAAACUUGAGAGACCCGAGGCUCGCAUCUCAGAAUAUGCUCUUGAACUAACACUAAAGAUGCCUAGAUUCACCACCACCCUUUCCACCCCAAUGUUGUUAGAAGUAGAAUCUAAUCAAAUGAAGAGUUCCUGAUAGUUGCGAGUUCUUAUGAUUUUUUUCCAUCAUUUUCUGACUUUUUUUUCAUCCAUUACGUACGUCCUUCUGAGUGGAGUUCUCCUUUCAUGGUAUCAGAAAAUCAUACUCAAUGAAUUCGUUAUAACCAGACCAUAACCAGAACCUCCAUGGCGUGUUUUUCCUGUGUUUUUUCUGAAAAUAUAGCUACAUUUAUACAUAUUUUUAAGAAUAUUAAAGGCAUUAUCAAAGGAAGAAACCGAGAAAACUGAUUGUAUAGAAAUCUAUAAUUGUGCUUACUUUCAGUCCUAGUCACAAAGUUUCAACCAGAUAAAUCAUGUCGAGAGAUGCCCAGCAAGUGGUGGUGGUCCAGGAUGCAUCCAGAGAUGUUAGUUCAAGAGCAAUCCUUAGGAUUCUCCAUGACUUAACACUUAAGCCUGGAGAUGACCUUACACUCCUCGGAGUUCUUCACCAGGUUAAUAAUCCUUGUACGCUUUCUUUCAUGGGAGGUAGGAAAAUACGUAAAAAUUCAUGCCUUUUUUUUCUUUUGAGUACAGAAGAAAAAUCCAAGAAGAAAGAAAUAUUAAACAUAGCACCAGGAAAAUGAUAUAUACCAAAAGGGAAAUUGUGCAGGUUUAUAGAUUGAUGAAUGAUGUGUCAGAUUUCCCAAUACAACUAUUUUAUUCUAAGGUAUACUUUGAUAAUAGAGACAACUAUUUUAUGAUCAAAUGAAAAAAUGAGGUAUAACAAUUAACCCAAGACAAAUCCUUAAGUGAUACUUUAGUUUUUUAUGAAAUAAAUGUUCUUUUUAUAUUAGUAUAAAAGAUUAUUUUUUCUUAGUUUCAUUUAGGGAAAAUUUUGAUUUUUUAAAGUUUUAAAGUUGGUUAAUGUAAAAUUUGUUUUUUAUCUUUUAGAUUUUCUUUUCCAUAUUUACAAAAAUAGAUAAUUAAAUAAACUUAGAUAAAAAUAGAAUUUUCAUGUUCACUUGUUUGCCUUAUGAAUUUAUUUUACUAUUAAAAUAGGUGCUUCUUAUUAUUUAAUUUUAAAAGUGAAGAUGCAUGUUUUAAUAAAUUCUAAGAGAGGACAAUGUUUAAAAUAAAAAAUUGAAAUAUCGUGGAAAUUAAUAUUUUAUUUUAAAUACAGACAAUUUCCAUGUAAUUUUGUUUGUAUAUUAUCACUACAAAUCAACGAUGACUCCAAAUAGCCAUUGGCCUUAAGAGAUGUCAAGCUCACAACAAAAAUAAUGUUCUAAGUUCUCUAAAAAUAUUUUAAUUAAACACAAAGGUAGUCCAUCAUCUAAUCAACAUUUGCAUAUACAAAACCAUUUUAGCAAAAGUUACAUCAUCCGUUAGUAUAAGCAAACAUGAAUAAGUAUUUCCUAAUUAAGAAAAAUAUUAAUUCAAAUAUUUUAAAUUGGCCAACAAAUUAGGAUAUUGAAAUAAUGGUCUCUAUAUCAAAUGAGUUAUAAGAAAAGGUAACAUUAUCUUUCAUCUAAAUUUCUAUGCUUUCACAAUCUUCAAAAUUAAUAAAACAAUAAGUUAUCUUUCAUUUGAUGCCAUUGGCUAUAUUGUAUUUUCUCGUGACAAAGUGAUGAUUAUCUUUUUUUUUUUUUUAUGCACUUGAUUGAUUUGGUUUCCACCAAUGUGACUUUAGUGAUUUAUCCUUCGCCGGUUGUUAGGAUAAUGGUAGUGGUUAAUAUGAUGUCGUCAAUAGAAUAACUACCUACUCUAGGUAGUAUGUUGGAUAUGAUGUUAUAAACCUACUUAUAGAUUAAUAUAGUUCAACAAAUACUAAUUUGAGAGAGAGAGAGAUAGGUCUAUGGUGAGUUGUAGUGAAAGGGAAGGAUUAAGGCUAGGGUUUGUGUGGGUAUGAAAAAGAUAAAAACAUUUUUAUUUUCAUAUCCAUUUUUGGAUUUUAAAAAAUAAAAAUAAAUAGGUGGAUAUAGAAAGAGUUCAAGUGGUUCGUUUGCAAUUUCCCUUCAUAAAACAUCACAGUUGUCAAUGAGAUCUAUGCACUAAGUAAUUUUAACAACCUUUGUUUGUGAAUUGCUUGUUACUGCAUUAAGUUUUGGUAUUCUCCUCCAUGUAGGUGAAACAUAUCAUGUUUAUGUAGAAUCAUUAAUAUAGUGUUUAACAGCUUCCAUGAAAAAGAAAGCGUGAGAGCUUGGGGAUAUACUUCCCAACUUAGAGGACAUCUCAAUAGCAAUGAAUAGAUUUUCAUAUAAAUGGUUAAAUAGUAUAUAAAAUAAUCGAAGAUGUCUUGUUUUAGUUUACCUCCUAGGUAGAUAGCCUAGUUACUUCAAGUAGUUUUGGCAACACCAUUUACUAUCAUCUUCAACGAGUAUAUAUCCUUCAAGGCAAGGCCUCACUUUCUUAGCUCAACAAAAAGUUUAUUAUGAUAAGUUAUCUUGAUAACUAAUGACUAAUCUUGGUGUAUAUAUAUAUAGUUAAGAGGGAUGUGAAUCAAUGAGAAAUAGUUUCCACUUUGUGCUAAUGAUAGGUUUGAGUCAAGGUUCAAAUUUUCAUCCAUGGAAGUAUGAAUGUUGAUCAAUAUGAAAUUCUGGUCCAUCUUGUGAUAACAAAUAGUUUAUCAUAUGUAACUCAAAAUUAUUCUUUCUAUACAUUCAUCUUGUGCACCCACCUUUCUGUUUCUUUAUUGUACGUAUCACUUUCUCUUAUUCCAUAAGGAGAAGCCACUAGACUUGAGAAAUCAAUUAGAGAAUGAUACAAUUCCAACAAGAUCGAGUAUGAAACAUUUCUUAUCAAUCUUUUCAUAGUGACUCAUAGCUUGUAGUAAAUUAAUGGGCUAUUUGUUUUUUAACUUGAGUUUUGAAGCAAGUUGUUUUAAGAUUUAAGAUAAAAGUAAAAAAGAAAUUUACUUUUUCUAUUAACACAAAAUUAUCUUAGAAAAUAUGAUACGUUAAAAAAUAACCAUUUUAAAAAUGACAAAUCUUAUAGAAAAAAAUAAUAUAAAAAAAUAACACUUAACACUAUUAAAUAGUAUUUAGUUUUGAGUUAUAUUAAGGUAUAUAUAUAUAUAGACACACACCACCUAAGGUGAUGUUUUACUUGUUUGUUUGUUUUUUCUAAAAUCUAAAUAGAUUUGAAUUUGGAUUGAAUUUAAAUAGAGCAAAAUGUCAUAAGUGUUUAGACUCUUUGUGCUUUAUUGUAUUUGAAAUAUGUUAAGUGUUAAAUUGUUUAUUUUUACUUAUGUCAAAAUACUAUAAGUAUUAAAUUUAUUUAUUUCACUUGUUAAAAAUGUCUACAAAAUUAAUUAUAGUAUUUGUUAUUAUUUUAGUUUUAAAAAUUUACAAUUUUUAAAAUAUAUAGUAAUUUAAAUAUUUCCAAAAUAUCAAAAUUAUUACGAUAAUAAACAUUUUAUAAUAAUUAAUAUUGUAAUUAUUUAAGCAUAAUUGGAUAAUAACAAGGAUUUCCUAUUAUGCUUGGUUACUAAAAAAAUAUUUUAAAAAAUUUCUAAUUUGACACUUAUUUCUAUAUGGUGUGUCUUCAUAUUUAAAUUUAAAUAUUUUCCAAAAUAUCAAAAUUUAUUACUAUAAUAAAAAUUUUACAAUAACUAAUAUUGUAAUUAGUUAAGAAUAAUUAUAUAAUAAUGAGACUUUCUAAUUAUGCUUGAUUACUAAGAAAAUAUUAAACAAAACUUCUAAGUUAACAAUUAUUUCUAUCUGGUGUAUCUUUGGAUUUAUGGAUUUGUAAUUGAAAAAUGUGUUUUAUUAUUGAGAUUAAUUCAUUAAUUUUUAUAUUUUAGAUUUUCAACAUUAAAUCCUAACAUUUUAUUUUUCAAAAUUAAUUAUUAUUGCUUAUUCUAAUAAUGUGGACCCCGCAUUUCGGCUCAUGCACUUCCACUCGAUGGCGAGCUCGAUUUUUAUUUGAAAAACGAUUUUAUUUAUUAGAAAAUGACUUGGAGUCACCACUUAUUUUUGUUUUAUUUUUAAAGGGUAAACAAAAUACGAAAGAAAACCCUAAGUGUGACUCCUUAUUUUGGAAAAGAUAAUCCACGAAAAACCGGAUCGGGCUCGGGGGUCAGGUUACUUAUCGGGAAGGUAUGGUAAAGACCGUAGCACCCCUCUAAGUCCCUAAAGUCGGGUCUCUACUAAUAAAAUGAAGCUAACGUGGCAAUUGAUGAGGGAAUCAAUGAAUACUUAGUGUAAUCAUGCACAAGUGAGAAUUAAAACAUACAUAUAGAAAGACCAGAAUGGGAGUAGAUGCGUACCUGGGUGAUGAGCCACAAUGCGCUAUCAAGAAAUGGGAUUAGUGCAUAGUAAUGAACAUAAAAUGUGUCAAUCUUAUCACCAAACAAGAGAAAGAACCACCAAUAGCACGCAUGACAUUUCGUUCAAAUUCAUUUUUAUUUUAAAGAAAAUUUAUUUGAUGUUGGGCCCCCACCAUAGCCCAUCUACUUUUGAGUGAAUCGAUUUCGUAAAUUCCAUCAUCAAGAAUUACGAAAAAUAAAUUCACACUUAUUUUGAAACAUUUUGAAAAUCAUGGAAAAUUCAAAAGUGGCUCGCCGGAAAGGAAAUGGUGGCCAAAUUUCAUUGAAAAUGGGAUUUUUAGGUCCUAAAAAUAAACUAAGGAUGAAAACUUAAAAAAAAUGUCAAAAUUAUUUGAAGAAUUUAAAAUUUGAGAAACCAUUUGAAAACUGGAAUAUGAUGGAUUAUUUUAAAAUCAAGGAUGAUGAAAUGAAAAGAGGUGGUACGUGGUCACCAAGACUACAUGUCAAAAGUGACCAUGCAACUCAUGCAAGAGUAGGUCUACGGGUAAGAGUACUGGAAUUGGGUAUAAGAUAACCAAUAGGAAUGGGGUAAAUUAAGAGACCCCAGCGGCAAGCAACUUCAUGAGGCCUUCCUUUGUUGAUGUGUACCAGAACCAACCUUCUUUUUGCCUUUUACAAACUUCUGUAAAGAUCCACCUCUACAAUUCUGAGCUUUUAUGCAUGAUUCAAAGAUAGCAUGAUGUUGUGCUUGGAUGUUCUCUUGGCUAUUACUGCCUUUUCUCCUUGUUGACCGAGAAUUAGUACCAUCAGGCAUCAAGUUAUGCAUUUCUUCCCUCAUCCAAACAAACAAGUUUUCUCUUGCAACUUUAAGAUCCUCUAAUAAGGACUCCAUGAAGAUUUUAAAAUCAUCCAAUGUUGCAGGAUCACAUGCAUUGCUCUUACUCUUCUUCUUAUUAACUUUCUUGAAAGAAUCCCUCUUCGUCUCUUUACUAUAUAAAUUAUUCCUCUUGCUUGAUCCAAUCUGCAUUUUGUUAGCUUUCCCAAUUUUGAAUUGAUCCCCUGAACUACGAUCAGACUUACCUUCUUGUUGAGAUCUAGGAGUACCACUGGUUUCAUCAUUUUCAGGCGAAAUAAGAGAGGAAACCAGUUUGUGCUUCUUGAGAACUGGCUCACCACUGGAACUCGAUUUGGAAUUAUCACUUGAAGAAUCAACGUCACUGUCUCUCCUCCUGAACUCCCACCUCUGCUGAAAUUUCAGGUCUUCACUCAUGUUAGUACUUGGGGAUAUAAUCACAACUGUAUAACUAUGUGCUCAAUCCUCGGGAGAGUCCGACCAUAAACGACUAGACCCACUUAUCAUCAAAGUUUCAACUGCUUGUUUGGAGAAUGAAAUCAGUUUGAUGGAAGGAUUUCCACUGCAACUGCACCUUGAACUCGUUUGAAAGAUUGUACCAGUGAUUCUAGCAGCACCCCUCCUCACAAAUCAAAUUUUGUGAAGAGACACCAUGAUUAAACCGCUCCAUCAUUCUCUUUCAUACACCCAGCACAAGAGCAUCCUCUGUGGAUGAAGCCCAACCAUUGCUCUGCAUCCACUUGGAACAAUCUUCUUAGCCCCAGAUGGGAGCUUGAUCCUGCUGGUGCCAUUAUCAGGGUUGUGGCUGACGACAAUAGCUCACUUGCCGGAUGCCCUGGCGAAGACACCUCGAUCACCAACGUGAUCUUCAACGUUACAGACCUCGGCACCUUCGGGAGUAGAGCGCAGGGGCAGAACGUUAUCGGCAAUGAGGGUGGCUUUCUUACUGCAGCAAACGAACUGGCCCGUGUAUAUGCUCUCAGCCACCACGAUAGGUUCAUCAUGACUGCAACUCCUACUAAACCAUAUCCCUGUCUCAGCAUCAAUAACCAGCUAGGUACUGCAUGUAUCACCAACACCACUAUCGAGGUCCAGGCUAUCACAAGUUCUGUUGCUAGGCAGAGCAGCAGGAAGUUGGUUAUCAAAGACAUGGUAAAUUUUAUCACCACCUAGGCGCACGCCAUCGAGAUGCUCUUUGUAUGUCUGAUCGAAGACACAAGAAAUUUCCAUGAUCAUGUAUAACUUUCUUCCAUUCUUCUUCAGUUGCACCAGUACCAAAUCCAUAUCAGCCAAGGACCCUUCACGCACAAGUAGCCACAGAUCUGUCAGAGAUGCACUUGAUACAAUUUUGCGAGCAACUGUAUGAUGAUUCUGCUUUUGGCCUGGAGGUGGAACUAAACCUUCCACUAAUCUAUAUUUUUCUCAAUAAUAUAUAUCCUCUAACCUUGACAAAAUAAUAACUUAAAUCCCAGUGUUGACUCCUUGCUUCUCGCCACUUAAGCUAACAAUGAUUAUGCCUUGUCACCAGAUGACUUCAAGAGCUAGGUUGUCCAAAAUCCUGUUAAGAAAUUAGUCCACACCAACUGAUAACAAGCUGAUGUGGCCCUCGAAGACAUUGAUUGAACCUAGUCCAUGUUGUAGUCACUUUUUGAAUUUCAUGAUCAAGAAAAUGAAGAGGAAGCCAUUUAGAUGCAUGGUUGAAAAUGGUCAACUGUUAUGCCCCCAUCAUCAUCACCUCUAGUAUUAUGAACACAAACCAGUUGCAACCGCCAUUCACAGACUCCCAUCACAGUUCAUGGGCCUGAAAUGAAUCUCCAACUAAUGGUGUAAGCAACAAGCUGAAUGUUGUUAAAAAUAUGAGAAAUGGGUGGAGAGUUGUGCGUUAAGAAGCAGAGAAUGGAAUAAGGGAAUAUACCCCUUCCCUCAAAGGCACAGAGAUGGAAUCAAGUAAUUGAAGCCGAAGGAAAGCCUUUCGGGUAGCCAAGAAAGCUUGAUUUACAUAUUCUGCAUUACUUUCAGCAACAUUGGCAAUCACAUCCCUGUCUGAGAGGCCAACUGGUUGUCCUUUGUGGUGAGUUCAGUGUCAUUUUAAACUUCUCCAUUGUAUCAAGGGAUAGCCAGCACAAGAAAGAAAUGAUACAAUGAAGCAGACAUGAGGCAUCUUUAGAAAUCCUCUGUGGAUGACAUUUUAAAGGCUCUGUGAUAUUCUGAAGCAUUGCUACUCAACUAUGACCUCCAUCCCUGAUAUAAAACACUAAACCAACCUCAAUCUACUUAACAUGCAUCUCGGGUACUCCAUAGAGAUUAAGCAUCUGUAAUCAUAGCUUCCGCUCCUUGAAUUUGCGUUCUCAGAUGGAGAUGCACCAAUCAAAGCAAACCACAGACAAACACCAAAAACAGAGACGUAUAGAGAAGAAAAUUGAUAAAACAAAACAGGGAUAGGUGAAAUGAGAGUUUGUUAAGCAAAACCUGGUCCCAUAAAUUAUCAACAGGCUUACCAGUUAGUGGGAGGGGAAAUGGGUUUAAGGAGAAAUGAUAGGAGAGAUACAUUCAGACAUCACGCAAUAAAACUGGACAAGAUUCAUACUAUUUCUCUCAACUAAAACCCAUAAACAAUAGAUGGAUAUAUAGUCAUAGCAAAUCCAGUGGAUGCUCAGAGAUCAACAAAAGUAGCCAUAUGAUAUCCACACACAAAUAGCUAAAUAACACCCACUAAUGAACAAAAGAGAAUGAAUAGCAAGAGAAAAAAAUAGAGAUGGAUAAGAAACAUACCUGGAAAUACCCCUCUCCAGUAAAAUCAGCUGAACUGCUAGUCCAUUGCUCUCUCCCCCUUCCUCUGGUUCCCCUCAAGUUAAAACAAUACCCUUCUCAAAUAUCUCCGACCAAAAAACCUUCUCCAAAAACUUCCCUUUCUCCUCUGCCAACCCCCCUCCAAAAAGCAUCUCCCUCUUCUCUACAACUGGCAGAUACGCUCCUCCCAUAACAGAAACGUUCUUCUCUAAACGUCCCUUUGGGAUCUCUUAUCAAACCUCUAAUGACUCUCAAGACUAGGUCACCGAUAUGUAGUGGUAUGGGCUUGACCCGCUUUUUGAAAGCGCGGGCCAUCUUCCUCUAUUAUGCACGAACAUGGUCUGUUGCUCUCAAUCUCAUCUCAUAUAGGAGAUUGAGCUGAUCAAAUCGAGCCUGAGCCCAAUCCGCCUCGGGAAUCUGCUACUUUAGUGCUACUCUCAAUGAACUCAUCUCGAUCUCAACUGGUAGCACUGUCUCCAUACCGUAUACCAAUGAAUAAGGUGUGGCUCCUGUAGAGGUGCGAAAAGAAGUCCGAUAUGCCCACAAUGCGAAAGGGAGCUUCUCUGACCAAUCCCGAGAAGUCUCAACCAUCCUCCGCAAUAUCCUCUUAAUAUUCUUAUUCGCAGCCUCUACUGCCUCAUUCGUCUACGACCUAUACGCAAACGACCUAUGAUGUCGGAUGUCGUAUCUCUGUACUAAGGUAUCAACCUCUGCUCUGAAAUGUACCCCUCUAUCUGAAAUCAACUCAUGAGGGACUCCAUAGCGACAGAUAAUGUGUGAUCUGAUGAAACUAGCAACUCCAGCUGAUGUCAAUCUCUCAUAUGAGGCGGCCUCCACCCACUUGGUGAAGUAAUCGAUGGCGACCAGGAUGAACUCAUGACCACUGGAAGAUUUCGGUGAAAUCUUUUCGAUGAUGUUAAUACCCCAUAUAGAAAAUGGCCAUGGUGAAGUCAAUGCGUGCAACUCAGAGGACGGCACGUGAAUGAGAUCUCCAUGUAUUUGACUCUUGGGACAUCUCUGAACAAACUGACAACAAUCUGUCUCCAUGGUCAACCAAAAAUAGCCAAUCCUCAUGAUUUUACGGGCCAACAUAUGCCCUCCCAUAUGUGGUCCGCAGACUCCCGCAUGAACCUCUCACAUCACUCUAUCGACAGAAGCGUAGUCCAAGCAUAAUAACAGCAUCCCAUCAGGUGAUCGUCUGUAUAGUGUCUUGCCACAAAUCACGAAUCAUGCAGCCAACUGUCUCAAUGUUCUCUUAUCCUUGGCCGUGGCGGCCUUAAGAUAUAUGCCAAGUCUCAAAAAGUGAUAUAUGUCAUGAUACCAUGGCAAACCAUCGUCUAUCUCCGUAUCAUCGAUCAGAAAACAAUAUGUAGGAGCAAAUCUGGACUUAAUCAGUAAAUGACGAAUAGUGGCAUCAGCAGGAAUGUCAAUCAUGGAAGUUAGAGUAGCUAAGGCAUCAGAAAACUAGUUAUGCGCUCUAAGCAGAUGUGUGUAUCUCAAAUCAUCAAAUCUCCCAACCAGUAGCUCCAAAUAUGGCGGUAAGGCCUAAGUUUCACAUCUCUAGUCUUCCACUCGCCCUGAAUCUGUCUCAAAACCAGAUUGAAGUCGCCAAACACCUCUAUCUAUCUAAUCCCGAGCUCAAGGGCCGUCUCUAAUCCCAAGAUACAGACCUCAUACUCAACAAUGUUGUUUGUGGCCGGAUGUCGAUCCAAGAAUGCCAAACAAAUAGAUCGGGGAAUGUGAUCACCAUGAGGGGAUAUCAACAAGACGCCUAUCCCGUAUCCAGAAUGGUUGGCUGCACCAUCAAAGUACAUGUGUCAACCUGAUAAACUAGUCACAACAGCGACAUCCUCGCCUGGGAAGUCAUCAUCAAUGGCUCUACCAUUGGAAACUAGUAAUGAGGCUAAGUGAUCUACAACAAUGCUCCCUCUUAUGGACUUCUGAGUGACAUAAUGGAUGUCAAACUCGGUCAGAAGUACCAGCCAUCUCAUGAGACGACCGAUCAAAGCGGGUCUGUCAAAAAAAUAUCUCAGAAGAUCUAGAUGGGAUAUCAAGUGCACUGAAUACUCGGUCAUGUAAUGUCUUAGUCGGUGAGUGGCCCAAACCAAUGCCAAACAGUAGCGCUCAAUCAUGACAUUCCUUGCCUCAUAGUCUAGCAUCCUCUUACUCAAAUAAUAAAUGGCUUAGUCAUUGCCUGAAUCAUCAAGCUGAGCUAACAUGCACCACAAUGCUACAUCUGAAAUUGACAGAUAUAGGAGUAAGGGACAACCUGGUGUAGGAGGCGCCAAGACUGGAGGUGACAACAAGUACUUUCUGAUCCUCUCAAAUGCACGCUGACACUGAUCAUCCCAAACAGUAGGUUGACUCUUCCUCAAGAGUCGGAAAAUGGGCUCAUAGAUGUCUGUCAAUCUGAUGAUGAAUCUACUGAUAUACUGAAGUCUACCCAAGAAGCCCCUGACCUCUCUCUCUGUCCUCGAUGCAGGCAUGUCAAGGAUGGCUCUGAUCUUAUCCGAGUCUACCUCUAUGCCUCUCUCUCUGACCAUAUACCCCAAGAGUUUCCCAGAAGUCACUCCGAAAGUGCACUUCUUGGGAUUCAGUCUCAAUUUGAACCGUCGGAUCCUCUCAAAGAACCUCUCUAGAGUUGCUAGGUGAUUUGGUCUGUCUUGGGAUUUCACUAUCAUGUUGUCUACAUAAACCUUGACAUCCCGAUGCAUCAUGUCAUGGAAGAGGGUGGUCGUCGUUCUCUAAUGGGUGGUUCCUGCAUUCUUCAAUCCGAAUGGCAUGACUCUAUAGCAAUAAGUACCCUACUCGGUAAUGAAGGACGUCUUCUCCAUGUCCUUUGGAGCCAUCAAGAUCUUAUUGUACCAAGAAAAUCCGUCCAUAAAGGACAACAUCGAAUGACCUGUCAUACUAUCAACCAACAUAUCGAUGUGUGGGAGAGGAAAAUCAUCCUUAGGACUGGCCUUGUUGAGAUCUCGGAAAUCAACACAAACUCUCACCUUGUCGUCCUUUUUGGGAACAAGGACUACAUUGGCCAGCCACUCCGGAUACUCGACCACUGACAAAAAUCCUACACUGAGUUGCUUCUGGAUCUCCUCCUUCACUUGCAAGCUCCAACGAGGGUGCAAUCAUCUCAACUUCUACUUAACCGGUCUAGCAUGGGGCAGAAGUGGCAAACGAUGUUGGACGAUAGAUGGAUCAAGGCCUGGCAUGUCCUCAUAGGACCAUGCGAAAACGUCCAAGUAUGCUCUGAGCAACUGGAUGAGGUUGUCCCUCUCAUCAUCAGAUAAAUCUGAUCUGAUCCUCAACUCCCUAGGCUGAUAUAUUGUGCCGAAAUCAACAAUCUCCAUGUCCUCUAUAGCAGGUGAAACUCUCUGAUCAAAGGGAUCCGAAUCGGAAAUAGAAGAUGAGUCAUCAUCUGAGUCGUGUUGUGCAAUCUCAUCAUCAAUAUCAAAAAUCUGUGAUGUGGGUGAAGAUGGUGCAGAUAAAACAAUAUCGUAAAAGAGAGGCAAAUUUUAAAAAAUGCUCAAAUCCAUAGAUGAAAAGUCAGAAACAUAGUCAUGAUGGGAGACAAAUCCCGAUAAAACAUCAAAUGAAAGAGGUGAGUCUACAAAGUCGAACAUUCCCUCAACUAGGCCAAUAGGGCCAUCAAGAAAAUCAUCAACAGCUAUAAUGUCCUCAGUAAUCUCCGAAGUAGGGGCAGUCUGGAUCUCCUCAGCGAUCUCAAUGAAAGACACCCCGAAGAGAUCAAAUGGUGAAGUGAGCUCAGGCUGGACUAUCUCCUCAAUCUGGCUCAAGCUCAAUGCAAGCAUCUCAUCGACGUACUCGUCACAUGGCAUAGCUCCGUCUACUAUGUCGCUAAUCUCAACAAAUGUCUUGUGAUCAUCGAUCUCAUCCAAUAAGCAAAGCGUCAUAAGGCUCGUGCGAUCUGGAGAGGCAGGAGCGAUCAACGCAGAAGUCGAAGGAUCAAGGGCUCCGUUACUCAAUUGUAACUGCUGGACGAGGCGCUGAAGCUCGGCCUCCUUGGUGGUGUUGAAUCCUCUGAUGAUCCCAUCAGAUGGUGCAUGUGACUCCGAUGCCCUCACAAAGUAAUCUGCCAGGCUCAUGGUGUAUGGGCGAACAGGAUAAUAAAAGAGCGUAUGAGUCAGUCGAGCCCUCACCCUCUCCUUGCUCAAUCGCGCCAUAUAACGAUAAUCGGCCUCAGUGGGGAUGAACCUGAGUCCGAAUGGUACGUCGUGAUCAGGGAUGGCUAUGAACUCACUAGGCCCAUGCUGACACUACCCUAACCCUAUGCCGGGAAAAUAAGGCAUACUCUGCAUCAUAUCGAGCACCACCGUGCUACUAUGCUGGUCAAAGGACAUGGCUACGAAAUCUCGGUAGAAAUCUUCUAUCUCCACGGUUUGUACCUCAUCAAAGGUGAAUCCAGUCAGAAAAAGAUCGUCAUCAGUGUGACUAAUCUCAAGCACAGGCUUGGCAAAAAUGAACAUAUCUCCCACAGACUGCACCACGACGACCUGGCCAUCGUGAAUAAACUUCACCUUUUGAUGAAGGGAAGAAUGAAUGGCCCCAGCUCUGUGGAUUCACGGUCGGCCCAGAAACAGGUUAAAGGAUGUAGGAAUCCUCAAAACCUGAAACACGGUGACAAAAGUGGCCAGAUCAAUUAGUAGUUCAAUCUCUAGUGUGCCCAUGACCUCCCUUCGAGUACUGUCAUACGCGCGAACGGUCUAAGUGGAGGGACAGAAAUCAGAUGGUGCAUAGCCGAGGGCAGUGAUGGUGGCCAGAGGACAAACGUUCAGGGUCGAGCCAUUGUCCAGAAGGACAGAUGGGACUCGACGGCCUGAACAACCAACAGAUAUAUAGAGUAGACGCGUGUGGUCUGAGCCCUCUGGUGGCAAGUCAUCAUCGGAGAAUACAAUGCAUGUGGCUCUACCGACCGUCAUCAUAUGAAUCAAUCCCUCAUGGGAGGUGGUAGUCUUAACUCUAAUCUGGCUCAGGGCUCAAAUCAGAGCAUCAUGGUGAGUGGUCAAGGAUGCCAACAAACUCCAGAUGGAAAUACGAGCCUGAGUGCUCUAUAGCUGCCUCAAAAUCUCGGCGUCCUCUACUCUGACCUCAUCGGGAACAGAUGUACCCUCAACUGGCUUAGCUGCUGCGCGAGGUGGCUAUCGCAACACUCUACCUCCUCAAAGAAUAUACUAAACAUCCAAAGUUUGAGAAUCAUCAACAUGCGGAGCUUGAACCUCCUCAACAUUCGAGAUCAAGAUGAAUGGCGUCUGGACGCUGUAAUAUGGAAAAAUCAAUGGCUCAACAGUGGUAGUCUGUACUAAUGCCACCUGGGGAACUAAUCCGAAUGAAAUGGGCAUCUGAGGCCCCAAAGUCGCUCCGUCCAUCUCAUAAAUCCCAUUUGACAUGAUAGGCUCUGGCUCAAUGUCAUCACAGCUCAACAUAUGGAUAUAGUCAUCAUGAUCAAAGAACUCCAGGAAAUGUAUGCUAUCGACCGGUGGGGGGACCACAUGUGUAGUGUGGGCAAGUAAUGGGUUUGUGGUUACACUCGGCUGACCCAAGUGCACCAAACCCUGGUCGAUCAGAUCCUGGAUGGCAUGCCUCAAAGUGGUGCAGCGAUCGGUCUCGUGUCCAGGCCCUUGAUGGUAUGCACAGUGCAAAUCCAUCCUGAAUUAAGGUGGAAUCGGCUGAGGUGGCAGCCUGGGAGUGAGAACGGUCAAUAACCCGGCCUCUGUAAGCUUCCGAAGAGCCUAGCUCAAUGGCAUGCUUAAUUGCGAGAACUACCUCUGUGUCCUCAAAGCAGAUGGAGCAAAAGUCUGCUGAGCUUUGGGUUGAGGAUAAGGCGUUGUGGGUCUCGCAGUGAAUUGAGCAGCAUAGCAUGGCUGUCCUAUGGCCGUGUAGGAAAUUGGGGGUCUCUCAAUGUCCUGGGUGGCAUAAUAAGGCAAAGCCAAAGUCUGUGGCAUGUAGACUGAUCAUAAGUCGGGUGAGGCGCUCGUGGCCUAUACUGCUGAGGUGGAUAUGAAGAAUGAGCCUCAGGAAGCUAUGGGAUCGGCUGAUGGCGCCUGGGAGGUCUCUAACUGGAAGAACUAAUGGCGCUCACGUCAACUGAUCUUUGUCCUCCAAAGGGCUUCUUCCCCUUAACAUCACUAGGGGAAGAAUCUGUCCACAAUCCUCUAGAGAUGUCGUCCUCGACAUCGUAUAAAGUCAAAACCAAUGAACCAAAAUCUGUGAAUGGUACCCUAACCACGUGUCUGGCGAUCCUGGGCUGUAAACUCCUCAAGACCAUCUAUAUCUGAUCUCUCUCUGAAGGUCUAUCAAUGAUCUCGACAAUCUUCCCACGCCAGCGGGAAAUGAAUGAAGAAACUAACUCAUCUAUUAUCUACCUCAGAGCCUCGAGCUUUCUCCUCGAUACAUCCACGACAGUGUUAAAUGAAAACUGUCGUAAGAACUCCUGGGCCAAGUCGUCCCAUGUUCGGCGUCGUGAGGACUUCAAGGAUGCAAACCAACGUUGGGCCGUCCCACUCAGAGAUAGUGGAAAUAAAGUGAUCAUCUGAGACUCAUCCAAUCCAUGAGCCCUCAUCACUGUGCUAUAGAGUCUGAGGUGGAUGCGUGGACAACUAAUGAUCGUAUAUCUCUUGAUGUCUGGCAUCCUAAACUUAGCCGGCAAACUGGCUAUCGGCAUACCCUCGAAAUCAUCCCAAACAAUUGAUCUAUCUGACACUCUCAUCUGCCUCAUACGCUGUUUAAGACAGUCCAUACGUGCAUGAGCAUCAUCAACGACAGUGGUCUGGACAACAGCGGGUGGAACAAUCUCAGAAUGUCCAUGUAAUAUAUAGGGUGAGGCCUGAGGCACUGAAGGAACGGGUGGUGGUGGUGGAUGUGGAUGUGAGUCAUACGACGUCUCAUCCUGAACUGUUGGUGGUCUACUUUGCUGACCACUGAUCUCCUGCCUGAGGCUAGCCAAAGCCUCCUGGAUAGAAGCCAUGGUAGCCGUAAACUGAUCCAUUGUAACAACCUGCUGAUCCAUACUCGGUCUCUCUGAAUACCGGACUAAUCUCCCCUCUACUCUGACCCAAGAAGGCGUAUCCAGACUGUGAACGAAGAUCCGAUCCUGAUCGAUUCUUCUCCUACUCCUCUCCUCAAGUCUCUCAAAACCAGCAUCCAAAAGCACCUCCUUCGACCUCUCCUAUCUUCACUCCCCUCAAAAGCACCAGAAGUCUCUCAAAAAUCUCUUUUGCCCCUUGCCAAAAAGCCCCCUCCUCUCCAAAAUAUCUCCCCACAAAACGCCCCCUACGCUUGCCAGAAUAUCCUCUCUCUCAUCCGAUCCUCCUAACAGACUGCGGCCUCUCUAGAAUGUUCUUUCCACGUGUUCAACUCUCAUUUGCUCCUCGAUUCCACUACCUAAUUCUCUGUCCACCAACCACGAGGUGAUACGUGGCUCCUUGAGAGCCUUCCACCUGGCAAAAUGAGUUGCAGAAAAUGCAUGAAAGUGAGGCCCCAAAAUGAGGGUCUACAAAUAGGUUUUUAGAUGAGUGUGAAUUGUGUUUUGGAAUUCUAACUAAAAAAAAUUCAUUAGAAUUGAUGAUAGUUUAUUUUAGUCUUGUUCUACUAUAAGAGGUUGAAUUAUAAAAAUUUGUAGUACAUACAUUUCUAAUAAAAAUGUUUAUGAUUUAAGUAUUGUUAAUUUUAUUAUUAAAUGAGGAAUCUACAAAAAUUUAUGAAAUUUAAUUUUGUUGAGAAUUUGAUGAAUUAUGAAGCAGAAACAGUAGCUAAAUGUGGUAGAAUUUUGAUUCAAGUUUUGGAAUUUAUGAAUUUAUUUAGAUUAAUUUGUUACCCAAAUUAAGUUACUUUUAUGUUGUUGGGCUUCUUUUAAUAAAAAAAAAAAAUCAUUAAAAUUUAUAUCUAAAUUUUAUCAAGAAUCAAGAGGAAAAAUGGACAAAAACAAAGCAUAUUUCAAUCAUUUCAUUUUUUUUUCUUGAUGACAACUUUGUUAAUUUAUAAUAUAUUCAUUUUUCUUCCAAAUUACACAAAAUUGAAAUAGUUUAAUUCUUUCUUCAGAUAAAAGUUAUCUAAAGUCAUAAAAAAAAAUGAAAUUGAUUUUAUUUUAUGUGAGGAAUUAGGUCUAAAUAUCAUAACACAGUUAGAGAUCAAAAAAAUAUAAAGAGAAAAAAAAUGACUUUUUCUAUUAAUAUAAAAGUUAAAAUUAAUUCAUUUUUUCCUUAAGUAUAUAUAUAUAUAUAUAUAUAUAUAUAUAUAUAUAUAUAUAUAUAUAUAUAUAUUUUAAAAAAAAAAGUAAUAAGCUGAAAAAUAAAUAGUUCUAAAAUGUAUUCAGUCUUGAAGCAACUUACUUUAACAUUUGAGUAAAAAAACUAAAUAAAAAAUAAAAAUAGAAAAAAUCAAGCCCUAAAGCAUUGGAUGAGCCAAUGAUCGGAUACUUGAUUUUAACUAAGCAGUUACUUGUCAAUAAUUGUGUUCAUGUUCAUCUCUGCCAAGUACCUUAAAAUGAAAAGGAACAAGUUCAUAUAAAAUCCAAUUUGUCUUUCUCACCCAACACAAUUGCAACCAUCCACCACCAAUUCAAUAUCUCGAAAAACCUUCAAUGUCUCUAAUAGAACCAAAAUCAUGUUAUAUUUGGGAACAUUAAAAUCUUGAUGUAAUGCAACAUUUCAAAAGAAUUUUUCACUUUGAUCUAUGCUCAUAUCAACAUUUCUCUUUGAUAUAGGCAUUUUUCAAAAGAAUUCACCUAUCUUUUCUUGCUAAAGCCUUAAAUUUCUCUCUUCUCUCCAUAACAAACCUUGAGCAUGCAACUUACUAAAUAGACAUUACAUAGGAUUCAAAAUUAAUUUUCAACAAUUCUCAAGUAUAGUGCCUAUUGCAUAAGCAAAUAUACUUUUAAAGAUAUUGUUGAUAGCCUUCUCUAUGCUAAUAGCACUUUUAAUGCUUGGGUUGAUCUUUAUGAUUGAUUCCACCAAAGCAAUGCCCCACGAAUCUUCCAAAUCGAGAAGCACAUAGUUGUUCUUGAGCAAAGAUCUAUGGAUGUCAACACAUACUACACUAAGCUCAAGGUCCUCUAGGAUGAGCUCAAAAAUUAUCAACCCAUUCUUGUCUAUCACUAUGGAGGCACAAAGUCUUGGUUAGACACCAACAAUAGGAGUACAUCAUGCAAUUUCUUAUGGGUUUGAUUGAGUCAAAUGCUUAAACUUGAACACAGAUCUUAAUGAUGUCUUUGCACUAGUUGUCCAAGAAGAAUGCCAAUGUACUAUUAAUCAAGGCUCUUUUUUUCCUAUCGAUUCUCUUAUGCCCAACAUUUCAAAUUCCUCUGCUUUUGUUACAACAACAAAUUUUUCUCGAAAUUCAACUUUAAAACCCAAGUGUGAGUGACCCUAAUAUUCCCACUGUGGCUUGCAAGAACAUAUUGUAAAUAAAUGCUAUCAUCCUGGCUAUAAGUCAAAAUCAAAGAAACCUGAAGUAAAAAAUUCAAGCCACCUAGGCCAAUGCAACUAUUAAUGAGACUAUUAACUCUGGUUCACCCCUUGGAUCUCUUACUUUAGCUCAGUGUCAUCAAUUGUUUGCAUUCUUGAGCUCUCAACUUCAUAACAACUUUCUUGUUAUGCUAGAAUCUCAAUAGCUAGAACCCUUUGUUUCCCAGUUCAAUGGUAUACUAUCUUUUUCUUCUGUCUCAUAAUUUUCCAAUUUCUUUUUCCACCUGGAUUUUGGACAUAGAAGUCGCACAUCAUGUUUGUUGUUCAUUAAGCACAUUUACACAAUCUACUCCAGCACAAAAUUCUUUUGUAACUUUGCCUAAUGGUCAAUCUGUUGUUAUUAAUCGUAUUGGUUAUGUGUUUUUGUCUCCUGAUCUCAUCCUUAAUAAUGUCAUGUUUGUUUCUAAUUUCCAUUUCAAUCUCCUCUUUAUCUGUUCGCUCACUCAAAGUUAUAAAUCUUCUAUUAAUUUUAUGGUUGAUUCUUGUACUAUUCAAGGCCAUACACGGACCAAAAUGAUUGGGAUGAGUAGAAGACAUGGUAGCCUAUACUUCUUAAAUAUAGUCAAUUUUCAUUCCACUACACCACAAAUUUUCAGUCCUUGUAAUAAUGUUUCGUUGUCUCAAAAUGAAAUUUGGUUUUACCAUUUAGGUCAUCCUUCUUAUGUAACAUUACAAACAUUCAAAAAUGAAAUAGAAGUUAAACCAAAUUCUGGUGAUUCAAGUCAUUGUUUAGUUUUCCAUUUAGUCAAAAGAUGCAAAUUACAUUUUAUUUCUCACAAUUAUUUGUCUGUUUUGCCUUUUCAACUCAUACAUUGUGAUGUUUAAGGUCUCCUUCACACAUUUACCAUUGAAGGUUAUAGAUAUUUUUUUUACUAUUGUUAAUGAUUGUACUCAUUUUAUUUGGGUGUAUCUUUUGCGUGCUGAGCCUGAUGUUACUGAAGUUAUUCCUAUUUUUUUUUCUCAUUGAUUCAAACUCAAUUUGGAACACAAAUAAAAUUUGUUCACUCAGAUAAUCCUCCUGAAUUGGCAUUUUUUGACUUCUUUCAUGCAAAAUGAGUCAUCUCAUUUCAUUCUUGUGUUGAUUAGCCUCAACAAAAUUCAAUAGCAGAAAGAAAGCAUCAACAUAUCUUAAAUGUUGUAUGGUCUUUAUGUUUCCAAUCACAUAUUCCAUUGGUUUAUUGGGGGGAUUGCAUUCUUAUUAUUGUACACUUAAGAAAUAAAACUGCAUUCCCACUUUUGUCCAAUAAAACAACCUUUGAACUUCUUUGGAAAAAGAAGCUUGCAUAUUCACAUCUUUGUAAUUUUGGUUGCCUAUGUUAUGCAUCUACUUUAGAUCGUCAUAGGACAAAUUUCUCACCUCAUGUCAUUCCUUUUGUCUUUCUUAGGUACCCAUCUGGUUAUAAAGAAUACAAAUUAUUGAAUCUAGUCACUAAUUCUGUGUUUAUCUCCCAUAAUGUGGUAUUUCAUGAGUCUAUAUUUUCUUUCAAAACUAUUCAAACUUAUUCUCCUCUUCCAAAUAUUUUCUCUGAUACUGUUUUACUAUUUCCUUCUUUUUCUUCCAUUCUUGAAUCUACAUCUUUGCCAAUAUCAACAAUUCCUACUGUUUUCAUACCUUCUACGUCUCAUUGUCAUCCUAAUCGUGUUCGUAGGCCUCCUUUUUAUCUAGCAUAUUACUACUGCUAUUCUUGUUCCCACAGCACAUCUUCUACCUCACAUCCUCUCACACAUGUCCUUGAUUACACAAAAUUGUCAAAUUCAUAAAAAUAAAAAAAUGAAUAAAAGUUUGUGUUAUUUCCUAUAAUUUUGAACCCACCACAUACUUCAAGGCUGCUACUAUUCUAGAUUGGCAAGAUGCAAUGUCUGCUGAGUUAGGAGCUCUUGAACAAAAUGACACUUGGUCUUUAACUACUUUGCCACAAGGAAAACAUGCUAUUAGGUGCAAAUGGGUGUACAAAAAUAAGUAUAGAGUUGAUGGAACUAUUGAACAAUACAAAGCUCACCUUGUAGCUAAAGGCUGCACACAACAAGAGGGCAUAGACUAUCUAGGUACCUUCUCUCAUGUUUUCAAAUUGGUUACUGUUAAGGUUUUGCUUGCUUUGGCUACCAUUAAUGGUUGGAGCCUUCCUUAGAUGGAUGUCAAUAAUGUGUUCUUACAUGGUGAUCUUUUUAAGGAAGUUUAUAUGACUCUCCUAGUUAUCACCUGAAGGAAAAUCAUUAUCCUCACACUCUGUUUACAAAAUUCAAAAGUCUUUAUAUGGCUUGAAACAAGCAUACGACAAUGGUUUUCCAAACUCUCCAAUUUCUUACUUGUUGAAGGUUUUUAAACAUUCUAAUGCAAAUCACUCUCUUUUUGUCAAAGUUGUCAGUACUCACUUCAUUGCUCUGUUAGUUUAUAUGGAUGACAUUGUCAUUGUUAGUAAUAGUGAUGAGCGAGUUGAGAAAUUAAAAGUUCUAUUUAGGAAAGCUUAAAUACUUCUAAGGCCUUGAGGUGGUGAGGUCUAAUAAGGAAAUUUCCCUUAGUUAGCACCAUUAUGCCUUACAAUUACUAUCAGAUAUAGGCUAUGUUGGUUGUAAAUCAAGGAAAACACUUAUAAAUCCAAAUGUGAAGCUCACACAAGACAAAGGUGAUCUAUUAAAAGAUCUUUUAUUUUACAGAAGAAUGAUAGGCAAAUUGCUUUAUCUAACCGUAGCAAAUCCAGAUUUAUCAUUUUCAGUACAUAAAUUCAAUCAAUUUCUUGCAAAGCCCAGAGUUCUUCAUAUGUGGGCAAUACAACAUGUGCUUCAGUACUUGAAAGCAUGGUUUGAAAUAUUGGUAAACACGGAUAUAUCGAUACUUGGAUUUUAUGAAUAUGUUGGAAAUAUUGGUAAAAUAUCGGUAAAUAUUGGUAAAAUAUCGGUGGAUAUUUUGGCAAAAAUAUUGGUGAAACAAAAAUUAUUCAAAAUUCAUGGAAAUGUUUGGAAAACUCUAAAAAAAAUGAUAAAAUAAGCAAGAAUACAUAUGUUAAAGUUAUUGUAAGUGGAAUUGACAUAAAUAUGGUCAAUGAGAAAAAUAUGGAGGGAUAUAUCAAACUUAAUAAUUUAUUAUUUAUCUUAUCAAAUUAAUUUUAAUUUAUAAAAUAUUAGAACUUCAUUAUUUUUUUUAUUUUAGUAAUGUUUUGAAUACAUUUAUAUUUUUAAUAUUUGUAAAAUAAAAACAUUCAAAAUUAAAUAAAAUUAAAAGGAUAAACAUAAAAAAAGUGAACUGAUAGCAAUUUUUAAAAAUAAGAUUAAUGAGAUAAAUGAUGAUACAUUUAAUAUUAAAACUAUAAUUUAUUUAAUUCAAAUACAUUCAACAAUGUAAAAUAAAUUAUGAUGCAUAUAUAAUUUUUUUGAUAUUUAUAUUUUUUUUAUAUAAUUGUCAUAUAAAUGAUAUAAAAAAUAAAAUAAAAUAAAAGACUUGUUAAGAAAAUUAUAAUGAUGGUUUUAUACUUUUAUUAAAUAAUUAAAUAAAAUUUUAAAUAAAAUAAUUAGAAUUAAUUUAUUUAUUCUUUUAAUGAUGAAUUUUACCAUAUUUAUUGUGAACAUAUAUUUACAAAUGUGGACUUGGCCCAAUAGUAGUCAGGCUUCACCCAAGCCUUUUGGCCUAGGUUUGAAUCCCCUUGGAUGCAAUAGAAAAAAAUUUGAAGGAAUUUACCCGAAUAUCGACAUCUUUUCGAUGAAGUUGAUUGACUUUCGGUGUACAAUAUCAUGUCGACUCUCCCUGAUAUUUUGACGAUCAACUUUUAGUGUGGAAUAUUGUGUUAGCUCUCCCUGAUAAGCAAAAUAUCGACAAUAUUUCAUCAAAAUUUUGCAACAUUUUAGUGUGGAAUAUCAUGUCGACUCUCCCCAAUAUUUCAACAAUCGACUUUCAGUGUGGAAUAUCGUGUUAGCUCUCCCUGAUAAGCAAAAUAUCGACAAUAUUUCGCCAAAAUUUUGCAACAUUUCAAACCAUGCUUGAAAGUUAUGCAGGACAAGGUUUUUUUUUUUUUUUUUUCAUUAAUAGAGUUGAAAAGGUUUGUUGAUUCAAAUUGGGCAACUUGUGUGGUCUGUUAAUGAGUUUUGCUUUUUUUUAUUUAUUUAUUGUUGAUUCCUUAAUUUCCCAGAAAUAAAAAAGGCAGCAUACAGUUUCAAGAUCUUUUGUUGAAGUUGAGGACAAAUUUAUGGCAAAUGCAACAUGUGAAUUGAUGUGGUUACUUUCUUUAUUUAGAGAUUUGCAUGUAUCUCGUCCUAAGCCUGCCUUGCUAUUUUGCAACAAUCAAGCAACUCUUUAUAUUGUAGCUAAUCCAAUUUUUCACAAGCACACUAAGCACAUUAAGAUCGAUUAUCACUUGGUUAGAAAGAAACUGCAAAAUGGAAGCUUGAAGACACUACAUAUUUCAUCUAAACAUCAAGUGAGAGACUUGUUGACCAAACCUUUUUCUUCACCUCAAUUUCUUUUUCUUCUUAGUAAAAUCGAAAUUCACAAUAUUCAUUCUCCAUUUUGAGGGGGAGUAUUAGAAUAUUUGGGUAUCUUGCAGUAUGGUUACAAGUUAAGUAAAGAAUUGUUAGUUUGUUAAAUAAUUGUUAGCUUUUUUUUUUUUUUUUUUUUUGCAACUAGAUGUGUCUAUUCAAUAACUUCAUAUGGUUAUAGUUAAUUAAAGAAUCCUUUACGUAUUAACUGUUAAAAUAAUUUGUUUCCAACUUUCCUAUUAAAUUUUCUUCUGCUCAAGAUUUCAAAAAUUAUAGUUCAAGAAAGCUCUUUCGAUUUCUAUGUUGCACUGUAUCUUCUUAUAUGUUAGUACAAAUCAUACUCCUCUUUUUACCUCUUCAAUGAAUCCUUUUAGGAGUAAGACCACCAAGUGAGCACCCUUAUAUUGAUCCACAAGCUUUUUAUUACAUAUUUUUUGUUUGUGCACACCACCUCAAAUUUAAGUGGCCCAUAAAUUUUAUACUUUGGAUACCUUACCAUCCAAUCAUAAGCAUAAACUAAAUUUGAAAGGAUAAGAUUAGUUUAUUUUAGAGAAAUUGAGCUCCAAGUCCCCUAGCCAAACAUGAAGUUUUGAAGCAUGAAAUUUUUGUGAUGGGACAUAAUUGCAAUCCUUAUUAAAUUGAUCAAUUGUGUUAUGCCAAGAAUGCAAAUUAUGCAUGGCAAAGUGGUUAGAAAGUGUACAAAUGCACCAUCUUUUUACUUGUUUGUUUACUCAAAUUUCUCGGUCAAUUUUUUUUUUUCAUUCUUAUCCCUCUUGAUUGAGGCAAACAUGUUUUGGCUAGUGCUCUCAAAUUCCUUAAAUAUAUUCUUUUCAAUAUUGUAAACAUUUGGCUUGGUCAUUGUUAUAGUUAUCAAUUGUGUCAACUUUUACUUUCUCUCAUCCCCAAUUACAUAUGCACUUUGUAGCUUUAAUUUUUUUUUAGUGAUUAAUCUUAGUUUUUAUCUAAUUGUUUGCCUUAUAGUCUUUGACAUAACUAUAAGUGUAACAUGUACCUCUCACAAACCAAAAGACAUCACUUGUCUUCUUUAAUUUAAACAUUUUUGCAUCUGUGUAAGAUCUGAAACUAGAAUUUCACAACAUCGCGUAGUCAUUUUCUCUAGUUGUUUCUCAAAGCUCUCUUCAAGAUUUAGUUCAUGUUCAAUUACCAACUUUGAGUUUUCACUUUUUUUUUUUCCCAUGAGUCAUGAGGAAAUGAAUUUCAACUGUGUUUCAUCUAUCCAUCUCUCUUAAAUUGUUUUAUUCGAUAGUUACCAAUUGUAGAAUUGUUUUUAUAUAUUCUUUUCAUAGAUAUUGUUAAUAAAUUAUGCUAAAUGAGUAGCUUCCUGAUGUGGUGAGAGCUAAUUUUGUUAUUGCUAGGAUAAUAUCUUUUUAACUUUCUUAACUUUUUCCGAAUUAUAAACCACUCAUGCUUUGACCAAUCUCCAUGUGUUUUUCAUUUGUUUGGAUUUAUGGGCUUUUGAUUCUAUUUGGUGAAUAGAUAAUAAGGAAUUAAGGAUCUGAGAUUGACAUUACUUUAAGGAUGUUUGAAGAUGACAUAGUGAAGCAUAGAAUAUUUUUUUGGGUUGUAUCUCCUCAUUUCCCAUACUUAUGGUGGACAUUGAUGAGUUGGAUUAUUUGAAUGAAAUGAGCUUUGGAAAAAUACUAGUAAUUACAUGAAUUGUUGCAAUAUAUUUGAGUGAAAAUAUUAUGUUAGUGUCUCUCCAUGUCACUAAUUCAAACCUGUUACUUUCCAUUGUAAGUGGUAGAAAUAUAUUUUUUAUUUUCUAGAAAACAUUACUCUAACUUGUGAAAAAGGUUCUUAUGCCUCCAUAUUAAAUGUUAUAUGAUGGAAAAAAAACUUGAAUCUCUCUGUUUCCUCAGUCUGGAUCAGGUUAGGAAUAUGCAUAACUAUCCUAGGCUUUUUCUAAAUUCUAUGCACAACAAAAAAAUUAAUUUUUUUUAUACUUUAUAAGGAUCUAGAAAGUGCUAACGAAAACUAUACCUCAAAUUCGGAUGCUCCCGAGUCUUCCGCUCGAUGACUCAAACCUUGAUCUUGGCACACUUCUAAUGGGGAGGAAAUGAGGGUGGAGGCUAUAGUUUUCUCUCUCUCUGGAUGGUGGACGAUAAAAGCUAUGGAACCCCUAACCUCUAGGGGGUAUUUAUAGGGUUCCUAAGUGGGCUUAAGUGACUUGAGCCCAUACAGGCUUGGGUCACUUAAUCUAACCCAAAAUGAGUUCUAACUGAUUAAUUAACCCAAUAAGGCUUACUAAUUAAUCAAUUAGCCCAAUCAAGAGACCUUGUUCACUUACCCCUAUACAACCUUGCGUAAUUAUCAAAAUGCCCUUAUGCACAGAAGUGAACUUAGAGUCAAUUCAACCCUCAUAACCCAUGCCAACAAGGUAUAUGAGUUCAAAGUGGGGACCAUUGGGACCCAUAGAAAUACUGACUCCCUCAAAAUCAAAUUCUAAAGUUGAUUCAAUAUCACACUAUAGAGAAUCAACUAAACUCCAAUAUCUUAUGUAAAUAACAACGAGACACUAAGUGAUCGGGUCUGUGACUUGCUAUCCAUUGUGUUCAGUCUCCCCAUGAACUAAUGUCCGUAGUUUAAUAAGGUGAAAGCUAUUAGUCUUUCAAGACUACCUCUACCUUCUAUUUUGUGUUCAAUUGACAUAUCUUAGCUCUCAAAGAGCCUAUGUCAAGUUCCAUUUAAUGAACUACAUGACCAUAGUUUCCAUGAACACACCUCCUUAAGAUCACCCAAGGGGACACACUAUCUCAAUCCUAAGAGAUAUCAUAGUGCCUCUAUUGAAAAUACCUAUUACUACCAGCUUCUAUCAACAAUGACCCAAUCCAUACGGAAUAUAUGAUCAGCUUACGAUUUCACCUGUAGGUCAAAGUCAUUGCCAACUUUAGCACAAGCUUAAUAUUCUCUCAAGGUUGAGAGACAACACAAUGAAACAGCUUGGUGAGGUCAUGACUCAAUAAUAGCCUUAAGUCAUGACUCACCAUAAGUCUUGUCCAAUGUGUAACCAUACAUACUAGUGCACUCACCAUGGGAAACCCAUCCUGAUAACCAAGACCAGUGAUCCCUCCAAUUAGGAGGUGGUGCACUACAACCUUUAAUGGGUUGCCUAGACCCAUGAACCAAUUGUAAACAAGUCAUCUAUUUGCAAGGAACCCAUGACUUAGAUCUUCUGUGCAACUCCUAAUGCACCUAAGUCACGUACAAUACAAAAAAUGCAGACAAGAAUGCUCAUAAAGUAUAAUAUAUGGAAUAAGAAUAGAUAAAAGUGAAACUGGAACAUCAUUAAAUAAAUAAUGAAUUCCAAAUUUAUUACAUCAUGUCAUGAUUUUAAGUGCUUUAUCCUAACAUUAUAUAUUUGAGAUAAACAUGAUAUAAUGAGAUUUAUGUUUCUUUGUUAUAAUAUUUCAAUAAGUAAUUGUGUUUUAAUUUUAAUAAACUAUGCAUGCAUGAAACAAUUCAAGUAUCAUUAGCAUCAUUGGUAUCAUUGUGAGACAAAAGUUUCUCUUAUUACAUACUAAAGAGAUUUAAGUUAUCAAAAAGUGAAAACGGUUUUAUCUAGGCUAGUUUCAAGUUGACAACUUUUAAAUUGUUUAUCAUGUGAUAAAGAACUUUUCCCUACAAAUGAUACUUGAAUUGUAUAAUUAGACAGUGUAGGAAAACAUAAUAUCUAUGAAGUUAACUGUUUAUUCUUAAUUCAAUUUUUAGAAAUUUUGGUAGUCUUUCCUCUUAUUCUCUGGGUGCAUAUUUGGAUAAAGUUGCAUAGUAUGCCUUGUCCAUUUUACAUACUUAGAGAACUAUAAGGAAAUUCUACUAAAACUUCUUUAAAAUGAAAUUGACCACAUUGGUCAUUGACACAUAGAGAUUAUGUAUUUCUAUAUGGGAUAGGAACUACUACCGAAUUUAGGAUGUUGGAGAUGUUAGAAUGCAUAAAACAUGCAUCAAAAUUUGACAUACUCAAAUGAUUUUCUUUAUUUAGUAAAUUAGUAUAGAUAAUGUUUGAUGCAAAGGUCAUGGACAAACCCAAUAUAAUAAUAUUAAUAUGCACUAGUUUUAUUGAGGUUAUACAUCCCUUUUAAUGCAAGUAUUCAUGGUCAACAACAUUUAUAACUUAUUAGUCACUACUACAAAUAAGAUAUACCAUGACCUUGUUUUUUCCUUGGCACUUUUAAAAAUGUUAAUAAUUAGCGUGAUAUUUCAAAAGUGUAGAUCUAUGUUCAUAGAUCAAAAUGGUUAGAACAAUGCUUACUUUUUUUCUUUUAAAUUUGGCAUCUUAAAGAAAUGUUGAACUACACUUUCUUGAUUAUUAUUUGAACAAAAAAAAAAGGUUGUUAAACGAAUAGCAUAGAAAAUGUUGCUAUUUUCUUCAAUUUGAAGUUUGAUCACUAUUGAAAGUUUGUUCUUAAAAAAUGGAUCAUUUGUGGAUUUCAAAGGAUAGAGGACUAAAGGAGUAUGGGGAUGGGGUAGAACAUUUUUAUCACAUUUGCAAUAUAAAAUUCUGCAUAUAAAAACUCCAUUAAAUGUCCAUGCUUGUAGAGUGGUAAUAUGAUAUUUCAUACUCCUCAAAGAUUUCCUCAAAGAUUUCCUCAAAAUAUUAGAGAGCAUAUGUUUUUCUAUAGAAUUAAUCAGAAUUACCAUAUAUGUUAUUGGCAUGGGGAAGCAACUCCAAGUGAACCACCAACUAGAAGGGUAGAACAUUAUAAUAUGGUUCAAUUUAAUGAUGUAGAUAGUACAAUAGAAAUGGUUGAAGUUGUACAAGUUGAAUGUCAAAAUGACCUAAAAUUGCUUGAAAGAUUACUUCAAAUUGUUGAAAAACCUUUUAUAUCCUAGUUGUAGAAAAUUCACACAAUUGUUUGCAUUGGUUAAAUUAUACAACUUGAAAACACACUAUGAGUGGUCUGAUAAAAGCUUUUCAGAGCUUUUAAAAAUGCUUAGAUAUAUGUUGCCUCUAAAUAAUGAGUUACCCUUGUCUAUGUAUGAGACAAAAAUGGCAUUGAAUACAUUAGGAAUGGAAUAAGAAAAAAUACACGCAUGCCCCAUGAUUGUAUACUUUACAGGAAUAAGUUGAAAGAUGCAUUUCAUGUCCUAUCUAUGGAACUUCAAGGUGAAAGGUAGAUAAUAUAGGAACUAAAAAAAUGACAGGAACUCCUGGGAAAGUAAUGUGGUAUUUUCCUCCAAUUCCAAGAUUUAGAAGAAGGUUUCAAUCAUAAAAAAUCGUAAAAGACCUCAUAUGGCAUACCUAAGGAAGAGAUUUAGAUGACAAAAUGUGUUAUCCAGCUGACUCUCUAUCAUAGCUAAUUGAUCAUAAAUGGCCCAACUUUGUUUCAAAACCUAGAAACUUGAGACUUCCCAUUUUAGCAGAUGGUAUAAAAUCCUCACAAUUCAUUGAUUAGCAAAUAUAGUUGUUUGUCCUAAAGAGCUCGAAGCAGCAACUAUGGACAAUGUUUUUUUUAUCAUAAAGAGUAAGUUAUGGGCAACACUAUGGCUGUAAAUAGAGGUAAAACCUUUAACUUGUUUUUAGUUUGAUUUUUCUUUUCUUUCAUAAUGGAAAUAGAAAAUCAUCUAAACAAAUAGGACCUUAAUAAUUUUUUUUUUCUACAAUUUAUUUUUGAAUAAAAUAAUUUAAAAGAUUCCAUUCUUAUAUUUGUUAGACUUUUUUUUAAUGAAGAAAAAAAUAGUCUCCCUUUUAGCAUAUAUAUUAUAUAUGAUUAACAAUGGGUAUAAUAAAAUUUAUUUAAUAAAUAAUUGAUGUGACAUUCUAAAUUGAAAGUCAUAAAUUAGCUCAUUAGUUUGAUGUUGGCCCUAAAACUACAAGACUUGAUUACAUACUUAGAUUUUAUUCUUGAAAUUUAAGAGAUAAUUGAUGUGACAUCUUGAAUUGAAAGUCAUAAAUUAGCUUAUUAGUUUUAUGUUGGCACUAAAACUACAAAACCCAAUUACAUAAAUUUUGUUCUUGAGAAAUGUCAUUAUGGUUCAUAGUAAGGCUUAGUUUGGUGUGUUAGACCAUGCAUGCAUGAUAUCUCUUCACAUUCUCUUGUUUUUUGACAAACAUGCUACCAUACUUAAGGUGUUUGUCAAGGCUCAUCUUGGACUACUCAAAACUUUGGGGUCCUUUCUUUGAGUUCACAAGCUUCUUUCCCCUAGUGUCAACCCCAACUCCCAAAAUCCACUCCUUAGUAGUGCACUGACGAAAUCUACAAAUGCACUAUAAAGUGAGAAUGGCAUCAUGAAAAUGUAUUAAUGCAUCGUAGAUGUGGGAACUUAAAAAUAUAUAUAUAUAUAUAUAUAUAUAUCUAGAGUUUAGACUUGUUUCUAUUAAUUAGAAAUUACUAAGCAAUGAAUCUUGCUAGUGUGGAAAGUACCAAUAGAUUGACCAAGGAAGGUAUAUGUAAAAAAGAUUGACAUUGUCAAUUGGAAAAAUUCCUUUACAAACGUCAACCCUAUCUUCCUAACCAUCAUGGAUGUUGAGAAGUAGAUAUCGAUGACUAUGAUGAGGAUCACAAAGGAUUAUCAUACCAAGGAGUUAGACAUUUGUUGGGUUAUCAACAAUUUUAAUGAGGGUGGUAUUAACUAUUUGGUUGUUGAUAGUGUAUUGCGUAGUUCCACCAAGCCAAUCUGCUCCUGCAUUGAGAUCAAUCUCGAUGAAAAGGUAGCAUAUAUUUUUCAUUUCCUAAUUCUAUCAAUUGCUUCAUGGUGCCUUUGUCUAAUAAGCUUAACAGGUUCUUCUACAUUUUCACCAUUUAAUUCUCUAACGUUCAUCAUGAUAGGGUUGAAAUUUCAUCAUCAAAUCAAAACAUAUCCUCCUAUAAGAGGCCUUUGAAUUCUGAAAUAAUCAAUUCACUUUAUUCUCAUAUUGGCAAAGACAAGCUUACACUAUUGGAAAGACUACCCCUAACCUUUGCCCUCCCAAAUAGCAAAGAUGAGAGAGAACCUUUCACAAAAUCACAAGAAUUAUUCAAGUUUGGAAUUCAUAGGCAUUGUUAUUGAAUUUCAUUUGUAUAAAAUUGGUGUGUUGUGUUUAUUUUGUUGGUAUUAAAAUUGAAUUUUUUUUAAUUGCAAAUUGAUGAUUUUUUUUCUCUCUCACAUUUAUACCCAUUAGAGUUUCUUAUUAGGGUUUGUGUUUGAAAUUUGGAGAAAGUAUGGUGCAAUUGUUCAUCGGUGUGGUGUACCAUUUUGUUUGUUGUAUCUAAUAUUUGGGUAUUUGAUUUAAUUUUAUUGUUGUUGAAAUUGAAAGUUGAAAUCCAAGUUAAUUGUUUAACUAGCUAUUUGUAGUUGACUUGUUUUGCACCAAUCUUGAUUACCCAUUUCAUGGGAAUAAUCGAUUCCAAUUUUCCUUCAUGGUUACUAAAAAUAUAUUGUAGGUGAAGGACUAUUAUGGAGUAUAUUAAUUCACAAGAAAAAUGUUCCUUUAGUUAGUAAAAACUUCAUUCAUGUGGUCAUUUAUGAGCAUCAUAAUAAUCCAUAUUAAAAAUAUUUAAAAACAUUAAUGCACUAAAACAUUGAUUUCAUCAACAAAAAUACACUCAUUCUUUUGACUUAUAGCAUUCAAAGAUGUUUAAAAAUAUAUAUGUACAAUAAAACAUCAUCGAAUUUAUUAACAAUUAAACUUUUAACCCCAAAACAAUCCGUUACUUUAGUAGAUAAGACACUAUUGGAAUAACAUUAUUUUUAGCUCAAGUUAGAAGUUAAAAUGAUAAGGUUAAAAGAACAAAACCAACAAAAAAAAAAAGUUAUUUUUUGUCAAACUUGACACUAGUACAAUUUAAAUAAUGUAGCUCAAUGCCCUAUUGAAUUGAGUCAUAUAACUAGACUCCCUAAUUAUAUAUUAUGAUACACACACAACCUUUGGUCUAGUAUACAUGAUUAAAUUAAAUGCCAACCUAGUUUGCAAAGCUAAACUGGAAUCCCAAAUCUAGUUCAUUAUAAAUACUCUUCAACCAACUUGCUACAACAUUCAAAUAAGACAAUGACAAUGAUAGAAAACCAAAAAAAUACCUAAUAUAUCAUUGAAAACUCCUUCCUAAAGGAGGUAAAAAAAAUCAUGAAGUAACUUUCUUCUAUUAAUAAAAAUGGGAAUACAAUGAUCUAUAUAGUGUUUUAACUCGAAACUGAUGGUAUUACAAAUAUUAAAGAAGAAAUUUAAAACACACACACACACACACACAACAAGCAUGUUGUCAAGCUUAUAAGAGUUGGAGAAAUUUCUCCAUAUAAAUCUUCAAAACAUGAUGGAGAGUAACCUUGACAUUUAAGUCAAUAAUAUACAAGGAAAGACAACCCAAAAAGAUACAACUUUGAGAACAAACUCUCCUUUUUGCUUUUUUACAUAACCUUUUUUUUUUUUUUUUCCUUUUUGAAAACUUCUCUCCUUUCCUCUAAUUGUUACACCAUACAACAAUCCUAAAAAAACAGAGUUUAAAGGCUUGUUUGAUAACUGUUUUUAAAAAUAAUUUUGAAAAAUAGUUUUUGAAAAUUAUUCUCUAAUGUUUAAUUUGUAGAACAAAAGUUUGUUUGGAAACCCAAAAUAUUUUUAACAUGUUUUUAAUGUUGUUAAAUAUGUUUUAAAAAUAAUUUUUAUGUUUAGUAUUUUAUUUUUAAUCAUUUUAUAUGUUUAUAUAAUUAUUUUUUAAGGCAAACCUUAAAAAAUAAGUGAAAAUAACAUAAAACACUUAAAAGAUAUUAUCUGAAAACACCUUAUUUUAUUGUAACAGAAAAUAAAAAGCGGUUUUUGGUUGUCAAACAUGUUUUCUUAAUUUUUUAUUUUGAAGAAUAGAAAUUUGUUCUUGAAAAUAUCUAGUUAUCACAUUAGUUAUUGCCCAUUUUAUGAUUUUAAUUAUUGCUUAAAAACUAGUUUUUCAGCUAAAAAAGAAGGUCCACUACUUAUGGGUCAAACCUUCAACUUUCAAACCCGAACACAAAGUUAUAGUCAAGACUAAUAUUCACAUAUUAGUAUUAAUAUAGUUCAUUAAAUAUGAAUUUCUAUUGAAGCCAAAAUCGAGUUUUUAGGGGAAGUAACAUUCACUUUCAAUUAAGCAAUUUUUAACUCAUAAGUUAGUACUUGUAACAAAAUUUCUUAAUAGAGACUUUAAUUGAGUUUUAAGAAGAAUUUUUUGUUUGUUAAAAACCAAUUCAAACAAAAUCUAAAACUAAUAUUAUUAUCUAAAAGACAUAAUGAACAACAUAAACCAUAAACCAAAGUGGUAGUGACAACCAAUAUGUAGCGUCAAUGAAUAAUUGAAAAUAACCUCAUUUUCUAAUGACCUCGAACCUAGAAGCUCUAAAAUUCUUGCCUAAUUCCUUGUGAUGACUUUGGUUCAACCUUAAUGGCGAGGGCAAAAUUCUAAAUAAUUUUUGUCACAACUCAUAAAUUUAGAAGAAAAAAAUGAGAAUAAAUGGAAUCCCUAAUGAGAAAUUGUUAUUUUUCCCCUUUAUGACAAAAAUAGUAACCUACUAGUAUUAUUAAAUAACAUGGAAAUUAUUAUUUCAACUUUAAUACCAUGUAUGACAUAACUUUAACAACCUUAAUUUAUAAGAUUAUUUAAUUUAAAAGGAUAAAACAAUUACAUAUUCAUAAGAAUCGCUUCUAUUUUUUAAAAACAAUAAAUUCCAUUUUUUGGACAAAAAUACCCUCCAUUGUUUUUAUCAACAUUUCACAAUCAAACACUUAUUGGAAAAAAAAAAGUAUAAGGGUAGCUAUAUUAAAAUGAGGUUAUAAUUAUAAUACUCAAUAAGUGGAGAUUUUUUUUCCAAAUAUUGGGAUCAUCUUCUCCAUUUGACACAAAUAUUUAUAAUUUAUAUUAUAAUUACUCUUAUAGUAAGAGAGAAAGAGUAAUUUCACAUGAAAUGGACCCAUAAACAUAGAUUUAUUAUGAGGCAUGAUACUAUAAUAAUAAUAGGAAAUAAGACGAGACGUGAUACCAUAAUAAUAGAAAAUAAGAUAAGUAAUUCAAUACUUAAUGAAGGUCUGAAAUAAUUAUGUUUCUCAUUAAAUGAUAUUAAAGACGAAAAAAAACUUAUUAAUUUUUAUUUUAAGUAUUAAGAUUAUUUAAUAAAAUUAACUUAAAAUUUAUUUUAAAUUAUCAAAUUGAUAUAUUUAUUUUCAUAGAUUAUAACUAAGGUAAAUGAAAUCAAGUAAUAAUGGAUGUCAUGUAGUGAAAGAGAUCCUAGAGGCAACGGGACAAAUUGUGGUAAAAAAUGUCAAAUAAAAAUACGAACUUAAGAACAAAUUAAUUGUUUGUACUUAUUACUUAAAGUUGUUAUUUAUUUUAUAUUAUUAAAUUAUUUUACUAAAUAUGCUUAAUUUAUUUAAUGACUUAAAUUAAUUUAUUAGUCACUUUAGGCUAUUAAAUCGGGUUUACCAAUCAUAUCGAAUACAUUUGGCUAGUAGGCCAAGACUCAAGAAUAUUGCUAUCAUAUGUUUUAUGUAUUAAGGUGCCAAGAAUAAUUCACCACAAAAUAUAUGAUGAGUUGAUAAGUAUAGGAUACAAUCUAAAAUAUGCACUUGAUUUCAUCAUCUAAAUAAAUGCUCUCGGCAAAUGGAUCAUCCUAGCUGAUACCAGAGCACAAGCCGCCAUGGACAGGAGGCAACGGAGAAACCCUUCUGCUUCUUCUUCUGCCUUUUCAUCUCCAGCUUCAUCCUCAUCGCGUUUCCGCUCAGAGAAAUUCUCCUCGAAUCCCCCAAAAACUAGUAACUCCCUGGAGGAUGCUCACCAAUUGAAAAGCAAAUGUGGGAAGCCACAAAGACCAAAGCAAGAGGAGGAAGGAGAGCAAGAUCCGAACAAUCUUCUCUCCUUAGUUGGAACUUGCCCAUUCAUGUGCCCUGGUAAAAAUGCGUGCUUAUUUUUCCAUUUUUUUAAAAUUCUAUUUUCCUGUUAUUCUGUGUUUGGUUUCCGAGAAAUUGGAGGAAAACAGUAGAAAAGAGAAGUGAAUCUGGAGUUUCUGUGUCAUUUUUGUGGCUUUUACAUAAAUUUUACAAAUAAAAUUGAUAUUUCUCCCCCUUUAUUAGAUACCAAUCUGCAGAAGAUGUAGGAAUCCCAAAAAAAAAUUCGCUUUUGCCUUUACUUCCCCCAAAUCUUUCAUAAUGGAAAAUGGACUUACCACCUCUUUUAUCACUUUUCCUUUACCAUGUCAGGUUUACAUGUAAUCAAACACUGUAUUUGGAGUAGGGCACUUAUUCUAAUGUCAAAUGGUGUUGAAAACUUGAAUUACUGGAUCUUAAGACUCCAGAAGAAAUUUGAUUGUUUAUGAUUAUUGCUCCAUGAGAAGGGAAAGGGAUUUCUUUUGUUUUUGCUCACAUAUAUGGCCAAAUUGAUUUAUCUCCUUCUCAUACGAACAAAAUAAGGACAUUUCUUGUCUUGCUGCCUUUUAUGCCACCGGUUCCACAUGCUGAUGUGACAACCCUUUUGCUAUUCUGUACAAAUGGUAGGAAAAUUCUGGUAAGACUGGUGGCCAGCCUAUCAUGUUCAGGGAAUAAAUUCAUUGUAUAUCUGGAAUUCACUCUAUAUCAGCAUAGGGUGUUGAUACUGAUUAUAAAUGACAAAUUCAAUUUAUUAUCCUUACAUUAGGGAGUGCUAAAAGGAUGCAAAUUGUUCAUGUUAUACCCAAAGACAUACAAGUGAUGCUAGAGAUUUUCACAAUGUGGAUAAUCAUAGAGUAGAGAUGAACACUAUGGAGUCUUUUGGCAUGUGUUCAUUCCAUGUACGGGAACAUGCAUUGGAAGAUUAUGUUUCCUCCUCCCUUCCCCUCCCCAAAGUUAAUACUAUGUUGUCAUGGCAAGAACUUUGGUGACAUGCUUCUGAGUGGAAUAGCCUCCUAGAAGUCCAUUUAUGUGGCAGUUGGCAAGUUCUUCCGGUCAAUGAGAACUUUGUGACUGUCUGAUUGUUGUACUAAUCAUCAUCAGAUUUUUUUUUAAGUUCAAGUUGUAAAUAGCCUUUCACAGUUGAAGGUAGCGAUGAAGAGGCCUGUUGACAUAAUUAUUUCUUCUGCUUGAAUGGAUUAAAAUCAGAUACCACACCUUCAGCCUAGAAAACUAUGGACUUUCCUAUGUACCUGCAAUUGGCUGAAUACUGGUGUGGCACUGACUAAAGGCUCUCUGAUGCUGUUAUUAAUUUCCUGAGCAAAUUAGAGAAAACAGAGAGGUCAUAAUGUGAAUCAGUUACCUCUUGAGUAGGGAUGAAGGCUUUUUAUAACUUUUUACUUUCUGGUUAGGCCUUGGAAGCACUUCUGUGAACCAUGAUUUUGUACUGUAAAAUUAGAUGGGAUGGAUAGGUCACCUUAACUCUACUUUUGGAAGUGAUUGGGGAGCGCAUGACUGUAUGAAUAUUGAUGUGUUCUCCCCAUACAGAGCCCAACUUCUUUUUGAACUAGGAAGCAUGAAGGGUGGGUGGAUGUGGGCUGAGGAAGGAAGAUUUGACUUGUGUGCCGCAGGCCUGCGGUACCAAUUUGUUCCAGAACUUGAUAAGGCCCAUAAACUGGUAGGCAAGUUUCAUUAUUUGGUCACCACUGAAUUUUGGCAGUAUGGCCACAAGGAAGGUAGGAAGGAGAGGGAGAAGAGAAAACCCCAAUUGCCAAUUGCAAGCUUCCGGUUGGCACAGUGCUCAUUGCUGACAUUUUCAUUUGAUUUUGACCUUGCAACAGAUACAGCUUAACAUGAUGGACCAGUUUUUCACAAUCUUGUGAUUCAUUACCCAACUUCUAGUAACAGUUUCUCAGCAGAUGACUCACCUAUGACAGGCUGAUGAUGUCUGCACACAACUUGAAAGGUAUUCAUGCCAAGGUGUGAAAGGUAAUAUUGUGACACCAUUUUGCCUAUUCCAGAAAAUGUAACAAAUGUAUGGCUGGUUCUUGACCUAAAAAUGCUGGCAUUGGUCACCAAGUGCUAGGGUGAUUCUUGACAAAAAAUGUUCGUAUUGUUCAGAACAAUGAUUUACAACUUCAGAUUGGCCAUCCAGUUAACGAUGAUAAUCACUUGUUUUACAAAGUUCAGUGUCAUAAAAGCAAAAUAAUUUUGUCAACAAAUAUGCGGAUAACUUUAUCAUAAUUACUACUUAUGGAAGUUAAGGAUAAGUUGGGUAAUGUGAGAAAGUUUUGGUCAGAGGAUAUGAGGAUAAAUUUGUUGCAAUUGCUAAGCUUCACCUCCUAGGACUACUAGGAGAAACGUAUGAGCAAUAGAACAAAUUUACAGUCCAUCCCCAUUAGCUGCAUGGAGAGGUUGGGCUUAUUGCUGCUAUGGUGGAGGUCACCUUCUUGUAGACUUUGAAAUCUGCGAAUGAAGAGGCAGAUUUCUUAGAGGAAUUGGUAGGACUCCAAGCCCCCCAAAUGACAGGGGGGUGGGGAGGAUGGGGGUGGUGGGGGGCCAUUUCUAAUUUCAUGUCUUCUCAAUGUGGAUUUGAGGUUUAACGAGAUUUUUGGGAAAUCAUUAAGGUUAAAAGUAAUUGAAAGAGUGUGUCUGUGGAGAGCAAGAGGGGGAAAUGUUUGGUUCCCAACUGGGGUUGCUUCAUCUGACCGUUAAUCUCACAGCAAACACCGACGGAGCGUUGUUGUUGGAGGCUUCCAGGUUCUCUGAUCAAUUCUCUUGUUCUUUGUUUUCUUUGGGGAAGCGGGAAACCUCUCUUUCUUCUAUUCCUUCUGGGCGGGAUGGGGAAGGUGUUGCCAUUGCCAGGGUUUCCGAUCAGGGCAGUGGUUUAGAAGCCGUAGGGGGAGCUGUUAUGGGCCCGUUAAGGAUGAUAUUGGCGGAUGGGAGGGAGGCCGAGGUCUCAAAUUUGGCGGGUAGGGAGUUUGGGACUUUCGAGGAGGCGUCAGAGGGGGUUUCGAAAAGGGUCUCCCAAGAGGAUGAAGAAGAGAGGGACAAAGAGGGGGAACUGUGUUGGCAUUCUAGUAGCUUGGCUAAGUUCAGCCGCUAUCUUGGAAUGCCGAUGGAGGGCUUCGAAGGGGAAAUUUUGUUUUUGCUUAAAAGAAUGAAAGAGAAGAAACUUCAAAAAGGAAAGUUGAAUGGCAGAAAAAGGAAAAAAUUGGAGUCAUCAAAAUUCGAAAUAGAAUUGAGAAAGUUGGAAUGGACAGUGAAUUAUCUUGGAGGAGGAGGAGGAGAGGGGGGGGAAGUACGAGCAGGUCUAAAUGAAGCUCCGACUGCUCACUUGGAAUGUAAGAGUGACCAAUAAUUGUGAUAAGAGGAAGGUGAUCAAAGCGUUGAUAAAGAAGAAUAGGGUGGAUCUGGUUUGCCUAUAGGAAACCAAGAUUUAGGAAAUGUCAAUGGGCAUUAUCCGUAGCUAAGGAGUGGGAAGAUUCCUUGAAUGGGGAGCUGUAGAUUCAAGGGCACAGCUGGAGGUAUAGUGGUGUUUUGGGAUAACAGGGUGUUGGAUUUGGUUGACCUUCAAAAAGGAUUGUUCUCUAUUUCUUGCACUUUUAAGAGUUGCGAGGACGGUUUCAUAUGGACGUUUACAAGGGUUUAUGGCCCAACAUUGAGGAGGAAUAGGGAGAGUUUUUGGGAGGAGUUGGGGGCCAUUAAGGGGCUUUGGAAUGGGCCGUGGUGUGUUGUAGGGGAUUUUAAUGCCAUUCUAAGUCCGGAAGAGCGCAACAGAGGAGGGAGCUUGAAUUCAAACAUGAGAAGGUUCUCAGAAGUUAUAGAAGAUCCAGAGUUAAAGGAUCUGCCUAUGGUUGGGGGUCCUUUUACUUGGAUUGGAGGGGUGAAUAACCAGUCUUUUUCAAGGCUGGAUCGUUUUUUGGUUAAUGAGGGGUGGGACAGUCAUUUUGGUGAUGCGAGGCAGUUUGUUCUACCAAGACCUGUGUCCGAUCACUUUCCGGUUCUUCUGGACGGAGGGGGCCUGAGAAGAGGCCCUUCCCCAUUUAGAUUUGAGAAUAUGUGGCUGAAACUGGAAGGUGUUAAGGACCUUUUGAAGCAUUGGUGGGAGGAAGGUAGCUUCAGUGGAUCCCCAAGUUUUAUCUUGGCCGAAAAACUAAAAUUUAUGAAGGCUAAGCUGAAGAAGUGGAACAGAAACACAUUUGGUAGGGUUGAAUAUAGAAAGAAUUUGGCUUUGGAGCAGGUGGAGUUUUGGGAUACCAAGGAGAAAAUUAGCAGACUGUUGUUGGAAGAGCUGGAAGCUAGAAAAGAAGCGAGGGAAGAUUAUAAAAAAUGGGUCUUACUUGAAGAAAUCACGUGGAGGCAAAAAUCUAGGGAAGUGUGGCUGAAAGAAGGGGAUAGAAAUACCGGUUUUUUCCACAAGAUGGCCAAUGCUCACAGGAGGAGGAAUAAUGUGGACAGAAUUAAGAUUAAUGGAGCCUAGCUUACAUAGGAGAAUGGAAUUAGGGAAGGGAUUGCCAAUGCUUUUAGGUUGUUGUUGUCCAAUCCGGGGGAAUGGCGCCCUUCUAUUUUCGAGCUGCAGUUUGAGACUUUGGAGCCUUUGGACGCUAGUGCCUUGGAGAUUCAUUUUUCGGAAGAGGAGGUCUUCGAUGCACUAUUGGGCUGUAAUGGGGAUAAAGCCCCGGGGCCAGAUGGAUUCUCUAUGACCUUUUGGCAAUUUGCUUGGGAUUUCGUGAAGGCUGAUGUGAUGUGUUUCUUCAAGGAGUUCAAUGAAAAUGGCAAAUUUGUUAAAAGCCUAAAUGCAACUUUUAUGGUCCUAAUCCCAAAAAAAGCAGGGGUUGAAGCCUUAGGGGAUUUUAGGCCUAUAAGCUUGGUGGGAAGCUUGUACAAGUGGCUGGCCAAGGUCUUAGCUAAUAGGCUAAAAAAGGUGGUUGGAAAGGUGGUCUCCAAGGCUCAAGGGGCGUUUGUGGAAGGUAGACAAAUCCUAGAUGCAGUGUUGAUAGCUAAUGAAGCCAUUGAUUUGGUUCUCAAGAAUAAUGAGAAUGGCAUUCUGUGCAAACUGGAUAUAGAGAAGGCGUAUGAUAACAUGGACUGGACUUUUAUUCUCACAGUUAUGCAGAAAAUGGGUUUUGGGGAAAAAUGGAUCAGGUGGAUUAAGUGGUGUAUAUCCACUGCAGGUUUCUCCGUGUUGGUCAAUGAAACCCCUACGGGUUUCUUCCAAAGCUCCAAGGGUUUGAGACAGGGUGAUCCCCUUUCCCCUUAUCUCUUUGUGAUAGUUAUGGAGGUCUUUAGUGCUUUUCUUAAAAGGGCUGUAGAGGGAGGUUUCUUAUCGGGUUGUAGGGUGAAGGGUAGGAGUGAAGAAGGGGUCCUAAUUUCCCACUUGUUGUUUGCUGAUGAUACACUGGUGUUCUGUAAACCUUCACAAGAUCAAUUGACUUAUCUCAGUUGGUUACUUAUGUGGUUUGAGGCCGUUUCGGGAUUGAGAAUAAAUUUGAAAAAAAGUGAACUCAUUCUAGUAGGGAGGGUAGAGAAUAUGGAUGAUCUUGCUUGGGAAUUUGGUUGUAGACUGGGUAGCCUUCCAACCACCUAUUUGGGGAUGCCCUUGGGUGCUCUUUUUAAGUCAGUUACAGUUUGGGAUGGUGUGGAAGAGCGCUUCUGAAGAAGGUUAGCCAUGUGGAAGAGACAAUAUUUAUCCAAGGGAGGAGGGCGACUCUUAUUCGAAGCAUGUUAUCGAAUUUACCCAUCUAUCUCAUGUCAUUGUUGUGCUUACCAAGCUCAAUUAGACGGAGAUUAGAGAAAAUCCAAAGGGACUUCCUUUGGGGUGCAAUUUGGAGCGAAAGCCUCAUUUAGUAAGAUGGGAGUUGGUGUGUUUAAGUAAGAAGAAAGGAGGUUUGGGGGUCAAAUGCCUUUCCAUUCUCAACAAGGCUCUUCUUGCUAAAUGGAAUUGGCGUUUUGCAAAUGAGAGAGAAGCUUUGUGGAAUCAAGUGAUUAGGGGGAAGUAUGGAGAAGAUAGAGGGGGUUGGUGCUCUCGGGAAGUGAGAGAGGCUCAUGGUAUGGGGUUGUGGAAAGGAAUAAGGAUGGAUUGAGAGUUGGUGAGCGAUAGGAUGGUUUUCAUUGUUAGUAAUGGGAGGAGGGUGAGAUUUUGAAGGGAUAGAUGGUGCGGGGAUUCUCCUUUGUGUAUGUCUUUUUCUUCUCUUUUUGAUUUGACUGUUGAAAAGAAAGCGUGGGUGGCAGAUUUUGGGACCCUUUGGCUAAGGGGGGUUUGGGGGGGGGGGGGGGGGUGGGAACCCCGUUUUUUAAAACUUUUCAAGAUUUGGGGGGAGAGGGAGGGGAAAAAUUUUUUGCGAAGGUUUCUGGUUAAAAAAUUUUUUGGGNNNNNNNNNNNNNNNNNNNNNNNNNNNNNNNNNNNNNNNNNNNNNNNNNNNNNNNNNNNNNNNNNNNNNNNNNNNNNNNNNNNNNNNNNNNNNNNNNNNNAAAAAAAGGGUGGGGGGGCAAUUUUUGGGCCCUUUUGGUUAAGGGGGUUUGGGGGGGGGGGGGGGGGUUGGAACCCCUGUUUUUAAGAGCUUUCAAUGAUUGGGAGGUAGAGGAGGCGGAAAGAUUUUUGCAGAGGCUUCAUGGUAAGAGAGUUAUUGAGGAUGUGGAGGAUAUGGUGUCUUGGACUGAAACUAAGAGUGGUAAAUUCUCGGUCAAGUCUCUUUAUGUUGCCCUUGAAGCGGGUUGUUCAUCUCUGUUUCCUUUAAGCUAUAUUUGGAAUGUGAAUGUGCAGCCCAAGAUUAGUUUCUUUACAUGGGAGGCUACGUGGGGCAAAGCCUUAACCUUGGAUAUGGUCCAGAAAAGAGGACGGGCAUUGGCAAAUAGAUGCUUUAUGUGUCUUGAGAAAGAGGAGACCAUAAACCAUCUGCUCCUUCAUUGUUCAAGAACAAGGGUGUUAUGGGAUCUACUUUUUACUUUAUUUGGGGUGUCUUGGGUAUUGCCUUCUUCAGUUAGAGAGACCCUUCUAAGCUGGAAUGGUUUUUUCGUGGGCAAAAAAUGCAAAAAGGCGUGGAGAGUUGCUCCUCUUUACAUUUUCUGGACGGUUUGGAAGGCGAGGAAUAGAUUGGCUUUCAAGGAUGAUAUGUUGUCAAUUUAGCAACUGAAACACUCUUUUAUCCUUUCUUUUUGGUCCGAGAUUAAGUUGUUUAUAGAUGAUUGCCCUCUAACUAUAGCUAAUUUUAUUGAUUGGUUGGGCUCUAAGUAGGAUUGGGUUGUUGGGCUAUCUUUGUUUUUUAGCCUUGUUGGAGGCGGGUGUAUAGGUAUUGUAUACCUUGAGUCACUUUUUUAGCGUUUCUUUUAUAUAUGAAAUCUUAUUUACUUAUCAAAAAAAAAAAAAAUGUAAUCGAAGACUUUCACAUUAAUGAGGUAAUGAAUAACCACUGAUACUUCUUCACCCCAAAGUUCCUUCACAAAAAUUUGGUAAGUGAAGAACCAUUUCUGAGUUGUGAAGCACCAAUUCCACCUUCAUUAUCUUGAUCUUUAGAAAGAGGGAUCCAACUUGAUUUGGGAUUUUAUACCUGUCAACCCAGUCACUAAUUUUUAGGAGAAUACUUCCAAUUUACCCUUGGGUUGCUUUAGAAAGUUUCUUAAUAGUGCCAUCUCUCUAGCUUAAGGGGCUUUUGUUAAUGGAAGGCAAAUACUAGAUGUGGUUAUCAUUAGUAAUGAAAUCCUAGACAAAUACUAGAUGUGGUUGUCAUUAGUAAUGAAAUCCUAGAUGAAAAAUUCUGUUCUAAGGACGAAGGGAUGGUUUUUAAAAUAGGUUUUGAGGAAGUUUAUGAUCACAUAGAUUGGGGUUUCAUGUAUGAUACAUACUUUGAAUAGGGAAGGCCUUGAACCUGGAUGGCACAAAGGGACUGGAUAUUUUGAGGUUGUUUUUCAAACUGCAGGCUCUUUAAUGGUGUUAUUGAAGCUGAGUGUUUAGCACUCGAGGAAGAUUCGGAUAUGGUUGUUUGCCUGGAUGUAAUGAACCUCCAUAUUGAAGGGGAUUCCUUUGUUAUUGUCUCAAAACCUUCUUUGAAGGCAAAGGUCCUUAGUGGAUUGCUCAUCAGAUGGGGUGGCUUCAUAAUCAUGCUAGAGACAUUGCUUGUUCUUCUCUAUUGAGGCCCAGAUCAGCUAGCCAGGUGCAUGGCUAUAUUUUUCUUAUAGGGAUGCUAAUAUCUGAAAAUUUUUAUUGAGAACACUUACUGCUCUUUGAUUGGUUUGAGGCAUGGAGUGGCUUUUCUGUUCUCUUCUUGCCAUACAUGCAUAUCAUCCCUCUUUUUUAUCUUGUUUAACUCAAUAAAUUCUCAUUUGUUAUAAGGAAAAAAAGAGAUAUUAUGUUACAUGAUGGAAGGACUUUAUUCUGUUAUGGAAUAGGCAAAACCUAGAUCUAUUGGCUAGAGCUAUACAGUAGGUUGUUGGGCUGUUCAGCAUUGUCUUUUUUUUGGAUAGGUUUGGCCAAUGCCCCUUGAUGUUACUUUUUGGUAAUGUAAUUUUCUUUGAUUUUUCUUGAAAAUUCCUCAUUUUUCAAGCUUGCUUGUAUAUCUUUCCUUCUUCCAUUAAUGAUUGUUUGAUUCCUUACUAAAAUAAAUAACAAAUUAUGAUGCAAAAGGAUUACGUUUAUGGAAAAUUUUGAGAUUUUCACCAUAUUAGAGUCUCUGAAGUUGGUACUUGUCUUGACACAGAUAAUAGGAAUCAUUUUCCCCCCAAACUACAUAAGACAUGUCUGCUACUUGGUAAUGUUCCAUUGGCAGUUAUAAACUCUCCUGUCAAAAGUGAAUCUGUUGUAGCAUUCCAAAUGGUGUAGUGUCGUACAUAGAUUGGUAAUUGAGGACUUUAUUAUGGAUUUUGUCCUGUUGUGGUUGUGCCAACAAGUUCUAUCCUGUUCUUUGUCUUGCUGAUUUGGGUGGUUGUGCAUCAUGUUCCUACAGCUGUAUAAUUAUGCUUCAGGAGCAUAGUUAUUCUGGUUUUACCAUCCAGAUGAUGGUAUUAAAGUAUUUGUAUUCUAGAUUGCGCAACUCCUUAUAUGGGAUAUUUUUGCACCAAAUGCUUAGUGAUCAAGAGAACUCUCAUAUUAAACACAGUCAUCUUCUAUUAAACUAAAUUCCUUAAGUAUGCAGUCUCACAACUACAUCAUACCAUUCUUUUCCUUUUUUAUUCCUUUCUUGCUAUUACAGGUUGGUUGCCACUAAUAUAGUAGAAAGCAAAUUACACGACCCUGCUUCCAUAAGACCUUUCUUAUUCCAUAGGUUGAAAUAGAAAAAACACUCGAUGGGACUAAUGUUUCUCUUUGCAACCAAGCAAAUUAAAAUGUUUUGAAACCCAUGCUGCCAUGAUCUUAGCUAAUUUGCAUUUUAUAUCUCUACCCCUUUCUAUUUACCAUAAUGAUGCAUGCAUCUAGUCAAAUUGUGUAUUUCUUAUGCUUAUAUUUAUUUCCUGAUGAGUUUAUUCUGACUCUUUGAUCAGGAUUUCUGCAAUCACAUUGCUUGCUAUUGAAUUUUCAAUGGCUUAAUAUGAAUUAUUAAUAAAGAUGUUGUUUAAUUAUUUCAGCAGCUUAUACUUGGUAAUUUCUUUUAACAACUCUUAUCUCUGAUGUUCAUUUGUAAUAUAUAGCUGGAGAAAGGGCCCAACGUGAACGCCUUCGGGACUUGGCUGUGUUUGAGAGGUUACAUGGAAAUCCUGGGAAAACAUCUCCAAGCCUUGCUGUCAAAAAGGUAAACCCUACAUCUCAUUCCUCUAUACCGCAUCUUAGCUUCUCAUCUUGCAUCGGACAAUGAUACUCUUAUUGAAUCAUCUUUACCAUAUCAGCCAUCAACAUGUGCACUUAUUGAGCGCUAAUUCAGGCACUGAUACUUGUGCUUUUGUUUUGUUUUGUUUUAUCUUGUCUUGUUUUGUUUUGGAGGUGAUUGUGUUGGAUGACCUAUAUCUGUGUUAGACACCAAAGCCUAUCUUAAUGCUACUGUAAAGUAAGACUAUGCUAAUAAGCUAUUGAUCUGUUACAGGGUUUAUGCCAAACUGAUUUUUUAGUUUCUCUAGUAGAAAACUUGUUUUUUCCCCUGUUAUAUCGGUGCUAUUGUUGGAUUUGUGUUUGUUGUUGAUCAAGCAUUUGCUGAAACCUUUUUUUUUUUCCUUUGCUUCUUGAUGUGCAAAGCAUUAUUGUUUGAAUUUUAAUGAUCCCAUUUGAUUCACUAUUCAAUAUUUUUAUUUGAUAUUACAUCUAUCUCAUUUGUUUUCUUUUCUUAGUUUGUUUGUUUGUUUUUUUUUUUUUUUUUUUUUUGAAUUUGUGACAUUUGAAUUUGAUGGAGCCACCAUUAAUUUAUUUUUCCUUAUUAUUGUGGGGUGUGCUUUAUUUUGUUCAAUUGUUGUUGCACUAUUAUUGUCAUGUAACUUUUCUUUUUUGUUUUGUUUCUAUUGUUCCUAUGAGCAUUAAAUGCUUCUAAAAUGUAUGGAACAGGCUAAACCUUUCUAUAGUUUUUUUAAAAAAAAAACUCAUUUAUUAUCUAUUUUCUUGUGCUCAAAAAAUUAUAUUUUUUUAGUAAAAUUGAAAAUUUAGGGAGCGCUUAGGCCUCAGCGGCUCAACCCCUUGAGGGUUUAGGCCUGUCAUAGCAAGAUGUAAACCCCCUUGCCUCUUAUGCUUUUACCUUAUGAAACUAUACCAAGAAACAAACACCACAACUCCCUGCUGCCAUCAAAGGAUACUUCAAAGUUUGCUUCAAAUCAAUCUUAAGGCCAAUUAUCAUAGGCUUGUCAUCAUGUCACUAAAAUUGGUAUUGUAACCAAAGUCCUAUUGCGAAAUCUUCAAGUUGCAGCUCCUCCUUUUCUGUUGGCUCUUGUAUUGUUAGGUGGCCGCAACCUGUUGCUUUUCUUAUGCUUUAUGAACUACUCCAGUUAAAAUAAUGCUUCAAGUAGAUGCUUUCUGGAUCUUGAUUCUAGCAAGAGGCUUAUAUUGCAAAUUUUUUUGUGGAGUCCUAGAUAGGUUAACUAGGAAGACAAUAGCUUGCUUAAGAGGAUUGCCACCUCUCCUUUUGGGUUUGUAAAAAUUUUGGUUCUCCCUUGACCUUGGGAGUCCUAUGGUUUCAAUUUUGGAUGUGCUCUAGGUUGUAGCCUGUGUUAUGCUUUCUAAAUGGUAAUCUUCUUCUUGUUUUAGCUGGGAUGCUUUUGUUUAUUUUGCUCGUUUGUUUUCUUUGUUUCUUUAUUGUGGCUGUAGGAUCACCAAUCAACUUUUUAUUCUCUGCAAAAACUGUUUAUGUUUCAUAACGAAAAAGGAAAAAACAAAGGCAAGUUAGCCUAGAAUAGGUUUUAUCUUGUUUCUUCUUUUACCAUUAGUGUGGAUUCAAACUCAGGAAGAGGCCUUCAAACAAGUGGCAUUUGUGUUUUUUAAACAUAUAUCUUUAUUCAAUCAUUGUUAAGUGUUUGUUGUCUUGUCUGUUCUUUUGGUUGUUUUUGUCUUUGUCAAAGUGUAUAAUUAUAAUAUCCCACAUUGUAUAGAGGAAAAAGUUUCUAACGCUAUAUAUGUAUGAACUUUUUUUAAUCUUGUUGAUUCGUUUUUAAGCCGCGAGGGUCGUUUAGGCUCAAAGCAAAUAAUAUCCACACAACUGGGAGUAGGUUGUUACAAAUGGUAUCAAAGUCAAUCCUCGACCUUGGUAGGAGAGUUUGCUUGGCCUAAAAUGGGUGUCCGUUUAUUUGACCUUACAAUCCUAUGGGACACAAUAAGGACGUUGUGUCUGCAUGAGAGGGUGAUUGUAAUAUCCUACAUUACAUAGGGGAAAAAGUUCCUAACGUUAUAUAUCAUAGUUUUAAAAGGCUCAAGGCGCACCAAGGCGCAAAGUAGUCCUGGAGCCUGAGGCGCAAGGCGCAUCUAAGGCGCGGGCUUUAGUGAAGUGAGGCGCACCCUAAUUUACAUAUAUAUUUUUAUAUAAUAUAAUCAAAUUUAACAAUCAUUUAUUUGUCCUAAACACAUAAAUCAUCAAAUAUCAUCCAAAACUUCAAUUUAAUAAACAAAAAACAUAAAAAUAAAGAACUCCAAGCAUAAAAACAAAUCCAAAUCCAUAUUGCUAAUUGCCUAAUACAUAUCCAAAUCCAAAGUUUCCAAACCUAAAGGUCCAAAACAUGAAAUUUGUCCACAAUUCAAAAACAUCAUUAAAAAACACUUAAAUCACAAAUUUGUCCACAACAAGCAAUCAUCACUCCUCCUCUAAAUCAACAAAAUCAUCAUCAUCAUCAUUUCCAUCACCACAUUUGUAGCCUUCCCCAUCUUCUUCAUCUGCUGAAUUAACCAUGUCUCCAUCUUCAUCUUCAUCUAUUAGUGAAUAAGAAGGCAAAGUUCUAGAACUUGAAGCUAUCCCCCUUGUUGGUGGUAUUAUGCUUGAGCUUGCUCUAGCUCUAGCUCUAGUAUCAAACCUGGCCUCCUCAUCUCCAGCAGCUCUAGCAACAUCACCCCAUGUCAAAUUGUCAUCAUCAAAUACAAAAUCAUCUUGUGCACCUCCAUGAGAAUCCUCAUCUUCCAUUCUCCCUAUCAACCAUUCAUUGCUAUCAUCUAUAUCUUUCAAGGAAAUUGGGUCAAUGGUGUUACGUUCAUUGUAUCUUCUCUUCAAGGCUCGAUUAUACUUGAUGUACACCAAAUCAUUCAAGCGUUGAUGAUCUAACCUAUUUCUCCUCUUGCUAUGAAUCUGCAAAAAUUCAUAAGCUCAUAAAUAUAUUUUAAAAUUUUAACUUUUAAGUUACAUUCAAGACUCUAUUAGACUAUUACUUGUAAUUAUUUUGGAUUUGGUCACUCACAUUCUCAAAGAUGCUCCAAUUCCGUUCACAACCCGAUGCACUGCAUGUUAAGUUGAGGACUUUCAUUGCAAACUUUUGCAAAUUUGGAGCUGAAGCUCCAUAUGCAGCCCACCAUUCAGCUGUAGUAUAGAUAUUAACAAUUUAGUGAAACAAUUCACCUAUUUUAGCAAAAAUACAAUCUAAUCAUUUAAAUAAACAAAACUAAAUAACUAACCUGGUGCUCUAGUCUUUCUUGUCCUAACAGCUAACUCAUUCCCGAAUAGUCCUUGGGCAUUUGUGAACAAACUCACUUCGGCCACAACUUUUUCUUGCUUAGCAGGGUCUCUUGUUAGCCUUAAGAUGCAUUUAUACAAAUCACUCAUAAUCUCGGCAUCAUGCUCUAUUUCUGGCUUAUCAUAGAAGAAUUCCGGGUUCAAAAAGUACCCUGCUGCAUGCAAAGGCCGAUGAAGCUGAAUCUCCCACCUCUUAUCAAUGAUGUUGAAGAUUUCUUUGUACUUCUCUUCAUUUCCAUUAAAACUUCUCACAAUUGCAUCCUUAGCUCUAUUCAUGGCCUCAUAGAUGUAUCCCAUAGGAGCUUUUUUUUCACCAUCAACCAAACGAAGCACACGAACUAGGGGACCCGAAACCUUUAAGCAAAACACAAUAGUGUUCCAAAAUGAAGGCAUUAGAACUAUGUUGGCUAUAGUUUUCCCCUUCUACUCUUUUGCCCAUUUACUAUCUAACCAAUCUGAGCUUGUAAACAUCUUCCUCAAAUUGUUUUUUUGUUCAUGCAAUCGCGAUAAUGUGAUGAAAGCAGUUGCAAACCGAGUCUUAGCAGGCCUAAGCAAUUCCCUUUGUCCAGUAAACCGCCUCAUCAUGUUGAGUAGCCCUGAGCGAUUAUAAAUAUACCGAUUUAGUGAUAUAGCCCUCUCCAAUGUCCUCUUGAUGUUUGGUAGCUUUCCAAUAUCUUCCAACAUCAAGUCAAGGCAAUGUGCAGCACAUGGUGUCCACUACAAAUGUGGACGCUUUAAUUCUAACAACCUCCCUAUAUGAAAUUGUAGAUAAUAAAUUUACAUAAGUUCUCAAGAUAAAUAAUUCAAAUUUUAAAAGUAAAUAAAAAUUCAAGAAAUAGUAUUUAUUACUUGCUAUCACAUAACUUGAGUGAUUAUCUGUUAUAACUUGAAUAACAUUCUCUUCACCAACUUGCUCUACCCAUUUGUCAAGUAAUUCAAACAUCUUUUCUCCCGUCUUAAUCAUUGAAGAAGCAUCAAUGGAUUGCAUGAACAUGGUUCCCUUUGAACAAUUAACCAAAAAGUUCACCAAAGUUCUCUCUUUCCUAUCGGUCCAUCCAUCCGACAUAAUUGAACAUCCAUUUUUCCCCCAUUCCACCAUAUGAUCUUUCAUCAAAUCUUUUGUGAGAGCCAAUUCUUUCUUAAGGUUAGUAACUCUUACCUCAUGAAAAGUUGGUCCCUUCAUACCCACACCAUAUUGGCCAAUAGUCUCAAUCAUUGGUUGGAAACUCGGAUAUGUGACUGCAUUAAAUGGAAUAGCAGCCUCAUACAUCCAUCUUGUGAUAAGCGUGCAAGCUCUUUCUCUUGCUUCCUUUUUGUAGGCAUCAUUGAUGGUAGUUUGAUUCAUCUUUCCACUCCUUUGAUUUUGAACAACCAUCUCUGCAUUAGGAGUGAAAAAAUGAUCCAUAGGACCUUUUUGUCUUGGUUUUUUUGAAGAAAACGUCCUACCACUACUUCCUCCUCGGUUACUACCUCCACUAGAAAUGUUGGUGACAUUCGUUCUACUAUUAAUCUCCUCACCAAUAUCUUCAUCUUCCAAACCAAACAAAUCUUCAUUAACAUAUUCGCUCCCCAUAUUCAUUUGCUCUUUUUGAUUUUUCUUGGAACUCAUAUACUCUUCCAUUUCUUCUCUAACAUGUUCCGGACAUUUUCUAAACUUUUUAGCAUUUCUAUAUCCACCAACAAGAUGUUGUUUGUGUCUAUAGAUGCCUCCUUUGGUUACUUUCUCACAAAAAAUGCAUAUGAUGGUGUUCAAAUCUUUUUCAUUAACCAAACGACCAUAUUUCCACCCCGGAUCUCUUCUUCCACUUGCACUAGAGUCCACUUGAGUUUCACUCUCAUUAUCCAUCUUGCAAACAAAUUAUCUAUACUCCACAAUAAAAUAAUUAUAAUUAAAUUAAGAAAAAAAAUUGAAAAAAAAAUGCAUAUCACAUUAUCAAAUAUCACAUUAACAACAAAUAUGCAUGAGUGCUUUUUAUUUAUUUAUUUUUAUUUUGUAAAAUUUUCAUGUCAAAAACUCAAAAUAUAAUAUUUAUUUUUAAAAAAAAAAAAUUACCAAUGAGAGUUAUGAGGUAAGAAUGGAAAAAAAUGCAGAAAAGUGAAGAAAAAAGAAAAAUACCGAGGUUCGGAAGGUACGUGACUAUUUCCCCUAUUUUUCUUCUUCUUUUUCUUCUUCUUCUUCACUUCUCCAGCACAGAAGAGGCUAAGGCAAAAAAUGGCAGUGGUCUCGGGUUGAGAAAGACCAGAAAAGGGGGCUGGAUGGAAGGAACAAGUCAAAACGGCGUCGUUUUGGUCCCUGUUCACUUAAAUGAACAGGCUCCAAAACGACGUCGUUUUGGGCCCAAAAAAAAAAAAAAAAAAAAAGCUAGGGCUGCGGGGCGUCUCUGCAACCCGACUGGAGGAGGAAGAAGAAGAAGAAGAAGAACAAGGAGAAGGAGAAGGAGGAGUGCGUACCUGGUCGGACCGUCGGAGGCGACUCGGGCGAUCGCCUCGCGCCUUGCUGGAGGCGAGCGCCUUGCGCGCCUAAGCGGCGCCUUCGUGAAGGGGCGUCGCCUCUCUUCAGGCGAGGCGCCGAGGGUGGCGUCGGGCCGCCCCGAGCCUAGGCGCGCCUUUCAGAACUAUGUUAUAUAUAUAUAUAUAUAUAUAUAUAUAUAUAUAUAUAUAUAUAUAUAUAUAUAUAUAUACUCCUCUUAACCUUGUACACGUAUUUUAAAGUCAUGAAGACCACUUGAGCAUAGGAUGGAUAAUAUCUAUACGGUUGGAUGCAGGUUGUUACAAUAAUUACUUUUGAUUUUCCUUUCAUAUGUUUAAUUGCAUAACAUUAUUAUAGCAAAAUAUUAAUCUAUCAUAAUGCAACGUCUUGUAAAGCUUAUGUUGGGUGUCAUGAUUUGAUCUCUUGUCAUUUUUAUUAUUCUGAUUCAACAUCAUCUUAGCUUAUAAUCAUUUAUACACUUGAUGCAUGAGAAAUGAAGAUGCUAUAAAUUGUAGGAUCUUUUUCUCCAAUUUGUUCCUUGAUAUUUUAUAAUGCCAUGAAAUGUCUAUAUUUUGAUGCAGAAAGCCGUUCACACUCCAUCUCUCUCACUAGUUUUGCAGAACCAUUGCCACUAAGCACAUGCAGGCGUCAGAUGUGCGGCCACUUCCAGUGUUGGAAGAGACUUUGAACUACCUAUUAAACCUGUUGGAUGCCACAGAACAUCCUUUUGAAGUGGUUCAUGAUUUCGUCUUUGAUAGGACAAGAUCAAUAAGACAAGAUCUUAGCAUGCAGAAUAUCAUUAAUGAUCAAACAAUUCAUAUGUUUGAAGAAAUGGUAUGAAUUUCUUGAAACAUAAUCUCAAUUACCUUUUUUUCUGAGCAUUCAUCUCCUCAACAUACAAUAAGUUAGCCAACCCAUUGCUAAACACUCUCCUAGUUGGAGAAAAUAAUCAAAGUAUACAAGAGAUAAAAUGUUGAAUAAUUGAGUCAUUAUCCUCUCUUUUUGCUUUAUUGAAUAAGAUAAUUUAUUCGAUGGAGUCCAAAUGAGGUGAAACUGUGAUCACACAACUUGAAGCCUACUUUACAAUGGAUAAAUGAAUGGUCUGAUUUUGAAUCUUUCUUGGCACAUUAGUUAUUAUCCAAUCCAUUCUAAUUAAAUUAUCCACUAUUAAGUGUCUAUUUCCAGUCACCCUCUAAGUUAUGAAAGACCCAUAGAACCAAAGCAACUCACACCACCUGUGAUAGGAAUUGGUGCUCUCUUCCAUAAUGUCAAGUUUUCCAGUACACUUGCUGACUUUGUAGAAUAUGCCUACAAAAAGGGCUGCCACCUCCUAAUUCCCAAUCAUAGAAGUUUCUUAACCAUAUUUCAAAAGUUGUAUUUCCUGUUCCCUCUCUUAAAGUUUUUUAAACCUAUAUAUCUUUAUCCUAGUAAUUCGGAAAAAUGAGGAAAUUAUUUAACAAGAACUCCAUCAAUUUGUUCCUCAAAAUUUUAUAUAGUUUCUCUCUCUCACUUUUGAUUCAAAUUCUUGAAGCAAAGGAACAAAUUCAUGGCCAGUAACAUUUUUAGCCAAGCAAUAGAAUGCACGACAAGCAUGUAUAUGAAUGAAUUGUGUUUUUUAAUGAUAAUAGAUCAGAUAUUUUAAUCUCAUCCUAAAACCUUUGAGUUAACUAAAAGCCGCAUCUUAUGUUCUGACUUGUGGUUUGUUUCAUAAUAUAGGUGAAAUUUCAUAUUAUAUCCCACCACAAGCUUCACAGUUGUAGCAGCAAGCCAAGUUUUUCUUCAGUUCAUUACCUCAAUAUGGAGCAGCUGAAAAAGUGUCUAAUAUCUCUAUAUGCUCUAUACAAAGAAAAUCGAAAUUCAAAUUCUAUUUACAAGAAUGAACCUGAGUUCUACUCAUUUCACGUUCUUCUUCAUCUUGGCUCUAACAACCAACCAUUGGUGGAUACUUGCUUCCGUUGUUUGUUUGAGUUCAUCUUUUUCAGUAUCUCUUGCUGCCUUGUACUGGUUUCUGAAUAUGUUACUAUUUCUGUUUUGAAGGGAGAGUCACUCUCUUUGUGGUUGGGUCGUGUACCUUCUCUCAUUUUAAAGUCAAAGGAAAUGUGUUUUGCUCGGAGACUUUUAAGGUGACCGUAAAGCUAUUAUAGAUUCGACUUGCAUUUAAAUUGUUUAUAUUCAUUUUACAUUUAACUCAAUGUAGAGUGGUUCUGUUUUCCAAUCGAUUUUUUUCUCUUCUUUUAGUACCCAAUGUUAAAAAUUUUGUUUUCAUGAACUGAAAGAUCUGUCUUUUCUUGUAACAGAUUAUUUCGGAUGGGCAAUUAUAAGCGUUUCCUUUGUACUACAGCAACUGAGGCAUCUUAUUUACAGUACUACAUAAUUGAACCUUACAUCAAUGAGGUUGCUUAAAUAUGUUGAUUUUGCUAGAUUUUUCAGUUUGAAAAAUAUAUGCUUCUUUGUUCAUUUAUUGUUUUCCAAUUUCAUUUAUGAGAAUAUAUCUAAAAUCUAGACUCGAGUACUUGUGCUUUUGGGUUUUAUUUUUCUUUCAUUUUUGUUAGUAGUUGUACUUCAUUAUUCUUAAAUUUCUCACAGUUGUUUCUUUAUGUGGUUUAUUGCUCCUCACUUUCUUCAUUCAUCUGAAGUGUUCAAAUUCAAUUUGCUUGUUUCAUAAACCAGGUCUUAUUUAGAAGUUCUUCUCAAUUGCCUUUUUUAGUGCUUUUAAAGGACAUGCCUGAUUUAUAUAUAUUUUUGUUGGUUUUCUUUUGACCGUAAAAGGUUCGAGCAUUGGCAUUGUCAUGUGUAAAUUAUUGUGGCUACAAACUUCAUCCGUAUCCAAUUGCACACUUGUCCAAACUCUUGAUGAUGAAGGUAUGAUUGCAUUUACUAGCAUUAAAUUGCUAAAAUUUGUCAUCCAAAGUUCCAAUAUCUUUUGAACCUUGAAGGCUUCAUUUGCAUUUUUGUAGGAAUUAGAUGUGGAAUCAUUUUGCAAUGCUUGUGGUCUUGAGACCAGCACUGAUGAACGGGGAAAUAAGUUCUUAUCAACCAAGCAAACAAACUUCCAUUAUCCCAAGGAAGUCUUUCCAAGCUAUUGCCUUCUGGGUUUGGAACACUUUUAGAGGUAACAAUCAAUUGGAACUAGUUACUCUUUCAAACUUCUUAUUGUACAAAUAUAACCUGCAUGUGCAACCAUUUCUGAUCCCAUAAUUUCAAGAAUUUAUGACACCUUCUAGUGGUUAGUUUUUCUGGGAAUAGAGUAAAGCAAUCUAUUCACUCCCAGAAACUAUCGUCAAAGGAACAGUAGAUAACCCCGCAAGACCAAAUUUAUGUGUGUGCAUGGAGAUGCAUGUUUUCUGCAUCCCAAUCAUGCAGUGUUGUGCCAAAUGGAAUAAUAGCAGCUGAUGAUAAGUGGUAUUUCUAAAAUCUUCUAAGAGUAUUCCAUCUAUUGUAAUAUUGUUUUCUCAAAAUUGUCUUUGAGUCUUAUAUGUAAAUAUUAGACUUGACCUCUUGUAAGCUAUCAACUGAUGUUGUAACUUAACUUGAAAGGGAAAUUCUAUAAAUUUAGCCUUGGUUUGGCUGUUGGAAAGCAAAGAAAAAUUAGGUUAAUAGUGAGUUGAUUUCUUCCCUUCCCAUGGAUGUAAGCACAUUCUUGAAUCAUGUUAAUUACUUUUUGGUUUAUUUUGUUGUUUUGUUGUUUUGUUGUUUAUUGUUCAAUUGUCUCCGCAUAACAAGUGGUAUCAGAGUUGUUUCCAACACAACAGAUGAUUCCUGUGCUAACACAAAGUUUGAGGCUAAACGUAAGAUGGUAAAAGUUUCUAGAAUAUUUCCCUAUGACAACUGCCAAUAAAGGAUGUACUUAACAGAAAGUUCAUAAGGUGUUACAUGGCAAGUUGAACAAAACCAAUAGCUAGAGAUAUCUGAAAUAUUUGGGGCCACUGAUCCAACAAUAGCAGAGAAUAACACAAGAAGAGACCCUCUAAUCACCAUUUUUUCUUUGAUUCUUCUCUACAAAGCAUCAUCUUCUUUAUACAAAAAGACAACCCAUUGCUGAGCCCACAUUAUUCUCUACAUAUCCCAAAAAAGCCCUCUAAAUUUUAGGGCAUGGUGCUCUUUUUAGGGGUAUUUUGGUACUAAAUUUGUGGUAGUCUCUCAAAUACCUAAACUACCCUCCAGAUUUUAAGGCAUGGCCCACUCUUUGAGGUGGUAUUUUGGGUACUAAUUUUUGUUAGGAGAGGUUUUGGUGUGGAAACUGGAGGGCUUUACACACGUUGCAUGUAUUUUCUUUUGCAUGCAUUACACAUAGAUUGGAGUUUAUGCAGUUACUCACUUUUUGUUCGUCCAACAAUACUAUAGUGCCACGUCACCAUAUGAUGGGCUCUUUAGUCUUUUCAAACCCAAAAAAAAACACUAAAAAAAAAAAAAACUAAUACUAAAAGGAUUGCUAACUAGCUAUGUGAAGAUGAACCUCUAUAGCUAGCUUCUUAGAGGGACCAUAAUCGCUUAGGCCAGGGAAGUUUGAGGUGAUAAUAUGUCUGUGAUGCCCUUAGAUGUUUUAGGCACAUGUGCGUUACAUUAAUGUAUUCAAUGAGUCUAUAACCUUGAUUGACAGGUCCGAGUAAUCUUUGAAAUUUCAUUGUGGUGGGAAGGUUCCAUGUGAACAACACUUGCACAUGGGUUAGUUAAUCUUAAGAGACGGGGGAAGCUCAUCUAACAGCACACAAUGUGCGAGCUUUGAAAGGCAAUCGGGUUAACAUUUCUGAAUUGGGACAUGACAGCGGACAACAACAUUAGGUAGUCCAAAGAUGUCGUCAUAUUAAUUGUUAUCAAUAUUUUUAUUUAUUCAAUAGAGAUUGAGGAUUAAAAAAAUACCACAAAAAUUAGAAAAAACAAAAUUAAUUACAUGGCUUACAUUUCAAAUAUUUAAUAAAAUAUUGUAUGAAAGUUGAAUAUCAUACACUAUUAAAUGGUUGGAUUCUCUUCUUUAAUUUUUUUAAUUGUCUCAUCCUAUUAAAUUACUCAUCUAAUAUUAAUUUAUUUUAAAGGUGAAAUUAAUUAUAUUGUAAAAAACUUUUAACUGACCAGAGUUUGUGCACAACAUCUAAUAUAUACUUAAAUAUAAUCCUCCAACUAAGAAAUGAAAUCAAAACUUAAAAAUCAUUUAUAUAUAUAGAUAUAUGUUAUCAAGUUUAGGUAGUGAAGCAAUUAAUGUGGAUAUAAAAUUAAUGCCAAAACUUUUGAUUGUUCCUUCACAUUCUCCACAACCAAACAAAGGAUAUAAGAAAAAUAAAGAAAGAAAUUUAGGGUAGUUUGAUUUUUGUUCUCAUCUUGUUGUGAAGUUAAUAGAGGAAUGCUUGGGUUGGUGCUCAAUAGUUAAGUGACAGCAGGGUAUAAUGAUUCUUCCAAUCGUGUAAAUAUUAUUUGUUUUAAUUUCAAUGGAUCAUCGUCACUUUAAAUUGCAUCCACAUGGUUAAGAGCAACUCAUAUGUAUAUAAUAUCAUGAAUUUCUUCUUAUUCGAUACGGAAUAUCAAAUUAGGUAUCUUUCAAUUUUAGGUAUUGUGUAAGUGUUUCAACUCAAAUGACUUGGCUUAAUGUAUACUCAAAGCCUUGACAAAGGAGCGUAUAUGUAAUAAAGUGAAAAUUAAACCUUGUCGCCCUUCUAUCUCUAGUACUCCAUUAUCCCUUAAACAUGUGCAAAAAAAGAUAUACACCUUUGAUACAUUAAUUAAAAUAAACGAUAGAAAAAGAGAUUUUAUAUAUCCAUGUACAUAAUUUGAUUAGAUUUGUUAUAUAUGAGAGAGAGAGAAAAAAAAAAAAACUGUUUAGAUUAAGGAUCUCAUUAAUUAAUACCUAGAAAAUAUAAAAGAAUAAAAAAAGAUUAGAAGGUGUGAAUCAGAAGAUAAGACUACAUUUUUUAAUUAGAUUCAUCGAAAGAUGGCAUAUUGUAUGAACAUUUUUACUCUACAUAUAAAAACUUAUAUUAUGGUUGAGAUGUAUUAAUUUGUCAUAUUUUUGGACAUUUAAAGUAAUGAGUAAUUACACUAAAUUAAAUUAUUGACCUUAUUAAUCAAUACCUCAAAAGUAUAAAAUAGUAAUAAAUGAAUAAGACAAACUUCAUCGAAAUAUUUUUAUGGGCACAUUACGUAAAUAUUCUUAUUUAAUAAAAGUUUAUAUGUCAUUAAAUGAAUAGAGAAUUUUAACAUUAAUUGCAGUGCUAAGUAGAGGAGAUCUCAUAUUUAAGCUGUUGAUUAAGGCUUAUUACUUAAUAAUUUAAGUUGACUUUAAGUUAGAUUAUAUUUAAGUUAUUUACGUAAAAUUUAUUAUUUAUUAUUUAAUAUUUACUUUAAGUAUUAAAGUUAUUUGAUAAAGUUAAUUUAAAAAUCAUUUUAAAUUAUCAAAUUGUCAUAUUUACCUUCAUUAAUUUGAUAACUAGAUGCAGAUAAAUGAAACAAAAAAAAAAUUGAGAUUAAGAAUAAGUUAAUUAAUUUGAUUUAACACUUAAAAGUAACUUUAAGAUAUAAUAUUAAGUUAUUUUAUCAAAUAUAUUUAAUCUAUUUAAUAAUUAAAUUAAGUUAUUAAGUUAAUGAAUGAUUACCAAACACCUUAUAAGACCCAAAAAAUCGAAUGAGUUUUAAUAGUUUCCAGGAUGGGCAUGACUAGGUGGUGGUUCAAUGCUGAUUAAUCAUAAUUCAAUCAAGGCAAAAUAUGUAACAAAUACAUGUCAAACUGCACCAUCCAAAUGGGCGCCAAGAACGUUACAUUUGACAAAUGCCAUUAAACCUCGACAGCUACCAAUUACUUGAAGCUCAUUAACUUCAUCUUAAUUUGAUCCAAAUUGCAGAAACAUGUGAAACUCCAUGAAUCUAUGGUGCUAUGGUGGCCUACAUUCAUAUAACUGGGGACACUUUGGUUUACACUACAAUGACCCCAAACAGGGUUUGUAGAGACUUUAUCAAGAUCACUAGCUUCAAAAGACUAAGGAAAGAAAGAUGUUCUCAAAACUUGGAGUCAAAUUGCAGAUAAAGACCUAAAACUCCCACUUAACGUGUUUGAGGAAUUGUUGUUUCAUGGGGAUAAGCUGUUUGGUUUGUACAUGUCUCCUUGGUGAUACUUAGAGUUCGGCGAAGUAUACGUAUCCUUUGUGAUCUGGUUUGUAUAUGGGCAGAUGAAUGUUGAUGCCAGGUUCAUAUAUGUUUCUGAUAUAUAUCACCCUGGAAGGAUCUAGAUCAAGGGGAUGAGUUUCAAAAGCUUGAGUAGGUUUAAGAUGUUCCGAGAAUUGGUGAGCAUGAUAUAUAUCAAUAUGAUAUUGCAGAAGACAACAGAGCUUCUGAAAUUAAUAUGUCAGGUUCAAUAGUGGGAAAUCUUAUCAGCUGUCACUUACUGUAAUCGUAUGCUCUCAAUAUUCAUUUGUUGAAGAAGAAAAAAAAAAUUGCUUUCACACUAUUCAAUUACAAGAGAAUGUUCAAUUAUAGAAGAAAAUAAUAUUCGCUAGUCUCUUUCAACUUAAUCAACAUGCAGAGAAAAGCAGUGAAUAAUAACUUACAUACAUUGUCUCUCUACCCCUACUUGUUACUCAUCAGCCAAGCUUAUGGUAAUAUAAGCUUGGGUUCAUCUCUCUAUGCCACUGAUGAAAACUCCACAUGGGCUUUGCCUUUCUGGUGAUUUUGCAUUUGGAUUCCGACCCUCUCCAAGUGAAGAGGACCUAUUCCUUCUUGCUAUCUGGACUGCAAAUGGAAGUUAACUGGUGCCAAGAGGAUCAAAAGUUUGGGCUUACCACCAAUGGACAGCUUGUUCUCUAGAGGCUAAGAUAUAUGGAAGACAAAGACUGGUAAUGUGAGCAGCGAACCAGUGCAUGGUGCCAUGCUUGGAGAUGGAAAUUGUAUACCAGUAUAUGGGAGAGCUUCAAGCACCCAACUAAUACCAUAUUGCCAAUCCAGGGAUUGGUGUUGGAGCCUACUGUGCAGUUGCUAUUUUUGAGGACCUGAGGUUUGCAAAUGGAACUGGAAGCUGUUGGAGGAAAAGACUACCUCUUUCAAAUGGGAGGUUGGAUCAAACUGCUGUUUCCAGAAGUGCUCUAAUCAAGAUAUUGAAGUCCAGUGAACUAACUUCAGGCAGAUGCAAGCAAAAUAAAGCAAUUCUAAUACUCUCAGUCCUCUUAGGCCCCUCUGCGUUCUUCUUCUUCGUUUCUCUAGCUGCAAUUUCACUAGUUUUCUACUGCUUGAACCUCAAAAAUCUGCAGCUUUAUCACAGAAUCCUGAGUACAAGCGAUGGUAGAAGCCUUUGGCACUGUCUAUAAAGGGAUAUUACCAUCAGGUUCUGGAAAUUCUGUUGCUGAAAAGUUGGAGAAGGUGGUGGGAGAAGAUGAGAAAGAAUUCAAAGCAGAAGUGAAUGUGAUGGGCCAAACUCACCAUAAGAAUCAAGGACACUUGCUGCGUUACUGUUGUGAGGGUGAACACUGACUACUGGUGUUUUUUUUUUAUGCACAAUGGCUCUUUAUCAAGCUUCCUUUCUGGAGGCGCCCGAAAGCCCUCAGAACACAACUCUUGGAUGAUUCUUUUACAGCCAAAGUUGCAAACUUGGACUGGGAAAGCUUCUGAUAAGCAACCAGACUAGAACACUCACAGGCAUCAGAGGGACUAUGGGGUAUAUUCAGACAACUCGGGCAGCCUAUGUCUCUUAUAAUAACACGUUAUGAAGCAUCAGCUCAAUGCUGGGGUUCAAUCUGCAAAGCAAGGGAUUCAUCAAUGUUUCCUUCAAACUAAAUAAUAAGGAACAGAAAUGGAUCAUUCUGCAUUUUCAGUGGUGUUUGUUAUAGCAUUUAUACAAGAACUCUAGGGGUUUCUAUGUAUAACUUCAUUCCCAUUUUGUAUAAUCCAAAUCUCUUCAAUCGAUUAAAUGUAUAAAUGAAUCCUAUUCAUUGUUUGGAGUAACAACAAAAUUCUGGAAGACUGGGAAAGUUUCAACACUGGAGAGAAAACAAAAUGACAAGACCAUAAAUUCUGGAAGAGGGCUUUGCUUUCUAACCAUUACCAUAAUUUUAGAGCUCAACCCGGAUGAGUAAAUUAUAUUUCAGAAUGUUCAGGAGAUAAUUCUAAAGUGAUGAACCUUCUACUCACAGUUUCUUGUUCUUCUUGAACAGAGCAAUGAACAUCAAUAGUUCAGCACCCAGGAAUCUCCCCUCUCCAAUUCCUCCACUGGGAAAAGUCACCUUUCCAGUUAAGAAAAUCUUCAGGAUUAAUUUGAGCAAAACAUCAGAGUAUACAUCAAGAAAGCCUUGAUCAAAAUCAAAAUACAUCAAGAGCUGCCAUUUUCUUCUAUUUCCUCUUCCUUGAAUGGAAUGCCUUUUGGACUGAGGUGAUCAAUGGUAACAGUCUAACACACUCCUUAAGCUUUGAUUGAGGUCAACGGGGAUUGGCACAUUUAAUGACUUUGAAAUCAUAGCUGUGUGAAGGGAGGCAAACAUGAAUCUCAGGAUAAUCAACAAGUCAACAACUAUCAAUCAGUAAGGAAAAGGAAAAGGAAAUACCUUUGGAUAUUUACAAAUAAAAAAUUUGAGAGAGUCCAGCUGCUCUGUACAGAAAGGCUUGAGCUUAUUCCAUGGCCAGGCUUUAGAUGGUUCUGAAUUACGGAUGAGAGGAUUGAGUUUUCUUUCAUUCUGCAAUAAGAUUAAAAACAUCAAUGAAACACUAAAAGUUUAUAUAUAGAAGCCCUUUAAAGAUGAGAAUUGGUAAGAGAGCUCACCCAUGGUCUAGUAAAACAACAUCUGUUAGAUAAGUAACCACCAUUCGAUUGUCCAGCUAAUGCAUUUAGACAGUCCAAAAUAGCUAAAGACAGUCCAAAAACUCAUUUGACUAAUAAUUUUCUAAAAGCAGUAACAUAAAACCUGGAUGAAGAAUCCACCCCUCUACCUGACACCACUUCAAUACCAAAUAAAAUGUUACGAUGACCAUUUAUAGUCUUAAGAGACAGUGGGUGUUGUUUGGGCUCAAGACCAUCAAAAUUGGCACAGAAACAAGUACAACAACUAUCUAAUAAAGAGAUUUAUGCAUGUAACAAAUGCAAAUGAAAUAUGAUACAAGAAGUUCAUAGAUUAAACAAAAAUAGAUGGCAAAAUAGAAGGAUAAGGUCACAGACAGGACAAUAUUAAAAGAAAUUAUUAUUUUUCCGACCUGAAAAUCGAGGCAUUUAGAACAGUACAAGUUUGUAAGUAGUCCAUGGAAACCAGGGAACUUAUGCAGAUGUUGUAUUCUAUUGCAUAAGGCAAACACUCAAUACUUACAAGCAUAAUCAUGCCCAGAAAGCCAUGAAUCCCUUUUUGUUUUGCUUUUUUACCUAUUCUCAUCUCUUAUUGCCAGAAGUGCCCAGGAUGAUACAACCUCACCAAAUAAGUUAGAAACCAGCCCAUUCAGCAGGUUGAGUAGCCAGCUUGCCCUCAAUCUUCUUUGAGUCAACAAACAGUUGGGCAUUAUUGCCUCCAAUGGAGGGUCUGGAAAUAUUAGAGCCGGCAGCAGGGGUGGCUGUAAAACUCUCUGUUCCAAAACCCCAAGUUUCAGGGCCAGAAGUUCCUUCUUUGGCUGGUUUGUUGUGAUGGCCAUUUCGGGUCCUACCAGACUUGCUAUUGUUGUCUGGGCACCUGCCUCAGAGAAAGCCUGCCAAAGAUUAGAGUCUGGGCCAGGGGAAACGGAUUUUCUUUGCUGGAGUUCCCAGUCUGUUGCUUCAAUCUUUUCUCUGUGCUGUUACGAGAAGAAAACCUAUCAGACACAUGAAUGGGUACAAAAAGGUAAACUUCAGGUUUUGGUUGUAUUGAAAAGCACAGGAAACUUCACAAGAGGCAAAUUAUACCCCAGACUUAUUGAAGAAAAAUGAAGUACAAUUGACUUACCCAAAUGUCUACUUCCUCAUUUAUAGAUUUCCUCCUAAACAAAUCCCCACAUCUAGGACAGGAAAAGGAAGAAGCUGGGAGUCAACAUUUUUUCAACCAAAUGUCAGCACUAACUUAUCAAAAAACAUAGUUUUCCAUUCAACCUCGGGAGCUGUACUUUCUGAUAUUGUCUUCUUAAAGUGCUUAUGAUUGGUGGAGGUGCUUCCAAAAUCACACAACUUCCAUGAUGCAUUAGGGCCCAAUAGAAGAUUCUCAGCAUUUAUAUAAGAACUUCAGGGCUUAUACGUAUGAUCAUGUUACAGUAUAAAUCAUAGUGAACUGGUGGAAUUUGAUUAUUAGCCAACCUCAUCAAAAACUGUUUCACAGUUGAGGGGAUUGUUAACCUUGCCAUGGGCCAAGCAGCAAUUUCUGGAGAAGCUGGGUGACAAAGAGUACCAUCAUUUGGACUAGUUUCAAUGGAAAUUCCUCUGUUUUUAUACAUGAUAUCUUCAGCUUCAGCUUUUCCUUUUGCUUUUGACAUGGCUGAAACUGAUCCUGAAAUAAAAAAUCCCACGCAAGUAGAUAUUUAACAGAAGAGGAUCCGAAUCUCUUCAAUUGAUUAAUGUAUAAAUGAAAUAAUCAAAAUUUUUAGAUAAUUAUAGGGAGAUGAACCUUGUACCUCUGAGUUUCUUAGUCUUCUUGAACAGAGCAAUGAGCAUCAAGUGUUGAGCACCCAGGAAUCUCCCUUCCUAUACAGGGAAAAUCUGAACAAUCUAUCUUUCUUCAUAUUCCACUUCCUUGCAAAAGUCAAAACAUGAAGAAAAUAUCAUCAAAAUUGAGACAAAAAUAAGUGCAUCAACUGUCUCAAGAAGAGAUUUAUGCCUAUUGCUUACCUUUUGCAGAAGUCCACUUGGUUAGAGCACAUUUUACAUGGACGCCCAAUCACUGCAAGCUGCUGAACCAAAGGAGAGUUCAAACAUCUAAAAAAUUUGACUAACUCAAGUAUCAUAAAAUACUUCACAUGAAUUCUAAAUGAUCUCAUAUCUAAAAAACAUUGGCAUAAAAUUAUUGUUGUUUACCUUACAUAUUUCUUCCAUGGUCAUAAUCGAAACUUUGUUUAUCAUAACAAAUCUUCUAUGCUCAUCCUGAUUACUAACAAUGAAAAUUGAAAUGAAAAGAAAAAAAAAACACAAAAAAUGAUGAUUAGUUUGGUUUGAUAAAUUUAGCACACACAAUUCCCUUUUUCUUGCCCGAAAAAGGAAAGAGUAAAAAAAAAAAAAAAAAAUUAAUAAUUUUUCAAAACUAGCAAUUAUAAAUCUAGUUUGGUUCUCAUAAAAUUUAUGGGAAAGCAGGGAAAAAAAAGUGUAAACUUUUUCUCUUGUUUGAUUGUUUAUGGGAAAAUUGAGGGAAAAACAAAUAUUUAUGAGGAAUCUAUUUAACACUUUUGAGGAACCAAAAAUGUUUUAGAUGUUGUCAAAUCGAUAAUUUAAAUGUAUUUAAUUCCAAUUAAAUGAGUUUAAUCAAACACAUGAAAUCGUGAAUAAAAUUAUUUAAAAGCAUUGAAAUUCAAGUCAUUAAAGUUGUCCAUAAAAUUUGGUAUAUUGAAGCAAGAAAAAAACAAAGCAAUUUGAAUGACUUGCUAAUAAAGCAGCUAACUAGAAUAUGCCCUAGAGUUGUUCUGUGCCUUGUAUAUAAGAAAUAAACAAAGAACACAAUAAAAAUAAAAAUAAAAACCAGAAAAUAAAAUACAAACAAACGAAAUAUCCAUGGUUCUUCGUUAUUUUUUUCUUAAUUUUUCAAUGGUUAUUUUUGCAAACCACCAAAUCAAAACAGAGCAUGAAAAUGUGUUCAAUAUUUAUUUCAGGCUUGAAGCUUCAAGAAAAAGAAAAUCUUAAAUCAAAUAAACAAGACUAGCGAAUGAAUUGGAACUUGAAAGAAAAGUUCAUGCGCAAAAGAAUUACCUGACUCUAUAUUGGCGGAGUGGCACUUUGAUUAAUAUAGCACACCAUUGAUCACUAUUUUUGGAACGUGAGCUAUAUAACGCCAUUCUUCCCCUUUCUCAAAUUGACACCGUUUUUCCAGUAAAGGACACCCAUCGAUGACCAGAAAAGAGAGAGAGUCUGGAAGUCUUUCUUUUGUCAAGUAUUUGAGCUUACGACAGUUCAUGAUCACCAAUGUUUUAAGAGAGGUGAGGUGUUGAAGACCCACUUUUGUCAAGGAUUGGAGCAUUCGGCAGUAUACGAUCUCCAAAUUUUCAAGAGAGGUGAGGUGUUGAAGACCCCCUUCUGUCAAGGAUUGGAGCAUUGGGCAGUGUUUGAUCUCCAAAUUUUCAAGAGAGGUGAGGUGUUGAAGAACCGAUCCUAUCAAGGAUUGGAGCCUUGGGCAGUAUAGGAUCCUCAAUAUUUGAAGAGAGGUGAGGUGUUGAAGAUCCGUUUCUGUCAAUGAUUGGAGCCUCAAGCAUCCAUAAAUUCCUAAUUCUUUUAGAGAGAUAAGGUGUUGAAGAACCGAUCCUGUCGGGAACUGGAGCUCUGGGCAGUUUCUGAUCUCUAAUUUUAGAAGAGAGGUGAGUUGUUGAAGACCCCUGCUGUCAAGAGACUUGAGAUCGGGAAAUGAUUCAAUUUGAAGAGAAGUCAGAGAAGAGGGCAGCAAACACUCCUUGGGAAAUAAUUCAAUGUCUUCACAUCCACCUUGGAUUCUUAAACGAGUAAGAGAGGUCAGCCUUUGCAAACCCCACUCCACCUGGGGCGUGAGUUGGUUGCACUUCUUAAUUUCAAGUAUACGUAGGUUGGAAGGCAAACCCUCUCUCUGAAACAACAAUUCUGGACAAUCACAUAAAUACAACUCCUGUACAGAUGACUGUGUGUGUGCCAACGACCUAAGGUUGAAGCACCUAUCAAUCAAACAAGACUCUAAGUUGAGAGCGUGCAAUUCGAUAGAUUCAAGAUCAGAGCAACCAAUUAGACGCAGGGAACAUAAAGAUGUGGGAUCACCCUCUGAAACCAAAAUGGAGAGCUUCUCAAGCCCCUUAAGACCAUCGAUUGUGAAAUCAGUCAACUUGGGGAAGAUGCCUAAUGAGAAGGAUAACGUGAGAGAAUCAUCGAUAACACCACCUUUGAUUUCUAGACUUUCAAGGACUGGGAGAUGGCAUCUGAACAACUCAGGUACGAGAAUCUCUAAUUUCGAGCACUCAGAGAUGAAUAGUGAUUUCAGUGUAGUGGGUAAACCAACUUUGUGCAGGGAUCUAGAAAAACUGCAAUCAUAGAUUUUCAGAUCAUGUAUGUUGGUUUGCGAGAUUUCCUCCUCUAGCAGAGACUCCGCAUUAUCACAUUCUCUAAUUGAGAGCUGGUGUGGUGCCAUUGGAAGUUGACUCCACUGAGACACAUCUAAAAUUUCAAUUUCUGAAGUUUGAAGAGCUGUGAAGUCACAACCUGCCAUUUGCAACUGCAGUUUACCGAAAUCCACCAUCCUCAACUGACGAAUUACAGGAACUGUGAGUGAAGCCAUAAGCAGUUGCGGACAUUCAUGAAUUUGAAGUUCCACCAAUGAAAGAAGCUGUUCUGGUAAUUUCCCAGUGAGUUUGGGACACCUUCGUAUAAAAAGCUUUUGGAGACGAGGGAAUUCUCCACAACAUAACCAUUUCUCCCAGUUCUGCAUAUCCUCAAAUGAUAGUGUUUCUAGGAAUUGAAAGGAAGCAUUCCCAUAGAACUCAUCACCCACACACUCUACUCCAUUCAUCCUUGAGAUUUGCAGAUAUUUAAGCUGGGUUAGCUGUCCAAGUGGUGGCAAUGUUGAGCAAUUGCCACAACCCCGAAGCUCAAGGGACACGAGAUUCAACACUGAAGGAUCUCCAAGCCAAUUUGGAAAUCCUUCACCAGGAUAGUUUGUGAUGGAGAGUUGUUUUAAAUUUGGGUGAGGUUGUAACUUGUUGAGUAUAUCAUGCGUUGUUGCACCACUUUGUGUAACACCAUUGGUACACUCGUCACCCCAAUCAAAGAUUAACUCAUCAAGAUAACUUUUAUCCUUCAUAUUAGCCCUUGAUGCAUCGUUAACACUCACUACAUUCUCCAUGUUUGAAAUAUAAAGUUUUCCUCGAAUCUCUGACAGCUCUCCCAAUUCUCCAAUUCUUAAUCCAUUGUUUUGGCCCACAAUAAAUUGAGUCAACCUUUGUAAACUUUUUAAUUGACCAAUUCCAUGACUUGACAUUUCUCUCAAUGAACCACAUCCAUGAAUAUCAAGAUAGCGCAAAUUAAUCAAUUUUCCCAUCUUUGAAGGCAAUUCAUUAAGUCUUGAACAUUUUAUUAGCAUCAUCGUUUGUAAAUUGUAUAAACAACAUACUGAUUCAGGUAAUUUUUUAAUCCUUGUAAAAGACAAAUCCAAGUGACGCAAAUGUUUCAAAUUGCCUAUUGAUAUAGGCAAAUCAGUUAUGUCAUAUGCACAUAAUGAUAACACGCGUAGACACCACAUUUUUGGUAAUAUAUCUUGCAAAACUCUUUUACUCAAAGUAUACCUAGGAUAGUCUUCCAUUGGCUUCACUCCUAAGAAUGUUCGAAGAGAUUUAGCUUUAGUCAUAGCCUCAAAAUUCUUAAAUGCUACCAAAUCGUUAUAAUCAUCACUAUUAAAGUACAAAAAGUGGUGAGCCUUCUCAGAUACUUUUGGUAAUUUAUCAUCAUCUUCCACUCGAGCACAAAAAUCUCCAGACACAUGUUGAGCCAAUUCAUGUAUUAGAUCAUGCAUUACAAAGCAUGAUCCUUUUCUUCCAAUAGAUUUUUGAAAGAAAGACUUGGCAAGAAGCUCAUCAAAAUAUGACUCACCGAUCUCUUCCAUUCUCCUUCCUUCGUUUUGUUGUGGAUGUAAAAGACCUUCUGCCAUCCAUAAUAAAAUCAGCUUCUCUUUGUAGAAUUGGUGGUCCUGGGGAAAAAUAGAACAAUAAGCAAAACAAUGCUUCAGAGGUAAAGAAAGAUGAUGGUAGCUUAAUAUCAAAGAUGGAAGAAUUUCGGAGCCACUCUGCGGAUGCCAUAUUUCACUUUUCAACACAUCGUCCCAUUCCCUUUUUUCGACCUUAGAAUACAAGAGACAGCCGAGUGCUUUCACAGCCAAAGGCAAUCCUUGGCACUUGUCCACAAUCUGUCUGCCUAUGCGUUCAAGCUCAAGGAAUGCGUUGGAGUCUCGAUCUUGAAAUGCAUGCUUUUUAAACAGGGACCAACUAUCUUCAGAGCUUAAUUUCCCAAGAUGAUGAGUAGGGACUGCUCGCAUGGUUGUUGCAACAGAUUGAUCACGACUGGUCACGACAAUCUUGCUUCCCUCUGCUGCAGCGAGGAGUGGAGUUCGUAGAAUAUUCCAACCUUCACGAUCACUAAGCUCCAUAUAACCUUCAUCACGAGGCUUCAAAUUCCAGACGUCAUCAAGAACAAGCAGAAAUUUCUUGUUACUAAGUUGCUCUUUGAGUUGAAGCUGAAGCAAAUUUAGGUUGUCAGCAGAAGUAGGUGGAGAACGAAUUUCCUCAAGAAUUGUUUUGGUGAGUUUGAUAAGGAGAAACUCAGUGGAAACACAGACCCAUGCUUGCAAGUCGAAGUGUUUCUUCACUUCCUCAUCGUUAUAGAGAAGCCGAGCAAGCGUGGUCUUGCCGCUGCCGCCCAUGCCCACCAUGGACAUCACCCCCAUUUUGUCGCCUGUUGUAUUGUCAGAAAGCAACCACUCCACCAUCUCCUUCUGAAUUUCAUCCCUGCCGACAACAAUGGAGUCAUCCUCCAAAGAAGUGGAUAUUGGUGAUCUUGGUCUUGGUGACCGUUUCUCGCCCCCACCUUCUGCCAGCCCCAACCCAACUUUUUCUAGUGCGAUUUUUUCCAGUAGAUCAAUCAUGCCCCUGACCCUGGACUCCAUGCUUUUGAUAGCAAAUGGAGUCUUCACAGAAGCAGAGAACUUGUUCCAUUUCCACGCCUUAAGAGUUCCGCCGGUUUGGGAGUCAGCAGCUUCCAUCUUGCAACGCAAAGCGUCGGUAGCGAUCUCGUCCAACAGGUCUUCCGCAUCAUACACAGCACCCGUGACAUGGACGAGCCACUCUUUGACAUUUGGGUUUGAAAAUUGCUUCACCUCCGCAUCAUCGAGCACAUUGAGAACAACCACGAGUUUCCUCUUCAACUCGUUGAGGAGUUCAUCGCUAAGGUUCCGUCGCCGAAUGAAGUUUAUGAGCUCUGGAGAAGCCAACCUUUCGAAUAGAACUUGAAGCGAAGCUGAGAGGAGGGCGUCCGCCAUAUCUGUGUCGACUGUUGCUUUGCAAUAGGAAUUUAGAGGAUUGGUUUCUGUUACCGCGAUACCACCAAACUGCAAAAGACUGGGUUUGGAUCACCACACUGCAGAAUGCUUGAAGGAAUCAUUGUUGGUGGUGGACCUAGCUGCCAGAUAUUGGUGGUGGACCCAGCUUCACUGCAGAAUGCUUGAAUACACUGCAGAAUGCUUGAAGGAAUCAUUGUUGGUGGUGGACCUAGCUGCCAGAUAUUGGUGGUGGACCCAGCUUCACUGCAGAAUGCUUGAAUACACUGCAGAAUGCUUGAAGGAAUCAUUAUUGGUGGUGGAUCCAGCUACACUGCGGAAUGCUUGAAGGAUACAUUAUUGGUGGUGGACCCAGCUGCCAAUAUUUGUCAAACACCAUAAUUGAGUGGUGAGAAAAAGAACAGGAAAAGCAAGUGGGAGGUAGAUGCGCUUUCCCCGAGGCGAACGCAAGUGGAAGCUGGAUGGCGCAUGCCCUACAACAACAACAUUCGGUAUUUUUCUUUUUCAUCGACGCAUUUCUUCUUUCUUUCUUCUAGUAUUAUUAUUAGUAGACAUAUGCACACGAAUAUUUGUUUAUAACAUUAUCAUUCAUAAUAUUAUAAAAUUUAUUAUUAAUAAUAUUUAUACUAAUAUUAUUUUUUAAUAAUUAUAUUAGUAUCAUGAUUUUAUAAUUAGUCUCCUUACUUUUAUUGUUUAUAAUAAUAAUAAUAAUUAUUAUUAUUAUUAUAUUAUAUUACGUAUUUUCACAUAAACAAUGAUAUAUGCACAAGACAUUAAAAUUUUGAAUAUUAUGGUUAUUAUUAUUUAAUAAUAAUAUUAUUAUUUGAUUCAAAAAAAGUUUAUAAUAUAAUAAUAACAAAAAUAAAUUUUUUUAAUAAAAUAAAUUAUAAAAAUAUAAUAAUUUUAUUAUUUAUAAAAUAUAUUUAUUUUAAUGUAAUUAAAAAAAUUAAAAUAAUUUUAAAAAAUUUAAAAAUUUUCAAAAAAAGUUAAAUGGAAUGGGAUUAGGAUGGGAUCGAUCCAUCCCAAUGUCAUCCCGUUGUCAUCCUAACUCACCUAAUGAUAAUUAAGGCCAUUUUUUAUCAUUGUUUUUUUAAAAUGGUCUUUUAUCCUUAAUAUAUAUAUAUAUAAUAAUUAGAAAAUAAAACAUAAUUUUUGUUUUUAAAAAUAAAAAAUAAGGCAUUUUUAGAUCAUACCCUUUUAGUUACUUUUACUUGUUUUUAAAAAAUUAUUUUAAAAAGUAAUUAUAUAAAUAUAAAAUAAUAAAAUAAUUUAAAUAAAAAUUAUUUUUAAAAUAUAGAAAAUUAGUUAAGAACACUUUAUCUUCUCAAGCUCUUGUUUUAUAAAAUAUCAUAAAAUAAUUUUCAAAAACUUUUUUUUUUUCACUAUUUUGACAACCUCAACUGGAAUAAUACACAACAAAAAUAAAUAAAUAAAAAUAAAAAGGUCCAAAGAAAGACAAACGUGUCCAGUAAUGCACUUAAAUUCAAUGAACCUAAAAGCCAAAUGUGCAGUGUUGACUUUUCAACCGAGAGUUCACACAUGCCCAUUUUUUAAAGCACUAUUAAUAUAAAAUAUAUAUUUAAAUAAAAAUUAGACUUUUAAAAAAAUUAAAAUAUAUUUUUAAAAUGUUAAAAAAAUAUUUACAAUAUUUCCUUAAAAAAAACAUCUUCCAAAAACAUUUCUUUAAAAAAUACUUCCACCGAUAACAAUUCAGACACACUUGUGAUUUAAUAGUUAAAUAUUCUUUCCAACAGGAAUUCAACUAUCGGUUUGUAUUACCACGAUACCAUCAAACUGCGAAAGACUAAUUUUGGAUUACCAAAAUGCAGAAGAGCUGAAGGAAUCAUUGAUGGUGGACGACCCAGAUGUCCACAUUAUUUGUCAGACACCAUAUUUGAGUGAUGAGGAAAUGAAAGAAAAGCAAAUAAAAAACAAAAAAGGUGAUGCCAAACAUGGUCUUAUAAGGUGGGAGGAGCGAAAGCAACAAAGGAAACUAGCAGGAUUUUUCAUUGCUAUUCCAUACCUCAAAGGACAAAUUUUGAAUUACCAAAAUACAAAAGACUUGAAGGAAUCAUUGAUGGUGGUGGACCCAGAUGUCCACAUUAUUUGCCAAACACCAUAAUGAGUGAUGAGAAAACAAAAGAAAAAGCAAAAAAGGUGAUGACAAACACGGUCUUGUAAGGUGGGUGGAGCAAAAGCAACAAAACAAACUAGUAGGAUUUUUCAUUGCUAUUCCAUAUCUCAAAGGACUAAUUUUGAAUUACCAAAAUAUAGAAGACAUAAAGGAAUCAUUGAUGGUGGUGGACCAAGAUGUUCACAUUUGCCAAACACCAUAAUUGAGUGAUGAGAAAAUGAAAAAAGAAAAGAAAAUGCCAAACAUGGUCUUGUAAGGUGGGUGGAGUGAAAGCAACAAAGUAAACUAGCAAGACUUUUCGUUGCUAUUCCAUACCUCAAAGGAUUGAUUUUGAAUUAUCAAAAUACAGAAUACUUGAAGGAAUCAUUGAUGGUGGUGGACCCCGAUGUCCACAUUAUUUGCCAAACACCAUAAUUGAGUGAUGAGAAAAUGAAAAAAAAAAAAAGUUAAGAAAAAACAAAGAAGUGAUGCCAAACAUGGUGUUGUGAGGUGGGUGGAGCAAAAACAACAAAACAAACUAGUAGGAUUUUUUGUUGUUAUUCCAUAUUGAGAAAAUAAAGGGCUACUCUAAAUAGAUAAAAACACCCAAGAAAGGAGGUGAAUAGAAGUUAAAAAAUUUCUUUUUAAACACAAUAAAAUUAAACACAAGAAGUACAAAUAUAAAGAAGUAAGGUUAUAGAAAGUAAACUCAAAUUUAUAGUGGUUCGACACUUCCUUACUUACAUCCACUCUCCUCAAGCUUCUAAUCGAGUGAGGGUUCCACUUAUACUUGAAGUUUCAACCAAACUUCUUAUCACUUUUUACACUUGGAUUCCAAUUCCAAUGAAGUCUUACACAAUCUCUUCAAGUCUUUACUCACUUGAAGGUUUUAACACUCAAUUAACAAGUUUGAAUCUCUCAACCUAGCUCAACAAUGACUCAAAUACAACUCAAGGCUAGGAUGAAUCACUAAGGUGCACUAAAGAAUAUGCAAAUGAAAAUUUAAUGCACUAAGAAAAUAAUGAGAGCUUUUAUGGCAAUAAUAAGUAGGUAAACAAAUAAAUGCAAGUGUUCUCUUACUCAUAAAUGAAGUAGAGCUCUCAAUUUAUAGGUUUCUAACCUCAGGAACUAAAAAGCCAAAAAACAGUCUCGACUGGUCGAGCUGGGGGUUGACUGGUUCACUAGUCGUUGAAACAUUAAAUGCUUGGCAUGUGACCGUUACCCUCGACCAAACCUUAAUCGAGAAGACAAAUCCAUCAACCAGGAAAGAAAGACUACUAGAAGAUAGAGAAUGUUUUUUACAUCUCUUAACUGGACCUCGACAUAGAAGGAGUAAUCGGUAGACCGGUACCCUAGCUGAUUGAGCCGGUUGGCCAGUGUCUCGACUAGUUCACCAUUUUUAGUCCGAAAACCUAUCUUUUUUUGGUCUUUUUGCUUCUAGCACUUAGGCAAGGACUUUAGAUAAAAUAAUAUGUCAAUUUUGAAAUGUUUUGCCUAAGGUUCAUUUGAUAGAACUCGGAUUUUGAUGGAAAUGUAACUUUAAUGCAUAAACCGAGUUUUAAAGAUGUAUGAAAUGAUAUGAAUAUCUUAAGUACAUUCAUGCAUUCAUCUUACGUAUGUUUCCUAUGAUUAAAAGGUCUUUCAUAAGUCUUGAUCUUGCAUUCAUUAGGUCCUUUAAUGAAUUUCCAAAUUAACACCUGAAAUUCUUUAUAAUUCAAAUCAAUUAGUAACUUAACCAUGAUUUUUUAUCAUCAAAACAUAAUUAGGAAAAUCAUUAGGCUAACACAUACCUUAAAGGACUAAUUUUGAAUUACCAAAAUAUAGAAGACUUGAAGGAAUCAUUAAUGGUGGUGGACCAAGAUGUCUACAUUAUUUGCCAGACACCAUACUUGAGUGAUGUGAAAACGAAAGAAAAGCAAAGGAAAAACAAAAAAAGGUGAUGACAAACAUGGUCUUGUGAGGUGGGUGGAGCGAAAGCAACAAAACAAACUAGCAGGAUUUUUUGUUACUAUUCCAUACCUCAAAUGAUUGAUUUUGAAUUACCAAAAUACAGAAGACCUGAAGGAAUCAUUAACGGUGGAUGACCCAGAUGUCCACAUUAUUUGUCAAACACCAUAAUUGAGUGAUGAGAAAAUGAAAGAAAAACAAAGCAAAGGAAAAAAAACGUGAUGUCAAACAUGGUCUUGUAAGGUGGAUGGAGUGAAAGCAACAAAGCAAACUAACAAAAUUUUUUGUUGCUAUUUCAUACCUCAAAUGACUGAUUUUGAAUUACCAAAAUACAAAAGACCUGAAGGAAUCAUUGAUGGUGGACAACCCAGAUGUCCACAUUAUUUGCCAGACACCAUAAUUGAGUGAUGAGAAAACAAAAGAAAAGCAAAGGAAAAGCAAAAAAGGUGAUGUCAAACAUUAUCUUAUAAGGUGGAUGGAGCGAAAGCAACAAAGAAAACUAGUAGGAUUUUUCAUUGCUAUUCCAUACCUCUAAAUCACCAUAAUAAUAAUAAUAAUAAUAAUAAUAAUAAUAAUAAUAAUAACAAUAACACCAAAUUUUAAGGUUAUUUUUUGUUAUAAAAAAAUACUAGGAAAAUAAAAAAAAAUUAAGGAAAAUGAUUUUUUUCAUAUUUGAUUUCACUAUAGAAAAUAUAAAAGAAAAUCAAAUAUAAUUAAAAUUAAUUUGAAAUUUAUAUAUUUUAAAAGUAUUUAAUCUUUUUAUAAUUUAGAAAAAUAAGUAAAACGAGUUUGAAGAAAUGUAUAAAAAUAAUUUAUUAAAUUUAAAUUUAUUUCUUAUUUUCCUUCAUUUUUUCUUUUCUUCUACUUUUUCUCUCUAUUUUCUUUCCUUCUCAUUUUCCCUCAAAUUUUCCAAGAGCCAAACAUAGCUUAAAGGUUUAGAAUCUUAUGCACAAGACUUUCAAUUUUUUUUACAAUAUUAUUUUAUUAGUUAAGAAUUAAAAUUUAAUGUACCAUAUCUAACACUAACAAAAAAAUUUAUAACAACCGGUCUUAUCUUUUAAGAAUGUAUUGUUUAAAUGAGAUUAAAAAUUAAAAAUAAAUUUUAAUUCAUUUAACAACUAAAUUAAAAUGAAAUUUAUAUAUAUCAUAAAUUUAUACAAUUUUGAAUCAUUUUAUAUGGAGGAUUGAGAAUGGAGAGAUUGAAGAAUUGUUUGGUGACGAGGAGAUUGAUUGAAGAUUUUAUAGUCUUAAGGUUCUAUGGGAUGAAUUUUUUUGUAAAGAGUUUAAAUUUUUGUAAAAAAUAAAAUUAGUUUUAUGUUAUCUUAUUUCAUGGAAAUAUAAAGUUUUAAUUCAAAGAUUAUGUUUCAAAAAUAUUAUUUUUAAAAUAUAUUUAGUAAAGAUUUAUAAAAAUUUAAAAUAAAAUUUAAUUAAUCUAUAAACUAAAUUAAAAUAAUAUUUAUAUAUUAUUUUUAUAGAUUUACAUGUAUAAAAUCUUUAAAAUGCCUCAACUUAAAAUAUCCUUACAAAAUUUCAUUAAUCUACUAGCAAUCCGCCUAUUGUCUCUAUAUAGAGUCUAUUUGCAUUAGGAUGAAUACCAUCAGAAUAAUAAUUACGUUCCACAUAUGACAUAUCUUAGCUUCCACUUGGAGGUUAAAAAUCAUUAUGAAGAUUUGGACAAUAAUUCAAGUAGGCAUCUUUGAAAUUUGACUUCCAAAUCCCUUUGUCAAUAUACACCACCCUAUGACAAUUAAAUAAAUUAGAAGGAAAAAAAAUGUUGAAGGAAUGACAUAAGAAUAAUUUAUGUAUGACUAGAUUUAAAGUUUAAUUAUAUGAGGAAUCCUUCAUUAUGAAAAUAUAAGGAACAAUUAUAUUUAAGGAGUGGAUGGGGUUGAUAAUGACUAAAGGGUACAAAUUUUGCAUAAUUGAACUAAAAAGGUAGAAAAAGUUUGUAGAUUGUUGUGGAAGAUAUAAACCCAUUUUGUGAGUCAAAAAUGCUCAAAAUACCCUUAAGAGUGUUUUAAAAAAAAGGACAAUUAAGUACUCAUGAUAAUUAAUAUAUUAAGAUUUCAAGAAAAAUUAAUAAUAAAUAAAAUCUUUUUCUAAAUCUAUUUAACAGUCAUAUAGUUUUUAUUUUGUUUUAUUUUUUCAAGUUGCAGCUAUUAUCUUAAUUUAUUUUUCAUUUUAAGGUUCAAUUAUUAUUAUUCUUUAUUUUGAUUAAUUAAAUGAAACUGUAUAAGACAUGUUUAUAUUAAUUAACUAAAAAGGAUAGAUUUUUUAGCAAUAGGAUUAAAAUAAAUAAAAACAAGGAAUUUGAUUUUCUUUAUGAAAUAGAUUGGGAAAAGUAUAUUUCGAUACAUUCGUAUGAAAAAAAAAAAUCAUAAAAUAGGAACUCAAGUUUAUAAAAUACAAAUUUUAAACAUCCAUCUAAAAAUAAUUAUCAUUUCAUGCAUUUUUUUUGGGUCAAAUAUAUUAUAUUUGACAAUUUAGGUAUUAUCUUUUAAUAAUAUAGGUACUACCUUCACCUGCAUAAAACUUGAAUUAUUUUUAGAUAGUUUAUAUUAUAUAAUUAGUUAAUCCUUUGAUAUAAAUAUUAAAUAAUUAAAAAAUAUAUCUUUUUUUUAAGAAUUUUAAUUAUAUUUGGCUUUCUUUUGUAUUUUCUAUUGUGUAAACCACAUAUAAGAAAAUCAUUUUCUUUUACAUUUUUUUUCUUUCCUUGAUAAUUUUCGAGAACCAAACAUGACUUGGAGGUUUGGAUAAUAGGGUAUAGAUGCCAGAAAUACUGGAAUGGGUUCAGGUUUUCCAUGCUAAAGGUCUUUAUUAUUAUUUGGUAGCACUUUUCCAAAAUUGUUCCAUUCCCAAAACCACUUAAUUUGCUUAAAUAUUUUUACCUCACGAUAUCAUAACAUUAUAAUGGAAUAGAUUUUGUUGGUGUUCAAAUCAUGUCAACUCAAUUUCCAAACCAUUCGGAUUGUCAUUUGGUGAAAAAUAGAAAGAAAUUUUACUUUAUUGAAAAGCAUUUCAUUUUGAUUUGAAUAUGCUGCAAUGAAAUAGUUACUAAACCAUGGGGUAGCAGAAGAAGUAAUCGAGAAAAUGAAGAAGGAUGUUCAAGAUUCUUUAUGCUGCCAUUGGAGGAGAAGAAUGCUUACACACAGCUACCAAAUAGCAUUGAAGGUUAUCACAAAGAAUUACUCAUUUUAUCAAUUUUUUAGAGUUUUCUUUUCAAUAUUUUUAUGAGUUUUGAUAAUUUUCAACAUUUUAAUCCUUACUUGAUGGCACUUUGCUCGAGUUUCCACCUUGUAUAUCAGGGCAAUCUUAGAUGAGUAUUGAUCAGAGCUCCAAAAGGUUUCAAUUUGCCUAUUAAAGUUGAUGGCCAAGAACCUUAAGAUCAAUCCUAACCAGCUCACAAAUAUAUUUGAGAAUGGAAGACAACAUGUGAGGAUGAAUUAUUUCCCCCUUGUGUGCAUGCAAGAAAGGUUGUGGGCAUUUAUAAACCUAUGAGCAAUGAGGAGUUUUCAAGACUUCGCCUGAGUAGAGGAAACUUAAUGGUAAGAGUACAAUAAGUCAUAUGAAAUUGGAGAAUUGAAAGAGCAUAAGAACCAUGUUUUAUUAGAAGACCUGUGAAAGUUUAAUCAGUCAUGGAACUACUAAGAGGGGAUGAAUUAACAGUUUUCUUAAAUUUUGUUCAAAGUUUAUGAAUUUUAUUUUUUAUAAUUUUUUUUACUUAGAUUGAAACUUAUUAAUCAAGGUAAGAUUUCAGUCACAUCGAGAAACAAACAUUUUAUGUGAAAAGCAACUGAUAAAAUCUUGAGUUUACAGAUGUAAAAACCAUAAGGCCAAAGACUGUAGAACUCCAACCCCAUUGAAUCAAGAAUAGAAACACAAAUUUAUCUACUAACCUACACUAAUCUCUUAUCUACAAUGCAACACCGUUAUAGUCUUAAGUGACUUGAAAGGAUGUGAAUCUUUCUCACAAACUUCAUAAUGAAAUUCAAAUUAGCUUUGAGAGUUUAAGAGUAAUAAUGCAUAGCUUUUGUGUGCGAGUUUUUAAGUGCUCCCCCAAAAGACAUAUUUAUACCCAAGUGAACUUAAGACUCAAUUUAAAGCAUGUAUUUUACUAUAAAAAAAAAUUAAAUACAAAUUUAAGAAACUUCAAGAAUUUUGGAAAGAUAAUUUUAAAAAAAAAUUCAAAGAGAGUCAGAAAAUGUUUCCUUUUUAAAUUCUCAAUUUAAUUUAUUUUCAAAUUUCUUAAGAGUUUAAGAAAUAUUUUCUUUUUAAAUUCUCAAUUUAAAACUCUCUUUUAAAUUAAUUUUCAAAUUUCUUAAGAGUUUAAGAAAUAUUUUCUUUUUAAAUUCUCAAUUUAAAACUCUCUUUUAAAUUAAUUUUCAUGUAAGUCUACUCUAUACAUUUUACAUCGUUAUUCUCAAUUAACUCAAAUGUAACAUCCCCGAUUGAUUUUGCACCAACCUUAAGUCUUCAAAGACAAUGAUUGAGGCAUUUCUUCUCCUAUUUUCUCCGAUGUAGAAAAAAAAAAAAAAAAACUAGAAUAAGGUUAAGGCAUUUCUUCUCCUAUUUUCUCCGAUGAAAAAAAAAAAAAAAAAAAACUAGAAUAAGGUCAAAGCUGGUUUAUAGCAAAAAGUCUUAAUUUGAGUUAGCCUUUUUUUUUUUUCAAAUGAUAUGCAGGUCCAUCAAACCUUCAACUCAAAUUUUUUAUUCAAAGAUCACAUGUGGAUAUGUGAACAAGUAAAAGUUGAGUUUUACCUAACAUAUCAUUUUGAAAAUUAGGAAAUUUAAAAGGUCUUAGAUUGUUGAACUCACCACCCUAUCUAUUCUACAAAACAAGUAGAUUAGCAAAGAAAGAAAUUGUACCCACGAGUAUAGAGUUUUGGGUUAAAACGACCCUUUUGAUGGGAAAAAUAUUAAAUUUAACCACUUUGUCAAACUUAUGUGUAAAAUGGUUCUUUUAUUACCACGUAGGAGUCAUAUCACUAAAAUAUAUACAUAUUUUUAAUUUAAGUUGAAGCCUCAAUUACCAAUUAAGGCUUCAAUUGUCAAUUACGAUUUUAUUUUUUAACCCGAAACCUUACUUGUCAAUUGAGGUUUUAACUAAAAAAUGAAACCUCAAUCACCGACUGAAACUUAAUUUUUUAAUUGAAGCCUCAAUUGAUAAUUGCGAUUUUAUUUUUGAACUGAAAUCUCAAUUGUCAGUUGAGACUUUAUUUUUGUGGAAGGAUUACGUGACACUCACGUGACUAGAAAAAAGCCAUAUUGAAUAUUAGUUUCAAAAGUGGCUUAAAAGAUAUAUAUUUAUGAUCAAAGAUGCCAUUUUGACCCAAAAUCCCAUGGGUGCAUGAGACUCUAGUUAAUCAUAGAUUUCAUAAAUAAAAAUAAGAGUUAGGAUGAUUCAACCCCAAAGCAUCAAGAAUUCUUUAACAUAAUGUUAGAACAUUUUCCAAUUUAAAUUCGAGAGUUAACUUUAUUUGAAUAUGCUUUUGAUUUUUUUUUCUUUUUUUAAAAUAAGCUUCAGUGUUUUUUUCAUAAAAAAAAAAAUAAAAAUAGGAGCUUCUAUAUAGAAAGAAAAAUUUUAUCCAACAAAUAUAAGGCUCACCUUAUAUCCUUAUAAAAAAUUUAAAAUUCAAAAUUUUUUAAUACCUCAAAAUUUUUAAUCAAUAUUUAAAAAUCAUUAUAUUUUCAAUAUGAUCCUUUAAAAGUUUAAAUUACCUAUAUUUUUUAUUUUCAAAAAUACAAAAAAAAGAAUGAUUUUUUUUUUUUGUUUUUUAAUUAUUAAGAUGAAUGAAAUAAUCGCAAAUUUGCAAAAAUAACUUCUUCCAUGUUUGAAUUUGAAAAAUAACUCAUUUCCAAUAUAAAUACUCUUCAAUAUUUGGAUUAUUUUAAUAUAAAUUUUAGAAGAAAGUGUUACUUUGACGGGAAAACAUGAAAGACAUUUUUAUUAAAAUUUGAUCUUUUUUUAAGGCUAAAAUAUAUGUAGGUUUAUAUUUACAAUUUGAGACCAUUUCGUCCUCUUAAUCAAAUAACUUAAAAAAGAAAAGAGUUAAUUCCACAAGUGGGUUUAAAAUACUCACAAAAUUGCAAAAUAUAUCUAUAUAUAUAUAUAUAUAUAUAUAUAUAUUACCCUUACUUAAUCAAUUCGUGUGUUGAGCACAUGACACUUCCGUUCAUUAAAGCUAACACCGUUAAAUAACAAAUGUACAUUGUAGCUAUUUAAGAAGUAUGAAGGGCACAUUGCUUAAUUUUAGUACAUGGUGAGAAACUUGUUGAACAAGUUAUGUGUAAAGUUUUAUGGUUCAUGUAUGAUAGGAAAUAUAGAUCUACUACAACACUGGAUUUGCAAUUUGGGUUAAUAUUUAAAGAAAAGACAAUAAGACAAAAAGAAUUAAACUUUUGGUGGAAAACAAUAAAGAAAGGACUACAUGGAAAAAGGGAAGAGAUCAUUAUAAAGGAAGAUUAUUGAAUAGAAAUAAUUCCAAGAACAUAAGGCAAGACAUAGAGUAUCACUACUACUAUCACAAAAAGGGCUAUAUCAUAAAAUUUAUGAAAUUUUGAAAAAGACCUAAAAAAUGAAGACAAAAAAAAAAAAAAAAAUCAAAGAAGCCUACAAGUGUAACUAGUGUUCUUAAAGUUAAGAAAUGAAGGUAAUAAAUCAAAAGCAGAUUUGUUAAUAGUUUUUAAAAUGCUUGAAUUACAAAUUGUCUACUUGUACCAUACGAGCCCUUGUAAAAACUGGUUUGACAUGUAAAUUGUUUGUAAAAUCAUUUUAAUGGGCAAUGAUGCACCAAGUUGCUCUAUGAGAAGCGUAGGGGUUUGCGAAACCAUCGCUUGUCGUGGCAUACAUCGUUGGGGAAUGACGGAUGAGGGCAUCCAUGGGAAGCCAAUGUCUACCCUCACUCCACACCCCUCUAGUACAAGGCUCUGGGAGGGAGAGAGGCAACAAGUGUGUGACACUAAGGUAAAUAUGCCCAACCUUAUGGCUUUGGGAGCAACGUGCGUUUAAAGACUUGAUAAUUCACAAAAUUCUACAAUUCAUACCAAGUAUUGCAUUUAACGACGUUCUUUAUCAAUGAGAGAGCCUAGAUAUCCAUUGUCAAGAAUUAUUUAUGUAUGAAAACAACAACACCUAACCGACAUGCCCAAGAUCAAGGCAACUAGAAGCUCAAGUUACUUAGUGCGUUUUGUGCCGAAGUUUGUUGUUUACUCAAGAGGGCUUUGUGAAUAUUUGUAAUAAAGGGAUAAUACAGAGUGAGCCGUAAUUUAGCAUCUUACACGCUCAGUUUCUUCCAUUGGUGGCAUAUAUUAUUUUGUUUGUCAUUGAUGAUUAUUUAAUAAAACUAUGAGAGUAUUUCAUGAAAUAUAAAUAAGAGGUUUUUGGGAUAUUUAAUCGAUGGUAAACAAAAGAUGAAAACUAAGUAGGGAGGAAGAUAAAAUAUUUUAGAUUUGAUAGUGGACUUGAGCAUUAGAACAAAAAGUUCACAAAGUAUUGUGAGAAUUCUUAUAGUACUUAACAUUUCACAUGUAUAGAAAUUACAAAGCAAAAUGGAGUGGUUGAAAAAUGAAUAGAACACCAUUGGAAUGACUAGGUGGCUAAGAUUAACCAUUCGGUUACUUAAGAAUUUAAGGGUUAAAGCUAUCAACAUAACUUAUCAUGUAAUUACUUAGUUGUCAAGUUUUACAAUUAUUUUCAAUAUUCCAAAAGAAGUGUCAAGUAAAUCAAUUGACUUUUCAUCUAUUGAAAUAUUUGAUUGUUGCACUUAUCUUCAUAUAUAGGUGAAAAAAAAAUUCAAUCCAAAAUAAAAAAAAGGUAUAUAUUCCUUGGGUUUGAAAAAAGGAUUAAUUAAAGACUGUAGAUUUGGGGAUCCAACAAUUAAAGGAAAAAAAAAAGUGGUGAGUAGAGAUGUAUUCGAUGAAAAACAUAUGUUAAAGAAAGAUCAAGGACAAAUGAAAUUGUUAUUGAAAAAAAAUUCAACUACAUGACCAAUCAUCGAGAUGAAAUUUGAGGAAAAUGUCGUUAAAUACGGAAAUGAAAUCCCUCCUAAUCGAUGUCCCUAUUGGAACUUUAUAUGGGCAUCUUUCUCUAUUGCUCUAAAGAAUCAUCGGAUUGGGUAAGGACAUCAAUUUGAAGAUUUUUAUUUUUUUUCAUUAUUUAUUGGAAUAGGAGAUCUUUAAAUUUUUUUGGGGCACAAUUAGGAGGGAUGAUAGUUAUCAAUGUCUUGGUGCUAUGUCAAAUGAGAAUCCAAUGCACAUGUUGACUAAAGUUGUUCUUAAGGAUAAGUUCAAGCAUUAGUUGAAUGUCAUUAAUUUUUCAUUUUGUAGAACAUGGAAGGUCAAUUUUAUUGAAGAGCUAGGUUAGUCAACUUCUAUUAGGACUUCUAUUGAUUCUUGAUUUGACUAGAGGGGCUCCUAGCAGUAAACUUGUAUGGAGGGGCCCUAUGGAGACGCAAGAGAUGCAAGAGCUGCCAAUCGGAUCGACCAAUAAAUGAUAGGCCCAUACAGAAAUGUCCCUAAAAUAGGGGAUUGGUUGAUUGGAAAGCUUAGGCAGAGUAUAAAGGAGAACAAUUUAGCAUUUUGGGAAAAGCACAUAUGAAGAUGUUUACAAGUUUGGAAAAUUGAGUUAAAGAAGAGAUGGUCUAAAAAUGUUUCAAAUUUCAAUUUUAUGUUUUUCUAAGUUUGAUAUAUCCUGUUUGGAUAUUUGGGAAGUCUUCUCUUGUUACAUAAGAUAGUCCUAUGAUGAGAUUUGUUAUGAAAAUAGGUUCUUCAUCGUGUGAAAUAUUCCUAUGAAAUUAAGAAGGAAUAUAGGAAGAGUUUUGAUUGAAAUUAUGAAUCUUUUUUUAUGUAAUUAGAACUAAAAUAUGAGAGUUUUAAAAUUGUAAUUACACCUUUGAAUAUAAAUAAUUGAUAAUAGUGAAUUAAUUUACCUUCUCCCUCUAGAUGUAGGUAAAUGCUAAAUUAUGUUAAAUCUUGUAUUCUCAUAUGAUUUUUUUUUUCAUUUAUUUUUCAUUUUCUUGCCCAUUUCUAACUUGCUAGUUGCUACUACAUAAUAACAGGUGGUAUCAGGCUUUUUGUGUUUGCACAACAAAUGGUCUCAGUUUUUCUAGCACCACAAAAAUGAUAUUUUACUUAAUUGCUCCUCAGUGGAAAAGUUGGAAAGAAAAAUUAAAUCAUCGACUAUACAUUUUUUUUUUUUCAAAACUUUUCUUGUCUUUGGCAAGAAAAUUAGUAUAUGAAGUAUAAAAGAAUUAGAAAAUAUUCAAAUUUUAAAUGAUUUUUAUUAUACUUUGUCCACUUCCUAUUUCAUAUAUCAAAUUACAAUAGAAUUUAAAAUUCUUUUAUAUGUUUUUUCUCCCUUUGCUACCACAUAAAUGCAAAGACAUUAUGUGAGUUAAAUACCUUAAAAGAAAAAGAAAUUAAAAUGUGAUAGAAAACAAAAGUAACCUCUUUAAAUUCAAGGAAACAAAACACUAAACUUUUUCAUGUAUCUUAUUCCAUUUAUAAAUGCAACAUGACAAAAAUAGACAAAAAUAUAAAUGGGAGCCCUUCAGGUCCUUUAUUUUAUAUUUUAUUAACUUCAACCAAUUCUAUUUCUAUAGCACAACCGAUGUUAUAAAGUUCAAUGAGUAUAUAAUAUAUAAAGAUACUAAUCAAUACGAAUUAUUCUUUCCUUCAAAUGGCUACUUGUAUUAAAAAUUAAAUGUAAUUCCUCCUAAACAAUAAAAUAUGUUGACACGAUUUCAAUGAAUAUACAGUACAUAAAGAUAUGACCAAUUAGUACGAAUUAUUCUUUCUUUUAAAUAGCUACUUGUACUAAAAUAUAAGUAAACGUAAUUCCUCCUAGAUAAUAAAAUAUGUUGACACGAGGAGGAAUAUAUUUACUAAUUAUAUCAUUUGCAAUAGCCUCAAUCUAGCGACGUUCUUCGAACCAACCAUAGACUUUAUUGAGAUAGGUUAACCAAGGGAGCUCCCACUCUCAUAACUCGUAUAUGAAAAUUUCAUCUUGUACAACUCAAAUAGAAACCCAUAAAUACUGGUUGAAACCAAAAUGUAAUAAAAAAUAAAAAAAAACAUAUUUCAAUGGAUCCAAUUAGUAUUUUUCCGAUCUCACAAACAAAUUUUUCUUCAUUUUGUUUUUUUUUCAUUAAUCUUUGUAAGUAAAUUAUAUUUUAAUUUAACAAAGCACUAAACUUUAAUUUUCAUGCAGGAUCAACUAGCUUUUCAUAAUAAAAUUUAUCAAUAUAGCUGAGCAGAGAUUUGAUGUAAUAAUACCAUACAAAAUUCAAGUAAAAUUAAAUUAAUCAAAUAGGACACUAUGGUUAUAUUUGGAUACAUAUUCUAUUUUUUAUUUUUAAAAUUAAAAUUUUGAUAUAAAAUAUGACAACCCUUUGUAUAAAAAAUAAAAAUUUAUCCUAUAAUCUUAAAACUACUUUUCAAUAUUUAAAAAAAAGAAAAAAAGAGGACGUGUCCUAAAAUUUUAAACAAAUUUAAAAAUAUUUUUAAAUACCCAAGAUAUCCACUUUUUUCUUUUUUUAAUAAAAAUUCCUAUAUUUUAAUAAAACUCUAUUUUAAAAAAUGAAAAAUAAAAAAUGUAUCCAAACAUAAGCUAAAUUGUUAGAUUUUAUUGUGAGAUUUCUUAGAUUCUACAAUUCAUAGUGAAAUGAAGAUGAGAGAUAACCGACUGAACUAUGAAAAAAAAAAAAUUAACAUUGAUGAGAUUCAAAAAUGCUAGUUAAUGAAAGAGUUUCUCCGCCAGGAUGACUAAGAAAAAUGCUGAAAUAUGUGUCAUGCCCAAAGCAAUGUUACAAUGAAGAAUAGAAUGAGAGCUAACCCGAAACAAAAUCCGACAAUCGCCAUGAAAGCCUGGAUGCAGAGGAAAUGUAACUAGAGACAUGUAAGGAAUCAUUAAGCAAGUGAGAACAAUAUCAAAAUCUCAUGUACGACUUACCUUUCCCUGAGAUUCAAACUUGAAUUUUACUGUAAACCAUGACAAUCCUCUAUCUACAAUAGGAGCAAGUGCAAGGGCCCUGCAUGAGAAGCACCUCUACAAAAAUCACAGAAAACCCAAAGGAAAAAAAAAAAGAUUAAAUAAAUAGAAACUAGUCUACCAGAAACCAGGAGGCUGCAACAAAUAAUCUCCAAAUGUCAGAUUUAAUAUUUAUUUACGAAUGCCGCUAAAAGGCCUUUUCAUCAGAGAAAUCUAAAAUAAAAAAGUAUAAGGAGCCAUUUGGAUUACAGAGGUCAAAGAUUGGGUUGGAUAGGAGCAAGUUUAACCUCUCAGUAAAAAUGAAAAUGCAAGGCCCAUCAUCAACGCUAGGUUCAAAAAUUGACACCAUUUCUUGAAGACUUUCUUUUUUCAUUCUUCAAUUGUCAUUUUGAUUCAAAGAAGCGGCAGCAUGAUAGACUAAACAAUCAUCAUAAACCCAGUUGCAAGUUAUAAGGAUAAGAAAGAAAAUGAACAAAAAACAUAUAUGAGAGAACUGAUAGGCCAAAAAAAUCAUUGUUGAAGGAAUCGAGCAUAAAUCUCUGAACAAAAUUUAGCUGAAAUUCACUGAUUUUGGGUUAUUUUGUGAUAAGAGCAUUGCAAUAUCCCAAUAAACUGUUACGCUAACUAAAGAUUUAAAACAGAAUUUAGCUGCUUACCCUCCAGCUCUGACAAGUUUAGUGACCUGGCUGCCUGCCCACACCAUAGCCAUGAUUUUGACAAAUCUGCCAAUUGGAUUCCAUAUGUCAAGAUAUUUUGAAAAACUUGUGCAAAAAGAAACUUUUUGGAAUAAGUUUUUACCUUUCAACUGCCGCCAAAUAACCCAUCCUUCCUGGUGCUGGAGCAAUAUAAAACCUAGAAGCAGCAUAGUGAAUUCAGAGUUAUACUGGUUAUUUGAAAUCUACUCUGAACACCUAUGAUAGAGACUGCAGGAUGUGGUAAAACACUAAGGCAUAUUUCAAACUACAUUAUAAGGUAUUUGAUUAGAAAAUUAAAUAAAUAAAUAAAUAAAAUAACAUAACAUAAAAUACAAAAAAGAAAAAAAAAAUUAACAAACUGAAUUUGUCCAUAUGCAACAAUAUGCAAUUGUUAGCCAUGAAUCCCAGUUAUGUCGGUUUCCAGUAUUAAUAAUUAAGCAUGAUGUUUAUGAACUAGACCAGCAUUCUAAUAACUCUAGAUUGAAGGGCAUGGAUGUCACAUUUGUAUUCCAUCAUGUGCAACUAACAUCACAUUGAAAUAAUAUCCACUAAAGCAAGUUAAGACCCAGUAUAUCAGAUUAAAAUUUUCUACCAUGAAUAUAAGCUUGAUAAAAAUGAAGAUGGAAAUGCAAUACUUCUUUAUAUGACAUAAUGAAGGGAACCAAAUACAAGGACUCCCCAUUCCAGAUGCAGAAAGCCAAGUUACAACCUUUGCCAAAUAAAGAGAUCCACCAUAAAUUCAUUUUUAGACAUGCUAUAGUUGAAUAUGCCAUCAAUAAGUGAUCAAAAGCCAAUUCAGAUGGGAAUAACAGCCACAAUGUUGGGAAGGUCAAUAACAAAAGCAUUGACUUGAAUGUUGGCAGUGUCAUUUACACUGGCCAUAAGAACCAGAGGUAAUGCAUACAGUUGGUAAGGUAGUGAGAAGGGGAUGAGAAAUUGAAAAUUCUUGAAUUUAAUUGUUUCAUGCAAUUCCGUUUUCCAAUACUCUAUACGAUAAUAUACAUUGUACAGCACAAGAAUAGGGUUGUUUUAAAAUUUUGAACAAAUAAAAAUUUCAUAUCAAUAUCUAAUAUUUAAUAAAAAAGAAUGAAACAAGAGUAAGUACAUUCUCUUCUCCUUAACAUGGUAUUAAAGCAGUCUCCAAAUUCUUAACUCCUAGUUGCAAACUUGAUUUGCACUGGAAGUUGCAGUUUGCUCAUUUUGUUAUUCAAGUAAGUUACUUCAAUCUAUCAUAGUUUAAAUGACUUGGGAUGGUAGUUGUCAUGGGCACGAAUUUUCCCACAAAUUUUUCGCAUUCACGCAGCGCUUAGAAGCCCUCUAAGCCAACAUACUCAAACCCACAUGAGAUUGCAAUCAAGAAAAAACUCACAAAGACACACAAGGCUAUGGAGCUCAAUCCCUAACUUGUAUUUUAUUUCUUCUCUAAAUAACAAUACAAGACAUAGCUUAACAAGACUUCCACAAUCUCUUUGGUGAGUUCAUGCUCUCUCUCAAGCUAUGUUUUAAGAAAGUUCCCCCUCUCAAUAUACCUCUGUAUAUUCUCUAUGAUCUCCAGAUUGCACGAUAAUUCAAAGGGCACUCCAGUCCUCCUUUUAUAGGUGUGACACCAACCACUCCCUAUUUGAUAAGGAGCAAGGAAUCCUAGUUCUACUCAAACUACAAUUAAAAUAAGAAUCUAAACUCUUAUUCAAACUCAAAUUACAAUAACAAUUUGAAUUCAACUCUGAACUUUCAAAUGUCUUCGGCCCAUUCCUCAUUCAUUUGAAACUCCUUGUAUCAGGCCACAUAUCAGCCCUUCAAUUCCCUGGUUUGUGGUGCAAUACAUCUUCCUUAAGCUUGUCCCAAUGCCAAGACAUCUUUGUUGUGUUCUGCCUGAAGUCUACCCACUCUUGUGCCUUGAGUCAGUCCAUUCAUGCAUUUGAAUCAGCUGAUGCAUCUGAUCAGCUUGCUAUAGCGUCUCUAGGCAGCCUACUACAUGUGUCUCUAUGCAACUAGUGUGCAUGCCAAGCCCUCUCUUAGCCUACAGAUCUAGCAAUUUUCCUUGGUGCCAAUCUUUCCUUUGGCUGUAACCCCUUGUUGUUCCUUGAGCGUGUCAGUCAUGCUCAUAUGUGUUCCCGCAUCUGGAUCACAUCCAUGCUGAGGCAACCUGCCCAAGUUUGCUCUGCCUAGCUGUUGUUAUGGCAUCAUGCCAUGCCCAAGCCCUCUUCUUGGUGCAGCAACGAGUCAUGGCAUUGCACCCAUGACUCCUCAUCUCUAUGCACAAGGCAUUGUGCCUUUGUGCUAAGCAUUAGGCAUCACAUCUGAGUCGGCUUCCCUUAUCUCUAUGCACAAGGCAUUGUGCCCUUGUGCCAAGCCACCUCAUUGCACAAGGCAUUUCCCCCUCAUGCUACCAUCGGGAAGGGAAGACUGCAUAGCACCCCAUGUCGUUGCAACCUUGAGUUGCACACCAUCACAUGUCAUGGAGCCCAUAUAUGGUUGCUAGCAAGGCUUGCCCAUGUGCCUUGCUCAUGUUUGAGGACUUGCACCAAAGCCCCUAAGUGUGGCCAUGCCCAUGCCACCUCGUCUCCCUUGAGUCACCCCCACCCUCACCCCCCUUAAAAGAGCAUUUUAAGCCCUUUUAAUUAAUUCAAGAAAAUCUAGAAAAUUCCGCUUCCACUUGGAGUCUCCCUUUUGAAGGUUCCUAUAAAUCUUUUAUCUCUAAGCAAAUUAACCAAGUCACUUAAUUGUUUUGCAACAUUCCUUCCCUUCCCUUAGUGUAUUUCAAGAUCUCUUAAUGAACAAGACAAUUGGUGGAGGGCAUGAAGUAAAUGGAAUUUAUCACCAUAUUGGCCCACCUCUUACUCCAAUUGCUCUACGUACUUCCAUUUCUUCUAUGUAGUGGCACACCUUUCACUUCGCAUCUUUAGCAUAUGGGACUUCUAGUUAUAUUGGACUCCAAGUUAAAGCACCAAGUUUGUGAGUCAAGCAAAUAGCAUCACCAUAGUGUUGUUCUAGUCCUUUUUGUUCUAUAAUCAAUAAGAGGAGUACUAGUCCUUUUCAUCUUGUUCAUUUAGACAUUUACAGUUUAUGUAGUGUUGUUCCUAAUGUUGAACUAAACUUUUUUAUUGCUAUUUUAUUAAUUAGAUCAAUGAAAAUGGUAUGAGCAUAAAGAGGCUGAAUAAUAGGUACUAAUCUCUUAAAAAAACCUAUCUUGUAGAAACAUCAUCAGGUGACUAUGCACAAGUAAAUGGUCUGAAAAGGCGUGAGAAAAACAUUCAUUUUUGUGCAACAACCAAGUAUUUGCAUCUUAAUCAACCAAAGAAUAAAUGGCUGAAGACAAUAAAUGACUGAACAAAAAGAAAAUCAUAAGUUUUAGGCCAGACACUUUUUUCAUCAAUUAUAUACAACAACAAUAAAUCAAAUAGUCCAAAAUUUCAAAAGAAUAAUGCUCAGCAGCUAUGCAUACUCACAAGUCACAAAUACCUCAUCCUUGACUAAUUUACAUGAAUGAAUUAUUUACUUACCAUACCAAGAGAAACGUUGUAAGAUAGUAUGCAGUAUUCAGGAGUCCAUAGGAUAAUAUUCCAGAAAUUCCAUAUCUCUUCAGUUUCUUUAGAAGACUGAAAGGUUAAGCAAGAAUGAGCUCUCAAUGUAAGUAGACAUGCAUUUCAGCGUACAAAGGGCAAAAGGAUUGAGGUAUCACUUCUUACAGAUUGUUUGCAUGAAAUUCAGUAGUAGAAGAGAAAUUAAAAUGAUUGGGACAAGAUCACUCAUCCAAACAAUAGUUUAUUUACAUAGAAAAGGUCUAAAGCAUAAUCAUGCAGUAGACAAAAUGAAUCUUUUGUGUCAUGUUCCAAUAAUGUUAACAAACUACAUUAAAUUUGUAAGGUUACAUAGAAAAAGAAAGAAAAGACAUUGUUACAAUAGUUUGGUUGUUACACUGCUAGCACCCAGACUACGACCAAAUCCUUGCAUUGAAAUUGAAUUUCAAACUCCCAAUGUGAAAAAGGAAGAUACAAAAAAGAAAAGAAAAACAGGAGGAAAAAAAAAAAAAGAGGGAAAGAAAAGAAACAUGGGAUUUCCAUGUAUAAUACAUACAUAUUAUAUCUAUAGAUAAAUGCAUGCAUGUGCAUAUGUCAUAGAGGCUGGUCAAACACAUUUCAAGAAGUUUGACAACUUGCUUUGGAAUGACAAACACGUGGAUCAAUAAAUGGCUUGUCUCCAUUAUUGAGAAAUUGCAGGUAAAUUUCAUCCACUACAGGCAUGGGGUGGCUGGACAAAGUUAUGCCAUUUGGUGGGAUGUAGUGGACUUAAGACAGAAAAUUCUCAAUCAUUCUUCUGUCCCUUGUGCAGUGUUGAAGCUGACAAUAUUAUUGAGCAUACAAGGAAUGUGAUGUAAAACAUCAUUGAGGAGCCAUGAGCUGCGAAUGCAGGGAGAAAUUAAGUUACAAUUAAGUUUUGGUGAGGGAUUUUCAGAUGCAGAUCAUAUGGCAAAUUAACUUCAGAGAAUUGCAUGUUUUUAUUCAUUUCCAUACACAUUGAAUAAUCAUAUUUAAAAUCCCUCAUUCACUUGUUUCGCUUCCAUUAGUGCUCCUUCCACAUGUGUAUUAGCAGCACAGACCUCAUGAUAGUUUUGUAAAGGUAAGACAAUAAAAUUGAAAAAUACAGCUAAAGCCUAAAAUAUUGGCUCAUAAAAAGAGAAACCAUCCAAGUUCUAUCUUAAAUGACUCUACAAGUUCUAAACAGGGAGACAAGGACUUCAACCUGGUCCAUCAAUGCAUAUAAAUGGGUAAACAUUCCAACAACCAUUACGUUAGAAGUACACUAAAAGAAAAUUAUUAAACAAUGUUGUUUCCAAAAAAAUUCCAUGUUAAAGAAUAGAAGAACAUACCGCUAUAAAUGAAAUUCAUUCAAAACAGUUCAAACAGUAAAGUUAAGAAUUGUGACUGCAUAUUUUUUUUUAAAAAGAAACAAGAAUUGUGACUGCAUAUCACCACACUUGUUUUAUUUAUAAUCCACACAAUGUAUUCUUCCCUAGCAUGUUAUCCCAUUAAGUAACCUCCAGAUAAAAUUCCCUUUCUGACUCUGUCAAUCAGUCAAAAAAUUUGAUGUAAAAUGUAAAAUACAUGGGUACACAAAAACAACUAUAUAAACUGCCAUCCCAUUAUUAAUAAAUCAGUAGGUCUAUAACAUAGACUAAUAGCAUUGUAAGGCAAGUAGGAAGUACUCUUUUGAUGUGUGCAGUUCUCCUUCACCAUUUUCGCCCUUUGCACUUGAGUCUAUAAAAAUAUGUAUAAGUAGAUUUUUAGAAAUAUCAAGUUUAUCAAAUGUAAAAUAUGGUAUCACAGAAAGCUACACCAUUUUUCUAGUUAUCAUUUGAAAGAUAUUGAUACCUUCAUGGUUGGCAGAGUAGUCAUGACCAUUUGACAUGCCAGAAGCCUAACCUACAACAAAGGCAAUGUUGAAAAAGCAAUAUUCAAAAUUCAAUGAAAAAAACAGAAGACAAACAAAUGAACAAAUAGCAAAUCAUCACACUCAAUUGUUUUCCAAAAAUGAAAAACCAAAUGAAAGGAACAAGGAAUAUAUUGAGAAAAAAACCUAUGAUCAAUGGAUAUGCAGUUGCAUUCUAGCACAUAUAGAGGAUCAAACAAGUAACUAAUCUAGACAUAGCUGCAACAAAUUUGUGUAUCUCUGAAUGCGUGUCUGCUUUUUGUGGGGGGAUAUUUAUUAUGACAUGUUCUUAGUGCAGACAAACCAUCUGCAUUUACUUGAGGAUUAGGUGAACAUACUUUCCAUUUAAAAUGAGGCCUUGAACAUCAAGCCUCGGUGAGUUUUCAAAUAAGGAAAAUGUAAUAGCUUUACAAUGAGUCCCAUAGCAAGAAGGCAUAUAAUUCCAUUCAUCAGCAUACCAGAAUAUAGAAUAGUGUGGACAUGUGGACACAUGCCAGAAUUAGCAUUGGACACACUAACAUGCCAGUCAUGCAUAGAAAGAAUUUCCAAAGAUAUUAAAGUAAAACACUGGUAGUAAGCAAAUUAGACCCUGAAAAACAUGCAAGUAUAGGCCAAGAUCAAAUCUUAAUUUUAAUUUCCAGAAAAAUAAAUAAAUUAUAUCAACCAAUAGAAAUGGUAUCACCAGCAAUUAACACCAAAGCACACCAACAUAUCGGAAUGCAUAACACGUGUACCCAUCUCCAAUCAGCAUUACACCUGUACAAGUUAGCCUGUAGCAGGUCAUAAUAGGUUCAGACUAUAAAACCUUCCAAAUCUUCCUUUGCAGGGCUUAGAAACCAUUUUCUAAGUAAUUUGCAGUUUUAAAAGCCUGUGACAAAAUUUUGGAUGAAGAGCUUGAACUAUAUACUCACAAACCCACUCCAAAAUUUCCUUAAGGUAAUACACAUUUUUUGAAGUCCUUUCCAAUGUCUUCUCUUAUUUGAGUUAGAAAAGCCAAUGUUUUUAUGAAUUGACUACUACGGCUGUUGAGGUUUGAGGUGUAUAACUAAUUUCUUAAUAUAUCAUAAUUUACAUCAGUCAUUAGAAAUUAAGGUUCCAUCCUUUUACACUAAGAAAAUCCUGAGAGCAAUUAAAAAAUACCUUCUUUUAUAUUAUUAAAUUUAAGUUUCCUUUAGGUCUUUGAGUCUAAUAGAAAUUAGUGUAAAAGGAAUUUUAAUUUUCUUACACUAAGAAAAUAAAAAUAAUAGGCAAAAUAAUUUUCACAUUUUGGAACUUUAUAGGUAAUGCUUAUUAAAAUAAAGCAACAAAGUUUGUCAUUUGCCAUUGAAUGAACCAAUUGUGGAAAACUAUGCAAAAAAUUUUAUUAGUAUGGAAUUUUUUUUUUUCUGCCAAUAUAUAGAAUUCAAUUUCAAACCUGCCCCUCCCAACCCACCACUUGCUGCUUGAGGCAAGCUUAGAGGCAGAAAAAUAUUUGCAAUUCUACGUAUGGAUAAAAAUUAUUUCUUAGAUUUUAUGCCAAUUCCAUAUUUAUAGGUAUCAAUUUAUUAUUCUACUGUUGUCAGAAGCUUCAAUUUUGGGCGUCCUCAUGGCUAUGCCACCCUUAAAUGAGAACAACUUUGGUCUUCUGUUUUUCUUUUUGAGCUCUUCAAAUUUUUGCAAGUUACUUCUAUCCAGGUUCUAGGAAACACCCAUUUUUUUAAAUCUCCAAUAAUUUAGGGUUCUGUGGCUGAGGGAAUAGACUUAUUUUUGGUUGAAGCACACAAAAUUCUUGGCUAUUUUUUUUUUUUUUUUGGCAUCAGGUCCUUUUAGGUUGAUUUUUCUACUUAUUUUUCACCCACCAAUUAACAUUGCCCUAACUCUAUUAUCUACCCGAGCAAAUGUUUAUGAACUAGCAAAUCAUACUAAAAUUUCUUACUAGUUGACAUGUGCAUCAUCUCAGCAUGUCAUUCCAACACCAAACUACAACCAUAAUCUCACUAACAUCCUAACUGCCUCAAUGAGUAUGGAUUACAGAAAUACAAUUAAAAUAUACUUCCCUAUUUAAUUUCAUAAUUUUUAUAAUAAUAUUUCGGCAAUAUUUCCACAUAGUAGCUUAUGUGGGAACCCUAGGAAUGCUGGGAUUGAAACCCUGGAUUGAAACAAGAGGAUUGUGAGAGAGAAUUGGAAAUUGAAGAAACAAACACAAAAAAUAAAUCCAAGAAAUAAAAAAGAAGCGUAAAAAUGAAAUAGAGAAGAGUGUGUAUGACGCACCUGAUGAUGUGAAAGCAGCUUCAGCUGGUGAAGGCAAACUUUCGACGGGAGAGACAUGAGCAUACCGGCCUCCGACAACAAUCCCUCCAAAAUAUUCUUUCUAUACCAUUUAUUAUUAUUAUUAUUAUUUUCAGGUUAUUUGAAGUGUAAUGUCUAGCUAUACCAUUUAUUAUUGUUAUUAUUUUCAGGUUAUUGAAGUGUAAUGUCCACCAUGAAGCCCUUAGAACUCUCCAUGGACCCUAAAUCUCGGGAUGCUAAUCACCCUAUAAUAACCAGCAUAGAGUAUAUUCAAAGUAUCAUUAAUGACAAAUUUUGAACUUAGGACCAUAUGUCAUUUACAGAGACCACACUUCUUAAUGUUCAUCCUUAGCGACAUACUCAUAUAUACCAAAUUACCCGAUAAUAUGCUUUUCCUAUUUUCUCAUUUUUAGAAAAAAAAAAAAAAAGAAUAACUUCUAUUUUUAAAAAUUUAAUUUUUUUUUAUAAGUAAAUUUUUGUUCUCAUUAGGACAUGUGGAACCUCCCACAAGUCCUCUUGAAUCCUUUACCACUUGAGUCAUGCCUUAAUGGCUUGUUUUUUUAAAAAAUAAUAACAACUUUUAUAUAAAAAAAUACUUAUAAAAAAUAUAUACAUGUCAUUAAAAGUCUAAAAAAAUAUAACUUUGUUAAUAAUUUUUAAAAUAAUUUAAUGUGUUAAUUGUUCUUAAAAACUAUAAAUAACCUAGAAAAGAAUAGUAUGUUUGACCAAAUUGUUAUAUGGUUUUAAAUAGUCACCUUAACAAUGUUACAAGUGAGUUGAUUAAUUUAUGGUAGAGAAGAAUUACAAUAGAAUUCAAUUAGUUAUCGCAUUUGAAGUCUUUGAUUAUUUGUUGAAUAAUAUUUGCAGCCAAUUAGAUAGGGUUGGCUAACCCAAGCCAAACCUACUUACUAAUAUGUCCAACCUAUGCUAAACUCGAUUCAAAGUUAGGUUGGUAGUUACUAAACUCAUUGACAACUAAAGUUUCUAUGGAUUCCCACGAGUUUUCAUGGAUUAUCAAAUAAACCACAUAUAAUGGAAUCUCCUAAUAUAUAAAAGACAUAUUUCAAAAUUAUAAAUUAAACCAUAUUAUAAAAUAAAAUUUUAACAAAGUCAUAAAUUAUAUUCCUAGUGACUAAUUUUAAUGGUAAGAUGAAACACAAGUGUGAAUAUUUAAAAAUAUUUUAAUAAUUAAACAAAAAUGAUAAACUUAUAGUGUAAUGUAAUAAAACUAGCAAAAGUUAUAGUUCUUUCAUUAUCCCUUUUAUAAAUUUCAUAUUUUAAAUAAACUAAUAAAUAAUAUAAUAGUAAUGAAUUUGCUUAGUCUUCAUCAUGUAGAACCAAUUUGAAGAAAUUUUUUUUAAUAGGACUGAUUAAUGACUUAAUUAAGGGUAGGUUACAGCUAAAAUAUUUAGUAGGACUGAUUAGUGACUUAAUUAAGGGUAAACUACAGCUAAAAUUUUCCUAGUAGUCUUCCACUAUGACAAAUUGUGGGAACUAGUAGUGGCCUGUCCAACCUAUAGAGGAAACAAAUAGGUGAGUGAGUUAUUGAAUAUGUGGCUGAGAGUGACCAACCAUUGAGGCUCACAUGAAGUUGUAGUGGCUGAGAGGAAGGGAUAAGAGACCAAAAACAUGCUCAGGGAGAUUCUUGUUAGGAUCAAAUUGGGGGCAUAGAUAUAUCUCUUUGGUAAGAGUUCCCAUAAUUUAGGUAUUAAUGAAAUAGGUAUAAAAGAAUUAUAUAUCUUGAUAUGAUCAUGUUGUUAAUGAUGAUCUAAUGAGUUGAAAUAUUAUGUUUUCAACUGUGUAUAUCUAAUAAAUACAUCAAGUGCUUAAACUUUAAUAUAGAAAUGGUCCACAAUGGCUUGUAUGACUCAUCGUCUUAUAAACAUAUUAUUUAGAUUAGGCUAAAGUGGUCAAAGUAAGAAGAAAAAUUGAUACUUGAUUUGAAGUAUAAAGAAUUCUUCUUAGACUUUGUGUGUAGUGUUGUUAGCUUAUUGUUGUGUUAAAGUCUAUUUUGAUGUAUUUUGGAAAGAAUGACCAACUAGAACCACAAUAAGAUGUUGCAAAACUUAUUUAAACAAGGGCUUGUGAGCAAGAUUUUUUUUUUUUCCUUUUCAUGUACAAAUAGUAUGAUGAAUGAAAAUUUGAUUCUCGAUUGUAAUUAGUAUUUUCUUUAAGUUUUAAAUCAUGCAAUGAAUACUUAAAAUUAGCUUACGAUGUCAAAGAAUGUAAGUAAACAAGGUUUUACAUGUUGGAUAUAUAAUAAAUUCAAAACCUUUACCUUCCACAUUGAAUGAUUACAUUUUUUCUUUAAGUGCCCUUUAAUCAUUCUCAUUUUGUUUAAUCAUUUUCUCUAAUGUCUUGAGCAUAGUAGAUUUCUAUAAAUUUACAUGAGCAUUCCUUAACUCUUCUUGAGUGAUCCUAAACUUAGCAUUGAAACAAUCAUAAUUUAGGCGAAGAUGCUUACACGUCUUCAUAAUCAUCCUUGGUUGCUAGCCAUUUUUCCUUAAUUACUUUAGGAUGUUUAGUGAAGAUGAUUACAAAUAUUAACUAGUUCACUCACACAUUUUUGUAUGAGUGUAGAACAAUUUUGCAUUCUUUCCACAUCACUUAUGCAUCUUCGUUCCAAGAAAGAAGAUAUAGAACUCUUAUCUUUUGCCUACGCCACUUGGUUCUCCAGCCCAUUAUGCUUAUGCAUCCUUUUUAUAUCACAUAUGCGACUUGCUUCUCAUUAAGAUAUUUCACUUACAUGUUCUUGUAUAUGCAUAAUUUAGGGAAAAAUAUUUUAAAAUAGCAAAAUAGAUUUUAAUACAUAUAUUUGGAACAAUUAAACUCAAACUAUGCAAGUGACCUUGUCUACUAUGUAGGUGACUUUGUUUACUACAUAGGCAAAGUAUAUGACAGUGAUAGUCAAGGAAGCUAUGUGGUUGCAUGGUUUAGUGGAGAAUUUAAGAGUAAAGCAAGAUCACAUUGUGAUUUAUUAUGAUAAUGGGAGUGCCCUAAAUUUAUUUAAGAAUAAAAUUCAUCACUCAUUGGUAAGGCAUAUUGAUGUCUAAUUUCAUUUUAUUUAAGAGAUUCUAGAAGAAAGUCAUAUCUUAUUUUAGAAAGAUUACUAAUGUUAAUGAGGUAGGUCAUAUUUAAAUGUGAUCCAUGUUGAAAGGAUCAAUGUACCUUUAGGUGUGUAGUAGCAAAAAAAUUCUAUUUGGACCUAUGUUUUUCUCUUGGAACCUCAAUUCUUUAUUUUUUUUAAAGAAAAAGUGGACAUAUCAAAUUAAGCAACAUCAGUCUUUUAUUUUUUUCAUUCUUGCUUGGUUUUUGUCUUGAAUUUAGAGUGGAGAAGAUGUAAUAAAUGAGUAAGGAAAGAGGUAGAAAAUAAAGAUAACAUUAGAACUAGGGAUUGUAAAAGAGGAAGAAGAUGAGGACAUUUUUGGCAAUGUUGCAUGUCAAUUUUCUAUUUAAUGAUUCCCCUAUAAUAGUUUUCAUAUUCAUUAACUCUCUCUAAACUAAGCAACAUAUUUCUUAAAUAUUUUAAAUUCUUAUUUAUUCUUAAACUCUUUCAUUCUCAACCGGCCUUUUCACCAUUCUCACAAACCUAAAAUUUGCUCUCAAUUUAUUUCAAUAAUGUUGACAUAAAAGUAAAUAGGUAAGUCAACAUUCAACUUUUUUUUUUUUUUACAAACCAAAAUCUAAUAUUUUUGUUUAGAAACAAAAAUUGAACAAAAAUGUAUAAACUAAGAGAAAGAAAAAGUAAAAACUAGAGACUUGUAAUUGUAUAAAUGUCAAGAUUUCAAGUUAGUAAUUUAUGUCAAUAUUUGUUUUUUUAUUUUUUUUCUUGAUUUUUAUAUACCAUUUUAAUUAAUAUUUUCAAUUUUGUGAUUGAAGUCUCAAGAAUUUAUGUUAUGCUUAUUUUAUUGUUUCCAUGUCAAAAACCAAUGUGAAAUUAGUAUGACAUGUACACUUAUUAUUUUGAAGCAUAGUGUUGAUAUCUUAUUUUGUAAAACCCAUGACGAUCAAUCAUUGUCUCUCAUGUGUCUCAUUUAUGACAUGUGAGUUUGACUAAUUAUAUAGCAUCAUGCCUCAAAGAUUAGUGUUACAUAUCCAAGACAUCUCUCUAAUAAACUUGACAUUCAUUACACUUUUCUUACCCUUAAUCUUUCAUACAUGGAUAGGUCCAUGUUCUACCUUCAUAUCUCCUAUGCCAUAGUGCUACAUUGUUUGAAAAUGAAUUUUUAUCUUCAAUAAGAUCCUAAGUCACAUGGAUGACUAUGAAGCAUGGAUGUCGCCCAUAGUGAAUGUCGAGGAGAGGGGUAGGGGUGUUUCUUACUCUAUUCUUCCUAAAGAUGGUAUCGCGUGCUUCUGAUAAUUGUUUCAUUUUUAAUCUAGAAAAUGCAUGCUUCCUAAAAACUAAUAGUUGUUAUUGGUUUAUGAUCUUUUAUACCCUCUUCUAAUAUGUCAACCUUAAAAUAAUGCCUUGAUGUUAAUAAAUCUACCUAGUUCAUGAGCAAAGCUUAAGGUUAUGAAAUGGACUUUGUGUCAUUAGUUGUAAAUCUAGUUUCCCUACCCAUUAGCAUUUCAAGAUUAGUUUGAGGGUCUUGGUUUAGUAGUUAGAUCUUAUACUUACCAAGGUCGGAUCAACACGCAUUGAUCUCAUUUUAGCUUAAAUGAGAGAGAUGACAAUUGUGUCUUCAUUAUAGGUGUCAUAUGAAGAAGUUUGUAUAUCCUUAUAGAAUAAUUAAUAUUCAAAAUACUAUUUCAGAGCAUUAUAAAAAAACUUCAUUUCUAGCCAAAUGAAAAAGAGUGAUAUUCUUGGUCUCUUUGAUCCUACUACCACCAUUUCCACCCAAUCAUCUACUCUCACUUUGCUUUGCUCUCAUUUUAAACUCUUGGCACAUUUAAAACUUUCAAGUUUUAGUUGUAAGCUUAUAGAUACUAUUUUAGAAAAAAAAUAAAAUUGCAAGUGAGAUCUAAUAUUUUGUUUUGAGAAAAGUAUUGAAAAAGCCCAAGGCUUAGAAACUUUGAUUUACCUAUGUCUAAUUAUGAACUUUCGAAUGAAGAUAACAAUGUUAUAUAAUUUAAUAGUUGAAGAGAGUUAGAAGGUUUUUUCUAAUUUUGGAGCAUGAUGUACAUUAUGAGCCUAAGUCAUGACAACUUAAGUCGCUAGGAAGAUCAGUUGCUUAACAUGCCAAUAGGGUCUUGUUUAGUGGGGGUUUGUGUGUUUGAAUCUCACCUCAUUAUUUCCAUGAUUUAUUGAGCCUCAAUGUAAGUCUAAUAUGAGGUUAGUUGUAUAGGAAAAUUUUUCUCUCCAUGUGUGGUAUGGGGUUGUAGUGAGAGAGAGUGUUAAAGAAUGGGAUUAAAUCUUAAUAGUUUAAGCUUUUAGAAAAAUCAAAAGUUCAACUUGGCAUUAGAGUCUUAUUUAUUCAAAGGUUAUUAGUUUGGACCUCAAGACAUAUUAUUUCCCUAAUUUAUUGAGCAAAAAGAAGGCUAGAUAUGAGGUUGCUGAUGAGAAGUUAAUGGAGGGUCCUGAGUCCAAGUUCUCCCCUCAUUAUUUAUCUAUCUAAUUAUUUAUGACCAUAAAGUGCUUCUCAUGGUAGGUAUGGGCUCACAUAUGGGGGGAGGAGGGGUGUUGGAGCAUUAUAUAUGUUAUGUGCCCAAAUUCUAACAACUUAGUUAAGCUUUUAGGAAAAUUUAUUAUCUAAAAUUAAUAUUGUUUUGUAAUCAAAGUAAAAUCAACCUUAGUUAUUCAACAUAAUAAAAAACAUUAGUUUCCUGAUUGAAAAUGGUAAGGACUAAGUAAACUGAUAUAAAAUAGAAUGUUAUUAUAGUUUAUGGGGUGAAGUAUUAGCACUAUAAAGUUAAGUAACUAAUUUGCUAAAAUUACUAGCUAAAACUUGAAAAGUCUUAUCAAAGUGAAAAAGAAAAUAAAAUUAAACUCUUUAUUUUACAUAAUAGCAUAUCUAUAUCCCCUUAAAUUAUGAAAUUCAUGUUGUUUUUUCAAAAAAAAAAAAGAAAGAAAGAAAGAAAGAAAAAAAAAAAACCUAGAAAUGCCUACUAAAAAAAAGUCGAUUGAUACACUCCCUAACCAUAAAAUUGAGUUGUAAAUAUAAAUUAUAGUUCAUCCAAGUCUUUAUACGACUUUAAGAAAUCAAUAGCUAGUUUCAUUUACACCAUUGGUUCGUUUUUUUUUUUUUAUUCCAUUGAAAAGAAAGCAAUAAAAAUGAAUUGAGACAAAAAUGAGAAUACAAUCCAUAAAAUAUCAAUAGAUUUGUAAACUCAUUAUAAAGUUCAUAAAUCUUUAGAUAAAAAAAGCAAUAUAAAGAGGUAAAAAAUUAGGAACUAUCAAGUUGAAAAAUAGAGUGUAUGGUAAAAAAUAAAAAAUAAAAAGAUAAAACAAACAACAUUUUAAAGUAAGGGUACAAUAGUUAUUAAAAUGAAUCACAAUAAAAGUUUUCUAAAAAUUGAAAAAAAAGAGGAAAAGUUUUUGGUAUGCUUUUAUGGUUUAGGGGGUAAAGGUUCAUAAUACUCGUCAUUUUAUCAUCUUUAUAGGAAAAAAAAUUUAGACUCAACUUUAUCACAACUCAUAUGAGUUAAAAAUUUCUUGAAUGUAUUUUCUCUCAAGUUUCUAAUGGAUACCCCUUUAUCAAAGGUGUGGACAUUGAGCUAAAUUCACCAUUAAAAUUCAUCAAGUUUCUAUUUUCCUUUUCCUAAUUCAUCAAGCUAUAUUUAUGAAAUAUCCUCAUUCUUCAUUAGUAAUAUCAUAUUGUCAAAAAAACCCUUAAUAGAUCUACACCUAUCACCAGUUAAUAGAUAAAAUAACUUAACAAUUAGUUUUAAGUUUUAAGGACUUUACAAGACAAGCUAAGAACCUCAUAUUGUUUGCACACAAUUGACAAGUUGAUUUGUUUUAAAAAGUAAAAUGCUAAAGAAAAUCCACAACACGUGUUGUUUUAAAAAUCUUUGUAUUUAUAUGACAAAAAAAAAAAAGAACCAAUAGUUUAAAUUGGAAAAGUUUAUGCAAAUUAGAUGAGGAAAAUGCAAGCCAUAAAAUAACAUUCAAACGUUAUCAUUCUCUAAGAAACAUCAAGAACAUAUUGAGAGAACCAUUACUCAACAUAAUAAAUUUGUCUUGAAAGGAAAAGAAAAUCAUCAAAGCAAUCAUAUUUGUGAUGCAUUCUGAUUUCCAUAGUGUUUCCAUAUUUACUAUUAGGAUAAAAAAAUGGAAGUUGAAAAUUAUGGCAAUUCCUUGAGACAAUGAAUUAGAGUAGUAGAAAAGGAAAAAAAAUAAAAAAUAAAGAGAAAAAUAUGGUGAGUGAAAAAUAUUUUAACCCCAUAAAUUUUUCUUUCACAUCUCUUUAAAUUUAUUAAUAUCAAUUCUUUUCUAAAUAAACAAUGAAAUUUUUGAAAUUUCUUGAAAUUUAAACAUAUUUACUAGUUGUAUCAUCUCCAGUCACCUAAAUCUCAAGAUGUUCUUCAAAUGAAUUAUAGACUUUAUUUAGAUAGGUAAACUAAGGGGACUCCCCCUCUAAGAACUGUAUAUAAGAAUUUCAUCUCAUACAACUCAAAUAGAAACACCUAAACACUAGAUGAAACGGAUAUAUAAUAGAAAAAUGUAUUUCAAUGGAUCCAAUUGGUAUUUUUCCUGUCUUAGAUAAACAAACAAAUUUUUCUUCAUUAAUCAUUGUAAGUAAAUUAUAUUUUAAUUUUAAAAAGUACUAAACUUUAUUUUAAUUUUCAUGUAGGAUCAACUAACUUAUCAUAAUUAAAAUUUGUCUCUAUGGCUGAAUAGAGCUUUGAUGUAAUAAUACUAUACAAAUUUCAAGUAACACUAAAUUAAUCAAAUAGGAAACUACAGUUACGUUUGAAUACAUAUUCUAUUUUUUAUUUUUAAAAUUAAAAUUUUGAUAUAAAAUUUUUUUUUAAAAAUAUUUUAAAAUAAUUUCAAAUACACAAGAUAUUGACUUUAUAUAUAUAAAAGUUCUUAUAUUUUAUAUAAAACUCUAUUUUAAAAAAAUAGAAAUAAAAAAAUGCAUUUAAACAUAUGCUAAAUUGUUAGAUUUCAUAGAUCCUACAAUUAAUAGUGAAAAUGAAGAUGAGAGAUAACUGACUGAACUAUGAAAAGGAAUUAAAAUUUAUGAGUUUCAAAAAUACUAGUUAAUGAAAGAGAUUUUGUGCCUGGAUGACUAAGAAAAAUGCUGAAAAAUGUGCUAUAGAGUGGCUUUUCCUUUCUCCUCUUGCUAUAUAUGCAUAUCAUCCCUCUUUUUUAUCUCGUUGAACUCAACAAAUUCUCAUUUGUUCUGAGAAAAAAAAGAGAUUAUGUUAUAUGAUGGUAGGACUUUAUUCUGUUAUGGAAUAUGCACACCCUAGAUCUAUUGGCUAGAGCUAUACAGUAGGUUGUUGGCUUGUUUAGCAUUGUCUCUUUUUUGGAUAGGUUUGGACAAUGCCUCUUGAUGUUGCUUUUUGGUAAUGUAUUUUUCUUUGAUUUUUCAUGAAAAAUUCCACAUUUUGAGAUUUUCACCAUAUUAGAGUCUUUGGAAUUGGUACUUGUCUUGACACAGUUAGUAGGAAUCAUUUUCCCCAAGCUACAUAACACAUGUCUGCUAAUUGGUAAUGUUCCAUUGGCAUUUAUAAACUCUCCUGUCAAAAGUGAAUAUGCUCUAACAUUUCAAAUAGUGUGGUGUUGUACAUAGGUUGGUAAUUGAGGAUUUUAUUAUGGAUUUUGUCCUAUUCUGGUCGUGCCAACAUGUUCUGUCUUGUUCUUUGUCUUACUGAUUUGGGUGGUUGCGCGUCAUGUUUCUACAAGCUGUAUUUUUAAGCUUCAGGAGCAAAGGUAUUUUGGUUCUACCAUUUAGAUGAUGGUACUAAAGCAUUUGUAUUAUGGAUUGCACAACCCCUUAUAUGGGAUAUCUUUGCACCAAUUGUUUGGUAAUCAAGAGAACUCUCAUAUUAAACAAAGUCAUCUUCUAUUAGUAAUAAUAAUAAUAAUAAUAAUAAUUGUGUGAUUUGGAUGCUUGUGAGUGACGAACAAUAGGGUUGUUUAGGUGUUGUUGGGUAUUGAAAAGUAUAGUAAUAAUAAUAGUAAUUUUUUUUUUAAAAAGUUUUAAUUUAGUUUAAGUAUACAAAAGAAAUAAAUUGUUAGAAUAGGAUUUGGAAGAAAUAUGAGUUUAUAAAAAAUUUGGAAAUUCAUUAAAUUAUAUUAUUAUUGUUUAAGAAGUUGAAAGUAAUAUGGGGUGGUAAUAAUAUUAUCAUACGAAAUUAAUUAGGAUCCCUAAUACUAAAUAAAAUAUCUUUAGGAUUGUCAAAUUUUUACCUUUAGAUAAUUGUGUAUGAUAUUAUAUUAGGUGGGGAGUAAAUUCAUCAAGCUAAAUACUUCAAGUUUUUGAGUGCUUCUUCAAGGUAAGGGAAAUUAAUGCAGAUUUUUAUAAAAGAAAAUAAUUUUCUUUUUAUAUUGUAUUUUGAAUUGUGUAAAAAUAUUAUUUUUAUCUUUACACAUGGAUCAAAUAUAUGUUUUGUAUGGAAAGUAUGUUUGAGCAUUUUCUUUAUUUAUGAAAAAUGAAAAAUUGAGGAGAUAUGAUGUUUUGUUUUGUAAGUUUGAAUUAAUGAAAUAAAGUGUUUGACUUUGGAUUAUAUGACCCUAGUAAACGAGUUAUAAUUGUUAACUUUUUUUGUCCUAGUCAACGAGUUAUAAUAGUUGAUAUUAUAUGGCCCUAGUCAACGGGUAAUAAUAGUUGACCUUAUGGUCAUAGUCAAUGGGUUAUAAUAGUUGACCUUAUGGUCCUAGUCAACGGGUUAUAAUAGUUGACCUUAUGACCCUAGUCAAUAGGUUAUAAUUGUUAACAUUUGGUUUUGUUCAUCUUAAAUGGAACAAAUUUGAAACUAGUUACUCAAUUGUGAAGUCCCACCUAAUUGGGCACCAUUUAUCAUACGAUAAUCAGAGUAAAGAUAUUUUGAAUGUAUUCGAUUUGGUUUUGAAGAGAAAUUGUUUUGAAAUGGAUAUGAGAAAGUUUUGUUAAAAAGUAUGAAUGUAUUAGCAUUUUGAACUCAAAAGUUUUUAUGAAAAUAAGUAUAUAUUAUAUCUCCUAUUUGCAAGCAUAAUUGAAAACGUUUGAUCCAUGAAACUGUAUUAAUGUUCCUUACUAUGCUUUGAGCUCAUCCCCUUUUGUUGAUAAUCUUUCAAGCAACCUCAGUUCGGGUGAGAAGUGACCGUUAUGAGGGAAAUUCGGCUUUAUUAGGACAUUUUUUUAAACUCUUUUUAUUUUGGAUAUUGUUUAGAUGUUAAAACUUAAUUCUUGUUUGAAUUAUUUUGAGUUUUGAGUUAUUUGGACAAUAACACUUUGGUUGAUGUAUUAGUUUUUUUUUUAAAGGUGAUACUUGGAGAUUUUAGAAUUUUGUCUUACUACUUUGAACAGAGAUUUGAUAAUUGGUAAAUUUCUAGUUAUAAUACGAAUGUUUGUGUCGCUUCCACUUUGAGCUUUUGGACUCGAGGUGUGAAAUGACCGUCAUGUCCUUGAAGUGGGUUUUGGGGCAUGACAUAGAGAGAUACCUAUAAGACUUUUUGGACUAUUGGGUUUGGAAUACUUGAAUUUAUUAUAUAAUUAUCUCGAUAGUCAGUUUCUUAAUUUGGAAAAAACGCAUAGAUUGAUGGUACUGAAUUUAUCACUUAAUUCUUUGUCAGGUCAGAUCCUAGAAAAUAUUUCCAAUCUUUGAAACCUAACGCCAUUGAACAUUUCAUAACAUUGCCUCUUUGGAAUGGUUCUAAAAGAGUGGGGCUAUUAGGAGGUUUCCAAGAGCAUUCGCAGGGAUCCAGAGCUAUUCGUGCAAUCCUUGGAUAAACAAUGUUAGAUAGCACAAGGACAUGCAAGCUUGAAAUAAAUAGAGGUAUUGUAGACCCUCAAUUUUGUCCCUUGACACUUGCAUUUUAUCCUAUGGGUGUCACAUGCACCCAUGCUUUCAUAUGAUUUCUCCAUGGCCUCCUUUUGGCCUUGAUAGGUUUCUGAGCCUUGUGUAGGUUCAUUUGCGGUCCAAUGUAGUGCGGGUGUGUAGUUCAUUUUGGAGUUCCAUCAUGGCCAAGUUCCUAGUUGUCACAUCAUGCUAUAGGGAAGGAAGUGAGGCCCCCCAAAAAUUUUAGUUCAGUUGGAAUUCAUAAGAGCGGGUUUGAAUUCAGAGCACUUGGGCUUGUUUUGAUCAUAUCUCCCUCAUCCGAACUUGGAAUUGCGCACCGUUUUUUUUUUUAUGGACUCCUUAUUCGUCAAGGAAAAUUUCAAAAUUUUUUUUCUCAACCAGCUUGACCGGUUCCCAAAGUUUGAGAUUUUUUCUCAAUCGGAUGAACCGGUUGGGAACCGGUUCAACAGGUGGCUUGGUGGCAGCCCCGUUUUAUAAAUGCUUUGCAUUGUUUCGGCCGGUUCUCCCUCAUCUGGGCUCAGAAUUGAGCACCGUUUGUUUUUUGGAUUCCUUGUUCUUUGAGGAAUCUUCUGGUAAAGUUUCAGAUUUUUUCUCAAUCUGAUGGACCAGUUGGGAACCGGUUCAACAGGUGGCUUGGUGGUAGCCCCGUUUUGUAAACGCUUUGCAUUGUUUCAGCCUGUUCUCCCUCAUCUGGGCUCAGAAUUGAGCACCGUUUGUUUUGUUGGAUUCCUUAUUCUCUGAGGAAUAUUUUUAUAAAGUUUAAGAUUUUUUAUCAAUCGGAUGAACCAGUUGGGAACCGGUUCAGCAGGUGGCUUGGUGGCAGCCCCAUUUUAUAAACGCUCUGCAUUGUUUCGGUCGGUUCUCCCUCAUCCGGGCUCGGAAUUGAGCGCCGUUUGUUUUGUUGGAUUCCUUAAUAUCUGAGGAAUCUUCUGGUAAAGUUUUAGAAUUUUUUUCUCAAUUAUUCGAGCCAGUUGGGAACCGGUUCAACCGGUUAUGCUAGGUAGCUCCAGUUUCAGCGUGUUUUAACCCCCAUUUUUGUUGUGGCUUGGGCCCUUAGACUCCAAGGCACUUGUAGGCCACCUUUAGGGUCUGAAUCCAAAUUUGGUUUGAAUUAAUGUGGGCCUACCUAUGAGUCGAGGGUAUUAUUGGCUAGGAAGGUUAGGGGGUUAUUGUGAAUGUUUGGCUUGGGUACAUUUUGAUGUUUGAUUAAAAAUGCUUGUAUCUAUUGAUUUGCCCUUGUUUGCAGCGCUUGGCUGGGGACCCGAGGUACGUACUUGACUUGUUGGGAAUUGGAUUCAUUUGCAUGCGUGGGGCUUGGAUAUGUUUGCUUGUUGUGUGUUUAUAUUGCUUGACUAACCUCUUAUGUAGCGCUUAGCUAGGGACCUCAGGUACACACCUUUUAGCUUUGAUUUGUGGAGACUAAGUGCACGCUAGAUACUGAGCAGGUUCGUGUGAUCUAUGUCAUUUGUUUAGCCUGAUUGAUCAAUUGAUUUUUGACCCAUAUGCUCCCAUGUGCCCAAUUCAUUAGUAGAGAGUAGAGACCGAGUUCCAGGCCUAAAGAGGUGCUCCCUCACAUGAGGUACCUUCCCAAUAGGUAACCUGAUCCCCGGACCCAGAAUCUAGUUUUCCCAGAUUGCUUUUUCCAUAUUGGAGUCAUUAAGGGUUUUUGUUCUUACUUGAUUUUCCCCUUUAUAAAAUAAAAAUAAAAAGUAAGUGGCGACUCCAAACAAUCCUCACCGGGAACGGAUUUUCCAAAACCCAAAAACACACUUACUUUCUUAUUCUUUUAAAAAGCGUGUCGCGUCGGCCCGUGGAUCGGGUGAGAGUCCACAAAUUGGUGACUCCACUGGGGAUCGAACCUAGGAUCUCUGGUUUCAUAAGAGAAUCAAGCUUGAACUUGAAUUGGGUAUAUUGGAGCACAUGGUUCUCUGAUCAGUAGACUCUUAGGCUACAUAGAUGACUAAUGAUCACGUACUUGAUUGGUAUCUGGCUUGCACCUUUGAUGUGUUGAUGCUUGUGUGUCCACUUGAUUGGUUUUAACAUGCUUGCUCAUUGUUGAUUGGUACUUAGUUAUGAGAUUUGGGAUUGUCAUAAAUGGUCAGAUUGUGUGUAGAUUUUAUGGUAGGCCUUGCCCUUUGCGCAUAACUGUUUGCUGCAUGGCUACACUUUUUCUUGCAUGACUGUUUGCCGCUUGUGUUUUGGGGCGCGCUUGUAUCCCCUUAUUUUCGAAUUACUAGUCUUGGUUGACUAUUCCUCAUUGAUUGCUUGAGUUGUUUGGGAGUCAUUCCCAACUGUUUGCCUUCGACCAAGAUAGGGGUUUGGGAGUAGGGUCUAGCAUAAGGGUUAUAUUGAUGUUUGGGAGCACUAUGAAGAUGAUGGAUAUCCGAGCAAUGAAGAUCUGUAUAGCCCUGAGCUGGAUUUCAUGGAUACAUGCGUGGCCAGUGUGUCGCUUUGAUUGUUGAUUGAUUGUAGGUUAGGAUCAGAAGUUGCGUAUCCCUGUGGGUACAUUCAUCUAGCUUGUAGGACUUGCCUUUUCCCAUUAUUAGCUUUUGAGCCACCUUACUUCUGAGGUAUCACCAUGUCAGAGUCCUGUUCCUACCUGUGGAGCCAUAUAUUGGAUUAGCUGUUGACAUCACAUGUCAGCUCAUUCCUUUAGAGGAUUUAGUUGUAAGAUUGCAUUACUAGAUUGAUUUAAGGAUUAAUAGUCACGGGAACUGACGUACCCCUUUCCUUUUGUAGGAUUGUUGAUCGAGACCGACUUGGGUUCUCGAGCUUGGAUCUAGAUCGGAGGUUGAUUGGUUAGAGGAUCAGAUCUACACAGUCAGUUAGAGCAGAUAUCAGAUCAUAGAGAUAUGGACCCCCAAUACGCCACUAUUGACCAGUUGACUGAGAUUACAGAUACCAUGGCAUCACUCCGGGAUGCUAUAUUGGGAUUGGGUCAGAGAAUAGAUGGGCACCAGGCCCAGCCAUUGCCGGUUCCGGGGAGCACCCCGCUUGACUCUACUGCACCUCCACCUCCACCAUUGCCAUCUAGGCCUACUAUACAGUAGGAUUAUAUAGUUCCAUCUCCGCCACCACCCCCAAUUUAGUCAGCCCCGUGGGCUAGGGCCUUUAUCUUACAUGGUCAGACUGAGACUACGCCACAUUCUGUUGUGUCACCUACACAGAUUGUUGAUGACACUCAGGCCCAUAUCGAUAGGAUUGAGCAGAGGAUCAGGUCUCUACAUGUUUUUGAUGGAUGGGUUGGGACGGAUAUGAUGACUUGCCAGUGGCAGCUUUGCUAGUUGAGUUCUGCAUGUCGGACAUUGAGAGGUACACGAGGAUAGGGUGCCCCUGUAUUCAUUUACAAUUGUAUAGCACUAUUAUGCGCUGGCAUAGAUUGGACAAGGCACAGAUGAUCAUGCUAUUCCUUCUGUCUCUAAGUGGUGCCGCUCAGCGUUGGUUUGCCUCAUUGGACCCUUCAAGGCACCGGACAUGGGCUGAUUUGGCACAGGAGUUUCUUAGACAAUAUUCUUUUAAUACUAUAGUGGAUGUAUCCCGAAGGGAGCUAGAGGCCCUCAAGCAAAGGCCAGAUGAGUCAGUUACUUCAUUCAUCUCCUGCUGGAGGGAGAAGAUAGCACAAAUUAUAGAUAGAUCCUCCGAGCGUGAUCAGAUCAGCAUGAUUAUGUGCAGUCUUCACCCUCGCUUUGCCAAGCAUCUCAUGGGCUUUCCACAGACAGACUUUGGAUCAUUGGUUCAGGUCCUCUAUGGCAUUGAAGAGGGCAUAGCUAGAGGAUUAUGGGUAGACUCUUCCCGUUCAAACUCAAAGGGGAAGAAGCCAGGGUCAGGAUCCAGGCCUUCAGAUGUUGGUACCAUUGGCACGAUAGGGCACAGGUCCCAUCGUCACCCUCCUUCUCAGAGACAGUUCUUAGACACUCUUUACCAGAUGAUACAACACGAUCAGUACAAACCAGUUGCUCCCUAUAGGCCGACAGGGCCUACUUAUCUAUAUCUGGCACCGUAGCCGAUAUAUGCUACAUAGGCUCCUUAGAGGCCACCUGUACAGUUCCAUCAGCAGUAUAGAGCACCGCCUCCACCGAGGUCGGCUAGGCAGUUUACAUAGUUAGAGAUUGGUUGAGGGGGGUUUGAUUGCUCCACUACCACCCAGACCAUCACCACAUCCUACCCCACUAGGAUUCAGGAUAGAUCUUCACUAUGCCUACCAUCAGAGAGCUGGCCAUGAUACAGACAAUUGUGCGAUGCUGAGGCACGCCAUUCAGGACUUGAUUAAUCAGGGUUUGGUUGAUUUAGGACGCCCUGCAGUGACUACAGACCCACUACCUACUCAUGACAUUAGAGCUGUAUCUUCACCCCCGGGGAACGUACAUUUGAUUGAUUUUUCAGGAGAUGAGAUAUUCAUGAUGGGGUGGGACGGAGAGGCUCCUCAACCUAUUAGUCUGUACGAGGACUCAGAUUUUAGUGGAUAUAUCCAUGGACAGUAAGCUCCCAGGCCAUUCAGAUUGAUCCCGAAUGAGAUUCCCCAACAGACAGCAGUAUCGUCGGUAUACUUACAACAUGUUCUGCCCAUGACACCCUUCAUUCUAUUCCUGGAAGAGUAUAGGCCCGUUCACAGAGAUGUUCAGAUUGUUACACGGAGUGGGAGAGUAGCUCAGCCUCUACCCUUUGAUAAGUCUUUUGUUGGCACAGAUGUUAGAGAUGAUGUUUAGAGAGAGGAUGAUGAGAUAUUGCACCAGCUGUGCACCACACAGGCUCGCAUAUCCAUUUGGAGCCUCUUGGCAUUGUCCAGCACACAUAGAGAUGCCUUGGUCAGAGCUCUUAGUUAGAUCAGAGUUGACACUGCUACUACUCCUGAUGGACUGAUUCACUUUCUGACGGUUGAUAAAGCUACAUGCAUUGUAUUUUCAGAUGAUGAUUUACCACCUAAGAGAUCAGAUCAUGUUUGACCCUUAUUCAUUGAUGUUGCUUGUUCAGGUUGUUGGGUGCCGUUUGUCCUGCUAGACAACGGCUCCGCCUUGAACAUAUGUACAUUGGUUACUGCCAUUGCUUUGGAAUUUUCACCAUCCGAUUUUGGGCCAUCUACGCAGACCUUCAAAGCAUACGAUGGGACUCAGAGGACAGUUAUGGGUACUCUCACUACACAUGUCAUGAUAGGGUCGGUCAGAUAUUCUAUACUCUUUCAGGUUUUGAGGAUCCAGACAUCCUUUAACUUACUUCUCGGCUUCCCCUAGAUUCAUGAGGCGGGUGUUAUACCAUCUUCCCUUCAUCAGAAGGUGAAGUUCAUACACGAAGGGUGCAUUAUCACGAUACAGUCAGACAGAGACGUUGUUACCUCUUCCAAGCCAGUGUUACAGAUCAGUCACAAUGAGAAUGACUUGCACUUGACCGGAUUUACUUUUGAUGAGGUUCAGGUUGUUAGUUUAGAGGAUGACAACAGAGACAUGGUACCUAUGUCUUUUGAUCAGUAUAGCGGCACUUUGGUACUCAGUAUGAUGAGAGGCAUGUCCUAUAUGCCUGGCUUGGGAUUGGGUCACCGCCAACAGGGGUCGUGCGAGUUUGCUUUCACAGUUGAUCAUGAUAUACCACAUGGAUUGGGUUACACUCCUUCUGAGGAGGAUGCAUGACACAUGGCGCGAUUGAUCCGAGAUAAGGUGAGAGCUCGCUUGUCCGAGGUUCCAUUCGAUUACCCCCUUCGCCCAUACACUUUUCAGUUGGCUGACUAUUUUGCCAAAGGAUUAGAGCAUGCACCCCACACAAAGGGAGUUGAUCGUGUUCAUGAGGUAGUUGAGAUUCAGGGUAUUCAAUAGGCCUUAGGACAAAUGUGUUUUGAGUUCUGAGACCACCGAGCCACCCAAGGCCAUGGUAGUUGCAUCCCCAUCGACAUUGGUCGUAUCCUUGACACAGCCCCAGGUGGGCCCCAUUAUGCUUUUGAUAUGUUUGGAGUUUCUAUGAUUAAUUCUGAUGGUGUGACACUUUAUGACGCUUGCACUGACACGAUGGACAUGAUCGGCACUGGCCGCAUUUUGGAUACUUCCCCACCUAGGCCCCGAUCCGCUUUUGAUGUGUUUGGGAUUUCUAUGCUUGAGUUUGAUGGUGAUGGACUUGUUGCUACUAAUAUUACUCAUGAUACUAUUUUUGUUGAGGGAGUGUUCGACUCUGUGGACCUACCUCUUUCUUUUGACACUAUGUCCGGGUUUGUCACCCGCUUUGAUGACAUUUCUGAUGGUAAUAAUGACAUGAGUAUUUUCGAGUAUUUGCCUGUGUCACAACAUUUUCCUUUGAUUGCACCACGAGCAUCCACAGCACAUGUAUGUGAUGUUGAUGAUGUGGAAGACACAGAUGACCCACUAAGUGGUCAGUCAGAGUGUGACUCUGAUUCAGAUACGGAGGAUAGGAAAGCUACACCCAUUUCUGGUAUCACUGAGUUGAUAGAUUUUGGGGCACCUAACUAGCCUAGGGAGCUUAGGAUUGGCUCUUCCCUAUCUCCCGAUGAGAGAAGUAGAUUGAUAGACCUAUUCAGGUCAUCCUUAGAUGUAUUUGCAUGGUCGUAUGAGGACAUACCGGGCCUUGACCCCACUAUAGUUCAGCAUCACCUGCCCAUUUUGCCAUAUGCUAGGCCAGUUAAGCAGAAAUUGAGAAGAGUACACCCUCGAUGGAGUUUGUAGGUGAAAGAGGAGAUUCAGAAGUAACUCAGUGUUGGAUUCUUGUCAGUGGUUGAGUAUCUUGAGUGGCUGGCUAAUGUCGUCCCUAUUCCCAAAAAGGACGACAAGGUUAGAGUUUGUGUUAACUUCCAAGAUCCGAACAAGGCCAGUCCUAAGGAUGAUUUUUUCUUCCAGCACAUCUGAUUCGUGCCCAGUCGGUGUAUCAGUUGAUUCAUGUCCAGCUAGUGCUCCUUGCUUGAGGAAGUAAUCAACAAAAUUUAUAACCUAUUACACCAUGAACUAGGGUAGCAAAGACAAAGCUACUAUAGCAUAGUGGCUCUAGGAUUGUUCACUGGGAAGGGUUUUUAAUUCAUAAAUGAUACCAAUUCAAAGCUGAAUUGGUGCCUUUUGAUUUCAAGGUUAGCUUUAAAAGAAAACAUAAUUUUUGGAUGAAAAAGGUUUGGUUUAAACUAACGGUAAAGAAAGUAAUGGAAAUUACUUAUGAAGAAAAACAUUCCUUGAAGGUUUAGGUUCACAGGGGAGGUUCCUCGUGCAAAAACAGAGCUCUGGUCAUUUGGUUCAUUUCCUCGCAUUAGAGAAUUAACAUAUAGUCAAUUCUCUAAUCGGCUCUGUACAGAUGCUUCCCUUUAAUGGGUUCAAACACUAAAUCACUCUCACUGAUGCACCUUGCAAUGGCUCAUACCUCUCACCUAGCACUUGCCAUUCAAGGUGAUCUUUAACCUUGGACUUCCCGUCAAAAGCUCGUAAGAGAUAACUAAUGGAUGUCUCCUUGGAGUCCAAAAGCUUACCAAGUGUUAGCUAUUCUAGAAAAUCCUACCUUCAAACCACCUCCCAAAGGCUCGCAAUAGAUAAACUAGUGCAUCUCAAUGGAGAUCACUUGCCUUAUCAAGUGUUGGCCUAGGUGAUUUAAAGGUGUUUUAAGUUAACUAAAAACAUAGAAAUCAUUAAUGGGUCAUACUUUCUCUUCAUUAAUGGCUGAAACCGCAAAGCUACUAAUUCUUGCACUUGGAACCUUUCCCAGCAACCUUAACUCCAAGGAACUAAAAGUCUAGCCACUCAUUCUCUGAGGAAACAUCCUUAGAGCUUGUUUGGCUAGUAAGAAAAUACAAUUAAAAUGAGAAGGUAAAGCAGAGCAAAACUUUGUAUUUUUCUUCCUUUUAAAAACUAUACAAAAGUUUUUUCGUCGUCCUUUUUUGGGAACAGGCUCCCGAGAGAUAUAUAUAUGGAAAAUUACAAAAUAUCUAUCUGAGGUUAUUCACCCUUUUUCCAAACUUAAUAACUAAGGAAUCCUAUAAUUGGUGGGUUACAAGGAGAUUUUGGGGAUUUAGACAACAAAUAUCUAAAGCAAAAUAUCUCAAAAUAUCCCAAAAUAUCGGUGGCAAAUAUUAGGACGCUUCAGGAGAACACCGCAGCACUGUGCAAAAUGGCUGCUCUUCCAUCCGGGUAGACGCUAUCAGAUGAUCCGGAUACGUCCGUCCGGAGAAGUUGAAACACUCUCCUUUUCUAUCCGACAUCAGAAUUCUGGACGUGAACAUCUGGGUGGAAGUGGUGGCAGUCGGGUACAAAUUGGCGGCAGCCGGGUGCAAAAUGGCGGCAGCCGGGUGCAAAUGGCGGCGCACAUCCAGAUACAAAUUAGCGGCAGUCGGGUGCAGAAUGGCGGCAGCCGGGUGCAAAUGGCUGCGCACAUCCGGAUACAAAUUGGCGGUAGCCGGGUGCAAAUCCUAUCUGGAUAUGUGGUCCGGAUGCUCUCCGAUGGUGUAUCCGGACGCCCUGUCCGGGUAUACUCCUUACAUAGAUUCCAAAUAACUCUCCUCAAUUUCAGAUUUGCUUUGGUGAUAAAAAAGCUAUCAAAACACCAAAACUUAACACAUUUUUUAUUAGAAUUGAUUGCAAGGUCCUUAACAUGCCAAUUGAGUUAAAAGGUGAUAACUACUACUCAAAAGUGUUUAAAAGAGUUAAUUACAAGCUAUGAAAUAGCACAUUUUGAGUAGUAAUCACUCCCCCUAACCGACAUAUUGCUAGUCCCUUAGCAAUGAAAGAGAGAAAAAAUAAAAAUAAAAAGUACUGUAAUUUACAACAUCAUGCUGAUAAAAAAAAAACAAUUUCCAAGCGGCAUGAUGAUCUAACUCUCACAUGGAAUAUUAAAGAAAUAAAACUCAAACUUCAACAAGAGUUAUCAAAAAAUUUGUCUAAUCACAAUUCUUAAAGAGAAGGCUUUAUGCAAAUUUAAGCUUUAAAAGAGUUUCCACUCCCAAAGGGUCAAACCUUACUCUUCCACAAAAAUCUAAGUGUUACUUGAUAGCUUCCGAAUAUAGUAUGUUGAACUAAUCUCUCCCCCCAACCUAACUCUUUUCCAACACUUAGUAAACUGACCAAAUUCAAUAGGCUAAGAACGCACCCUUUUAUUUCACAUUUAAGGUAUUCUUUUCUAAAUUGUCCAUGUAACGGGGGUCCAUCGAUGACUCCCAACCAAUUAAGGUUUAGGGCAUCAAGCUUUAAGGAUCUUUCAACCACUAACUCCUCGAAUUUUACCCCGGACUUUUGAGAAUGAAUUUUUAUACCCAAGCACCUACAGUAUGUUAAACUCCACCUAUUCACCCUUGUAACGAGCAUUGAGGUCGGUGACUCCCAACCAACGAAGGCUUAGGGCACCAGGUUUUAAAGAUUUUCACCAUAUACCCCUCAGACCUUGCUCGGGUUUCAAGGCAAGCAAACAUUUUUUUAUUUUUUUAUUUUUUAUUUUUUUAUUUUUUUUUCCCAAAGGCUCAUUGGCCUUUUACAAGGUGUCCUAACACUAUUAAAUGAGGGCAAAGGUACCAAGUCUAAAAUUUUCUUAAGUCAAGAGGGAAAUAGUUUUUCAUCUUAUACUCGGAACUUAUUGUGCACAGUGUGUGAAUAGCUUAAAGUGGAAGACAUAAGCUUGAAUUCAAUAGAAAUUUCAACAAUUCAUCAACUUUAAUAAGCAUAAUACAAACUCUAAGUUAAGUAAAAAGACAAAAAUUCAAUUUCUCCCAUUUCAUUUUGAAAAUUUUUCCUUAAUAACCAUGGAGAGUAGAAUAAAAACUUAAAAAUUAAGCAAAAAACAACUAAAUUACCAAAAUAGCUUAGCAUUAAUAACAAAAACUUCCUUCCUCAACUCCCCCCCCAACCAAGCUGAACAUUGUCCUCAAUGUGACAAAGCGAUUAAAAAAUAGGGAGAAAGUGGUACCUCCUGAGUGGCGUGAAGUCUGAGAUGUAUAGGAGAAACCACAUGUUUCAAAAAAACAAUAAAAGAUAUGAGUAGAGGAAUUAAAAUAAUAUAAUGCUAAGUGUGGUCACAUACAACCAAUCCCACUAUAUAACACUAAAAAGAUGGGGAUUUCAAAAAGGAAAUACAUAAAGUAAAGUAUGUAAAUGAUCAGAAAUGGGGAGGAUGAUGCUGGUAAGCUGAUGACUCAGGCAUGGGGCUCUGCAGUGGUAGGGGUGAGAUGCUCAAUAGCUGAUGGAAGACCCAGAUGGUGCUGAAGCUGACUCAGGAUGGCAGUGUGCUGAGUCUGGGUGGUCAAAAUCUGCUCCUGCUGAGAACGAAUAGCUGACAUCUCUUGAGCAAGGCUGCUCUGAGUCGCGGUCAGUGUCUGCAAUGUGUGGCAUAGGUCUCUAUACUCUGAAAUGGGUAUGGUCAUUCUAAGCUCGGUUGAAGUAGAAGGCUCUGAUGCAGCUGGAAUAACUGGCGGGGUGCUAUGGGUGGCAGGAAAAGCAGAGGGUAUAUCCUCAUGUAUGGGCUCUGUAGAUGCUCUCCUGGCAGCUGGUAUCUCAGCUGGCUGUGGGUCCUCUGACUGCUGUGGCUGUGGAAGCUCUGGAUGCUUUGUUCUAUAUGCUGUCAUAUUGGUUCACUUGUCGAGAGUGAAUACCUCUCGGCAUAUGCGUUUGCGCUCCAACUGAGGGUCUGAUGGAUACCCCAGAUGCUCCAAAAUUUGGCAUAGCAAUCUCGGGAAAAGAAGUGGAAUAGCAUCUGCUCGCAGCAGCUUCUUCCUAUGCACCUUCUCUUCAUAGUAGAGAAGGACAGCCAUAAUUAGAUGGUGAGGGCCAAAGAAAUAUCCCUCUGAUAUCCUAAACAGGGCUUCUAGCAGAACUCCUCUCCUCUGCACCCAAUGCUGAAGUGGAUAAAUGUUGUGGCGCAAGAGUGCAUCAAUGAAGAACAUGCUCGGAGGAAGUUCCUUCCUCAACAGAUAUGGAUUUGUGGAUGUUCCUCUGGACAAGAGAUGAACCAUUUCAAGCUGGGGAGGAUUAGUCCAUACUCGAUAAUCCUCUAGACGGGCUGGCUCAUAUGGAAUAUGCAGGGCCUCUGCUAUGUGGCGAGCUCCUAAAAUACAAUGACGUCCGUCAAUGGUGAAGUGAAUAAGAGUAGCAUCUCUGACCUGAUUAGUAGUCAUGGACUGAUAGAGUUCCGUUGCUACUCGGGGAUAGAAAAAAUCCCUGGGGGUCAACAAAUGCUCCAUGCGAUAUCUGUGCAGUAGAUGGAAUGAGUCUGCUAGCUCCGGCUGAAGCCUGAAGGUGGCUGUGUCAAAACACAGCUCAGAGUGAAAUGGUCGAGCUCGGCAGUCCAAAUUCCCUUCAAUGGGCAGCUGAGGCUCCACCGGAGGUUCUAAAGACGACGCCAGAGUUGGGUCUGGCGAGGGCUCUAGAGAGGGCUCCGUUAAGUCGAUUGGCUUUGCAUUUACUACCCUGGGUUUCUUUUGAGGGGGACGGCCACCUGACCUGGUCUGAUAACGCCUCGCCGGAUGACUCAACGGCAUGGGCUUGGCCGAAGGUGGGGCGGCUACUUGUCGCGGAGGCUCUAAUGUGGAGCCUUGAAUAGGCGCCUUUCGCAAGACUCUCAUGCGGCUUGACGGAAAUGAUGACUUUGCUCCUCUGGUUCGCGCCAUGGCGGACUGAAGAAAAUGGCCGGAGGUGAUGGCCGAUGGCUCGCGCGGCUUCGGGCUCAGGUGAAAGAGAAAACAGACGGUUGCUCUGAUGUUCUUCCUUUCUGAACCCUUUUGGCAGCUUAAAUGACCGAUUUUUAUAAAAAUAAAGGAAUAUCAAGGGUCGUUUUCACAGCUCAUUUCGCAACUGCGAAAUGAGGGGAACUGUGCUGCGAAAUGGCACUCGUGUGCCAAGAGGGUGCUUCACAGCUGCGAAAAUUUUCGCAGAGAGGGGCCUGAGGUUGCGAAAUGAUUUCACAAAGGCUUCUUUUAGGUUGCGAAAUCUCGCAGACCUCUGUUUUUCCCCUGUUUUACACUCUUUCUUGCUCCAAACGACUUUCCUUUAAUUUCUUUGCAAUUCCUCCUACAUGAGAUCAUUUAGAAAUACUAAGUUACAUAUAAAUACACAACUUAAGACCAAAAAUCACAAGAAUUGAUAAAGCUUGAAAUUAACAAAAUUAACAAAAACAAACAAAACAACAAAAAAAAAAAUUAUGGACUUUGGUGAAACCAAGUCCAUCUAACCCUUAUUUGAUUAGGCUUUCUGUGGCUCAAGGAGGUUGAUUUCCUCCUUUUCUGGUUUGAAUGGCUCAAUGAAUGGCUUGAGACGAUGACCAUUGACCUUGAAAAUGUCAGUGCUUUUGGAAUUUAGUAAUUCCACCACUCCAUUGGGAUACACUUGGUGAAUAAUGAAAGGGCCUAUCCACCUUGACUUGAGCUUUCCUGGAAAGACAUGGAGUCUUGAAUCAUAAAGCAAGACUCUUUGUCCUUUAUGGAAUUCUUUGUUGGAGAUUAAUUGAUCAUGCCACCUCUUCAUCCUCUGUUUUGCAACUUUGGAAUUGAUGUAAGCAUCAUUUCUUAAUUCCUCCAUCUCAUUAAGGUCUAAGCACCUCUUUGCCCCAACUCUGAUCAAGUCCAUGUUUAACUUCUUGAUUGCCCACCAAGCUUUAUAUUCAACUUCCACAGGGAGAUGGCAUGCUUUGCCAUAGACUAGGCGAUAAGGAGACAUACCAAGAAUAGUCUUGUAAGUUGUUCUGUAUGCCCAUAGUGAAUCAUGAAGCUUAAUAGACCAAUAUUUUCUGCUCGUGAUCACCACCUUCAUCAGUAUAUUCUUGAUUUCCCUGUUUGCUAGCUCCACUUGCCCGGAAGUUUGAGGAUGAUAAGGUGUAGCUACCUUAUGCUUCACUCCAUACUUGGCUAAUAGGGUUUCAAAAGAUUUGUUGCAAAAAUGAGUACCUCCAUCACUGAUUAUGGCCUUGGGCACCCCAAAUCUUGAGAAGAUGUUCUCCUUAAGAAAUUUGAGAACCACCCUGUGAUCAUUAUGUUUACAGGGGAUUGCCUCAACCCAUUUAGAAACAUAGUCUACCCCCACCAAGAUAUAAGAGUUACCAAAAGACAUUGGGAAAGGUCCUAUGAAGUCAAUACCCCAAACAUAAAAAAGAUCAACUAUUAGAAUGGGGUUCAUAGACAAUUGAUUUCUUUUUGUUAGCUUCCCAAGCCUUUGGCAUCUAUCACAGCUCCUACACAUGAUGUGGGAAUCUUUGAAAAGAAAUGGCCAAGGAAACCCUGAUUGCAACACCUUCAUGACUGUUUUCUGAGAGGCAAAGUGGCCUCCACAUGCAUUUUCAUGGCAAUGGCUGAGGAUCCCUUGUUGCUCUUCUUUAGGGACACACUUUCUUAUGAUCUGAUCUGCACAAUACUUGAAAAGGAAGGGCUCUUCCUAAUAAUAAGCAUGAAUCUUUGCAAAGAAGUGCUUCAUGUCUUGUGCAUUCCACUCACUUGGAACUUCACCAGUAACUAAAUAGUUAGCAAUAUGAGCAUACCAAGGAGCUUUCUCUAGCAACAUAAGUGAUUCCUCAGGAAAGUCAUCAUUAAUAGGUAAGACAUGGGAAUUGUGUGCUAUAGCCAACCUUGACAGGUGGUCAGCUACCACAUUCUCCACCCCUUUCUUGUCUCUGGUCUGGAGAUCGAACUCUUGUAACAAAAGAAUCCAUCUAAUCAGCCUUGCUUUUGCAUCUUGCUUCGUCAAUAAAUACUUCAAGGCUGAAUGGUCAGUGAAAACAAUGAUGAAAGACCCUACCAAAUAAGCACGAAACUUGUCUAAGGCAAACACCACAGCUAACAAUUCUUUCUUUGUAGUUGUGUAGUUCCUUUGAGCCUCGUUCAAUGUUUUGCUUGCAUAGUAGAUCACGUAGGGCUUCCCAUCUUCUCUUUGGCCAAGUACAGCUCCUAUAGCAAAGUCACUGGCAUCACACAUCACUUCAAAGGGUAGUUGCCAGUUAGGAGCCCUCACUAUUGGAGCGGUUGUUAAGAAUUGCUUCAGUUGAUCAAAGCUAUUUUGACAUCUCUCAUCCCAGACAAACUUAGCAUCCUUAGCCAAAAGCUCACAAAGAGGUUUUGAAAGAUUAGAGAAAUCUUUUAUAAAUCUCCUAUAGAACCCUGCAUGGCCAAGAAAUUGCCUUAUUUCUUUCACAGUUGUUGGGGACGACAAUUUGACAAUAAGCUCCACCUUUGCCUUAUCAACUUCAAUGCCUUUCUCGGAGAUGAUAUGGCCAAGGACAAUUCCUUGACGUACCAUAAAAUGACAUUUCUCCCAGUUGAGCACCAAGUCCUUCUCAAUGCAUCUGUUCAGAACUGCUUCCAAAUUGACUAAGCAUUCCUCAAAUGUACCUCCAUAAACGGUGAUGUCAUCCAUGAAAACCUCCAUAAUUCGCUCCACCAUAUCACUGAAGAUACUAAGCAUACAUCUUUGGAAUGUUGCAGGUGCAUUGCAUAAACCAAAAGGCAUUCUUCUGUAGGCGUAUGUUCCAAACGGACAUGUGAAAGUGGUCUUCUCCUGAUCUUCCACAUCAAUUUCAAUUUGGAAAUACCCUGAGUACUCGUCCAAGAAACAAUAAAAAGGAUGGCCUGAGACUUUCUCUAGCACCUGAUCAAUAAAUGGGAGUGGAAAAUGAUAUUUCCUUGUCACAACAUUCAACUUUCGAUAAUCAAUACACACCCUCCAACCUGAAGUGAGGCGUGUAGCAAUUUCUUCUCCUUUUUCAUUCUGAACCACAGUAAUCACUGACUUCUUUGGUACCACUUGAGUAGGACUCACCCAAGGGCUGUCAGAUAUGGGGUAAAUAAUACCUGCUUGAAGUAGCUUCAGCACUUCAGCUCACACCACCUCUUGCAAAUGAGGAUUCAAUCUUCUUUGAGGUUGACGAAUUGGUUUAGCUUCUUCCUCCAUAUAAAUGUGAUGUGUACAAACCAAAGGGCUAAUGCCUUUCAAGUCAGAUAUUUGCCAUCCUAUUACUUUCUUACACCUCUUGAGAACUUCAAGUAAAGAAAUUUCCUGAUGACUAGUAAGAGAUGAAGAUAUAACAACAGGACAUUGAUUAUUUUCUUCAAGGUAUGUAUAUUUCAGCUCCACAAGCAGAGGCUUCAAAUUGAGCUUUGGGGUCUCUUUUUCAGCAGCUUCUCAUUCCUCUUUAUUGAACAAAGGUAGAAUCUCUUCUCUCCUCCUCCAACCUUGUAGAGUAGCAAGCACAUUAGGGGGUUCAGAAAACCCUUCUUCAAGAUCCCCAAGACUUUCAUUCAGCUUGUCUUGCAUAUUCUGAUUACAGUGCUCCUCCACUAGAGUGUCGAUAAUGCAUACCUCUUCUGGAUCUUCUUCUUCUUCCGGAGUGAUUUGCUUUUUAGACAUAUGAAAAAUGUUGAGUUCAAGUGUCAUAUUGCCAAAAGUGAGUUGCAUGAGUCCAUUCCUACAAUUGAUGAUUGCAUUUGAAGUAGCAAGGAAUGGCCUUCCAAGGAUGAUAGGAACUGAAUUAGCUUCCUUUACAGUAGGAUCUGUAUCAAGAAUAACAAAAUCUACUGAAUAGUAGAAAUUAUCAACUUGAACUAAGACAUCCUCAAUUACCCCCCUUGGAAUUUUUACUCAUCUAUCUGCUAGAGAUAGGGUGAUUGAUGUUGGCUUCAACUCACCAAGUCCCAAUUGCUUAUAGACAGAGUAUGGUAGCAAAUUCACACUUGCUCCCAAGUCUAACAAAGCUUUCUCCACUACCUUUCCUCCAAUCAUGACUGAAAUGGUAGGACAUCCCGGAUCUUUGUACUUCAAAGGAGACUUGCAUUGUAUGAUUGCACUUACUUGCUCAGUCAAGAAGGCUUUCUUGUUCACAUUCAACCCUCUUUUGAUAGUACACAGGUCCUUUAGGAAUUUUGCAUAUGUUGGAACUUGCUUAAUCAUAUCCAGCAAUGGAAUGUUGACCUUCACUUGUCUCAAUACUUCAAGGAUUUCUGAUGCAUUUUUUAUCCCCUUUUUCCCAUGCAAAGCUUGAGGAAAAGGUGGAGAUAUACGUUUCUUCAUCAAUUCUUCCUUAAUAAGCUCUUUCUCCAUAUUUGCAUUCACUGUUGAAUCACGGUCCUCCUUCUCUUCACUAACAUCUUUCUGUUUUCCUUUCAUUUCCUCCCCCUUCUUUGUUUCUUCUUCUUCUUCAACAUGUGGCUUGGGUGUUGGUGGCUCAACCUUUUUACCACUCCUUAGAGUGAUCAAGGCUUUAACAUUUUUCACCUGUGACGAUUCUCCCUCAUGGAUUUCCAUUUCAUGGAUACCCUUGGGGUUUUGGUGAGGUUGAGAAGGAAAUCUACCCUUCUCUUGCACUGUGUUCAAGUUAGUGAGCCUUGAUAUUGAGUAUUGGAGAUUAUCUAUCUUUUGAGAUAGAUGAUUUUGCAUCCCAUUCAUCCUUCUCUCUACACUGUCAAUUCUUUGACUGAGUUGAGCAUUGAUGGCUUUUUGGUCUCCAACAAAAUCUUCCACAACCUUGCUUAGAUUCGCUAUUGCUUUUUCAAGACUUGAAGAUUGUUGAGAUAGUUGAGCCGGUUGAGAUGGUGGAGCCGGUUGUUGGUAUUGAGGUGCUCUUGCCUUCCAUGAGAAAUUUGGAUGAUUCCUCCAACUUGAGUUGUAAGUAUUUCCAUAUGGUGCAUUGUUAUUGGGCUUGAAUUGACCAACAACAUUUGCUUGAUCUCCAAACAUUUCCCUUACAGUUGGAAUUGUAGGGCACUCCUCCACCAAGUGUUCAUAAGACUGACAAAUAGGACACAACUUUACUUGCACUGGUGCUUCAGCAACAGCUUGCACUUCAUGCAUCUUUUUCAGUUCUAGCUCCUCCAAUCUUCUUGUCAUAGCUGCAAAUUUUGCUUUCAUAUCAUCAUCUUCAUUCAAGGUGUACAUCCCAGCCUUAGCAUUGAAAGCACUCGAUUGAGACUUCAUCUUUCCCACUUCUCCUUUGUUGGGUUCAUCCCAUCCCCUUGAAACUUCAGCCACAUAACUCAAGAAAUCCAUAGCUUCCUCAGGAUUCUUACUCAUGAAAUCCCCUUCACACAUUGUUUCAAGGAGUUGCUUCAUUGAGGAAGACAUCCCAUCAUAAAAAUAGCUCACCAACAGCCAUGUAUCAAAGCCAUGGUGAGGACAAGCAGUUAUGGCUUCUAUAUAUCUUUCCCAACACUCAUAGAAUUUCUCAUUCUCUUUAGCUGAGAAGUUUGAAAUUUGCCUUUUCAAGCCAUUUGUUCUGUGAGUAGGAAAAAAUUUCUUGAGGAAUUCAGCUUGUAAGUCAGUCCAAGUACGGAUACUCCUUAGCCUUAAAGAAUUAAGCCAGAUCUUGGCCUUAUCCUUUAAAGUAAAAGGAAAUAGCUUAAGCCUCAUCAAGUCGAUAGAAGCUCCUUCCUCUCGGAAUGUAUUACAAACAUCUUCAAAUUCUUUGAUAUGGGCAUAGGGAUUCUCACUUUCCAUUCCAUGGAAAGUUGGUAGAAGUGGCACAAUAUGAGGUCUGAUCACUAGCUGCUCUGUAGGGGGCACUAUACAUGAUGGUGCACUCAUACGAGGUGGAUGCAUUCGGUCCCUCAUUGAGAUGAAAGCAUUGGGAUUAUCCUGGUGACCAUGGUGACUAUGCUGAUCUUCAGGUGUAGCUUCCAUGAUAUUCAAGCUCAAUUCCAAUUCCUUGUUAUGAGGUUAUCAAGUUUAACAAGCCUUCUUCCACUGUCUCGUAUCUAAUUUGGCAUACACAACUAGUAUCGAUUGUAACUAAGAAAGAAAAACAAAAAUAGAGGAAAACAAAAAAAAAACUACCAAAAAGAGUUCGAUUAACUAAAACUAAAUUAAAAACUAUGCUAGUAUAUAAACGAGUAAAAGAAAAAACUAAAAGAGUUAGUAAAAUGAGAGAAAAUUCACUAAACUUGUGAUGAAAACCACAGGUACCUUGAAAUAAUAUCACUAUGAAGUUGGCACCUUCCCCGGCAACGGCGCCAUUUGAUUCGUGCCCAGUCGGUGUAUCAACUGAUUCAUGUCCAGCUGGUGCUCCUUGCUUGAGGAAGUAAUCAACAAAAUUUAUAACCUAUUACACCAUGAACUAGGGUAGCAAAGACAAAGCUACUAUAGCAUAGUGGCUCUAGGAUCGUUCACUGGGAAGGGGUUUCAAUUCAUAAAUGAUACCAAUUCAAAGCUGAAUUGGUGCCUUUUCAUUUCAAGGUUAGCUUUAAAAGAAAACAUAAUUUUUGGAUGAAAAAGGUUUGGUUUAAACUAAUGGUAAAGAAAGUAAUAGAAAUUACUUAUGAAGAAAAACAUUCCUUAAAGGUUUAGGUUCACAGGGGAGGUUCCUCGUGCAACAACAGAGCUCCGGUCAUUUGGUUCAUUUCCUCGCAUUAGAGAAUUAACAUAUAGUCAAUUCUCUAAUCGGCUCUGUACAGAUGCUUUCCUUUAAUGGGUUCAAACACUAAAUCUCUAUCACUGAUGCACCUUGCAAUGGCUCAUACCUCUCACCUAGCACUUGCCAUUCAAGGUGAUCUUUAACCUUGGACUUCCCGUCAAAAGCUCGCAAGAGAUAACUAAUGGAUGUCUCCUUGGAGUCCAAAAGCUUACCAAGUGUUGGCUAUUCUAGAAAAUCCUACCUUCAAACCACUUCCCAAAUGCUCGCAAGAGAUAAACUAGUGCAUCUCAAUGGAGAUCACUUGCCUUAUCAAACUAGUGCAGUCGGGUACAAAUUGGCGGCAGCCGGGUGCAAAAUGAUGGCAGCCGGGUGCAAAUGGCGGCAGCCGGGUGCAAAUGGCGGCGCACAUCCGAUACAAAUUGGCGGCAGCCGGGUGCAAAUCCUAUCCGGAUAUGUGGUCCGGACGCCCUCCGAUGGUGUAUCCAGACGCCCUGUCCGGGUAUACUCCUUGCAUGGAUUCCAAAUAACUUUCCUCAAUUUCAGAUUUGCUUUGGUGAUAAAAAAGCUAUCAAACACCAAAACUUAACACAUUUUUUAUUAGAAUUGAUUGCAAGGGUCCUUAACAUGCCAAUUGAGUUAAAAGGUAAUAACUACUACUCAAUAGUGUUUAAAAGAGUUAAUUACAAGCUAUGAAAUAGCACGUUUUGAGUAGUAAUCAACAUCGAUAUGCUAGUUGACAGCACUGCAGGGCAUUCGAUGUUGUCCUUCAUGGAUGGAUUUUAUGGGUAUAACCAGAUUGUAAUAGCUCUAGAGGAUAUGGAGAAGACUUCUUUCAUCACUAAGUGGGGUACUUAUUGCUACCUGCUUAUGCCAUUUAGGUUGAAGAAUGCGGAAGCCACUUAUCAGAGAGCUGCUACUACUUUAUUCCACGACAUAAUGCACAGAGACGUCGAGGUAUAUGUGGAUGACAUGAUAGUGAAAUCCCGAGACAGGGCAGAUCACUUAGCAGCACUACAGAGAUUCUUUGAGAUGAUCUGACAGUUCAGGCUAAGAUUGAAUCCCAAGAAGUGUACAUUUGGGGUGACUUUUGGGAAAUUGCUAGGACAGAUCGUCAAUGAGCGUGGUAUAGAGGUUGAUCCCGAAAAGAUCAGAGCCAUACUUGACAUGCUUGCUCCGAGGACUGAGAGAGAGAUUAAAGGCUUUCUUGGCAGACUACAGUAUAUAAGUUGUUUCAUUGCUAGAUUGACAGACAUAUGCGAGCCUAUCUUCCUUCUUCUGAGGAAGAACCAGCCUACAGUUUGGAAUGAUGAUUACUAGCGCGCUUUCCAGAAGAUUAAGGAGUGUCUCCUCUCUUCUCCAGUUUUAGUGCCUCCCACACGGGGGUGGCCUCUGCUUCUGUACUUGUCCGUUUCAGACAUGGCUUUGGGAUGCAUGUUAGCUCAGCUCGAUGAUUCAGGGAAGGAGCGAGCCAUUUAUUAUCUGAGUAAGAGGAUGCUGGAGUAUGAGUGCAAAUACAUUAUGAUUGAGGGCCUCUAUUGAGCAUUUAUUUGGGCCACCAAGAGGCUGAGGAACUACGUGACAGAGUAUUCCAUAUUAUUAGACUCACGAUUGGAUCCAUUGAGAUAUUUGUUUGAGAGGCAUGUCCUGACUGGUAGGCUCAUGAGAUGGUUGGUGCUGUUGACAGAGUUUGAUAUUUAGUAUGUUACACAGAAGUCGGUAAAAGGGAGCAUUGUUGCAGAUCAUUUGGCUUUUUUUCCCGUAUCUAACGACAAACCGAUUGACGAUGAUUUCCCUGAUGAGCAGUUUGUCUUAGUGACCAGUAUUGCAGGAUGGUGGUUAUACUUUCAUGGUGCUGCCAAUCAGUCGGGGUUUGGUAUCGGUAUCCUAUUGAUAUCACCACAAGGUGAUCACAUUCCCAUAUCAGUCCGAUCGGCAUUCUUUGAUCAUCAUCGACUGACGAAUAAUAUUGUUGAGUAUGAGCCGUGCAUUACAGGUUUGUAGACUGCGCUAGACCUUGGAGUCAGAUAGUUGGAGAUCCAUGGGGAUUCCAACUUGGUUAUUCAGCAAACUUAGGGUAUUUGAAGGACUUAGGAUGAGAAGUUAAAGCCCUAUCAUGCUUAUUUGGAUUUGUUGGUUGAUAGGUUUGAGCAGUUGAGAUAUAUACAUCUGCCUAGGGCAGAAAAGUAGUUUUCUGAUGCAUUAGCCACCUUAGCUUCUGUGAUUGAGAUUCCUGCGGGAGUGAUAGUGUGACCAUUGGUGAUUGAGACUAGGUCCGCACCAGCUUACUGUUGUUUGAUUGGGGAUAUUGAGGACCAGGAUGAGUUGCCCUGGUAUCAUGACAUUUAUCAGUUCUUGUUAUGUGGCGCUUACCUUGAGUCAGCCUCAACCAAGGAUAGGAGAGCUUUGAGGCAGCUAGCCACUAGAUUCGUGAUUUGUGGAGAGUCCUUCUAUAGACGAUCACCCGAGGGCUUAUUAUUGCUGUGUUUAGACCAUACCUCUGCAGAUAGAGUAAUGAGAGAGGUUCAUGCAGGAGUUUGUGGCCCACACAUGGGGAGACAUAUGUUGGCCCGAAAGAUUAUGAGGACAGGUUAUUUCUGGUUGACUAUGGAGGUAGAUUGUUGCCAGUUCGUUCAGAGGUGCCCAGAGUGUCAGAUGCAUGGUGAUCUCAUUCACGUGCCACCUUCGGAGUUGCAUGCACUCACAUCCCCUUGGCCAUUUUCAGUGUGGGUUAUUGAUGUUAUUGGAAAGAUCUCACCCAAGUCUUCUAGCGGGCAUGAGUAUAUCUUAGUUGCCGUUGAUUAUUUCACCAAGUGGGUGGAAGCUGCUUCUUAUGCUAGAUUGACAGCGGCCAAGGUGGCCAAAUUCAUCAGGUCACAUAUUAUCUACCGAUAUGGGGUCCCCCCGAGCUGAUUUCUGAUAGAGGGUGUAUUUCAGGGGCGAGGUGGAUAUAUUGAUUAAGGAGUAUAGCAUUUAGCAUCACAGAUCGUAUGCGUAUAGGCCGCAGACUAAUGGGGCAGUUGAGGCUGCAAAUAAAAAUAUCAAGAGGAUUUUGAGAAAUAUGGUCGAGACUUCUCGGGAUUGGUCAGAGAAGCUCUCUUUUGCAUUAUGGGUUUACCGUAUAUCUUUUCGUACUUCUACCGGGGCUAGCCUGUAUUCUUUGGUAUAUGGUAUGGAGGCGGUGCUGCCUGUUAAGAUUGAGAUGGGAUCCUUGAGAGUAGCAUUAGAGCAGCAAAUAUUUGAGACUGAAUGGGCUCAGUCCCAUUAUGACCAACUUAGUCUUCUAAAUGAGAGGAGAUUGAGGAUAGUAGAUCAUGUUCAAGCUUAUUAGAGGAAGACGACUCGUGCAUUUAGAAAGAGGGUUAAGCCUAGGAAAUUUCAGAAGGGUGACUUAGUCUUGAAAGUCCUCAGGGGAUUGAUCAGUGACCCUAGAAGCAAGUUUAGACCGACUUGGAGCGGGCCUUAUGUUAUUCGAGAUUUGACCCGAGAGGGAGCCGCCUGGCUGACGGACUUAGACGAAAAUCAGUUUAAGGAGCCAGUCAAUGUGGAUCAGUUGAAGAAGUUUUAUGCGUGAGAUCAUGGUUAGAGGAUGGGUGGCCAUCAUUUUUUAGUAGCCAUUUUUCUUGUUGCACACCCACACAUUGAUAUAUCCUAUUGCUAGCCUGUUGUGCCUCAUGUGGUUUGUUAUGGCCUAUUCAUUCACUUAGCCUUGCAUACAUUUUCUCACCUGGGUUGGGGGCCUGUCCUUUGCGCUUUACAUUUAUUGAUUGGAUCUGUGAGUAUCGUGAGCUUUCUGUCAUUGUUCAUGUGUUCUUUCUUUGGUCAUUCAUGGUUUCUUCUUUCGUCCAUUGUGCAUUUUCAUUUCAUCUGGCUUUGAGUUCUGUUUCUAUCAUCUCGACUCUAUUCGCUUCUGUUUUCUCUUAUGUGAUGAUAACACGCUCUUGUCUUGGAGCUACAGGUCAGGCCUUUCACACCCUUCAUUCCACUUGUAGUCUUUGAUCUAGGAUUCUUAGGUUGAGGUGGGACCAUUUGGGAUGAGAGUUUUGAGGUUCUUUUGGUUGGACUAUGCUAGUGUGGCAUUCAGCUAGCUUUGGUUAUUUGGCGCAAAAAAAAAAAAAAAAAGAAGUGCUUAUUUGGUAUUUGUUGUUAUACUUGGGAUUAUCAGAGAUCAUUUGGGUUUGAGAGAUUUAUUAUUCCUCUGAGAGUUGGAUGAGAGCAUUGUACAAUCCUUCUCCAUGGAUUUGGGUGACACAUUGGGAGUAAGGUUUGGGUUUCUUUGGCACUCGGUCCCCUGGAUCAUUGUUUACAUCACCUUUCCCAUCUUACAGUGACUUGCUUCAGUCUGGCGUUCUUGGGAUGAGUUGUUCAUCGUUGUCACAUAUUGCUACAUUUUUAUCCUAGCUUGUUCCUCCAUUUUCUACUACAUCCAAUCAUCAUUUGUCUUAUCCCUUUUCGCCUUCUUCUAUCCUCAUCGAAUGUCGUUUAGCUUUAUGAACGACGAGUUCUUUGGUGCACAUCACCUAUUGUUUGACAUUAUUCAUUUGGAUGUAGGUUGAGUCACCUUGCUCACUGAUUUCGUGCCCAGCUGGUGUACCUUGAUUUUGGUCCUUAGAUAGGAGUAAUCAACAAAAUUUAUAACCUAUAUCACCAUGUACUAGGAUAGCCUCAGCUAACAUAGCAUAGUGGCUCUAGGAUCGUUCACUAGGAAGGGUUUUCAACUUGCAACUGAUAAUAAUUCAUAGUUGAAUUGAUGUUUUUUUUCAUUUCAAGGUUACCUUUAAAAGAAAACAUAAACUUUGGUUUAAAAAUGAUUGGUUUUAAGCUAACUAAAAAUAGAGUAACAAAAAUGACUUAAGUGGAGCUAAUAUCCUUGCUUUCUUCUUAGGAGGACGGCUAGUUGACUUCUUUGCACGAGAAGAGCUUGCCCCGAGUGUGGUGGGUGAUCUUCUUGUCUCAUAUCGCCUCGAAUGAGAACUCAAAGGCGCGCCCUCUACUGAAGGUGGGACGACAAGUGGCUGUGAAGGCUCAAUCAUGGAGCCUUGCAUAGGGGCCACUCUUGGUGCUCUGGGAUGGCCUGAGGGAGAUGAGGUCUUGGUUCCUCGGGUUUUUGCCAUGGCUGACUCAGAGAGGUUUGAGAGAGGGUGGUCGGAGGUGCGUGCGCGGCUUGGGCUCAGAUGGAGGUCCUCUGGAAAUGGUGCUUUGGCUUGGCUCCUAUUUUGCACCAAAGGGAGGUUUUCGCAAGGCAAAUGACCGGUGUAAAGUGAAAAAAAAUGGAAUUUAAAAAGUUAAAUUAGAAGCCAAGUGACGGUUGAGAUUUUUCGUAGAGGAGCGGGCAUUUCGCAGCGGAGGCCCAUUUUCACAGCCAAGGACCAUUUUCGCAGCCCAUUUUGCAGCUGCGAAAUGAGAAAGUGGGGCUGCGAAAUGGCACUCGUGUGCCAAAGUGGGGUUUUGCAGCUGCGAAAUGGAGCUUUGGCUGCGAAAUUGAGCUUUUGAGGGCCUUGGAUGGUUUCACAGAAGGUUUCGCAGUUGCGAAAUGAAGGCUUGGGCUGCGAAAUGACACUCGUGUGCGAAAAGAAGGUUUCGCAGCUGCGAAAAUUUUGGCAGAAGAGGGCUAUGGGGCUGCGAAAUUGUUUCGCAGAGGAGGACCCAUUUCGCAGCAAACCCUUGAUUUCACAGCGAGUCCCUUUUGGCUGCGAAAUUAUUUCACAAAGGAUGGUCGUUUUCGCAGGGGGCUAUUUUGGGCUGCGAAAUUUUGCAGGCCACUGAAAUUUCUUGUUUCUGAGCUCCUUUUGGCUCCCUGAGACCUUCCUUCACCUCUUUUGCAAUUCCUCCUAAAUUAGAUCAUUCAAAAAGUCUAAGUUACAUAAAAAUAACAUAAAUUAAGACUAAGAUUAAAAUCAAAACAAUUAAUAAAGUUCUUAAAUUAACAAAAUUAAACAAAAAAUAUGGACUUUGGUGAGACCAAGUCCAUUUAACCUCUUUCUGAUUAGGAUUUCUGUGGCUCAAGGAGGUUGAUUUCCUCCUUACCUUGCUUGAAUGACUCAAUAAAUGGUUUGAGACAAUGGCCAUUGACUUUAAAGGUGUUAGUGUUGUUGGAAUUCAGUAAUUCCACCACUCCAUUGAGAUGCACUUGGUGAAUAAUGAAAGGGCCUAUCCACCUUGACUUCAGCUUCCUAGGAAAGAUAUGGAGCCUUGAUUCAUAGAGUAAGACUCUUUUUCCUUUUCGGAAUUCUUUGUUGGAGAUUAACUGAUCAUGCCACCUCUUCAUCCUCUGUUUUGAAACUUUGGAAUUGAUGUAGGCAUCAUUUCUUAAUUCCUCCAUCUCAUUAAGGUCUAAGCACUUCUUUGCCUUGGCUCUGAUCAAGUCCAUGUUAACCUUCUUGAUUGCCUACCAAGCUUUAUAUUCAACUUCUACAAGGAGAUGGCAUGUUUUGCCAUAGACUAGGCGAUAGGGAGACAUGCUAAGAAUAGUCUUGUAAGCUGUUCUAUAUGCCCAUAGUGAAUCAUGGAGCUUAAUAGACCAAUCUCUUCUGCUCGUGUUCACCAGCUUCAUCAAUAUAUUCUUGAUUUCCCUGUUUGCUAGCUCAACUUGCCCGGAAGUCUGAGGGUGAUAAGGUGUAGCUACCUUAUGCUUCACCCCAUACUUGGCUAAUAGGGUUUCAAAAGGCUUGUUGCAAAAAUGAGUACCUCCAUCACUGAUUAUGGCCUUGGGCACCCCAAAUCUUGAGAAGAUGUUCUCUUUGAGAAACUUGAGAACCACCCUAUGAUCAUUGUGUUUACAGGGGAUUGCCUCAACCCAUUUAGAAACAUAGUCCACCCCCACCAAGAUAUAAGAGUUACCAAAAGACAUUGAGAAAGGUCCCAUGAAGUCAAUGUCCCAAACAUCAAAGAGAUCAACUAUUAGAAUGGGGUUCAUAGGCAUUUGAUUUCUUCUUGUUAGCUUCCCAAGCCUUUGGCAUUUAUCACAACUCCUACACAUGGUGUGGGCAUCUUUGAAGAGUGAUGGCUAACUAAACCCUGAUUGCAACAUCUUCAUGGCUGUUUUCUGGGAGGCAAAGUGGCCUCCACAUGCACGCUCAUGGCAAUGGCCGAGGAUUCCUUGUUGCUCUUCUUCAGGGACACACUUCCUUAUUAUUUGAUCUACACAAUACUUGAAAAGGAAAGGUUCUUCCCAAUAAUAAGCAUGAAUCUUUGCAAAUAAGUGCUUUCUAUCUUGUGCUUUCCACUCUCUUGGAACUUCACCAGUAACUAGAUAGUUAGCAAUAUGAGCAUACCAAGGAGUUUUUUCUAGCAACAUAAGUGAUUCCUCAGGAAAGUCAUCAUUAAUAGGUAAGACAUGGGAAUUGUGUGCUAUAGCCAACCUUGAAAGGUGGUCAACUACCACAUUCUCCACUCCUUUCUUAUCUCUGAUUUGGAGAUCGAAUUCUUGUAGUAAGAGAAUCCAUCUAAUCAACCUUGAUUUUGCAUCUUGCUUUGUCAAUAAAUACUUCAAGGUUGAAUGGUCAGUGAAAACAAUGAUGAAGGACCCUACUAGAUAAGCAUGAAACUUGUUUAAGGCAAACACUACAGCUAACAAUUCUUUCUCUGUGGUUGUUUAGUUCCUUUGAGCUUCGUUCAAUGUCUUACUUGCAUAGUAGAUCACAUAGGGCUUUCCAUCUUCUCUUUAGCCAAGCACAACUCCUAUAGCAAAGUCACUGGCGUCACACAUCACUUCAAAGGGUAGUUGCCAGUUAGGAGCCCUCACAAUUAGAGUAGUUGUCAAGAAUUGCUUCAGUUGAUCAAAACUCCUUUGACAUCUUUCAUCCCAUAUAGACUUAGCAUCCUUAGCCAAAAGUUCACAAAGAGGCUUUGAAAGCUUAGAGAAAUCUUUUAUAAACCUCCUAUAGAACCCUGCAUGGCCAAGGAAUUGCCUUACUCCUUUUACAGUUGUUGGGAAUGACAAUUUGACACAAUAAGUUCCACCUUUGCUUUAUCAAUUUCAAUGCCUUUCUCGGAGAUGAUAUGGCCAAGGACAAUUCCUUGCUGUACCAUAAAAUGGCAUUUCUCCAAGUUGAGCACCAAGUCCUUUUCAAUGCAUCUAUUCAGAACCGCUUCCAAGUUGACUAAGCAUUCUUCAAAUGUACUUCCAUAUGUGGUGAUAUCAUCCAUGAAAACCUCCAUAAUUUGCUCCACCAUAUCACUGAAGAUACUUAGCAUACAUCGUUGGAAUGUUGCAGGUGCAUUGCAUAAACCAAAAGGCAUUCUUCUAUAGGCAUAUGUUCCAAAUGGACAUGUGAAAGUGGUUUUGUCCUGAUCUUCAAUAUCGAUUUCAAUUUGAAAAUACCCGGAGUAGCCGUCCAAUAAACAAUAGAAAGGAUGGCCACAGACUCUCUCCAACACUUGAUCAAUAAAUGGCAAUGGAAAAUGAUCCUUCCUUGUCACAGCAUUCAAUUUUCUAUAAUCAAUACACACCCUCAACCCUGAAGUGAGGCGUGUAGAAACUUUUUCUCCCUUUUCAUUUUGAACCACCGUGAUCCUUGACUUCUUUAGUACCACUUGAGUAGGACUCACCCAAGGGCUGUCGGAUAUGGGAUAGAUAAUACCUGCUUGAAGUAGCUUCAGAACCUCAGCUCGCACCACCUCUUGCAAAUGAGGAUUCAAUCUUCUUUGAGGUUGAUGAAUUGGUUUAACUUCUUCUUCCAUGUAUAUAUGAUGUGUAUAGACCAAAGGACUGAUGCCUUUCAAGUCAGAUAUUUGUCAUCCUAUUGCUUUCUUACACCUCUUGAGAACUUCAAGUAGACACAUCUCCUGAGGAGUAGUAAGAUAUGAAGAUAUAACAACAGGGCACUUUUGAUUUUCUUCUAGGUAUGUAUAUUUCAACUCCGUGGGUAGAGGCUUCAGAUUGAGUUUUGGGGUCUCUUCUUUAGCAGCUUCUUGUGCCUCUUCUUUAUUGAACAAAGGUAGAAUCUCUUCUCUUAUUCUCCAACCUUGUAGAGAAGCAAGCACAUCUGAGGGUUUAGGCAACCCUUCUUCAAGAUCCCCAAGACUUUCAUUCAACUUGUCUUGCAUUUUCUUAUUACAAUGCUCCUCCACUAGAGUGUCAAUAAUGCACACCUCUUCUGGACCUUCUUCUUCUUUCGGAGUGAUUAGCUUUUUGGACAUAUAGAAGAUAUUGAGCUCUAGUGUCAUGUUGCCAAACGUGAGUUGCAUGAGUCCAUUCCUACAAUUUAUGAUUGCAUUUGAUGUAGCAAGAAAUGACCUUCCAAGGAUGAUAGGAACAUAAUCCGUUUCCUUGACAAUUGGGUCUGUGUCAAGAACAAUAAAGUCUACUGGAUAGUAGAAAUUAUCAACUUGAACUAAGACAUCUUCAAUUACCCCCCUUGGAAUUUUCAUUGAUCUAUCUGCUAGAGAUAGAGUGAUUGAUGUUGGCUUUAAUUCACCAAGUUCCAAUUGCUUGUAGACAGAGUAUGGUAGCAAAUUCACACUUGCUCCCAAGUCUAACAAAGCUUUCUCCACUACUUUUCCUCCAAUCAUGAUUGAAAUGGUGGGACAACUCGGAUCUUUGUACUUCAAAGGAGACUUGCAUUGUAUGAUAGCACUCACUUGCUCAGUCAAGAAGGCUUUCUUAUUCACAUUCAACCCUCUUUUGAUAGUACACAAGUCCUUUAGGAAUUUUGCAUAUGUUGGAACUUGUUUAAUCAUAUCCAGCAAUGGGAUAUUGACUUUCACUUGUCUCAAUACUUCAAGAAUUUCUGAUGCAUUUCUGAUCCCUUUUUUCCCAUGCAAAGCUUGAGGAAAAGGUGGAGAUGUGUGUUUCUUCAUCACAUCUCCCUUGAUGAGUACUUUAUCCGGAUUUGCAUUCACUGUUGAAUCAUGGUCCUCCUUCACUUCACUGGUAUCUUUCUUCUUUCCUUUGAUUUCCUCCCUCUUCUCUGUUUCUUCUUCUUCUUUUUCUUCCUCUUUAACAUAUGGCUUGGGUGUUGGUAGCUCAACCUUUUUACCACUCCUUAGAGUGAUCAAGGCUUUGACAUCUCUCACCUGAGAAGAUUCUCCCUCAUGAGUUUCCACUUCAUGGAUACCUUUGGGGUUUUGGUGAGGUUGAGAAGGAAAUCUACCCUUCUCUUGCACUAUGUUCAGGUUAGUGAGCCUUGAGAUUGAAUAUUGGAGAUUAUCUAUCUUCUGAGAUAAGCCAUUUUGCAUGUCAUCCAUCCUUUUAUUCAAUGUAUUCUCUACACUGUCAAUUCUUUGACUAAGUUGAGCAUUGAUGGAUUUUUUAUCUCCAAUAAAAUUUCCCACAACCUUGCUUAGAUUCACUAUUGCUUGUUCAAGAUUUGAAGCUUGUUGAGAUGGUUGAGCUGGCUGUUGGUACUAAGGUGCUCUUGGCUUCCAGGAGAAAUUUAGAUGGUUCCUCCAAUUUGAGUUGUAAGUAUUUCCAUACAAAGCAUUGUUGUUGGGCUUGAAUUGUCCAAUGACAUUUGCUUGAUCUCUAAACAUUUCCCUAGCAGCUAGAAUUGUAGAGCACUUCUCCACCAAGUGCUCAUAAGAUUGAAAAAUAGGACAUGGCUUGACUUGCACUGGUGUUUCAGCAACAGCUUGCACUUCAUGUAUCUUCUUCAGUUCUAGCUCCUCCAAUCUUCUUGUCACAGCUGCAAACUUUGCCUUUAUAUCAACAUUUUCAUUUAAGGUGUACAUCCCAGCCUUAGCAUUAAAGGCAUUCGGUUGAGACUUCAUCUUCUCCACUUCUCCUUUGUUCGGUUCAUCCCAUCCCCUUGAUACUUCAACCACAUAACUUAAGAAAUCCAUGGCUUCCUCCAGAUUCUUACUCAUGGAAUCUCCUCUACACAUUGUCUCGAGGAGUUGCUUCAUUGAGGAAGACAUCCCAUCAUAAAAGUAACUCACCAAUAGCCAUGUAUCAAAACCAUGGUGAGGAUAAGCAUUGAUGGCUUCCAUGUAUCUUUCCCAACACUCAUAGAAUUUCUCACUCUCUUUAGCUGAGAAGUUUGAAAUUUCCCUUUUCAAGCCAUUUGUUCUGUGAGUAGGAAAAAAUUUCUCGAGGAAUUCAACUUGCAAAUUAGUCCAAGUCCGGAUACUCCUUGGCCUUAAAGAAUUAAGCAAAAUCUUGGCCUUAUCCUUUAAAUUAAAAGGAAAUAGUUUAAGCCUCAUCAAGUCGAUUGAAGCUCCUCCUUCUUGAAACGUAUUACAAACAUCUUCAAAUUCCUUGAUAUGGGCAUAGGGAUUCUCAUUUUCAAUCCCAUGGAAAGUUGGUAGAAGUGGAACAAUAUGCGGUCUAAUUACUAGCUGCUUUGUAGGGGGCACUAUACAGGAUGGUGCACUCAUACGAGGUGGAUACAUGAGGUCCCUCAUUGAUCUGAAUGCAUUGGGAUUGUCCUGGUGACCAUGGUGACUAUACUGAUCUUCAGGUGUAGCUUCCAUGAUAUUCAAACUCAAUUCCAAUUCCUUGUUAUGAGGUAUUUCAAGUUUCACAAGCCUUCCUCUACUAUCUCGUAUCCAAUUUGGCAUACACAACUAGUAUCAACUGUAAUAAAAACAAAAACAAAAGAAAACAAAAGAAAACAAAAGAAAACAAAACUACAAAAAGACUAAGAUUAAUUAAAACUAAAUUAAAAAAAAUGCUAAAAUAUGAACAAAUAAAAGAAACAAUUAAAAGAGUUACUAGAAUGAAAGAAAAAUCACCAAACUUGUGAUGAAAAUCACAAGUACUCUGAAAAGAUAAUAUCACUGUAAAGUUGGCACCUUCCCCGACAAUGGCGCCAUUUGAUUUCGUGCCCAGCUGGUAUACCUUGAUUUUGGUCCUCAGAUAAGAGUAAUCAACAAAAUUUAUAACCUAUAUCACCAUGUACUAGGAUAGCCUCAGCUAGCAUAGCAUAGUGGCUCUAGGAUCGUUCACUAGGAAGGGUUUUCAACUUACAAUUGAUAAUAAUUCAAAGUUGAAUUGAUGUUUUUUUUCAUUUCAAGGUUAGCUUCAAAAGAAAACAUAAACUUUGGUUUAAAAAGGAUUGGUUUUAAGCUAACUAAAAAUAGAGUAACGAAAAUUACUUAUAAAGAAAAGUGUUUCUUGGAGUUUUAGGAUCACUGGGAUCAGGCUCCUAAUACAAAAACAGAGUUCCGGUCACUUGAAUCUUUUCCUCGCAUUAGAGAAUUAACAUAUAGUUAUUUCUCUAACCGGUGUGGUACAGAUGCUUCCCUUUUAUGGAUUCAAACACUAAAUCCCUCUCACUGAUUCAUCUUGCAAUGGCUCGUGCCUCUCACCUAGCAUUUGUCAUUCAAGGUGAUACUUAAUCUUGGAUUUCCUUUCACAAGCUCGCAAGAGAUAACUAAUGGAUGUCUCCUUAGAGUCUAAAAGCUUACCAAGUGUUGGCUAUUCUAGAAAAUCCUACUUUCAAACCACCUCCCAAAGGCUCGCAAGAGAUAAACUAGUGCAUCUCAAUGAACGGAGAUCACUUGCCUUACCAAGUGUUGGCCCAGGUGAUUCAAAGACGUUUUAAGUUAACUAAAAACAUAGAAACCAUUAACGGGUACACUUUCUCUUCAUUAAAAGUUGAAACAACAAAACUUCCAAUUCUUGCAUUCGGCACCUUACCCAACUACCUUAACUCCAAGAGACAAAAAGUCUAGCCACUCAUUCUCUGAGGAAACAUCCUCAUUUGUCUAGUAAGCAAAAUACAAUCAAAGUGAGUAGGUAAGGCAGAGCAAAACUCUGUAUAUUACUUCCUUCAAAACUAUACAAAAGGUUGUCUUUAAGAACAAACUCCCGAGAUGUCUGUGUAAAGAAAAUUACAAACCAUAUAUAUGAGGUUAUUCACCCUUUUGUUCUUACUUAUUAACUAAGGAAUCCUAUGAUUGGUGGAUUACAAGGAGAGAAUGGGGAUUUAAACAACAAAUAUUUGAAGAAAAAAAUCUAAAAGAGUCGGUCGCAAAUAUCUGGAAGCACUCAGGUGGAUUUCGCAGGCAUGCAAGAUGGGCUGCGAAAUUUCGCAAGUUGAAAGUCUCCAUUUCGCAGCCAAAGGUUGAUUUCAACUUUUAGCUUGGUGUGAUUGGCUUCCAAUGACUAUAACUCCUUCAUUUCAGCUCCAAUUCAUGCACCGUUUGAAGCGUUAGAUUCCUGACUUCCCAAGCUUCGAAACAACAUAUAGUAUGCAUGAAAUGGACUCUAGAAAGUGCUCUAAAUGUGUCCAAAGUUGUUGUCCUCUUGAAUUCUUCAUGUUAGAUUUCUCUCUUUGCUUUCCCUCAUUGCAUUCAUGAUUUGCUUUUGGAAAAGGACUAUAGAGCUUCAAAACUUGGGUUCUUAAUGUAAAUGAGCUUUCAAUUGCUUUGCCAUGGAUUCUAUAGAACUCUCCUCAAUCUUGAAUUGCUUUGGUGAUAAAAAAGCUAUCAAAAACACCAAAACUUAACACAAAGUGAUUAGAAAUGAUUGCAGAGGUACUUAAUAUGCCAAUUGAGUUAAAAGGUAAUAACUACUAUUCAAAAGUGUUUAAAAGAGUUAAUUAUAAACUAUAAAAUAGCACUUUUUGAGUAGUAAUCACUCACAUGAUUCUAUGAUAUUUGGCAUUGCAUACAGGGGUUUGGCAUUUAGUUAUUGGGUAUUUGGGCCUUUGUGUCCCAUCAUUUCAUUCACCUGUCACCCCUGGCCUACAUUACGGUCCGAGUCGUAAGACCACCCUGAGGCCAUGAGAUCUCGUAUCUGCUUCGAUGCGGUUCAUUCGGAUAGGCUCCAUCUACUGAUUGAGUACGGGAUGUCAACAGGUCUCCAUUGCUUCAGGGAAUAUCGAGGGUCACAUAUUGCCUUUCCAUUCAGUUUGCUUGCCUCAAGUCCAUGAUCAGAGGCAAAUGAUACAGAGAGUUGGGACCGUUGAAAACGUCUUUGCUUGAUGCUUUGACAUGUUCAUACUAGGGCAUACCCUCAUCCUUGCAUACUGGCUUCGACUCUUACACAUGUACGCAGGCAGUUCGUUUCGCCUAGAGAUGUUUUGGAUAUCAGAGUUUAAGUAAGCCCCACAUUCAACUUGGUUUCUUCAUACAGCAGAGUGCUUUUGGGAGCUGACCUGAGAUCAAAUUCACGGUAUUCAUUGACCCAGCAGGAGUGUGCACACCCGGGCAUACCCCAUUCAUUGUCUUGUUCGCUAGCUCAGACAAUUGGGUCUUCAAUGAUGUAUUUCAGAGUUUUCAUUGAGAUAUUUGAGUUUCAGAGGUAAACAUUGGGGCAUACCCCUUAUCAGUUUUUUUGUGGAUAUUGGAUGUUAUGGAUUAGGGUGGAGGGUUUUUCCUCAUGGAUGGAUGUUUGUGAUAUUUCCAGCUUUUUGACUUUGAAUCUAUGUGCAGUUGUGGGUUUCUAACAUGGUUUUGAUGCCUUAGACUGGAGCAUGGCCCUUUCUUUGCACUUUUGGUCACUUUUAAGAGUUGUCAUACAGGGGCAUACCCCCCAUCUUUCUAUCUUGUUGGUGGGGUUAUUCAUUUCUUGUUUAUCGGCGUUUUCUGAUGUCACACUAAGGCACACCCCCUUUCUUUCGUCAUGAUUGACGGGUUUGACUUUUCUCUUAUUUGAUUCAUUUAUUGACAUUUUUCGGACGCCACACUAGGACAUACCCCCCUUUUUCAUGGUGCCAUUACUUUUCAUUUCCUUUCAUUUCAAUGGCUCUCUAGCAUCGUGCCCGGAUCCCCUAGUCAUUUCGGCGGCUCUCUAGCAUCGUGCUCAGAUCCCCUAGUCAUUUCGAUGGCUCUCCAAUAUUGUGCUCAGAUCCCCUAGUCUUUUGGGGGCUUACCCGCAUCAUGCCCGGAUGCCCUGGUCAUUUCGGCUGCUCUCCAGCAUCAUGCUCGGAUCCCCUAGUCAUUCGGCGGCUCUCCGGCAUCAUGCCCGGAUUUCCUAGUCAUUUCGGUGGCUCUCCGGCAUCGUGCCCAGAUCCACUAGUCAUUCCGGCGGCUCUUCGACAUCGUGGCCGAAUCCUUUAUUUUUCGGCAUCGUGCCCGAAACCCCUAUUUUUCGUCAUCGUGUUGGAUUUUCUUUUAUCUUUCUCGGCAUCGCAUACUGAUUUCCUUUGUUUUCUCCGGCAUCAUGCCCGGAUCCACUAGUCAUUCCGGUAGGUCUUCGACAUCGUGCCCAAAUCCUCUAUUUUCCGGCAUCGUGUCCGGUUUCCUUUUAUCUUUCCCGGCAUCGCGCCCGGAUUUCCUUUGUUUUCUCCAGCAUUGUGCCCGGAUCCCCUAGUCAUUCCGGUGGCUCUUUGGCAUCGUGCCCGAAUCCCCUAUUUUCCGGCAUCGUGUCUGGUUUCCUUUUAUCUUUCUCGGCAUUGUGCCCGAAUUUCCUUUGUUUUCUUCGGCAUUGCGCCUGGAUCUUAUAUCUCUCCCGAAAACGCGUCCGAUUUUCUCCUAUCUUUUCUGGCACCGUGUCCAAAUUCCUUUAGCUUUCUCCUGCAGUGUGCCUGGGUCCUUUAGUCCUUCGGUCAUCAUGGCUCAUUCCCUUAGCCUCUUUAUGGUUGUGUGGGGACAAAAUUGUUGGUCAUUGGAAUUCUUCACUAGAGUUCAUUUCACUCAUUCAUUCUUGCACUUUGCAUUCGUGACUCACUCGUUCAUUCACUCUACUAAAGAGGGGCAUAUUUGUAAACCCUCAAUUUUGUCCCUUGACACUUGCAUUUUAUCUUAUGGGUGCCACAUGCACCCAUGUUUUCAUAUGACCCCGCCAUGGCCCCUUUUUGGCCUUGAUCGAUUUCUGAGCCUUGUGUAGGUUCAUUUGCGGUCCAAUGUAGUGCGGGUGUGUAGUUCAUUUUGGAGUUCCGUCAUGGCCAAUUUCCCUAGUUGUUCACAUCAUGCUAUAGGGAAGGAAGUGCAGCCCCCCAAAAAUUUCAGUUCAGUUGGAAUUCAUAAGAGCAGGUUCGAAUUCGGAGCACUUAGGCUUGUUUUGAUCAUAUCUCCCUCAUCCGAACUCGGAAUCACGCACCGUUUUUUUUUAUGGACUCCUUAUUCAUCAAGGAACAUUCUGUAAAAAUUUCAAUUUUUUUUCUCAACUGGCUCGACUGGUUCCCAAAGUUUCAGAUUUUUUCUCAAUCGGAUGAAUUGGUUGGGCACCGGUUCAACAGGUGGCUUGGUGGCAGCCCAGUUUUAUAAAUGCUUUGCAUUGUUUCGAUCAAGUCUCUCUCAUCCAAGAUCAAAAUUGAGCUCUGUUUGUUUUUUUGGAUUCCUUAUUCUCUGAGGAAUCUUCUGGUAAAUUUUCAGAUUUUUUUCUCAAUCGGAUGAACUAGUUAGGAACCGGUUCAACAGGUGGCUUGGUGGCAGCCCCAUUUUAUAAACGCUUUGCAUUGUUUUGGCCGGUUCUCCCUCAUCCAGAAUCAGAAUUGAGCACCAUUUGUUUUUUUAGAUUCUUUAUUCUUUGAGAAAUCUUCUGGUAAAUUUUCAAAUUUUUUCUCAAUCGGAUGAAUCAGUUGGGAACCGGUUCAACAGGUGGCUUGGUGGUAGCCCCAUUUUAUAAAUGCUCUGUAUUGUUUCGGUCGGUUCUUCCUCGUCCGGGCUCAGAAUUGAGCGCCGUUUGUUUUGUUGGAUUCAUUAUUCUCCAAGGAAUCUUUUGGUAAAGUUUUAGAUUUCUUUUCUCAAAUGGUUGAGCUGGUUGGGAACCGGUUCAAUCGGUUUUGCUAGGUAGCUCUAGUUUCAGCGUGUUUUGACCCCCAUUUUUGUUAUGGCUUGGGCCCUUAGGCUCCAAGGCACUUGUAGGCCACCUUUAGGGUCUGAAUCCAGAUUUGGUUUGAAUUAAUGUGGGCCCACCUAUGAGUUGAGGGUAUUAUUGGCUAGGAAGGUCGGGGGGUUAUUGUGAAUGUUUGGCUUGGGCACAUUUUGAUGUUUGAUUAAAAAUGCUUGUGUCUAUUGAUUUGCCCCUGUUUGUAACGCUUGGCUGGGGACCCGAGGUACAUACUUGACUUGUUGGGAAUUGGAUUCAUUUGCAUGCAUGGGACUUGGAUAUGUUUGCUUGUUGUGUGUUGAAUUGAAGCCCCAUUUUAGAUGAAGUGGCACACUAAAACCCAGUGAACAUGAGCUCUAAAAUGCAUACAUUCAAUUUCUUUCCAAACAACCAGCGAUAAGCAGAGCCCCAUGCAAUUCGUAGAGUUCUCCUCAUGCAAUUUAUAUCAGCAAUGUAGUCUCAAGUACAUUCUCGGACCUCACUCUAGCAUUGGCUACCUUGGUGCACCUUACCCUCAUAAUUUUUUUUCUUUUCUUUGUGAUCUUACACAUCUUAAAUCUGGAUUUCAAAACCUUUUUCCAUCAAAAUAACUCUACUUUUCUUUAAAAUUCAUUCCUUAGGAGUUUCUAGGCAUAAAAUCCAAAUUUUAACAUACUAUUUGCUGCAAUUUUCCUUCUAGCACGCGUUCUCACUAUUUUCUACUAAUUUUCUUGAUUUUCUUGUUUUUCCUAAACAAGCAUGAAUAAACUUCAUGAUUCCAAAUAAUGGAACUCAUUAAACCAAUUCAUGCAAAAGUAAUUUGGACCUUGGUGGGUGGCGCGACAUCCAUGAAUUUUUUUUUAGAUAUUGAUUCAAAUGAGGUGUUUGCUUGAUAUUUAAUUGAAAUUGAUCCUCUUCAUGAUACAUGAGUUUGUUUUAUAGUUAUUUUUGAACUAACCAUGCUCCCCAUUAAAGCGCUUAGCUUGCUACUCUUGUACGCUAUCUAUCACCUAAUUUUCAGAAUUCUAUGAAUAUGCAUAUUAUUAUGAGCUAUAUCUAUGUUCAAUUCUAUCAUUGGAUGCCUAAAUGUUUGUUUUAUUUGCUCUAACAAAAUGCAUGUUGUGUGUCAUAUUUGUAAGCUAACUUUGAUGUCUUAUGAUAGUGCUUGAGGAGCAAUCUAGGUACACACCCUAACUCUCCUUUAUGAUUAUGAUUUGAUUUAUUAUUGGGCAUGCUUGUUUUGAAAUCACCUUAGCCUACCUAGGCAUUCAUAAUCAACUUAUUAAUUGCCACAUUUACCUCAAUUUAGUCAAUAGAGACCUUUUUAUGGCUUAGAGAGGUACUACCUCUUUGAGGUACCUUCCCAAAAGGUAACUUGAUCGCCGAACCUCCUUUUAAAAUAAAAUAAAAUAAGCAAUGACUCUAACUUUGACCAAAAUUAAUUUUUCACCAAUAAAAGCAAGUAUCGCUGAUGAGUGGGGACACACGUGAAAAUUGCAGGUCCACAGCAUGCACCUAGUCAAAUUGUGUAUUGUUUGCAAGAGAUGCUUGUAUUUAUUUCCUAAUGAGUUUAUUCUAAUUCUUUGAUUAGGAUUUCUUCAAUCACAUUGCUUGCUAUUGAAUUUCCAAUGGCUUAAUAUAAAUUAUUAGAAAAAUGUUGUUUAAUUAUUUCAGCAACUUAUCCUUUAUAAUUUUUUUUAACAAAUAUUAUCUCUGAUGUUCAUUUGUAAUAAAUAGCUAGAGAAAGGGCCCAAUGUGAACACCUAUGAGACUUAGUUGUGUUUGAGAGAUUACAUGGAAAUCUUGGCAAAACAUCUCCAAGCCUUGUUGUCAAAAAGGAAACCCUACAUCUCAUGCCUUUAUACUGCAUCUUAGCUUCUCAUCUUGCAAUGGACAAUGGUACUCUUAUUGAAUCAGUUUUACCAUACCAGUCAUCAACAUUUGCACUCAUUAAGCACUAAUUUAAGCACUGAUGCUUUUGUUAAAGUUAUUUCCUUUUUUGUUUGUUCGUUUUUGUUUUCUUUUGUUUUGGAGGUAAUUGUGUUGGAUGAUUUAUGUUUGUGUUAGACAACAAAGCUUGUCUUAAUGCUAUUGUAAAACAAGACUAUGCUAAUAAGAUUUUGAUGUUUACAAUGUUUAUGCCAAAUUGAAUUUUUAGUUUUCCUAAUUGAAAAUUUGCUUGUUUUCCCCAUUAUAUCGAUGUUAUUGUUGGAUUUUUGUUUCUGUUGAUCAAGCAUGUGCUAAAAGUUUGUUUUUUUUUUUUUUUUCCGUUGCUACUUCAUGUGUGUGGAAUUCUAGCUUAAAGUUAGUGAGGAAUUCUAGGGUUUGUUAAGGCCAUUUUUGGUAUUUUGUUAUUAGUUCCUAAUUUAAUGUUUUUCCUUAUUUAGUGGAGAUUUUGUUCUCUAAUCAAUUAAGAUUGAAUCCUGGUCCUUAUGGUGACUGAUUGCACUAUUCUCUUGUAUAUAUAUACCAUGUUGUAUUCUAUAGAAAGUAAGAGAAUUAAUAAAUAAAUAAAAAUUAACUUCUCAUAAAUCUUCAUGGUAUCAAAGCCUUCCCUCUAAAACCCUAAUUUUCCACAUCACCAAAUUCGUCAUGGCUAUUGAGAGACAAAUCUCAACCUUUGAAGUGACCUUCAAUCCAGAAACGAUGCCAACGAUGAACAACCAUGGAAGAGCCGAGAACCCAUCUAUGCUCAUCACAGGUCACAAACUCAAUGGCCAUAAUUUUCUCUAGUGGUCUUAGUUAGUGAUGAUGUAUGUCUGUGGAAAGGGCAAGGAUGAAUAUCUCACCAGUGAAGUAGUUAUCCCUGAGAAGACCAAUCCCAAAUUCAGGGUGUGGAAGACCGAGAAUCACAUGGUGAUGUCUUGGUUGAUUAAUUCGAUGAAUACCGACAUAAGAAAGAAUUUUCUCCUCUAUGGAACUGCCAAAGAAUUAUGGGAUGUAGCAAGGGAGACAUACUCAAAUUCUGAAAACACUUCAAAAAUAUUUGAGAUAGAAGCCACUUUACACAACCCUACGGCAGGGAGAUCUCUCUGUUACCCAAUACUUCAACAUUCUUUCUCGUCAUUGGCAGCACCUAGACAUGUUUGAAGUUCACACCUGGAAGUGCCCUGAAGACACUGCAUUGUACCGAAAAAUUGUGGAGCAAAAGCGAACAUUCAAGUUUCUCCUUGGCCUCAACAAGAAUUUGGACGAGGUUAGGGGGAGAGUGAUGGGGACCAAACCUCUUCCAAGUAUUAGAGAGACAUUCUCAGAAGUUCGCCGUGAGGAAAACAUGAAAAAGGUUAUGAUGGGAUCUCAGAAUUCUGCCCUAUCAAUUGAAGGAUCUACCUUUGUAGCACGAGGACUUCCAUCAAACACCAACAGUGAAAAUCGCCAGAAAAUGGGAAACCUUAGUGUGACCACUACCGAAAACUAUGACAUUCCAGAGAAAAUUGCUGGAAGAUUCAUGGCAAACCAGCUAAUUGGAAGCCAUCCAAACCAUUCAAUGAUAGAGAAAGUAGUGUCCAUAAUGUUGCUACCUCAGAAGACAAGCCAACCUCAACCAAGACCAGUCCUUUCAGCAAAGAGCAGCUUGAGAUGCUUCAACAACUCAUAAGUCAAAACUCCCUAUCUCAAUCCAGUAACUCAGCAUCUGGUAUAGGCAUGUUGGCACAAAAAGGUGAUUUUUCAAAUGCCUUUGCAGUAAAUAAACAACACUUGAAUCCUGGAUUAUUGACUCUGGAGCAUCAGAUCACAUGACAAGAGAAGGAACCAUAUUUCAUGAGUACAACCCUUCUAAAGAGAAAUAUACAGUUUGGAUUGUUGAUGGAUCUCUAUCCAAAGUUGCUGGAACAGGCUCAAUCAGGGUUACAAACGACCUUAAUCUAAACCCUAUUCUCCAUGUCCCUAAUUUGGAAUGUAAUUUACUCUCAAUCAGCAAAUUAACUCGUGAUCUUCAUCGUGAAGCUAAAUUUUUCUCAAACUUGUGUAAAUUUCAGGAACUGGAUUCGAGGAGGAUGAUUGGCAAUGUUGAGAUGUGCUCUAGACUCUAUCUUCUCAAGGGUGAUACUCCUCUAAGAAGACGAACUCAAAAUGCAAGUUGUGUGUCGCUUAAGAGUCGGUCAAUUUUAGAUUUUUGUGUCAAUAAAGAUAAUGAGGUCAUGUUAUGGCAUUAUCGUCUGGGUCAUCCAAAUUUUAUAUAUCUUGAAAAAUUGUUUUCAUCUUUAUUCAUCAAUAAAAGUCCAAAAUUUUUCAGUUGUGAAAUCUACCAGCUUCCAAAACAUACUCACAGUAGUUACCCUAGUCUUUCAUAUACACCAUCUCACCCAUUUGCCAUGAUUCAUAGUGAUGUGUAGGGUCCUUCGAGGAAAAACAAUAUAACAGGAGCACGGUGGUUUGUCUCGUCUGUUGAUGAUCACACUAGAUUGACCUGGGUAUUCCUGAUGAAAGAAAAAUCUGAAGUUGGAAAAUUUUUUCAAAUUUUCAAUUCCAUGAUCUAAACUCAAUUCCAGACCAAAAUCCAAGUUCUAAAAACUGAUAAUGCCAAAGAGUACUUCAAGUUUGUUCUAGGUAGUUACCUCAUGAGUCAAGGAAUAGUCCACCUAAGUUCUUGUGUUGUCACCCCUUAAUAAAAUGGGAUUGCAGAAAGAAAAAACCAACAUUUGUUAGAGGUAGCUAGGUUCCUCAUGUUUUCCACUCACGUUCCUAAACAUUUUUGGGGGGAGGUAGUACUUAUAGCCACGUAUCUCAUCAAUAGAAUGCCAUCCAGAAUUCUUAAAUUUAAAACGCCUUGUCAAUCCCUUCUCUAGAUCUUUCCACAUACAAAAAUCAUCUCUUCAUUAGAUCCAAAAAUAUUCGGGUGUUCAACUUUUGUCCAUAUACAUCAGCAACAUCGUAGCAAAUUAGACCCUAAAUCCAUCAAAUAUAUCUUUAUAGGGUACUCUUCACAUCAAAAGGGUUAUAAGUGUUAUUCUCCCAUCACUAAAAGGGUAUACAACUCUAUGGAUGUGACAUUUUUUGAACAUCAAGCUUACUACCACAAAACCGACAUGCACGGGAAGAACAUGAGAGCAUUCCAGUUUUGGAAGACACUUGAUCUUGGGGACACCCUACCAUUACCUCAUCUUACUUCUCAGCCAAUUUUCAGUCAACAACCAAAAGUCAUUAAUCAAAUUCCAGUUCAAAUUUCAAUGUCUUCACAACCUAAACCUGAGAGUCAUCCUCCUACUACCUCACCUCAAACUCUAGUCCAUAAUUACUCUAAAUCACCACUAACUGCAAAUAAUGAGUUUAGCGUCUACAUUAGGAGAAAAAGGCCUAAGAGAACAAUAGAGCAACCAACUCCUCUAAAAAAUGACCAAAAAUCUUAACCUAGUCCAAGUCCUACUCAAAUUCACUUGGGUAAGGGAACUACUAAUCUUGAAAAGCUAGUACCAUUUGUAGAUGAUUCAAAUAUUCCGAUUGCUUUGAGAAAGAGUGUUAGAACUUGCACAAACCAUCCUAUCUAUAGAUUUAUUUCAUAUGAUGGAUUGUCUCCCUCCUAUCAAGAUUUUGUUUUAGUUCUUGAUAGUGUGCAGGUUCCUAAUUCUAUUUAGGAGGCUCUCAAGAAUCCAAAGUGGAGAAAGGCAAUUAGCGAAGAAAUCAAAGCUUUGGAGAAGAAUGGAACAUGGGUAAUCUCUGAUCUUCCUCAUGGAAAGAAACCAAUCGGGUGUAAGUGGAUUUACCAUUAAACAUAAGGCUAAUGGAAGUAUUAAGAGAUUGAAAGCUCGCCUUGUUGCCAAAGGCUUUACUCAGUCUUAUGGAAUAGACUAUCAAGAAACAUUUGCUCCAGUGGCCAAACUCAACACUAUUCAAGUUCUUUUUUAUCUUGCAGCAAACCAAGAUUGGCCAUUACAUCAACUAGAUGUCAAAAAUGCUUUUCUGAAUGGUAACUUGGAGGAAGAAGUGUAUAUGGAGAUACCAUCAGAGUUGGAAACUUCUUUCAACAACAACAGGGUGUGCAAGCUUAAGAAAUCUCUGUAUGGACUCAAAAAAUCACCUCGAGCAUGGUUUGACAGGUUUGCAAAGUCAGUUACAAAGCAAGGAUAUACUCAAUGUCAAGCGGAUCAUACACAAUUUGUGAAGUUCUCUUCAGAAAAGAAAAUAGCAGUCCUCAUAGUGUAUGUUGAUGAUAUCAUCUUAACAGGUGAUUAUGAAGAGGAACUAUUGGGAAUGAAGAAACACUUAGCCAAAGAAUUUGAAAUCAAAGACCUUGGCUAUCUUAGAUACUUUCUCGGUAUGGAGGUGGUAAGAUCUAAGAAAGGCAUAUUUUUCUCCCAACGUAAGUAUGUUCUAGACUUACUAAAAGAGACAGGUAUGCUUGGAUGUAAACCUGCAGACACUCCAAUGGACUCAACCAAGAAAAUAGGAACUGAGAAGAACAGUGCACCAGUUGACAAGGGGAGAUACCAGAGACUUAUAGGACUUCUUAUCUACCUUUCACAUACUCGACCUGACAUUAGAUUCUCUGUUAGUGUUGUGAGUCAAUUUAUGAACAACCCAAUAGAAGAACACAUGGAAGCUGUGAAUACAAUUUUGAGGUAUCUGAAUAUGACCCUAAGAAUAGGACUGUUGUACAAAAAGAAUGAUACUAGAGAUGUUGAAGUUUUCUCAGAUGCAGACUGGGCAGGUGAUGUGUUAGAUAGGCGAUCAACAUCUGGAUAUCGUUCCUAUGUAUGGGGAAAUCUCGUGACUUGGAAAAGCAAGAAACAGUUUGUAGUCUCAAGAAGUAGUGCAGAAGCUGAAUUGAGAUCUUUGGCUCUUGGUAUUUGUGAAGGAACCUGGAUAUAGAGACUGCUGAAUGAGUUGGGAAUAUCUACUGAGAAGCCUAUUAAAAUGUUCUGUGACAACGAAGCUGCCAUAAGCAUUGCAAAGAAUCCUAUACAUCAUGAUAGGACGAAACACAUCGAGAUAAAUCGACAUUUCAUUUCAGAAAAGAUUGAGAAGGCAAUUGUACAGUUGGUCUAUACUCCUACAAAAUCCCAAAUGGCACACAUACUCACUAAAGCUUUUUCAAGAACUAACUUUGAAGAACUGAGUCACAAGCUGUGCAUGUACAAUAUCUAUGCCCCAGCUUGAGGGGAAGUGUGGAAUUCUAGCUUAAAGUUAGUGAGGAAUGCUAGGGUUUGUUAACGUUAUUUUUGGUAUUUUGUUAUUAGUUCCAAAUUUAAUAUAUUUCCUUGUUUAGUGGAGAUUUUGGUCUCUAAUCAGUUAAGAUUGAGUCCCGGUCCUUAUGGUGACUGAUUGCACCAUUCUCUUGUAUAUAUAUAUCAUGUUGUAUUAUAUAGAAAGUAAGAGAAUUAAUAAAUAAAUAAAAAUUCACUUAUCAUAAAUCUUCAAUGUGCAAAGCAUCAUUAUUCAAAUUUUUUGUUUGUUUGUUUUUGUUUUGUUUUGUUUUGUCUUGUCUUGUUUUGUUUUGGAGGUAAUUGUGUUGGAUGACUUAUGUCUGUGUUAGACAACAAAGCCUAUCUUAAUGCUACUGUAAAGCAAGACUAUGCUAAUAACCUUUUAAUGUUUACAGUGUUUAUGCCAAACUGAAUUUUUAGUUUCCCUAAUUGAAAAUUUGUUUGUUUUCCCUAUUAUAUCGAUGCUAUUGUUAGAUUUGUGUUUCUAUUGAUCAAGCAUGUGCUAAAACUUUGUUUUUUUUUUUUCCUUUGCUACUUCAUGUGCAAAGCAUUAUUAUUUGAAUUUUAAUGAUUCCAUUCAAUUCAUUAUUCAAUAUUUUCAUUUGAUAUUACAUCUAUCACAUUUGUUUUCUUUUCUUAGUUUGUUUUGUUUUGUUUUUGUUUUUUUUUUUUAAUUUGUGAAAUUUGAAUUUGAUGGAGCCACCAUUAAUUUAUUUUUCCUUAUUAUUGUGGGGUGUGCUUUAUUUUGUUCAUGUAAAUAUCAUCGUUGUGGCACUAUUAUUAUUAUGUAACCUUUUUUUUGUUUAAUCUAUUGUUCCUAUGAGCAUUAAAUUCUCCUAAAAUGUAUGGAACAGGCUAAACCCUUUCUAUAGUUAUUUUAAAAAAUUUAUUUUUCAUCUAUUUUCUUGUGCUCAAAAAAUUAUAUUUUUUAGUAAAAUUGAAAUUUUAGGGAGCGCUUAUGCCUUAAUGACUCAACCCCUUGAGGGUUUAUACCUAUCUUAGCAAGAUGUAAACCCUCAUGCCUCUUAUGCUUUUACCUUAUGAAACUAUACCCAAAAACAAACACCACAACUCCUUGCCCCGAUCAAAGGAUACUUGAAAGUUUGCUUCAAAUCAAUUUCAAGGCUAAUAAUCAUAGGCUUGUCAAAUUCAUGUUGCUAAAAUUGGUAUUGUAACCAAAGUAAUAUUAGGAAAUCUUCAAGUUUCAGCUCCUCUUUUUAUGUUGGCUCUUGUAUUGUUAGGUGGCUUCAACCUUUUGCUUUACUUAUGCUUUAUGAGCUACUCCAAUUAAAAUAAUGCUUCAAGUAGAUGUUCUUUGGAUCUUCACUCUAGCAAGAUACUUGCAUUGCAAAAAUUUUUUGUAGUCCUAGAUAGGUUAACUAGGAAGACAAUAGCUUGCUUAAGAGGAUUGCCUCCUCUUCUAUUGGGUUUGUAAAAGUUUUGCUUCUCCCUUGACUUUAGGAGUCCCGUGGUUUCAAAUUUGGGUGUGCUCUAGGUUGUAGCAUGCCUUAUGCUUUCUAAAUGGUAAUCUUCUUCUUGUUUUGGCUAGGAUUCUUUCAUUUAUUUUGCUUGUUUGCUUUCUUUGUUUCUUUAUUGUGGUUGAAGGAUCACCAAUCAACUUUUUAUUCUCUGCAAAAAUUAUUUAUGUUUCAUACCUAAAAAAGAAAAAACAAAGGCUAGUUAGCCUAGAACAUGUUUUAUCUUGUUCUUCUUUUACUAUUAGUAUGGAUUCAAACUUGGGAAGAGGCCUUGAAACAAGUUGCAUUUGUGUUUUCUUAACAUACAUCUUUAUUCGAUCAUUUUUGUUAAGUAUUUGGUGUCUUGUUUGUUCUUUUAGUUGUUUUUGUCUCUGUCAAAGUGUAUAAUUGUAAUAUCCCAUAUCAUAUAGGGAAAAAAGUUUUUCGUGCUAUAUAUAUGUAUAAACUCCACUUAAUCUUGUAAAUGUGUUUUAAAGUCACGAGGGUUUCUUAGGUUCAGAGCAGAUAAUAUCUACACAGUUGGAAGUAGGUCAUUACUAAUGGUAUCGGAACCAAUCUCCAACCUCAAUGUGAGAGAUUGUUUAGCACCGAAAGGAGUGUCUAUCUAUUUGACCCUACAAUCAUGUGGAAUAUAAUAAGGAAAUUGGGUUUGCAUGAGGAGUGUGAUUAUGAUAUCCUACAUCGAAUAUGGGAAAAAGUUUCUAAUGUUAUAUAUGUAUGGACUCCUCUUAACCUUGUAAACGUGUUUUGAAAUUGUAAAUGUCACUUAAGUUUAGAGUGGACAAUAUCUAUACAAUUGGGAGUAGGUUGUUAUAAUAAUUUUGAUUUUCCUUCCAUAUAUGUUUAAUUGCAUAACAUUAUCAUAGAAAAAUAUUCAUCUAUCAUAAUGUAGCGUCUUGUAAAGCUUAUGUUGGGUGUUAUGAUUUUAUCUCUCAUCAUUUUUAUUAUUCUGAUUCAACAUCAUCUUAGCUUAUAAUCAAAAGGCUAUAAAUUGUAGGAUUCUUUUCUCCAAUUUUUUACUUGAUAUCUUAUAAUGCCAUGAAAUGUCUAUAUUUUGAUGCAGAAAGUCGUUCAUCCUUCAUCUCUCUCACUAGUUUUGCAGAACCAUAGUCAUUAGGCACAUGCAAGCGUUAGACAUGCAGCCACUUCCAGUGUUGGAAGAGACUUUGAACUACCUCUUAAACCUAUUAGAUCCACGGAGCAUCCUUUUGAAGUGGUUCAUGAUUUCAUCUUUGAUAGGACAAGAUCAAUAAGACACGAUCUUAGCAUGGAGAAUAUUGUUAAUGAUCAAACAAUUCAUACGUAUGAAGAAAUGGUAUAAAUUUCUUGAAACAUAAUCUUAAUUACCUUUCUUUUCUUAGCAUUAAUCUCCUCAAUAUACAAUAAGUUAGCCAAUCCACUACUAAACACACUCCUAGUUGCAGAAAAUAAUCAAAAUAUACAAGAGAUGUUGUAUAAUUGAGUCAUUAUCCUCUCUUUUUGCUUUAUUGAAUAAGAAAAUUCUAUUCAGUGGAGUCCAAAUGAGGUGAAACUGUGAUCACACAACUUUUAAAGCCUACUUUAUAAUGGAUAAAUGAAUGGUCUGGUUCUGAAUCUUUCUCGGCACAUUAGUUAUUAUCCAAUCCAUUCUAAUUAAGUUAUCCACUAUUGAGUGUCUAUUUCCAAUGAAAGUUAUGAAAGGCCCAUAGAACCCAAGCAACUCACACCGCUUGCGAUGGGAAUUGGUGUUCUUUCCCGUAAUGUCAAGUUUUCUAGUACACUUGGUGACUUUGUAGAAUAUGCCUACGGAAAGGGCUGCCACCUUCUAAUUCCCAAUCAUACAAGUUUCUUAACCAUAUUUCAAAAGUUGUAUUUCUUGUUCCGUCUCUUAAAGUUUUUUAAACCUAUAUCUCUUUAUCCUUGGCAAUUCAGAAAGAUGAGGAAACUAUUUAACAAGAACUCCAUCAAUUUGUUCCUCAAAAUUUUAUAUAGUUUCUCUCUCUCACUUUCAAUUUAAACUCUUGAUUUAAAAGAACAAAUUCAUGGCCAGCAACAUUUUUAGCCAAGCAAUAGAAUGUACAACAAGCAUGCAUAUGAAUGAACUGUAUUGUUUAAUGAUAAUAGAUCAAAUAUUUUAAUCUAAUCCUAAAACCUUAGAGUUAGCUAAAAGCCUCAUCUUAUGUUCUAACUUGUGGUUUGUUUCACAAUACAGGUGAAAUUUCAUAUUAUAUCCCACCAAAAGCUUUGCAAUUGUAGCAGCAAGCCAAAUUUUUAUUUAGUUAUUACCUUAAUAUGGAGCAACUGAAAAAGUGUCUAACAUCUCUAUAUGCUCUAUACAAAGAAAAUUGCAAUUCAAAUUUUAUUUACAAGAAUGAACCUGAGUUUUGCUCAUUUCACGUUCUUCUUCACCUUGGCUCUAACAGCCAACCACUGGUGGAUAUCUGCUUUCAUUGUUUGUUUGAGUUCAUCUUUUUCAGUAUUUGUACUAGUUUCUGAAGGUGUUACUAUUUUUGUUCUGAGGGGAGAGUCACUCUCUUUGUGGUUGGGUCUUGUACCUUCUGUCAUUUUGAAGUCAAAGGAAAAAUGUUUUGCCCAAGACUUUUAUAGUACGUUUGGUAGUGAUUUUAGGAAGUGUUUCUAGUCUUUUUUAUGCUUGAAAGAUAAAAAAAAAAAAUUAAGUGGUAAAAAGACUAGAAACACUUUAUAAAAUAACUGCCAAACGCACUCUUAAGAUGACCAUAAAGCUGUUGUAGAUUCCACUUGCAUUUAAAUUGUUUUUAUUCCCUUUACAUUUAACUCAAUGUAGAGUGGUUAUGUUUUUCCGUUGAUUUUUUUCUCUUUUUUAGUACCCAAUGUUAAAGUUUUGUUUCACGAACUGAAAGGUCCGUCUUUUCUAGUGACAGUGGAUGGGCAAUUAUAAGUGUUUCCUUUGUACUACAACAAUUGAGGCAUCAUAUUUGCAAUAUUACAUUAUUAUUAUUUUUUAUAAAUGAGCACAAAAUAUAUAAUAAAGGGCGGAAAGCCACAAAGCAUACAGGGAGUAUACAAAGCAGCUAAAAAGCAAAAAACUCAUAAACAGAACAAACUCACCAGCCCUUAAAGAGCCGCUAACCACUCUAAGAAGCCUAAAAUCAAAGAUGACUCCUCUCCCAUAUACAUCCUAGUCCAACUCCAUAAAUUACAUGCAAAAGAAUUCUUGAGUUUCUGAAUAGCUAAAGAACCCCAUCUAAAAGCUAACCUAUUUCUUUCCUUCCAAACCGUCCAAAAUAUACACAACGGGAUGGAAUUCCAAAUCUUUUUCCUCUUUUCCCCAUAAAAGGGCCCCUCCAACAAAAUAACACCUCUUUGACUGUCUCUAGGAACACCCAUUGAGCCCUAAACAAGGAAAGAACGAUCUCUCAGAGGACCCUGACCACUGUACAGUGUAAAAGAAUGUGAUUUACAUUUUCCUCUUCACAGCCACACAAAUAACAACGAUUAGGGAGCUGCCACCCUCGUUUUUGAAGCCUAUCCAAUGUGAGGAUUUUUUCCCAAGUGGCUUCCCACGCAAAGAAAGCAACUUUGGUUGGAACCUUAUCCACCCAAAUGAUUUUUUUCGGAAAGACGAGGGGAUUGGGGGUGAUUCGUGUUUUCCCAGCUGGUGUACCUUGAUUUUGGUCCCCUGAUGGGAGUAAUCAACAAAAUUUAUAACCUAUAUCACCAUGCACUAGGAUAGCCUAAGCUAGUAUAGCAUAGUGGCUCUAGGAUCGUUCACUGGGAAGGGUUUUCAACUUACAAUUGAUACCAAUUCAAAGUUGAAUUGGUGCCUUUUCAUUUCAAGGUUAGCUUCAAAAGAAAACAUAAACUUUGGUUGAAAAAGGUUUGGUUUCAAGCUAACUAAAAAGAAAGUAAUGGGAAUUACUUAUAAAGAAAAAGCGUCUCUUGGAGUUUUAGGAUCACUGGGGUCAGGCUCCUCAUGCAAAAACAGAGUUCCGGUCACUUUGGUUCUUUUCCUCGCAUUGGAGAAUUAACAUAUAGUUCAUUCUCCAACCGGUGUUGUACAGAUGCUUCCCUUUUAUAAAUUUCAGCACUAGUUCCCUCUCACUGAUUCAUCUUGCAAUGGCUCGUGCCUCUCACCUAGCAUUUGCCAUUCAAGGUGAUCAUUAACCUUGGACUUCCCUUCUCAAGCUCGCAAGAGAUAACUAAUGGAUGCCUCCUUAGAGUCCAAAAGCUUACCAAGUGUUGGCAAUUCUAGAAAAUCCUACCUUCAGGUCACCUCCCAAAAGCUCACAAGAGGUAAACUAGUGCAUCUCUGUGGACAGAGAUCACUUGCCUUACCAAGUGUUGGCUCAGGUGAAUUGAAGGCGUUUUAAGUUAACUAAAAACAUAGAAAUCAUAAACGGGUUACACUUUCUCUUCAUUAAAAGCUGAAACAUCAAAACUACCAAUUCUUGCAUUCGACACCUUCCCCGGCUACCUUAGCUCCAAGAAACAAAAAGCCUAGCCACCCAUUCUCUGAAGAAACAUCAUCAGAGCUUGUUUGGCUAGUAAAUGAAAAAUACAAUCAAAGUGAGAAGGUAAUGCAGAGCAAAGACUCUGUAUUUUACUUCCUUUCAAACUUUUACAAAAGGUUCGUCUCCUUGAUAACAGGCUCCUGAGAGCUAUUUAUAUGAAAAUUACAAUAAUAAUUAUUACCUGGAUAUUUACCCUUUUUCCUAACUUAAUAGCUAAGGAAUCCUAUAAGUGGUGGAUUACAAUGAGAGAAUUGGGAUUUAGACAUCAAAUAUCUGAAGCAAAAUAUCAAAAAUUUGUCGGUCGUAAAUAUCUGGAAGCACUCAGGAGAAUUUCGCAGGCGCACAAAAUGGCUGCGAAAUUUCGCAGACGUACAAGAUGGCUGCAAAAUCAUUUCGCAGCCAAAGGCUGAUUUCGCAGCCUUGCGAAAUUGGCCUUCAGCUUGAUGUGAUCAUCUUCCAAUGGCUCUAACUUCUUCACUUCAACUCCGAUUCGCGAACCGUUUAAAGCGUUAGAUUUUUUACUUCCCAAGCUUCGAAACAACAUAUAGUAUGCAACAAAUGGACUUCAGGAAGUACUCCAAAAGUGUCAAACAGUUGAUGUCCUCUUGGAUUCUUCAUGUUAGAUUUUUCUCUUUGUUUCAUCCUUGCAUUCAUGAUUUGUUUAUGGCAAAGGACUUUAAGGCUUCAGUUCUUCAUGUUUCUGAGCUUUCCAUUGCUUUGCCAUGGAUUCCAAAGAACUCUCCUCAAUCUCGGAUUGCUUUGGUGAUCAAAUUACUAUCAAAAACACCAAAACUUACACAAUUUGAUUAGAAACGAUUACAAAGGUCCUUAAUAUGUUAAUUGGGUUAAAAGGUAAUAACUACUACUCAAAAGUGUUUAAAAGAGUUAAUUACAAGCUAUCAAAUAGCCCUUUUUGAGUAGUAAUCAAGGGGUAGUGAUUCAUGCCCAAUUGGUGUCUUAGCUGAUUCGUGUCCAGCUGGUGUUCCUUGAUUGAGGGAGUAAUCAACAAAAUUUAUAACCUAUUACACCAUAUACUAGGGUAGCAAAGAAAAAGCUACUAUAGCAUAGUGGCUCUAGGAUCGUUCACUGGGAAGGGUUGGCAAAUUAUCAAUGAUACCAAUUCAAAGUGAAUUGGUAUUGUUUCAUUUCAAGGUUAGCUUAAGAAAUAAAACACAAACUUUGGUUGGAAAAGAUUUAGAUUUAAACUAACUGCAAAGCAAGUAAUGGAAAUUACUUAGGAAGAAAAACAUUCCUUGGAGAGUCAGGUUUACAGGGGAGGUUCCUCAUGCAAAAACAUAGCUCCGGACAGUUGGUUCAUUUCCUCGCGUUAGAGAAUUAACAUAUAGUCAAUUCUCUAACCGGUGUUGUACAGCUACAUCCUUUAAUUAGAUUUCAGCUUUGAUUCUCUCUCACUGAUGCAACUUGCAAUGGUUCGAGCCUCUCACUAAGCCUUAACCAUUCAAAGUGAUCUUUAACCUUGAACUUCCCUUCUCAAGCUCGCAAGAGAUAACUAAUGGAUGUCUCCUUGGAGUCCAAAAGCUUACCAAGUGUUGGCAAUUCCAAAAAAUCCUACCUUCAAGUCACCUCCCAGAGGCUCGCAAGAGGUAAACUAGUGCAUCUCCAUGGUCGGAAAUCACUUGCCUUACCAAGUGUUGGCCCAGGUGACUCUAAGGUGUUUUAAGUUAACUAAAAACAUAGAAAUCACUAAAAGAUUACACUUCCUCUUCAUUCAUGGCUGAAACCACAAAGCUAUUCAUUCUUGCACUUGGAACCUUUCCCGGCAACCUUAGCUCCAAGGAACUAAAGGUUUAGUUACUCAUUCUCUGGGGAAACUUCCUCAGAGAGUGCAUAACUUAGUAAAUGAAAAAUACAAUCAAAGUGAGAAGGUAAGGCAAAACAAAGGUCCUGAAUUUUACUUGCUUUCCAACUUUUUACAAAAAGGUUUCUCUCUUGGAACAGGCUCCUGAGAGCUAUUUAUAUGAAACUACCAUCAUAGCUAUUACAUGGAUAUUUUUCCUUUUUCCUAACUUAAAAGCUAAGGAAUCUUAUUAUUGGUGGCUUACAAGGAGAAUUUUGGGAUUUAGACAACAAAAAUCUGAUGAAAAAUAUCUCAUUGUGUCGGUCGUAAAUAUCGGGAAGCACUAAGGACCAUUUCGCAAGUGAAAACGAGGUCUGCGAGAUUUCUCAGAUGCACAAAAAGAGCUACGAAAUCACUUCGCAGCAAACGGUUGAUUUCGCACCGCUGCGAAGUGAUCUUUCAGCUUGCGGCAUUCGGCUUCCAACGUGUCGGGAAACUUCAGGGGGAAUUCCUCAGCACUGUGCAAAAAGGCUGCGAAAUCAUUUCGCAACAAAAGGGUGAUUUCGCAACGCUGUGCAAAAUUCUUCCUUCAGCUUGGAGUGAUCGGCUUGCAAUGGCUGUAACUCCUUCAUUUCAACUCCAAAUUGCAAACCUCUUGAAGCAUUGGAUUGUUGACUUCCUGAGCUUCGAGACGACAUAUAGCAUGCAUCAAUUGGACUUCAGAAAGUGCUCCAAAAGUGGCUGACAUGACUGUCAUCAAGAAUAUGCUUCAUGGCAGAUUUCUCUUUGCUUCCUCUCCUUGCAUUCCGGAUUUGCUUAUGGAAAAGGUCUUCAAAGCUUUGGUUCUUCAUGUUUCUGAGCUUUCCAUUGCUUUGCCAAGGAUUCCAAAUAACUCUCCUCAAUCUCGGAUUGCUUUGGUGAUUAAAAAGCUAUCAAAACACCAAAACUUAACACAAUUUGAUUAGAAGUGAUUGCAAGGGUCCUUAACAUGUUAAUUGGGUUAAAAGGCAAUAACUACUACUCAAAAGUGUUUAAAAGAGUUAAUUACAAGCUAUGAAAUAGCACUUUUUGAGUAGUAAUCAGGUAGCCAUCAAAUUAUAAGCAUCCCGAAUCCGAAAAAUAUCAAGACCCCCUCCUUUCCAUAACACUGAGUCCUCUUCCAUAUCAAGCCUUUUUACAACUAACUUGGGCAUUCGAAAAAGGGAUAAUUGGUAGAUGGGUAUACUGGCCAAUGUACUUUUAAUGAGGGUAAUUCUCACACCCUUAGACAUGUAUUGCAUUUUCCAAAUAGCUAAUCUUCUUCUUAUUCUUUCCUCCACCCCAUCCCAUAUAGACAAGGCCUUGUGAUGGGCUCCAAGGGGCAGCCCCAAAUACUUAGUAGGAAAAGCCCCCACUCUGCACCCUAACUUCUCAGCCAUAUCCUCAAUAUCUUCAACCUCCUCAACAGAAAUUAAUUCACUCUUAGCUAGAUUAAUCCUAAGACCAGAAGCUGCCUCAAACCACCCCAAAAUCCAGCCAAGAUGAGUUAGAUGCUCCUUCCUUGCUUCAUAGAAGAUGAUUGUGUCAUCAACAAAGAGCAAGUGGGACACAUUCAUCUCCAUCCCCCAUUUUCCUCGAAGUUUGCAACCAGAAAUGAAGCCUCCAUCAAUAGCCUUUCUUAUAAGUGCACUCAGCACUUCCAUACCCAAAACAAAAAGGUAAGGAGAAAUGGGAUCUACUUGACAUAGCCCCUUGGAACUGGAAAAGAAGCCUACUGGCACCCUGUUGACAAUAAUAGAAAAUUUUGCAGUUGAGAUGCACCACCAAAUCCACUCCAUCCAACGAGACCCAAAGCCCAUCUUGUGCAAAACCUUCAUGAGAAAGUUCCAAUUAAUACUAUCAUAAGCUUUUUCAAUAUCCAAUUUGCAAACCAGUCCUUUCUCUUUAUGUUUCUGCCAAUAAUCAACCACCUCAUCAGUUAUGAGAGAGACGUCUAGAAUCUGUCUUCCCCUCAUAAACACAUUUUGAUCCACCGAGACCAUCUUACCUAACACUUUCUUCAACCUAUGGGCUAGCACUUUGGCCAGAAGCUUGUAUAGCCCCCCUAAAAGGCUGAUAGACCGAAAAUCCCCGAGGUCCACAGCCCCACCUUUUUUUAGGAUGAGGACCAAGAAGAUAGUAUUUAGACUUUUGGCAAAAUAUUUUUGGUCAUAAAAUUCCUUAAACAGCUCUACAACCUCCUCCUUCACAAAAUCCCAACAAGAUUGCCAAAAGGCCACAGUAAACCCAUUCGGCCAUUCAUUUCCAACAGAGUUAAGUGAAUUUCUUCCUCAGUAAAGGGCAUCUCCAGAGCUUCAACUUCACCGUGGUUUAGACGUUGAAGGUGCAACCCCUCAAUGUCAGCUCUCCAUCCUGGCUCUUCUGAGAGCUAUUGUUGAAAAGCAUUCACAAUCCCCUCCCUCACCUCCUGCUCCUCAUCCAACUCCACCCCAUUGAUCUUGAUUUUAUCCAAGGAGUUGUUUCUUCAGUGGGCAUUGGCCAUUCGGUGGAAAAAUCCUAUGUUCUUAUCCCCUUCCUUUAGCCACAGCUCCCUUGACAAUUGUCUCCAAUGGGUUUCUUCUAAAAGCACCCACUUUUUAAAGGUUUCCUUAGCUUCAUUUUUCAACUCCGUUUCUCCUUCUGGCGGGCCCCUUUCACAUUCCACCCCAUCCCAAAAUUCAACUUGCUGGAGAGCUGAGCUUUUAUUAAUUUCCAACCUACCAAACACAUCCUUGUUCCAAACUUUGAUUUUUUUCCUUCAACACCUUUAGCUUAGCAGCCAGUCUAAAGUUGGUCCUCUCUCGCCUCCCCGCUCCCUACCACCAAUCCCGAAUGAGAUCCUUAAAACCAUCAACUUUAAGCCACAUGUUUUCAAACCUGAACGGGGAGGGUCCUCGUCUUAACCCGCCACCCUUCAAUAGAAUGGGAAAAUGAUCUGAAGUGGGCCUGGGAAGCCUACUUUGGACAACCUCCCUAAACAAGUCAAGCUAGUUUUGGGUCACCAGGAAACAAUCCAGUCUAGCCCAGGACUGAUUGUUCCUAUCUCCACUCCAGGAAAACACAACCCCUUGCAAAGGAAGAUCUAGGAGCUCUAGUUCAUCAACCACCUGAGCAAACCUUCUCAUUGCACCAUUUAAACUAUCCUGACUGCUCCUUUCCCUUUGGAAAAGGGUGACAUUAAAGUCGCUCCCUAAACACCAGGGAUCAUCCCAGAUGCCCCUUAUUGGCCUUAGCUCAUCCCACAAAGUCUCCAUUUCAUUCCUAGUGAACGGUCCGUACACUCUUGUGAAGAUCCAAACAAGCCCAUCUUCAACAUUCCUGAGCCUACAGGAAAUAGAAAAUUGUCCCACCUCCAUCUUUAGCAUUUCCAGGGACCUUUUAUCCCAGCAAAUCAAAAUCCCACCCGCAAAGCCUUGAGCACCCAUGGCUCCCCAAUCUAGAAACCUCCCAGAGCCCAAAGUCCUCACCACACCCACUAACAUUGACUGAAUUUUCAUCUCCUAAAUACAGAACAAAUUCACCCUCUGACUUCCAAUCAUAGCCUUGAUCACCUUUCUUUUAGAGCUAUCGUUAGCUCUACACAUGUUCUAGUUCAACAACCUUAACUUCAUUAGACAACCAAAAUCUGGCACCCUCUUCCUUGCAUGGUACCUUUUUAUUUCCUCCCCCCUUCAUAAUUAAUGGAUCAUUCAAGUCUCUUCAAUUCCCUUUCAAAUUUCGAUUUUUCUAGAAGAGUUUCACUAUGAACUCUUUCCCUUCUUUUUUUUAUUUUGACCAGAAACUCCAAAAUGUCCUUCAAUCUCUCUGUCAAAAACCCCAAAAACCUGCUGAACCUCACUAGAUCGCUUUCCUCCCAACUAGUUUCCUCUCAUCCUCUAACUUCGAGUGGCAUAGCACUAGCUAAGCAAAGUUCCUCUCCACUUUCUUCAAUACUACCAUUAUUAACUUUCAUUAGCUCCCAACGAGUAACAGUCUCCAUCAUUGAAGACUCCGUACCAUUAACCAUGCAGCCCGGUCAUUCCCUCUGGAAUUUUUCCAAUCUGGCCCUAGAACAGUCGUAAUACUCCCCCAAUUGAGUCCGACCAGAAAAAGAAGAGGGGGGAGAUGAGAAAUCACAAAGCAACGUUCCACAAGGGUUAGAGGUGUUCUCAUACCUCGAAGCUUCCUCCAUUAGAGCACAGUUAGUCUUCAAACUCUUCUCUAAAAGUUGUUCCUUAGUCGAAGGUCUUCGCAGACCUUCGUGCACCCAAAAGGAAAAGAUGGAAUGGUCUGGAGCCCCCAAAAGUCUUAGGCCAAAAAGAUUGUAAAGACGGGAUGCUCCCAGCUGGGCUCUUCCCUCAGCUAAGGGCAAGGUCAGGCCUCGGCAAACCAGCCCAAGCACCACAAUAGGCUCCUUUUCCUUGGCCCACCUAGAACCCUUAAUAAACGACAACCCAAAAUGAGAUGGCCCAGUCUCGCAGAGAAAGGCCACAAGAGGAGCAGGCCCAGUAAUCACAAUGGGCUCUGCUCAACACGGUGACGAAGACCAACCCGAACCUUGGGACCCAACUGACAGCCCAACAAAGCACCAACCAUGACCCAUGGCCUGUCCCGACCCACUAGUCUGCCCCCUCGUCCCAUCAGCAGGUAGUAGCAAGUCCUCAAGCCUCGAGGCAUCGUCCUCCACCCGCACGCGCUCGAUUGUGCAUGCGAUGGCCUCACCCCCAACCUCGCCUUCUGUACCGAUAAUGUUUCCACUCUUUCUUGCCAUCGUCAUUCUCAGGAUUGGCCUGACCUCCCACCGGAGGGUUACCUCGUAGUAGAAUUCCUCAGCCCAAACCUCCACCACGUUGGGAAGCUUCUCGUCGUUGAGCUUCAUCAGGAUCCUUGCCCACUGCAAAUCCUCCAGCUUCUCCAUUUGGGAAUCGACUGCGAUGAAGCCCCCGCACUCCUCCCCUAUCCUUCUCAUAAUGGCUCGAUCCCAUAAGGAAAUGGGUAAUCCCAUAAUACGCACCCAAGCCUUGCUCUUUUUCACCCCAUCCAUCAGGCAUCCCAUCUCGGGCCUCCAUUUCUCCAAACGAAUGAGAGACCCCCCAACCGAAAUACCCCCGAUUUUUAAGGUUUUCUCUGCUUCUACCAAAAACUCAAAUUCAAGUAAAACUUUGCCCCUUUCCAAUUUCGCUAGCCCUAGAUUACCCUUCAGUCUCCAAAUAUUCUCCAAAUGGGUCCUUCUACUUCUUAGGUCAUCCCCUCUCACAGAGCUAGGAUUCCAAAUCCCAACUAAACAGUGAGCCAGCUUGUUUAAGUUUCGGCUCAGCUCCUUCUUUCUUAUCUCCACCCUAAUCAUUGUUUUUUCUUUUCCUCUUGGCUAUUUAGCCACUUCCGCGUAGGUUUUCCCCAUGCUAGAUUUCGACAACAACGCUUCUUUUUUUUGGCAUCCCUCUUCUCCGUUAGUAAAACCCAAUCGCCAUAGCGUCUCCACCAUUGAAACCCAGCCACCCUUAGCUCUUCUUCCUUUUGGAAUAAAGAUGCAAAACCUUUUGUUUUCCAGGUCCGCAACCUCUAAUCGAAGAAAAUACCCCCCUUAUUUUGAUCCCGCACCAGAGAAUAGGCUCUCCCACUUUCCUUCCACUUUCUUUCCCUUUUACCAGUUCCCGCGUCCUUAAUACAAAGAACUAGACCAUCGAAAAAAAACCCAAUGAUCUUCGGUCCCAACCUAAUCCACGAGAAGAUCCCUCAUUUCAGUUCCACAAUUGUAGCUUGCACUUUACCUUUCUGCUCCUCCACCUCGACCUCGAACGACUUCAACUCCACUCCAAAACUACCCUUUCUAAAGCUUUUCCUAGUCCCCACGAAGACAACACCCUCUGCACCCUCGCUCGCUCCACCAUCUACACUUUCUCUCGCUCGCCGCACGCCUCACUCUCCAUCGGAGCUCUCGCUCGUUCUCUCUCUAGCCCUCUCUCCUCCAUUUCUCAUCUGUCUACUAUAUUAUUGAACCUUACAUCAAUGAGGUUGCUUAAAUAUGUUGAUUUUGCUAGGUUUCUCAAUUUGAAAAAUAUAUUAUUCUCUGUUCAUUUAUUGUUUUCCAGAUUCAUCUCUGAGAAUAUAUCUAAAAUCUAGAGUUGAGUAUUUGUGCUUUUAGGUUUUAUUUUCCUUUCAUUUUUGUUGGUAAUUGUAUUUCAUUAUUCUUAAAUUUCUCACCAGCUAUUUCUUUAUAUGGUUUAUUGUCCCUCACUUUCUUCAUCCAUCUAAAGUGUUCAGAUUCAAUUAGCUUGUUUCGUAAUCUAGGUCUUAUUUAGGAGUUUCUUCUCAACUGCCUUUUUUAGUGCUUCUAAAAGACAUGCCUGAUUUAUAUACAUUUUUAUUGGUUUUUUUUUUUUACCAUAAAAGGUUCAAGCAUUGGCAUUGUCAUGUGUUAAUUAGUGGCUAUAAACUUCAUCCGUAUCCAAUUGCACACUUGUCCAAACUCUUGAUGAUGAAGGUAUGGUUGCAUUUACUAGUAUGAAAUUGCUAAAAUUUGUCAUCCAAAGUUUCAAUUUCUUUUGAAUCUUGAAGACUUAAUUUGCAUUCUUGUAGGAAUUAGAUGUGGAAUAAUUUUGCAAUGUUUGUUGUCUUAAGACCAGCACUGAUGAACGGGGAAAUAAGUUCUUAUCAACCAAGCAAACAAACUUCCAUUAUCCCAAGGAAGUCUUUCCAAGCUACUGCCUUUUAGGUUUGGAACACUUUUAGAGGUAACAAUCAAUAGGAAUUAGUUAUUCUUUCAAACUUCUUAUUGUACAAAUAUAACCUGCAUGUGCAACCAUUUAUGAUCCCAUAAUUUCAAGAAUUUAUGACACCUUCUAGUGGUUAGUUUUUCUAGGAAUAGAGUGAGACAAUCUAUUCACCCCCAAAAACCAUCGUCAGAGGAACAGUAGAUAACCCGCAAGACCAAAUUUAUGUGUGUGAAUGGAGAUGCAUGUUUUUUACAUCCCAGUCAUGUAGUGUUGUGUCAAAGGGAAUAAUAGCAGGUGAUGAUAAGUGGUAUUUCUAAAAUGUUCGAAGAAUAUUCCAUCUGUCAUGUAAUAUUGCUUUCUCAAAACUGUUUUUGAAGUCUUAUUUUUAAAUAUUAGAGUUGACCUCUUGUACACUAUCAACUGAUGUUGUAACUUAACUAGAAAGAGAAAUUAUAUAAACUUAGCCUUGGUUUGGAUCUUGAAAGAUAGCAAGCAAAGAAAAAUUAGGUUAAUAGUGAGUUGAUUUAUUCUCUUCCCAUGGAUGUAAGCACAUUCUUGAAUCACUUAAAUUAUUUUUUUCUUGUCUAUUAUUCAAUUGUCUCUGAAAAAAAAAGUGGUAUCAGCGUUUUUUCCAACACAACAAAUGAUUCAUGUGACAACUGCCAAUAAAGGAAGCACUUAAGAAGGAGUUUGUAAGGUGUUACAUGGCAGGUUGAACAAAACCAAUAGCUAGAGAGAUAUAUGAAAUAUUUGGGGGCCAUUGAUCCAACAAUAGUAGAGAAUAACAUAAGAAGAGACCCUCUAAUCACCAUUUUUGCUUUCGAUUCUUCUCUACAAAACAUCAUCUCUUUAUACAAAAAGACACCCCAUGGCUGAGCUCGUAUUAUUCUCUGCAUAUCCCAAAACUGCUCUCCAAAUUUUAGGGCAUGGUACUCUUUUGAGUGGUAUUUUUGGUACUAAAUUUAAGUAUUCUCUCAAAUACCUAAAAUGCCCUCUAGAUUUUAGGGCAUGACCCACUCUUUGAGGUGGUAUUUUGGGUACUAAGUUUUGUUAUGAGAGGUUUUGGUGUGGAAAUCGGAGGGCCUCUUGGGAAUAUGAAAUUAGAAAUGUUACACACGUUGCAUGUAUUUUCUUUUGCGUGCAUUACACUUAGAUUGGAGUUUAUGCAGUUACUCACUUUUUGUGUGUCCAACAGUACUGUAUGUCACAUCACCAUAUGAUGGGCCCUUUAGCCUUUUUUUAACCCCCUCCCCCCAAGAAAAAAAAAACCUAAUACUAAAAAUAAAAAAAUAAAAAAAAACCUAAUACUAAAAGGACCUUAGCUUGCAAACUAUGUGGAGGUAGGCCUCCACAUCCAACUUCUUAGAGGGACCAUGAUCACUUAGGCCAAGGAAGUUUGAGGCAAUAAUACGUCUACGAUGCCCUUAGAUGUUUUGGGCACAUGCACGCUACACUAAUGUAUUCAACGAGUCUGUAACCUUGACUAACAAGCUUAGGUAAUCUUUGAAAUUUCAUUAUGAUGGGGAAGGUUCCACAUGAACGACACUUGCACAUGGGUUAGUUAAUCCUAAGAGAUGGGGGAAGCUCGUCAGACAACGCGUGACACUCGAGCUUUGAAAGGUAAUUGAGUUAACAUUCCUAAACCGGGACAUGACGGUCUACAACAAUGUUAGGUAGUCUGAAGAGUCAUGUUAAUUGUUAUCGGUAUUUUUAUUUAUUCAAUAGAAAUUGAGGAUUUAAAAAAUACCACAAAAAUUAGAAAAAAAAAUUAAUUAUAUGAAUAACAUUUCAAAUAUUUAACAAAAUGUAUGAAAGUUGAAUAUCAUACACGAUUAAAUGGCUAGAUCAUCUUCUUUAGUUUUUCCAUGAUCUCAUCCUAUUAAAUGACUCAUCCAAUAUUAAUUUAUUUUAAAGGUAAAAUUAAUUAUAUUAUAAUACUUAAAUACUUUACCAUGCUAUAAUCCUCUAGCUAAUAAAUGAAAUCAAAACUUAAAAAUCAUUUUUAUAUAUAGAUAUAUAUUAUUAAGUUUAGGUAGUGAAGCAAUUAAUGUGGGUAUAAAAUUAAUGCCAAAACUUUUGAUUGUUCCUUCACAUUCUCCACAGCAAAGGAAAUAAGAAAAAUAAAGAAAGAAAUUUAGGGUAGUUUUAUUUUUUGUUCUCAUCUCAUGGUGAAAUUAAUAGAGGAAUGCUUGGGUUGGUGCUCAACAAUCAAGUGACAUCCGAUAUAAUGAUUCUUCCAAUCCUGUAAAUAUUGUCCGCUUUAAUUUUAAUGGAUCAUCAUCACUUUAAAUUGCAUUCACAUUGUUAAGAGCAAUUCAUACGUACAUAAUAUUAAGAACUUUUUCUUAUUCGAUAUGGAAUAUAAAAUUGGGUAUCUUUCUGAUUACUACCAAAAAGUGCUAUUUUGUAGACCUAAUUAUAAUGGUUUUAAGCACCUUUGAGUAGUAAUCAUAUUCAUUUAACCCAAUUAAUUCAUUAAGGUCCUUAGUAAUUGGUUUUAACCAUUUUGUGGCAAGUUUACAUGUUUAUAUCAGCUUAUGAAUCAAUUCAAGCAUGCCAAAUGAUGGAGGAGCUACUUGGACAAGUUAAAUCAAGCUUUUAGCUACACCAAAGCAAGCCAACAAAAGGAGAAAAGCAAAGAAAAGCAAAGAAAAGCAAGGAGGAAAACAGAGGACAGCAGCUGCAGUCUUCGUUGGCACUUUUGGAGCACUUCCCGAAGUCCAUUCUCUACAUGCUAUAUACCAUUUCAAAGCUCAGGAAGUCAAGAAUCCAACGCUUCAAACCGUGCAUGAUUUGGAGCUGAAACGAGGAAGAUAUGGCCUUCGGAAGACAACUGCUCCAGGUGUGCGAGAAUUUCGCACACCCCCCUUUAGCUGUGCGAAUGGUGUGCGAAGUUCGCACACCUUCUUCAGGUGUGCGAAAAUUUCGCACACCCCAUGCGUGGUGCGAAUUUUCCCCUGUUUCUGCCGACUCCACUUUAGAUCUUUUCUUUUAGAUAUUUUUGUAUAAAUUUCCAUUCUUCUCCUUGUAAUCCACCAAUCAUAAGAUUUAUUAGCUAGGAAAGUUGGAAAAACUUCUCUAUUUAUAUCCCCUUGCAUCCGUUGUAACAAAUAAUUGAUAUAUAGAUAUAUAAUACAUAUUACGUUUUACACUCUCUCGUUUUCUCUUUUCUCUUCACUAUUUUAUUUUCUUGGUAGCCAAACAGCCUCUAAGGGCUUUUCCUCAGAGGAUGAUUGGCUAAAACUUUUAGUUUCUCAAAGUAUGGAUGUUAUGUGAUGACUUGGAUGCAAUCCCAUGGAAAUUUCUCACACCCGGAAGGUAAGGUAGUCGUUUUUCAUUAAAGGUUCAUUAAUGCAAAGUUUGGUUUUUAUUUCCUUUGGACAACUUCCAACGGCCAAUACUUGAUAAGCUUUUGGAUUUCUAUCCAUUAGUUAUCUCCUACGAGCUAUUGGAAGGUGAGGUUUUCAAUUCCAAGUUUUGUAUUAAUCCGUUAGAACCAAUUUCAAUGGCCAUUGAAAGGUGAGUUUAUCACCUGGAAUGACUUUGAGUUGCCAAUAUUUGGUAAGCUUUUGGCUUUAGACCAUUAGUUAUCUCUUACGAGCCAUUCAAAGGAAGUCUAAGGUGAAUAACCAUUGAUGAAAUUCACUACCAUCUGUUUUGCCAUUUUAAAGGAUUAAAACGUGAUUUGCUAAAUCCAUACCGGUUCGGGAAGCAAGCAUCACCAUAGUUGCAACCCCAACGCGAGGAGCCUAUCCUGAGAUUUCCAAUUUGCAUAAGAGCCAGAGCAUAGCUAUCCUAUCUUUGAGAAACUUGUUUUUACACCCUUUCAUUUUAGUCUUUAAUGUUAGCUUAGAUUAGUUUAAAUCUUUCUAAAACAUUUACAUCUUCUUUUAAAGCUAACAUCCAUAAGAAAAUCACCUAUUUUCCUAACUUGAAUAUCACUUGUGUUUGCGAAAACCCUUCCCAGUGAACGAUCCUAGAACCACUAUGCUAUAGUAGCUUGGCUACUUUAGUAAUAGUAUUCAAGGUAUAAAUUUUGUUGAUACGCCUUUAAAGCUAAGCUACCAUGAGUCGCAUCACUUUCAAUUUUAGAUGUUGCAUAAGCAUUCCAACUCCUAUAUAGACACAUUGCGUAAAUAUUCUUAUUUAAUAAAAGUUUAUAUGUCAUUAAAUAAAUAUAGAAUUUUAACAUUAAUUGCAGUGCUAAGUGCAAGAGAUCUCAUGUUUAAGUCAUUGAUUAAGAUUUAUUUGAAAACUUAACAUUUGUUACUUAAAUAACUUAAGUUGACUUUAAAUUAUAUUAUAUUUAAAUUAUUUGCUUAAAAUUUAUUGUUUAAUAUUUAUUUUAAGUAUUAAAGUUAUUUGAUAAAGUUAAUUUAAAAAAUAUUUUAAAUCACAAAUUGUCAUAUUUACCUUCAUUAAUUUGAAUUAGUAUUUACAUUCAUUAAUUUUAUUUAAUAUUUAUUUUUAUUAAUCUUAAAUAAUAAAUUUGUUUAUUAAACAUUUAACAGAUUCAUAAAAUAACUACACAAUAUUCACAAUAAUAAAUGAGUCAUGAAUUUGAAGUCAUGAUUUUAAAAUGUACGCUAACAAGAUAUGAACAAAUGAGACAAAAAAAAAUGAGAUUAAAAAUAAGUUAAUUAUUUUGAUUUAACACUUAAAAUUAAAAGUAACUUUAAAUUAUAAUAUUAAGUUAUUUUAGCAAAUAUAUUUAAUCUAUUUAAUGAAUUAAAUUAAGUUAUUAAGUCAAAUGAUUACCAAACACCCUAUUAAGACCCAGAAAAUGGAAUGAGUUUUAAUAGUAUUCAGGAUGGGCAUGACUAGGUGGUGGUUCAAUGCUGAUUAAUCAUAAUUUAAUCUAAGCAAAAUAUGUAACGAAACUCAAACUGCACUAUCCAAAUGGGCGCCAAGAACGUUACAUUUGACAAAUGCCAGUAAACCUCUACAGCUAGAAAUUAAAAGAUCACUCUCUUGUUGUAUCUCUCUUUUUCUCCAAGCCCCGGAAGGAAAAACUCGAACCCCAUUAUUUUGAUCACAGAAAAAGUGGCAAAAAAGUGUGUUGUAGUUCAUCUUGAAGCUCAUUAACUUCAUCUUAAUUUGAUCCAAAUUGCAGAAACAUGGGAAACUCCAUGAAUCUAUGGUGCUAUGGUGGCCUACAUUCAUAUAACUGGGGACACUUUGGUUUAAACUACAAUGACCCCAAACAGGGUUUGUAGAGACUUCAUCGAGAUCACUAGCUUCAAAAGACUGAGGAAGAAAGAUGUUCUCAAUGAAAACUUGGUGUCAAAUUGCAGAUAAAGACCUAAAAAUCCCACUUAAUGUGUUCUAGGAAUUGUUGUUUGAUAGGGAGUAAGAACAGAGUGCACGAGUUUUGGGGUGGGGUGAUACCUAAAGCACUAGAGUAGCACGUGAUCAAGCCUCACUUAGUGAAAAGCUGUUUGGUUUGUACAUGUCUGCUUAGUGAUACUUAGGAUUGGCGAAGUAUACAUCUCCUUUGUGAUCAGGUUUGUAUAUGGGCAGAUGAAUGUUCAUGUGAGGUUCAUAUAUGUUUCUGAUACAUAUCACCCUGGAAGAAUCUAGAUCAAGGGGAUGAGUUUCUAAGCUUGACUAGGUUUGAGAUGUUUGAGAAUUGGUGAGCAUGAUAUAUAUCAUGAUAUUGCAGAAGACAACAGAGCUUCUGAAAUAUGUCAGGUUCAAUAGUAGGAAAUCUUAUCAGCUGUCACUUACUUUAAUCCUAUGAUCUCAAUAUUCAUUUGUUGAAGAAGAAAGAGGUAUCUUGAAAAAAAUUUGCUUUCACACUAUUCAAUUACAAGAGGAUGUUCAAUUAUAGAAGAAAAUAAUAUUCACUAGACUCUUUCAACUUAAUCAACAUGCAGGGAAAACCAGUCGGGUGACCAAUUAUUCACAUAAUAACUUAGGUGGUGUUUGUUUUUUUGGCUUUUUGCUGAAAACCAUUUAGUUUUAGAAUUUAGGUAGUUUGUUUUUUUACUUUUUCAUAACUUAUCAUAAACUUUUUACUAAAUAGAAAAAGCCAAAAUAUGUGGCUUUUUCUAAAUAGAAAAAAUAACACAAUGGUUUUUUUUACUUUUUAAUACUUAAUAGAAAUAAAAUACUACAAAAACAAACAACCUAAUAUUUAAUACUAUUAAGUAUUAAGGUUCUAUUUAGAAUUAAGUAAAAAAACAAACACCACCUUACUGUCUUUCUACCUCUACUUGUUAAUCAUCAGCCAAGCUUAUAGUAAUAUAAGCUUGGGUUCAUCUCUCUAUGCCACUGAUGACAACUCCACAUGGGCUUCCCCUUCUGGUGAUUUUGCAUUUGGAUUCCGACCGUCUCCAAGUGAAAAGGAUCUAUUCCUUCUUGCUCUCUGGACUGCAAAUGGAAGUUAACCGGCGCCAAGAGGAUCAAAAGUCGAGCUUGCUACCAAUGGACAGCUUGUUCUCCAGAGGCUAAGAGAUAUGGAAGACAAAGACUGGUAAUGUGAGCAGCAAAGCAGUGCAUGGUGCCAUGCUUGGAGAUGGAAAUUGUAUACCUGUAUAUGGGAGAGCUUCAAGCACCCAACUAAUACCAUAUUGCCAACUCAGGGAUUGGUGUUGGAGCCUACUGUGCAGUUGCCAUUUUUGAGAACCUGAGGUUUGCAAAUGGAACUGGUGUAUGAGUUUAUGCACAAUGGUUCUUUAUCAAGCUUCCUUUUUGGAGGCGCCCAAGGACUGGUGUACCUACAUAAAGAAUACAGUAAACAGAUCAUCCAUUGCGACAUAAAGCCCUCAGAACGUAACUCUUGGAUGAUUCUUUUACAGCCAAAGUUGCAAACUUGGACUGGGAAAGCUUCUGAUAAGCAACCAGACUAGAACACUCACAGGCAUCAGAGGGACUAUGGGGUAUAUUCAGACAACUCGGGCAGCCUAUGUCUCUUAUAAUAACACGUUAUGAAGCAUCAGCUCAAUGCCGGGGUUCAAUCUGCAAAGCAAGGGAUUCAUCAAUGUUUCCUUCAAACUAAAUGAUAAGGAACAGAAAUGGAUCAUUCUGCAUUUUCAGUGGUGUUUGUUAUAGCAUUUAUACAAGAACUCUAGGGGUUUCUAUGUAUAACUUCAUUCCCAUUUUGUAUAAUCCAAAUCUCUUCAAUCGAUUAAAUGUAUAAAUGAAUCCUAUUCAUUGUUUGGAGUAACAACAAAAUUCUGGAAGACUGGGAAAGUUUCAACACUGGAGAGAAGACAAAAUGACCAGACCAUAAAUUCUGGAAGAGGGCUUUGCUUUCUAACCAUUACCAUAAUUUUAGAGCUCAACCCGGAUGAGUAAAUUAUAUUUCAGAAUGUUCAGGAGAUAAUUCUAAAGUGAUGAACCUUCUACUCACAGUUUUUUGUUCUUCUUGAACAGAGCAAUGAACAUCAAUAGUUCAGCACCCAGGAAUCUCCCCUUCCUCCAAUUCCCCCACUGGGAAAAGUCACCUUUCCAGUUAAGAAAAUCAUCAGGAUUAAUUUGAGCAAAACAUCAGAGUAUACAUCAAGAAAGCCUUGAUCAAAAUCAAAAUACAUCAAGAGCUGCCAUUUUCUUCUAUUUCCUCUUCCCUGAAUGGAAUGCCUUUUGGACUGAGGUGAUCAAUGGUAACAGUCUAACACACUCCUUAAGCUCUGAUUGAGGUCAACGGGGAUUGGCACAUUUAAUGACUUUGAAAUCAUAGCUGUGUGAAGGGAGGCAAACAUGAAUCUCAGGAUAAUCAACAAGUCAACAACUAUCAAUCAGUAAGGAAAAGGAAAUACCUUUGGAUAUUUACAAAUCAAAAAAUUGAGAGUCCAGCUUCUCUGUACAGAAAGGCUUGAGCUUAUUCCAUGGCCAGUCUGAAUUACGGAUGAGAGGGUUGAGUUUUCUUUCAUUCUGCAAUAAGAUUAAAAACAUCAAUGAAACGCUAAAAGUUUAUAUAUAGAAGCCCUUUAAAGAUGAGAAUUGGUCAGAGAGCUCACCCAUGGUCUAGUAAAACAACAUCUGUUAGAUAAGUAACCACCAUUCUAUUGUCCAGCUAAUGCAUUUAGAUCUAAGAUAAGCUAUGGAAAAAUAGUCAAAAAUAGCUAAAGACAGUCCAAAAACUCAUUUGACUAAUAAUUUUCUAAAAACAGUAACAUAAAACCUGGAUGAAGAAUCCACCCCUCUACCUCACACCACUGCAAUGCCAAAUAAAAUGUUACAAUGACCAUAUAUGGUCUUAAGAGACAAUGGGUGUUGUUUGGGCUCAAGACCUAAGACAAGCCAAAAAACAAGAAGAAAACAACAUCAAAAAUAGAUGGCAAAAUAGAAGGAUAAGGUCACAGACAGGACAAUAUUAAAAGAAAUUAUUAUUUUUCCGACCUGAAAAUCAAGGCAUUCAGAAGAGUACAAGUUUGUAAGUAGUCCAUGGAAACCAGGGAACAUAUGCAGAUGUUGUACUCUAUUGCAUAAGGCAAACACUCAAUACUUACAAGCAUAAUCAUGCCCAGAAAGCCGUGAAUCCCUUUUUGUUUUGCUUUUUUACCUAUUCCCAUCUCUUAUGGCCAGAAGUUCCUUCUGUGGCUGGUUUGUUGUGAUGGCCAUUUCGGGUCCUAACAGACUUGCUAUUGUUGUCUGGGCACCUGCCUCAGAGAAAGCCUGCCAAAGAUCGGAGUCUGGGCCAGGGGAAACGGAUUUUCUUUGCUGGAGUUCCCAGUCUGUUGCUUCAAUCUUUUCUCUGUGCUGUUAUGAGAAGAAAACCUAUCAGACACAUGAAUGGGUACAAAAAGGUAAACUUCAGGUUUUGGUUGUAUUGAAAAGCACAGGAAACUUCACAAGAGGCAAAUUAUACCCCAGACUUAUUGAAGAAAAAUAAAGUACAAUUGACUUACCCAAAUGUCUACUUUCUCAUUUAUAGGUUUCCUCCUAAACAAAUCCCCACAUCUAGGACAGGAAAAGGAAGAAACUGGGAGUCGACAUUUUUUCAACCAAAAGCACUAACUUAUCAAAAAACAUAGUUUUCCAUUCAAUGCCCAUUUCUUCAGGCUUCUUAAAGUGCUUAUGAUUGGUGGAGGUUCUUCCAAAAUCACACAACUUCCAUAAUCCAUUAGGGCCCAAUAGAAGAUUCUCAGCAUUUAUAUAAGAACUUCAGGGUUUAUACAUAUGAUCAUGUUACAGUAUAAAUCAUAGUGAACUGGUGGAAUUUGAUCAUUAGCCAACCUCAUCAAAAACUGUUUCACAGUUGAGGGGAUUGUUAACCUUGCCAUGGGCCAAGCAGCAAUUUCUGAAGAAGCUGGGUGACAAAGAGUACCAUCAUUUGGACUAGUUUCAAUGGAAAUUCCUCUGUUUCUAUACAUGAUAUCUUCAGCUUCAGCUUUUCCUUUUGCUUUGACAUGGCUGAAACUGAUCCUGAAAUCAAAAAUCCCAUGCAAGUAGAUAUUUAACAGAAGAGGAUCCGAAUCUCUUCAAUUGAUUAAUGUAUAAAUGAAAUAAUCAAAAUUUUUAGAGAUAAUUAUAGGGAGAUGAACCUUGUACCUCUGAGUUUCUUAGUCUUCUUGAACAGAGCAAUGAGCAUCAAGUGUUGAGCACCCAGGAAUCUCCCUUCCUCACAGGGAAAAUCUGAACAAUCUAUCUUUCUUCAUAUUCCACUUCCUUGCAAAAGUCAUAACAUGAAGAAAAUGUCAUCAAAAUUGAGACAAAAAUAAGUGCAUCAACUGUCUCAAGAAGAGAUUUAUGCCUAUUGCUUACCUUUUGCAGAAGUCCACUUGGUUAGAGCACAUUUUACAUGGACGCCCAAUCACUGCAAGCUGCUGAACCAAAGGAGAGUUCAAACAUCUAAAAAAUUUGACUAACUCAAGUAUCAUAAAAUACUUCACAUGAAUUCCAAAUGAUCUCAUAUCUAAAAAACAUUGACAUAAAAUUAUUGUUGUUUACCUUACAUGUUUCUUCCAUGGUCAUAAUCGAAACUUUGUUUAUCAUAAGAAAUCUUCUAUGCUCAUCCUGAUUACUUACAAUGAACAUUGAAAUGAAAAGACAAAAAACACAAAAAAUGACGAUUAGUUUGGUUUGAUAAUUUUUUAAAAUUAGAAAUUAUAAAACUAUUUUGGUUCUCAGAUUUAUCGGAAAAUUGAGGGAAAAACAAAAAUCUAAGAGAAAUUUAUUUAACACUUAUGAGGAACCAAAAAUGUUUUAGAUGUUGUCCAAUCGAUAAUUUAAACGUGUUUAAUUUCAAUUAAAUGAGUUUAAUCAAACACAUGAAAUUGUGAAUAAAAUUAUUUAAAAGCAUUGAAAUUCAAGUCAAUAAAGUUGUACAUAAAAUUUGAUAUAUUGAAGCAAGAAAAAAACAAAGCAAUUUGAAUGACUUGCUAAUAAAGCAACUAACUAGAAUAUGCCCUACAGUUGUUCUGUGCCCUGUAUAUAAGAAAUUUAAAAAAAACAUUCCUAGAAAAAAAACAAACAAAAUAUCCAUGGUUCUUACGUUAUUUUUUUCUUAAUUUUUCAAUAGUUAUAAAUGGUUCAUUUAAUUCUUGCAAACCACCAAAUCAAAACAGAGCAUGAAAAUGUGUUCAAUAUUUGUUUCAGGCUUGAAGCUUCAAGAAAAAGAAAACCUUAAAUCAAAUAAACAGGACUAGCGAAUGAAUUGGAACUUGAAAGAAAAGUUCAAGCGCAAAAGAAUUACUUGACUCUAUAUUGGCGGAGUGGCACUUUGAUUAAUAUAGCACAUUAUUGAUCAAUAUUCUUGGAAUGUGAGCUAUAUAACGCCAUUCUUCCCCUUUCUCAAAUCCACCGUUUUUCCCCUUUCUCAAAUCGAUGAAAAGGUAGCAUAUAUUUUUCAUUUCCUAAUUAUAUCAACUACUUCAUGGUGCCUUUGUCUGAUAAGCUUAAUAGUUCUUCUACAUUUCCACCAUCUAAUUCUCUAACGUUCAUCAUGAUAGGGUUGUAAAUUUCAUCAUCAAAUCAAAACAUAUCCUCCUAUAAGAGGCCUUUGAAUUAUGAAAUAAUCAAUUCACUUGAUUCUCAUAUUGGCAAAGACAAGCUUACACUAUUGGAAAGACUACCCCUCACCUUUGCCUUCCCAAAUAGCAAAGAUGAGAGAGAACCUUUCACAAAAUCACAAGAAUUAUUCAAGUUUGGAAUUCAUAGGCAUUGUUAUUGAAUUUCAGUUGUAUAAAAUUGGUGUGUUGUGUUUAUUUUGUUGGUAUUAAAAUUGAAUUUUUUUAAUUGCAAAUUGAUGAUUUUUUCUCUCUCUCACAUUUAUACCCAUUAGAGUUUCUUAUUAGGGUUUGUGUUUGAAAUUUGGAGAAAGUAUGGUGCAAUUGUUCACCGGUGUGGUGUACCAUCUUGUUUGUUGUAUUUGAUCUUUGGGUAUUUGAUUUAAUUUUGUUGUUGUGAAAUUGAAAGUUGAAAUCCAAGUUAAUUGUUUAACUAGCUAUUUGUAGUUGACUUGUUUGCACCGAUCUUGAUUAUCCAUUUCAUGGGAAUAAUUGAUUCCAAUUUUCCUUCAUGGUUACUGAAAAUAUAUUGUGGGUGAAGGACUAUUAUGGAGUAUAUUUAAUUUACAAGAUUGAAUAUUGAACAAAGAUAUGCCCUAGGUCUAGCUUAUAUGGAAUAGCAUAUCUUACAUUUAUUUAAUUAAAUAUACUAUACAAAUUUUGGUUAUAUAUAAUAUCUAUGUUACAAAUUUGGAUAAUUCGAAGUCUAAGUGACUUCAUAUAAUUAUUGUUACAUCUUAAAAAUGAUUUCACAAAUUAGAAUUACAAUGACUCCUACACACCUUAGAUUCUAACUCAAAUUCUCACUUGAUUUUAUUUUAUUUUUAUUUUUAUUUUUUUGUUUUCAAUCAAUUAAUAAUAUGUUAUGGGCUAGUUUAGCUUAUAGUUGAGAAGAAUUUUAUCUAAGAGCACCUCAAUUUGAAGCAAAUUGAAGAAAAAAAAUGACUUAUUAUACCUUAUGAAAGAUAAUAUUAUUAAUUUCCAUGUUUUUUUUUCAAAUAACCUUUUCAUGACAUGAACUUAUAUGGAACAUUGUUGUAUUAAUUGAUUAGGAAAUCACUAAGCCUAAGGAAGUGAGAAAAUUUAAAAGGGAAGGAAUGUCACCAUUGCAUUUUAGCACAAAGAAAGAUGAUCUCUAGCUAUGACGAAAAUUCAAGAAAUGAACAACUUCCAUUAAAGAUGAAGGCACAAUUGGGUGACAUUUAAAAAAAAAUAACAAAGGAAGUUAUUGUUUUAGCUAGGGAUAUGUUUUUUUUUUUUUCAGACUUCUUGUGUUACUCAUAUAUACAAUAUGCAAUGUGAUUUCUCUUUUAUAUUAUAAAUUUAUUACUCUUAGCACUUCAUUUAUGGGAUAGAUAAAUAAAAAUUACUUUAAUUUUAUUUAAUUAUUGGAUAGUUGUUGGAUGGAUAAAUGAUUGUUAUUUUCUUUAUAUUUGAGUUAUUUCAAUAUCAAAUGCCAAUUAAAAUAAAAGAGCAAUAGGUGAAGCUAAUUUUAGAUUGUCACAAUCCUUGGCACUUCCACUAAGUGUCAAGGUUUAGAGCAAUCAACAAUGGAAAAGGUGAACAAUGAUACUUCCAAAAGACGUCAAGGUUAUUUCAUCUUGAACAAUAACAGUUUUUGUAAGUGUCAUUAUUUACAAAAUCAACAAUAACAUUGGCAAAUUGGUACACCUCAAUGCUUCUAAAAAACAUCAUUAUUUGUUCCAUAUUUACAAUGACGCUAUUAAAAGUGUCAACAUCGCUAAACACUCUUUACAAUGACACUCGAUUUCAUGGCGCUUUUAAGAAGUGUAAUGUUUGUAGAAACUUAUUAUUGAUCACCGACUUUUUGCAACCAUACAACACUACAUAACCUUAAUACCUAUUGUUCAUUAUGAUGUUGUAAGAACAUAUGCCUCUAUGUGACCUAUUAAAUAAACUGGUCUUAUCAACUGAAAAAUGUUCCUCUAGUUAGUAAAAACUUCAUUCAUGUGGUCAUUUAUGAGCAUCAUAAUAAUCCAUAUUAAAAAUAUUUAAAAACAUUAAUGCACUAAAACAUUGAUUUCAUCAACAAAAUUACACUCAUUCUUUUGACUUAUAGCAUUCAAAGAUGUUUAAAAAUAUAUAUGUACAAUAAAACAUCAUCAAAUUUAUUAACAAUUAAACUUUUAACCCCAAAACAAUCCGCUACUUUAGUAGAUAAGACACUAUUUGGAAUAACAUUAUUUUUAGCUCAAGUUAGAAGUUAAAAUGAUAAGGUUAAAAGAAUAAAACCAACAAAAAAAGAAGAAGUUAUUUUUUGUCAAACUUGACACUAGUUCAAGUUAGAUAAUGUAGCUCAACGCCCUAUUGAAUUGAGUCAUAUAACUAGACUCCCUAAUUAUAUAUUAUGAUACACACACAACCUUUGGUCUAGUAUACAUGAUUAAAUUAAAUGCCCAACCUAGUUUGCAAAGCUAAACUAGAAUCCCAAAUCUAGUUCAUUAUAAAUGCUCUUCAACCAACUUGCUAUAGCAUUCAAAUAAGACAAUGACAAUGAUAAAAAACCAAAAAAAAUACCUAAUAUAUCAUUGAAAACUCCUUCCUAAAGGAGGUAAAAAAAAAAUCAUGAAGUAACUUUCUUCUAUUAAUAAAAAAAUGGGAAUACAGUGAUCUAUAUAGUGUUUUAACUCGAAACUUAUGGUAUUACAAAUAUUAAAGAAGCGAUUUAAAACACACACACACACAACAAGCAUGUUGUCAAGCUUAUAAAAGUUGGAGAAAUCUCUACAUAUAAGUCUUCAAAACAUGAUGGAGAGUAACCUUGACAUUUAAGUCAACAAUAUACAAGGAAAGGCAACCCAAAAAGAUACAACUUUGAGAACAAACCCUUCUUUUUGCUUUUUUACAUAACCCCUUUUUUUUUUUUCUUUUUGAAAACUUCUCUCAUUUCCUCUAAUUGUUACACUACACAACAAUCCUAAAAAAACAGAGUUUAAAGGUCUGUUUGAUAAUUGUUUUUAAAAAUAAUUUUGAAAAAUAGUUUUUGAAAAUUAUUCUUUAAUGUUUAAUUUGUAGAACAAAAGUUUGUUUGGAAACCCUAAAUAUUUUUAACAUGUUUUUAAUGUUGUUAAAUAUGUUUUAAAUUUUUUUUUUUUAAUGUCUAGUAUUUUAUUUUUAAUCAUUCUACAUGUUUAUAUAAUUAUUUUUUAAGACAACCCUUAAAAAAUAAGUAAAAAUAACAUAAAACAGUUAAAAGAUGUUAUCUAAAAACACCUUAUUUUAUUAUAGCAGAAAAUAAAAAAUGGUUUUUGGUUGUCAAACAUGUUUUCUUAGUUUUUUUAUUCUGAAGAAUAAAAAAUUGUUCUUGAAAACAGUUGUCAAACAAGAAUCUUUUCAUGUUAGUCUAAGUAUCACAUUAGUUAUUGCUUAAAAACUAGUCUUUCAACUAAAAAAGAAGGUCCACUACUUAUGGGUCAAACCUUCAACUUUCAAACCUCAACACAGUUAUAGUCAAGACUAAUAUUCACAUAUUAGUAUUAAUAUAGUUCAUUAAAUAUGAAAUUUCUAUAGAAGCCAAAAUCAAGUUUUUAGGGGAAGUAACAUUCACUUUCAUAAUAAGCACUUUUUAACUCAUAAGUUAGUACUUGCAACAAGAUUUCUUAAUAGAGACUUUAAUUGAGUUUUAAGAAGAAUUUUUUGUUUGUCAAAAACCAAUUCAAACAAAAUCUAAAACUAAUAUUAUUAUCUAAAAGACAUAAUGAACAACAUAAACCAUAAACUAAAGUGGUAGUGACAACCAAUACGUAGCGUUAAUGAAUAAUUGAAAAUAGCCUCAUUUUCUAAUGACCUCAAACCUAGAAGCUCUAAAAUCCUUGCCUAAUUCUUUGUGAUGACUUUAGUUCAACCUUAUUGGCGAGGGCAAAAUUCUAAAUAAUUUUUGUCACAACUCAUAAAUUUAGAAGAAAAAAUGAAAAUAAAUGGAAUCCCUAAUGAGAAAUUGUUAUUUUUCCCCUUUAUGACAAAAAUAGUAACCAACUAGUAUUAUUAAAUAACAUGGAAAUUGUUUUUUCAACUUUAAUACCAUGUAUGACAUAACUUUAAUAACCUUAAUUUAUAAGAUUAUUUAAUUUAAAAGGAUAAAACAAUUACAUAUUCAUAAGAAUCACUUCUAUUUUUUAAAAACAAUAAAUUCCAUUUUUUGGACAAAAAUACGCUCCAUUGUUUUUAUCAACAUUUCAUAAUCAAACAAUUAUUGGAAAAAAAAAAAAAAAGGUAUAAGGGUAGCUAUAUUAAAAUGAGGUUAUAAUUAUAAUACUCAAUAAGUGGAGAUUGUUUUUCCUAAUAUUGGGAUCAUCUUGUCCAUUUGACAUAAAAAAAUUUAAUUUAUAUUAUAAUUACUCUUAUAGUAAGAGAGAGAGUAAUUUCACAUGAAAUGGACCCAUAAACAUAGGUUUAUUAUGAGGCAUGAUACUAUAAUAAUAAUAGGAAAUAAGACGAGUGCUACCAUAAUAAUAGAAAAUAAGAUAAGUAAUUCAAUACUUAAUAAAGGUCUAAAACAAUUAUGCUCUCAUUAAAUGAUAUUAAUGAUGGAAAAAAACUAAGGGGUGUUUAACAAAAUUUAAUAUUUAUUACUUCAUGAUUUAAGUUGACUAUAAGUUAAAUUAUAAUUAAGUUGUUAAUUUAAAACUUAUUAAUUUUUAUUUUAAAUAUUAAGACUACUUAAUAAAAUUAAUUUAUAAUUUAUUAAGACUGUUUGAUAAAAUUAAAUUAAAAUUUAUUCUAAAUUAUCAAAUUGAUAUAUUUAUUUUCAUAAAUUAGAACUAAGGCAAAGGAGAUCAAGUAACAAUGAAUGUCGUGGAGUAGUAAAAAAGAUCCUAGAGGUAACGGGAUAAAUUAUGGUAAAAAAUGUCAAAUAAAAAUAUGAAUUUAAGAAUAAAUUAAUUGUUUGUACUUAUUACUUAAAGUUGUUUUUUAUUUUAUAUCAUUAAGUUAUUUUAUUAAACAUGUUUAAUUUAUUUAAUGACUUAAAUUAAGUUAUUAAGUCACUUUAGGCUAUAUAAUCGGUUUACCAAUCAUAUGGAGUACAUUUGGCUAGUAGGCCUGGAGUCAAGAAUAUUGCUAUCAUAUGUUUUAUGUAUUAAGGUGCCAAGAAUAAUUGACCACAAAAUAUAUGAUUGAUAAGUAUAGGAUACAAUCUAAAAAAUGCACUUGAUUUCAUCAUCUAAAUAAAUGCUCUCGGCAAAUGGAUCAUCCUAGCUGAAACCAGAGCACAAGCCGCCAUGGACAGGAGGCAACGGAGAAACCCUUCUGCUUCUUCUUCUGCCUUUUCAUCUCCAGCUUCAUCCUCAUCGCGUUUCCGCUCAGAGAAAUUCUCCUCGAAUCCCCCAAAAACUAGUAACUCCCUGGAGGAUGCUCACCAAUUGAAAAGCAAAUGUGGGAAGCCACAAAGACCAGAGCAAGAGGAGGAAGAAAAGCAAGAUCCGAGCAAUCUUCUCUCCUUAGUUGGAACUUGCCCCUUCAUGUGCCCUGGUAAAAAUGCGUGCUUAUUUUUCCAUUUUUUUAAAUUCUAUUUUCCUGUUAUUCUGUGUUUGGUUUCCGAGAAAUUGGAGGAAAACAGUAGAAAAGAGAAGUGAAUCUGGAGUUUGUGUCAUUUUUGUGGCUUUUACAUAAAUUUUACAAAUAAAAUUGAUAUUUCCCCCCCUUUAUUAGAUACCAAUCUGCAGAAGAUGUAGGAAUCCCAAAAAAAAAUUCGCUUUUGCCUUUACUUCCCCCAAAUCUUUCAUAAUGGAAAAUGGACUUACCACCUCUUUUAUCACUUUUCCUUUACCAUGUCAGGUUUACAUGUAAUCAAACACUGUAUUUGGAGUAGAGCACUUAUCCUAAUGUCAAAUGGUGUUGAAAACUUGAAUUACUGGAUCUUAAGACUCCAGAAGAAAUUUAAUUGUUUAUGAUUAUUGCUCCAUGAGAAGGGAAAGGGAUUUCUUUUGUUUUUGCUUACAUAUAUGGCCAAAUUGAUCUAUCUCCUUCUCAUACGAACAAAAUAAGGACAUUUCUUGUCUUGCUGCCUUUUAUGCCACCGGUUCCACAUGCUGAUGUGACAACCCUUGUGCUAUUCUGUACAAAUGGUAGGAAAAUUCUGGUAAGACUGGUGGCCAGCCUAUCAUGUUCAGAGAAUAAAUUCAUUGUAUAUCUGGAAUUCACUCUAUAUCAGCAUAGGGUGUUGAUAUUGAUUAUAAAUGACUAAAUUCAAUUUAUUAUCCUUACAUUAGGGAGUGCUAAAAGGAUGCAAAUUGUUCGUGUUAUACCCAAAGACAUACAAGUGAUGCUAGAGAUUUUCACAAUGUAGAUAAUCAUAGAGUAGAGAUGAACACUAUGGAGUCCUUUGGCAUGUGUUCAUUCCAUGUAUGGGAACAUGCAUUGGAAGAUUAUGUUUCCUCCUCCCUCCCCUCCCCUCCCCAAAGUUAAUACUAUGUUGUCAUGGCAAGAACUUUGGUGACAUGCUUCUGAGUGGAAUAGCCUCCUAGAAGUCCAUUUAUGUGGCAAUUGGCAAAUUCUUCCAGUCAAUGAGAACUUUGUGACUGUCUGAUUGUUGUACUAAUCAUCAUCAGAUUUUUUUUAAGUUCAAGUUGCAAAUAGCCUUUCACAGUUGAAGGUAGCAAUGAAGAGGCCUGUUGACAUAAUUAUUUCUUCUGCUUGAAUGGAUUAAAAUCAGAUACCACACCUUCAGCCUAGAAAACUAUGGACUUUCCUAUGUACCUGCAAUUGGCUGAAUACUGGUGUGACACUGAGCAAAGGCUCUCUGAUGCUGUUAUUAAUUUCCCGAGCAAAUAAGAGAAAACAGAGAGGUCAUAAUGUGAAUCAGUUACCUGUUGAGUAGGGAUGAAGGCUUUUUAUAUUUUUUUACUUUCUGGUUAGGCCUUGGAAGCACUUCUGUGAACCAUGAUUUUGUACUGUAAAAUUAGAUGGGAUGGAUAGGUCACCUUAACUCUACUUUUGGAAGUGAUUCGGGAGUGCAUGACCGUAUGAAUAUUGAUGUAUUCUCCCCAUACAGAGCCCAACUUCUUUUUGAACUAGGAAGCAUGAAGGGUGGGUGGAUGUGGGCUGAGGAAGGAAGAUUUGAAUUGUGUGCUGCAGGCCUGCAGUACCAAUUUGUUCCAGAACUUGAUAAGGCCCAUAAACUGGUAGGCAAGUUUCAUUAUUUGGUCACCACUGAAUUUCGGCAGUAUGGCCACAAGGAAGGUAGGAAGGAGAGGGAGAAGAGAAAACCCCAAUUGCCAAUUGCAAUCUUCCAGUUGGCACAGUGCUCAUUUGCUGACAUUUCCAUUUGAUUUUGACCUUGCAACAGAUACAGCUUAACGUGAUGGACCAGUUUUUCGCAAUCUUGUGAUUCAUUACCCAACUUCUAGUAACAGUUUCUCAGCAGAUGACUCACCCAUGACAGGCUGAUGAUGUCUGCACACAACUUGAAAGGUAUAUAUGCCAAGGUGUGAAAGGUAAUAUUGUGACACCGUUUUUCCUAUUCCAGAAAAUGUACCAAAUGUAUGGCUGGUUCUUGACCAAAAAAUGCUGGCAUUGGUCACCAAGUGCUAGAGUGAUUCUUGACAAAAAAUGUUUGUAUUGUUCAGAACAAUGAUUUACAACUUCAGAUUGGCCAUCCAGUUAACGAUGAUAAGCACUUGUUUUACAAAGUUCAGUGUCAUAAAAGCAAAAUAAUUUUGUCAACAAAUAUGGGGAUAACUUUAUCAUAAUUACUACUUAUGGAAGUUAAGGAUAAGUUGGGUAAUGUGAGAAAGCUUUGGUCAGAGGAUAUGAGGAUAACUUUGUUGCAAUUGCUAAGCUGCACGUCCUAGGACUACUAGGAGAAAAGUAUGAGCAACAGAAUGAAUUUACAGUCCAUCCCCACUAGCUGCAUGGAGAGGUUGGCCUUAUUGCUGCUAUGGUGGAGGUCACCUUCUUGUAGACUUUGAAAUGUGCAAAUGAAGAGGCAGAUUUCUUAGAAGAAUGGGUAGGAUUCAGCUUGUGGUAGAUAUUGAGCUUAUCGCCUCUAAUUUCAUGUCUUCUCAAUGUGGAUUUGAGGUUUAACGAGAUUUUUGGGAAAUCAUUAAGAUUAAAAGUAAUCGAAGACUUCCACAUUAAUGAGGUAAUGAAUAACCACUGAUACUUCUUCACCCCAAAGUUCCUUCACAAAAAUUUGGUGAGUGAAGAACUAUUACUGAGUUGUGAAGCACCAAUUCCAGCUUCAUUAUCUUGAUCUUCAGAAAGAGGGGUCCAACUUGAUUUGGGAUUUUAUACCUGUCAACCCAGUCACUAGUUUUUAGGAGAAUACUUCCAAUUUACCCUUGGGUUGCUUUAGGAAGUUUCUUAAUAGUGCCAUCUCUCUAGCUUAAGGGGCUUUUGUUAAUGGAAGGCAAAUUCUAGAUGUGGUUAUCAUUAGUAAUGAAAUCCUAGAUAAAAAAUUCUGUUCUAAGGACAAAGGGAUGGUUUUUAAAAUAGGUUUUGGGGAAGUUUAUGAUCACAUAGAUUGGGGUUUCAUGUAUGAUACAUACUUUGAAUAGGGAAGGCCCUUGAACCUGGAUGGCACAAAGGGACUGGAUAUUUUGAGGCUGUUUUUCAAACUGCAGACUCUUUAAUGGUUAUUGAAGCUGAGUGAUUAGCACUCGAGGAAGAUUCGGACAUGGUUGUUUGCCUGGAUGUAAUGAACCUCCUUAUUGAAGGGGAUUCCUUUGUUAUUGUCUUAGAACCCUCUUUGAAGGCAAAGGUCCUUAGUGGAUUGCUCAUCAGAUGGGGUGGCUUCAUAAUCAUGCUAGAGACAUUGCUUGUUCUUCUCUAUUGAGGCCCAGAUCAGCUAGCCAGGUGCAUGGCUAUAUUUUUCUUAUAGGGAUGCUAAUAUCUGAAAAUUUUUAUUGAGAACACUUACUGCUCUUUGAUUGGCUUGAGGCAUGGAGCGGCUUUUCUGUUCUCUUCUUGCCAUACAUGCAUAUCAUCCCUCUUUUUUUUAUCUUGUUUAACUCAAUAAAUUCUCAUUUGUUAUAAGGAAAAAAAGAGAUAUUAUGUUACAUGAUGGAAGGACUUUAUUCUGUUAUGGAGUAUGCAAAACCUAGAUCUAUUAGCUAGAGCUAUACAGUAGGCUGUUGGGUUGUUCAGUAUUGUCUCUUUUUUCGAUAGGUUUGGCCAAUGCCCCUUGAUGUUACUUUUUGGUAAUGUAAUUUUCUUUGAUUUUUCUUGAAACUUCCUCAUUUUUCAAGCUUGCUUGUAUAUCUUUUCUUCUUCCAUUAAUGAUUGUUUGAUUCCUUACUAAAAUAAAUAACAAAUUAUGAUGCAAAGGAUUACGUUUAUGGAAAAUUUUGAGAUUUUCACCAGAUUAGAGUCUCCGAAGCUGGUACUUGUCUUGACACAGAUAAUAGGAAUCAUUUUCCCCCCAAACUACAUAAGACAUGUCUGCUACUUGGUAAUGUUCCAUUGGCAGUUAUAAACUCUCCUGUAAAAUGUGAAUCUGUUGUAGCAUUCCGAAUGGUGUUGUGUCGUACAUAGAUUGGUAAUUGAGGACUUUAUUAUGGAUUUUGUCCUGUUUUGGUUGUGCCAACAAGUUCUAUCCUGUUCUUUGUCUUGCUGAUUUGGGUGGUUGUGCAUCAUGUUCCUACCAGCUGUAUAAUUAUGCUUCAGGAGCAUAGUUAUUCUGGUUUUACCAUCCAGAUGAUGGUACUAAAGUAUUUGUAUUCUAGAUUGCACAACUCCUUAUAUGGGAUAUUUUUGCACCAAAUGCUUAGUGAUCAAGAGAACUCUCAUAUUAAACACAUUCAUCUUCUAUUAAACUAAAUUCCUUAAGUAUGCAGUCUCACAACUACAUCAUACCAUUCUUUUCCUUUUUUCUUCCUUUCUUGCUAUUACAGGUUGGUUGCCACUAAUAUAGUAGAAAGCAAAUUACACGACCCUGCUUCCAUAAGACCUUUCUUAUUCCAUAGGUUGAAAUAGAAAAAACACUCGAUGGGACUAAUGUUUCUCUUUGCAACCAAGCAAAUUAAAAUGUUUUGAAACCCAUGCUGCCAUGAUCUAGCUAAUUUGCAUUUUAUAUGUCUACUCCUUUCUAUUUACUCAAAUUGUGUAUUUCUUAUGCUUGUAUUUAUUUCCUGAUGAGUUUAUUCUGAUUCUUUGAUCAGGAUUUCUGCAAUCACAUUGCUUGCUAUUGAAUUUUCAAUGGCUUAAUAUGAAUUAUUAACAAAGAAGUUGUUUAAUUAUUUCAGCAGCUUAUACCUUGUAAUUUCUUUUAACAACUCUUAUCUUUGAUGUUCAUUUGUAAUAAAUAGCUGGAGAAAGGGCCCAACGUGAACGCCUUCGGGACUUAGCUGUGUUUGAGAGGUUACAUGGAAAUCCUGGGAAAACAUCUCCAAGCCUUGCUGUCAAAAAGGUAAACCCUACAUCUCAUGCCUCUAUACCGCAUCUUAGCUUCUCAUCUUGCAUCGGACAAUGAUACUCUUAUUGAAUCAUCUUUACCAUAUCAGCCAUCAACAUGUGCACUUAUUGAGCACUAAUUCAGGCACUGAUACUUGUGCUUUUGUUUUGUUUUAUCUUGUCUUGUCUUGUUUUGUUUUGGAUGUGAUUGUGUUGGAUGACCUGUAUCUGUGUUAGACACCAAAGCCUAUCUUAAUGCUACUGUAAAGUAAGACUAUGCUAAUAAGCUAUUGAUCUGUUACAGGGUUUAUGCCAAACUGAUUUUUUAGUUUCUCUAGUAGAAAACUUGUUUUUUCCCCUGUUAUAUCGGUGCUAUUGUUGGAUUUGUGUUUGUUGUUGAUCAAGCAUUUGCUGAAAGUUUUUUUUUUCCUUUGCUUCUUGAUGUGCAAAGCAUUAUUGUUUGAAUUUUAAUGAUCCCAUUUGAUUCACUAUUCAAUAUUUUUAUUUGAUAUUACAUCUAUCUCAUUUGUUUUCUUUUCUUAGUUUUUAUUUUUUUAUUUUUUAUUUUUAAUUUAUUUUUUAUUUUUUGAAUUUGAUGGAGCCACCAUUAAUUUAUUUUUCCUUAUUAUUGUGGGGUGUGCUUUAUUUUGUUCAAUUGUUGUUGCACUAUUAUUAUCAUGUAACUUUUUUUUUCCUUUUUUUUUUUUUUUGUUUAAUCUAUUGUUCCUAUGAGCAUUAAAUGCUCCUAAAAUGUAUGGAAUAGGCUAAACCUUUCUAUAGUUUUUUUAAAAAAACUCAUUUAUUAUCUAUUUUCUUGUGCUCAAAAAAUUAUAUUUUUUUAGUAAAAUUGAAAAUUUAGGGAGCGCUUAGGCCUCAACGGCUCAACCCCUUGAGGGUUUAUGCCUAUCGUAGCAAGAUGUAAACCCCCUUGCCUCUUAUGCUUUUACCUUAUGAAACUAUACCAAGAAAAAAACACCACAACUCCCUGCUGCCAUCAAAGGAUACUUCAAAGUUUGCUUCAAAUCAAUCUUAAGGCUAAUUAUCAUACGCUUGUCAUCAUGUCACUAAAAUUGGUAUUGUAACCAAAGUCCUAUUGCGAAAUCUUCAAGUUGCAGCUCCUUUUUUUCUGUUGGUAUUUGUAUUGUUAGGUGGCCGCAACCUGUUGCUUUACUUAUGCUUUAUGAACUACUCCAGUUAAAAUAAUGCUUCAAGUAGAUGCUUUCUGGAUCUUGACUCUAGCAAGAGGCUUAUAUUGCAAAUUUUUUUGUGGAGUCCUAGCUAGGAAGACAAUAGCUUGCUUAAAAGGAUUGCCACCUCUCUUGUUGGGUUUGUAAAAAUUUUGCUUCUCUCUUGACCUUGGGAGUCCUGUGGUUUCAAUUUUGGGUGUGCUCUAGGUUGUAGCCUGUGUUAUGCUUUCUAAAUGGUAAUCUUCUUAUUUUGGCUGGGAUGCUUUUGUUUAUUUUGCUUGUUUGCUUUCUUUGUUUCUUUAUUGUGGCUGUAGGAUCACCAAUCAACUUUUUAUUCUUUGCAAAAACUGUUUAUGUUUCAUAACAAAAAAGGAAAAAACAAAGGCAAGUUAGCCUAGAAUAGGUUUUAUCUUGUUUCUUCUUUUACCAUUAGUGUGGAUUCAAACUCAGGAAGAGGCCUUCAAACAAGUGGCAUUUGUGUUUUUUAAACAUAUAUCUUUGUUCAAUCAUUGUUAAGUGUUUGCUGUCUUGUCUGUUCUUUUGGUUGUUUUUGGCUUUGUCAAAGUGUAUAAUUGUAAUAUCCUACAUCGUAUAGAGGAAAAAGUUCCUAGCGCUAUAUAUGUAUGAAUUUCUUUUAAUCUUGUUGAUUCGUUUUCAAGCCGCGAGGGUCGCUUAGGCUCAAAGCAAAUAAUAUCCACACAACUGGGAGCAGGUUGUUACAAAUGGUAUCAAAGUCAAUCCUCGACCUUGGUGGGAGAGUUUGUUUGGCCUAAAAUGGGUGUCCGUUUAUUUGACCCUACAAUCCUGUUGGACACAACAAGAACGUUGUGUCUGCAUGAGAGAGAGAGUGAUUGUAAUAUCCUACGUUAGAUAGGAGGAAAAGUUCCUAACGUUAUAGUGUGUGUGUCUUGUAAAGCUUAUGUUGGGUGUCAUGAUUUUAUCUCGUCCUUUUUAUUAUUCUGAUUCAACAUCAUCUUAGCUUAUAAUCAUUUAUACACUUGAUGCAUGAGAAAUGAAGAUGCUAUAAAUUGUAGGAUUCUUUUUCUCCAAUUUGUUCCUUGAUAUUUUAUAAUGCCAUGAAAUAUCUAUAUUUUGAUGCAGAAAGCCGUUCACCCUCCAUCUCUCUCACUAGUUUUGCAGAACCAUUGCCACUAAGCACAUGCAGGCGUCAGAUGUGCGGCCACUUCCAGUGUUGGAAGAGACUUUGAACUACCUAUUAAACCUGUUGGAUGCCACGGAACAUCCUUUUGAAGUGGUUCAUGAUUUCGUCUUUGAUAGGACAAGAUCAAUAAGACAAGAUCUUAGCAUGCAGAAUAUCGUUAAUGAUCAAACAAUUCAUAUGUAUGAAGAAAUGGUAUGAAUUUCUUGAAACAUAAUCUCAAUUACCUUUUUUUUUCUGAGCAUUCAUCUCCUCAACAUACAAUAAGUUAGCCAACCCAUUGCUAAACACUCUCCUAGUUGGAGAAAAUAAUCAAAGUAUACAAGAUAUAAAAUGUUGAAAAUUGAGUCAUUAUCCUCUCCUUUUGCUUUAUUGAAUAAGAUAAUUUAUUCAGUUGAGUCCAAACGAGGUGAAACUGUGAUCACACAACUUGAAGCCUACUUUACAAUGGAUAAAUGAAUGGUCUGAUUUUGAAUCUUUCUUGGCACAUUAGUUAUUAUCCAAUCCAUUCUAAUUAAAUUAUCCACUAUUAAGUGUCUAUUUCUAGUCACCCUCCAAGUUAUGAAAGACCCAUAGAACCAAAGCAACUCACACCACAUGUGAUGGGAAUUGGUGCUCUCUUCCAUAAUGUCAAGUUUUCCAGUACACUUGCUGACUUUGUAAAAUAUGCCUACAAAAAGGGCUGCCACCUCCUAAUUCCCAAUCAUAGAAGUUUCUUAACCAUAUUUCAAAAGCUGUAUUUCCUGUUCCCUCUCUUUAAGUUUUUUAAACCUAUAUCUCUUUAUCCUAGUAAUUCGGAAAAAUGAGGAAAUUAUUUAACAAGAACUCCAUCAAUUUGUUCCUUAAAAUUUUAUAUGGUUUCUCUCUCACUUUUUAUUCAAAUUCUUGAAGCAAAGGAACAAAUUCAUGGCUAGUAACAAUUUUAGCCAAGCAAUAGAAUGCACAACAAACAUGCAUAUGAAUGACUUUUGUUUUUUGAUGAUAAUAGAUCAGAUAUUUUAAUCUCAUCCUAAAACCUUGGAGUUAGCUAAAAGCCGCAUCUUAUGUUCUGACUUGUGGUUUGUUUCAUAAUAUAGGUGAAAUUUCAUAUUAUAUCCCACCACAAGCUUCGCAGUUGUAGCAGCAAGCCAAAUUUUUCUUCAGUUCAUUACCUCAAUAUGGAGCAGCUGAAAAAGUGUUUGAUAUCUCUAUAUGCUCUAUACAAAGAAAAUCGAAAUUCAAAUUCUAUUUACAAGAAUGAACCUGAGUUUUGCUCAUUUCACGUUCUUCUUCAUCUUGGCUUUAACAACCAACCAUUGGUGGACACUUGCUUCCAUUGUUUGUUUGAGUUCAUCUUUGUCAGUAUCUCUUGCAGCCUUGUACUGGUUUCUGAAUAUGUUACUAUUUCUGUUCUGAAGGGAGAGUCACUCUCUUUGUGGUUGGGUCGUGUACCUUCUCUCAUUUUGAAGUCAAAGGAAAUGUGUUUUGCCCGGAGACUUUUAAGGUGACCACAAAGCUAUUAUAGAUUCGACUUGCAUAUAAAUUGUUUAUAUUCAUUUUACAUUUAACUCAAUGUAGAGUGGUUCUGUUUUUCAAUCGAUUUUUUUCUCUUCUUUUAGUACCCAAUGUUAAAAUUUUUGUUUUCAUGAACUGAAAGAUCUGUCUUUUCUUGUAACAGAUUAUUUCGGAUGGGCAAUUAUAAGCAUUUCCUUUGUACUACAGCAACUGAGGCAUCUUAUUUGCAGUACUACAUUAUUGAACCUUACAUCAAUGAGGUUGCUUAAAUAUGUUGAUUUUGCUAGAUUUUUCAGUUUGAAAAAUAUAUGCUUCUUUGUUCAUUUAUUGUAUUCCAGUUUCAUUUAUGAGAAUAUAUCUAAAAUCUAGACUCGAGUACUUGUGCUUUUGGGUUUUAUUUUUCUUUCAUUUUUGUUAGUAGUUGCACUUCAUUAUUCUUAAAUUUCUCACCAACUGUUUCUUUAUGUGGUUUAUUGCUCCUCACUUUCUUCAUUCAUCUGAAGUUUUCAAAUUCAAUUAGCUUGUUUCAUAAACUAGGUCUUAUUUAGAAGUUCUUCUCAACUGCCUUUUUUUAGUGCUUCUAAAAGACAUGCCUGAUUUAUGUACAUUUUGUUGGUUUUCUUUUGACCGUAAAAGGUUCGAGCAUUGGCAUUGUCAUGUGUAAAUUAUUGUGGCUACAAACUUCAUCCAUAUCCAAUUGCACACUUGUCCAAACUCUUGAUGAUGAAGGUAUGAUUGCAUUUACUAGCAUUAAAUUGCUAAAAUUUGUCAUCCAAAGUUCCAAUUUCUUUUGAACCUUGAAGACUCCAUUUGCAUUCUUGUAGGAAUUAGAUGUGGAAUCAUUUUGCAAUGCUUGUGGUCUUGAGACCAGCACUGGUGAACGGGGAAAUAAGUUCUUAUCAACCAAGCAAACAAACUUCCAUUAUCCCAAGGAAGUCUUUCCAAGCUACUGCCUUCGGGUUUGGAACACUUUUAGAGGUAACAAUCAAUUGGAACUAGUUACUCUUUCAAACUUCUUAUUGUACAAAUAUAGCCUGCAUGUGCAACCAUUUCUGAUCCCAUAAUUUCAAGAAUUUAUGACACCUUCUAGUGGUUAGUUUUUUUGGGAAUAGAGUAAAGCAAUCUAUUCACUCCCAGAAACUAUCGUCAGAGGAACAGUAGAUAACCCCGCAAGACCAAAUUUAUGUGUGUUGCAUGGAGAUGCAUGUUUUCUGCAUCCCAAUCAUGCAGUGUUGUGUCAAAUGGAAUAAUAGCAGGUGAUGAUAAGUGGUAUUUCUAAAAUCAUCUAAGAGUAUUCCAUCUAUUGUAAUAUUGUUUUCUCAUAACUGUCUUUGAGUCUUAUAUGUAAAUAUUAGAGUUGACCUCUUGUAAGCUAUCAAUUGAUGUUGUAACUUAACUUGAAAGGGAAAUUCUAUAAAUUUAGCCUUGGUUUGGCACUUGGAAAGCAAAGAAAAAUUAGGUUAGUGAGUUGAUUUCUUCCCUUCCCAUGGAUGUAAGCACAUUCUUGAAUCAUGUUAAUUAUUUUUUGGUUUAUUUUGUUGUUUUGUUGUUUAUUGUUCAAUUGUCUCCACAUAACAAGUGGUAUCAGAGUUGUUUCCGACACACUAGAUGAUUCUUGUGCUAACACAAUGUUUGAGGCUAAAUAUAAGAUAGUAAAAGUUUCUAGAAUAUUUCCCUAUGACAAUUACCAAUAAAGAAUGUACUUAACAGGAAGUUUGUAAGGUGUUACAUGGCAAGUUGAACAAAACCAAUAGCCAGAGAUAACUGAAAUAUUUGGGCCAUUGAUCCAAUAAUAGCAGAUAAUAACACAAGAAGAGACCCUCUAAUCACCAUUUUUGCUUUUGAUUCUUCUUUACAAAGCAUCAUCUACUUUAUACAAAAAGACAAUCCAUGGCUGAGCCCACAUUAUUCUCUACAUAUCCCAAAAAAGCCCUCCAAAUUUUAGGGCAUGAUGCUCUUUUUGGGGGUAUUUUUGGUACUAAAUUUGUGGUAGUCUCUCAAAUACCUAAACUAGCCUCCAAAUUUUAAGGCAUGCCCCACUGUUUGAGGUGGUGUUUUGGGUACUAAUUUUUGUUAGGAGAGGUUUUAGUGUGGAAACUGGAGGGCUUUACACAUGUCGCAUGUAUUUUAUUUUGCAUGCGUUACACGUGGAUUGGAGUUUAUGCAGUUACUCACACUUUUUGUGCGUCCAACAAUACUGUAGUGCCACGUCACCAUAUGAUGGGCUCUUUAGUCUUUUCAAACCCAAAAAAACACCCAAAAAAAAAAACUAAUACUAAAAGGAGUGCUAACUAGCUAUGUGAAGGUGAACCUUUAUAGCUAGCUUCUUAAAGGGACCAUGAUCGCUUAGGCCAAGGAAGUUUGAGGUGAUAAUAGGUCUGUGAUGCCUUUAGAUGUUUUAAGCACAUGUGCGUUACACUAAUGUAUUCAACGAGUCUAUAACCUUAACCGACAGGUCCGGGUAAUCUUUGAAAUUUCAUUGUGAUGGGAAGGUUCCAUGUGAACAACACUUGCACAUGGGUUAGUCAAUCUUAAGAGAUGGGGGAAGCCCGUCUAACAACGCACAAUGUGCGAGCUUUGAAAGGCAAUAGGGUUAACAUUUCUGAAUUGGGACAUGACAAUGACAACAACAUUAGGUAGUCUAGAGAUGUUGUCAUAUUAAUUGUUAUCAAUAUUUUUAUUUAUUCAAUAGAAAUUGAGGAUUAAAAAAUACCACAAAAAAUAGAAAAAACAAAAUUAAUUACAUGGCUUACAUUUCAGAUAUUUAAUAAAAUAUUGUAUGAAAGUUGAAUAUCAUACACUAUUAAAUGACUGGAUUCUCUUCUUUAUUUUUUUUAAUUGUCUCAUCCUAUUAAAUUACUCAUCUAAUAUUAAUUUAUUUUAAAGGUAAAAUUAAUUAUAUUGUAAAAAACUUUUAAUUGACCAGAGUUUGUGCACAACAUCUAAUAUAUACUUAAAUACUUUUCCAUGCUAUAAUCCUCCAACUAAGAAAUGAAAUCAAAACUUAAAAAUCAUUUAUAUAUAUAGAUAUAUGUUGUUAAGUUUAGGUAGUGAAACAAUUAAUGUGGAUAUAAAAUUAAUGCCAAAACUUUUGAUUGAUCCUUCACAUUCUCCACAACCAAACAAAGGAUAUAAGAAAUAAUGAAAGAAAUUUAGGGUAGUUUUAUUUUUUGUUCUCAUCUUGUUGUGAAGUUAAUAGAGGAAUGCUUAGGUUGGUGCUCAAUAGUUAAGUGACACCAGGGUAUAAUGAUUCUUCCAAUUGUGUAAACAUUAUCCGCUUUAAUUUCAAUGGAUCAUCAUCACUUUAAAUUGCAUCCACAUGGUUAAGAGUAACUCAUAUGUAUAUAAUAUCAUGAAUUUCUUCUUAUUCGAUAUGGAAUAUCAAAUUAGGUAUCUUUCAAUUUUAGGUAUUGUAUAAGCGUUUCAACUCAAAUGACUUGGCUUAAUGUAUGCUCAAAGCCAUGACAAAGGAACGUACAUGUAAUAAAGUGAAAAUUAAACCUUGUCGCCCUUCUAUCUCUAGUAUGAAACACAACUCCAUUAGCCCUUAAACAUCUGCAAAAAAAGAUAUACACAUCUGUUACAUUAAUUAAAAUAAAUGAUGCAAAAAGAGGCUCUACAUGUCCAUGUACAUAAUUUGAUUAGAUUUGUUAUAUAUAUAGAUAGAGAGAAAAAAAAACUGCUUAGAUUAAGGAUCUCAUUAAUUAAUACCUAGAAAAUAUAAAAUAAUAAGAAAAGAUUAGAAGGUGUGAAUCAUAAGAUAAGACUACAUUUUUGAAUUAGAUUCAUCGAAAGAUGGCAUAUUGUAUGAACAUUUGUACUCUAUAUAUAAAAAUUCAUAUUAUGGUUGAGAUGUAUUAAUUUGUCAUAUUUUUGGAAAAUUAAAGUAAUGAGUAAUUACACUAAAUUAAAUUAUUGACCUUAUUAAUCAAUACCUCAAGAGUAUAAAAUAGUAAGAAAUGAUAAUACAAACUUCAUUGAAAUAUUUUUAUACACAUUGUGUAAAUAUUCUUAUUUAAUAAAAGUUUAUAUGUCAUUAAAUAAAUAGAGAAUUUUAACAUUAAUUGCAGUGCUAAGUAGAGGAGAUCCCAUAUUUAAGUUGUUGAUUAAGGCUUAUUUGAUAAAACUUAAUAUAUAUUACUUAAUAACUUAAGUUGACUUUAAGUUAGAUAAUAUUUAAGUUAUUUACUUAAAAUUUAUUAUUUAAUAUUUACUUUAAGUAUUAAAGUUAUUUGAUAAAGCUAAUUUAAAAAUCAUUUUAAAUUUUCAAAUUGUCAUAUUUACCUUCAUUAAUUUGAUAACUAGAUGCAGAUAAAUGAAAAAAAAAAUGAGAUUAAGAAUAAGUUAAUUACUUUGAUUUAACACUUAAAAUUAAAAGUAACUUUAAAAUAUAAUAUUUAGUUAUUUUAUCAAAUAUAUUUAAUAUAUUUAAUAAUUAAAUUAAGUUAUUAAGUCAAUGAAUGAUUACCAAACACCCUAUAAGACCUAGAAAAUCGAAUGAGUUUUAAUAGUAUUCAGGAUGGGCAUGACUAGGUGGUGGUUCAAUGUUGAUUAAUCAUAAUUCAAUCAAGGCAAAAUAUGUAACAAAUACAUGUCAAACUGCACCAUCCAAAUGGGCACCAAGAACGUUACAUUUGACAAAUGCCAUUAAACCUUUACAGCUAGCAAUUAGAAGAUCACUCUCUUCUUGUAUCUCUCUUUUUCUCCAAACUCCAGGAGGAAAAACGCGAACUCCAUUAUUUUGAUCACAGAAAAAAUGGCAAAAAAGUGUGUUGUACUUCAUCUUGAAGCUCAUUAACUUCAUCUUAAUUUGAUCCAAAUUGCAGAAACAUUCGAAACUCCAUGAAUCUAUGGUGCUAUGGUGGCCUACAUUCAUAUAACUGGGGACACUUUGGUUUGCACUACAAUGACCCCCAAACAUGGUUUGUAGAGACUUUAUCAAGAUCACUAGCUUCAAAAGACUAAGGAAAGAAAGAUGUUCUCAAUGAAAACUUGGAGUCAAAUUGCAGAUAAAGACCUAAAACUCCCACUCAAUGUGUUUGAGGAAUUGUUGUUUCAUGGGGAUAAGCCGUUUGGUUUGUACACGUCUCCUUGGUGAUACUUAGAGAUUGGCGAAGUAUACGUCUCCUUUGUGAUCUGGUUUGUAUCUGGGCAGAUGAAUGUUCAUGCCAGGUUCAUAUAUGUUUCUGAUAUAUAUCACCCUGGAAGGAUCUAGAUCAAGGGGAUGAGUUUGAAAAGCUUGAGUAGGUUUAAAAUGUUCCGAGAAUUGGUGAGCAUGAUAUAUAUCAACAUGAUAUUGCAGAAGACAACAGAGCUUCUGAAAUAUGUCAGAUUCAAUAGUAGGAAAUCUUAUCAGCUGUCACUUACUGUAAUUCUAUGCUCUCAAUAUUCAUUUGUUGAAGAAGAAAAAAAAUUGCUUUCACACUAUUCAAUUACAGGAGAAUGUUCAUUAUUGAAGAAAAUAAUAUUCGCUAGUCUCUUUCAACUUAAUCAACAUGCAGAGAAAAGCAGUCGGGCGACCAAUUAUUCACAUAAAACUUACAUACAUUGUCUCUCUACCUCUACUUGUUACUCAUCAGUCAAGCUUAUAGUAAUAUAAGCUUGGGUUCAUCUCUCUAUGCCAUUGAUGAAAACUCCACAUGGGCUUUGCCUUUCUGGUGAUUUUGCAUUUGGAUUCCGACCCUCUCCAAGUGAAGAGGACCUAUUCCUUCUUGCUAUCUGGACUGCAAAUGGAAGUUAACCGGUGCCAAGAGGAUCAAAAGUUGGGCUUACCACCAAUAGACAGCUUGUUCUCUAGAGGCUGGUAAUGUGAGCAGCGAACCAGUGCAUGGUGCCAUGCUUGGAGAUGGAAAUUGUAUACCAGUGUAUGGGAGAGCUUCAAGCACCCGACUAAUACCAUAUUGCCAACCCAGGGAUUGGUGUUGGAGCCUACUGUUGAGUUGCUAUUUUUGAGGACCUGAGGUUUCCAAAUGGAACUGGAAGCUGUUGGAGGAAAAGACUACCUCUUUCAAAUGGGAGGUUGGAUCAAACUGCUGUUUCCAGAAGUGCUCUAAUCAAGAUAUUGAAGUCCAGUGAACUAACUUCAGGCAGAGGCAACCAAAAUAAAGCAAUUCUAAUACUCUCAGUCCUCUUAGGCCCCUCUGUGUUCUUCUUCUUCAUUUCUCUGGCUGCAAUUUCUCUAGUUUUCUACUGCUUGAUCCUCAAAAAUCUGCAGCUUUAUCACAGAAUCCUGAGUACAAGCGAUGGUAGAAGCCUUUGGCACUGUCUAUAAAGGGAUAUUACCAUCAGGUUCUGGAAAUUCUGUUGCUGAAAAGAAGUUGGAGAAGGUGGUGGGAGAAGAUGAGAAAGAAUUCAAAGCAGAAGUGAAUGUGAUAGGCCAACUCACCAUAAGAAUCACGGACACUAGCUGCGUUACUGUCGUGAGGGUGAACACUGACUACUGGUGUUUUUUUUUUUUAUGCACAAUGGCUCUUUAUCAAGCUUCCUUUCUGGAGGCGCCCAAGGACUUGUGUACCUACAUGAAGAAUGCAGUAAACAGAUCAUCCAUUGUGACAUAAAGCCCUCAGAACAUAACUCUUGGAUGAUUCUUCUACAGCCAAAGUUGCAAACUUGGACUGGGAAAGCUUCUGAUAAGCAACCAGACUAGAACACUCACAGGCAUCAGAGGGACUAUGGGGUAUAUUCAGACAACUCGGGCAGCCUAUGUCUCUUAUAAUAACACGUUAUGAAGCAUCAGCUCAAUGCCGGGGUUCAAUCUGCAAAGCAAGGGAUUCAUCAAUGUUUCCUUCAAACUAAAUGAUAAGGAACAGAAAUGGAUCAUUCUGCAUUUUCAGUGGUGUUUGUUAUAGCAUUUAUACAAGAACUCUAGGGGUUUCUAUGUAUAACUUCAUUCCCAUUUUGUAUAAUCCAAAUCUCUUCAAUCGAUUAAAUGUAUAAAUGAAUCCUAUUCAUUGUUUGGAGUAACAACAAAAUUCUGGAAGACUGGGAAAGUUUCAACACUGGAGAGAAGACAAAAUGACAAGACCAUAAAUUCUGGAAGAGGGCUUUGCUUUCUAACCAUUACCAUAAUUUUAGAGCUCAACCUGGAUGAGUAAAUUAUAUUUCAGAAUGUUCAGGAGAUAAUUCUAAAGUGAUGAACCUUCUACUCACAGUUUCUUGUUCUUCUUGAACAGAGCAAUGAACAUCAAUAGUUCAGCACCCAGGAAUCUCCCCUUCCUCCAAUUCCUCCACUGGGAAAAGUCACCUUUCCAGUUAAGAAAAUCAUCAGGAUUAGUUUGAGCAAAACAUCAGAGUAUACAUCAAGAAAGCCUUGAUCAAAAUCAAAAUACAUCAAGAGCUGCCAUUUUCUUCUAUUUCCUCUUCCCUGAAUGGAAUGCCUUUUGGACUGAGGUGAUCAAUGGUAACAAUCUAACACACUCCUUAAGCUCUGAUUGAGGUCAACGGGGAUUGGCACAUUUAAUGACUUUGAAAUCAUAGCUGUGUGAAGGGAGGCAAACAUGAAUCUCAGGAUAAUCAACAAGUCAACAACUAUCAAUCAGUAAGGAAAAGGAAAAGGAAAUACCUUUGGAUAUUUACAAAUAAAAAUGAAAUAUGAUACAAGAUUUUCAUGGAUUAAACAAAAAUAGAUGGCAAAAUAGAAGGAUAAGGUCACAGACAGGACAAUAUUAAAAGAAAUUAUUAUUUUUCCGACCUGAAAAUCAAGGAAUUCAGAACAGUACAAGUUUGUAAGUAGUCCAUGGAAACCAGGGAACAUAUGCAGAUGUUUUAUUCUAUUGCAUAAGGCAAACACUCAAUACUUACAAGCAUAAUCAUGCCCAGAAAGCCAUGAAUCCCUUUUUGUUUUGCCUUUUUAUCUAUUCCCAUCUCUUAUUGCCAGAAGUGCCCAGGAUGAUAUAAGCCUCACCAAAUAAGUUAGAAACCAGCCCAUUCAGCAGGUUGAGUAGCCAGCUUGCCCUCAAUCUUCUUUGAGUCAACAAACAGCUGGGCAUUAUUGCCUCCAAUGGAGGGUCUGGAAAUAUUAGAGCCGGCAGCAGGGGUGGCUGUAAAACUCUCUGUUCCAAAACCCCAAGUUUCAGGGCCAGAAGUUCCUUCUGUGGCUGGUUUGUUGUGAUGGCCAUUUCGGGUCCUAACAGACUUGCUAUUGUUGUCUGGGCACCUGCCUCAGAGAAAGCCUGCCAAAGAUUAGAGUCUGGGCCAGGGGAAACGGAUUUUCUUUGCUGGAGUUCCCAGUCUGUUGCUUCAAUCUUUUCUCUGUGCUGUUAUGAGAAGAAAACCUAUCAGACACAUGAAUGGGUACAAAAAGGUAAACUUCAGGUUUUGGUUGUAUUGAAAAGCACAGGAAACUUCACAAGAGGCAAAUUAUACCCCAGACUUAUUGAAGAAAAAUAAAGUACAAUUGACUUACCCAAAUGUCUACUUUCUCAUUUAUAAGUUUCCUCCUAAACAAAUCCCCACAUCUAGGACAGGAAAAGGAAGAAACUGGGAGUCAACAUUUUUUCAACCAAAUGUCAGCACUAAAUUAUCAAAAAACAUAGUUUUCCAUUCAACCUCGGGAGCUGUAUGUGCAGGUGUACUGUACUUUCUGAUAUUGUCUUCUUCAAUGCCCAUUUCUUCAGGCUUCUUAAAGUGCUUAUGAUUGGUGGAGGUGCUUCCAAAAUUACACAACUUCCAUAAUCCAUUAGGGCCCAAUAGAAGAUUCUCAGCAUUUAUAUAAGAACUUUAGGGUUUAUACGUAUGAUCAUGUUACAGUAUAAAUCAUAGUGAACUGGUGGAAUUUGAUUAUUUAGCCAACCUCAUCAAAAACUGUUUCACAGUUGAGGGGAUUGUUAACCUUGCCAUGGGCCAAGCAGCAAUUUCUGAAGAAGCUGGGUGACAAAGAGUACCAUCAUUUGGACUAGUUUCAAUGGAAAUUACUCUGUUUUUAUACAUGAUAUCUUCAGCUUCAGCUUUUCCUUUUGCUUUUGACAUGGCUGAAACUGAUCCUGAAAUCAAAAAUCCCACACAAGUAGAUAUUUAACAGAAGAGGAUCCGAAUCUCUUCAAUUGAUUAAUGUAUAAAUGAAAUAAUAAAAAAUUUUAGAGAUAAUUAUAGGGAGAUGAACCUUAUACCUCUGAGUUUCUUAGUCUUCUUGAACAGAGCAAUGAGCAUCCAGUGUUGAGCACCCAGGAAUCUUCCUUCCUCUACAGGGAAAAUCUGAACAAUCUAUCUUUCUUCAUAUUCCACUUCCUUGCAAAAGUCAAAACAUGAAGAAAAUAUCAUCAAAAUUGAGACAAAAAUAAGUGCAUCAACUGUCUCAAGAAGAGAUUUAUGCCUAUUGCUUACCUUUUGCAGAAGUCCACUUGGUUAGAGCACAUUUUACAUGGACGCCCAAUCACUGCAAGCUGCUGAACCAAAGGAGAGUUCAAACAUCUAAAAAAUUUGACUAACUCAAGUAUCAUAAAAUACUUCACAUGAAUUCUAAAUGAUCUCAUAUCUAAAAAACACUGGCAUAAAAUUAUUGUUGUUUACCUUACAUGUUUCUUCCAUGGUCAUAAUCGAAACUUUGUUUAUCAUAAGAAAUCUUUUAUGCUCAUCCUGAUUACUUACAAUGAUCACUGAAAUGAAAAGACAAAAAACACAAAAAAUGACGAUUAGUUUGAUUUGAUAAUUUUUUAAAAUUAGAAAUUAUAAAACUAUUUUGGUUCUCAGAAAAUUUACGGGAAAGUAGGGAAAAAAAUUGUAAACUUUUUCUCUUGUUUGAUUGUUUAUCGGAAAAUUGAGGGAAAAACAAAAAUCUAAGAGAAAUUUAUUUAACACUUAUGAGGAACCAAAAAUGUUUUAGAUGUUGUCAAAUCGAUAAUUUAAACGUGUUUAAUUUCAAUUAAAUGAGUUUAAUCAAACACAUGAAAUUGUGAAUAAAAUUAUUUAAAAGCAUUGAAAUUCAAGUCAUUAAAGUUGUCCAUAAAAUUUGAUAUAUUGAAGCAAGAAAAAAACAAAGCAAUUUGAAUGACUUGCUAAUGAAGCAGCUAACUAAAAUAUGCCCUAGAGUUGUUCUGUGCCCUGUAUAUAACAAAUUUAAAAAAAAAAAAUCCUAGAAAAAAAACAAACAAAAUAUCCAUGGUCUUAUGUUAUUUUUUUUCUUAAUUUUUCAAUAGUUAUAAAUGGUUCAUUUAAUUCUUGCAAACCACCAAAUCAAAACAGAGCAUGAAAAAGAAAAUCUUAAAUCAAAUAAACAGGACUAGCGAAUGAAUUGGAACUUGAAAGAAAAGUUCAAGCUCAAAAGAAUUACCUGACUCUAUAUUGGCGGAGUGGCACUUUGAUUAAUAUAGCACAAAAUUGAUCACUAUUUUUGGAAUGUGAGCUAUAUAACGCCAUUCUUCCCCUUUCUCAAAUUGACACCGUUUUUUCAGUAAAGGACAUUUGUAGAUGAACAGAUAAGAGAGGGAGUCUGGAAGUCUCUCUUUUGUCAAGUAUUUGAGCUUACGACACUUACAGAUCCCUAAUGUUUUAAGAGAGGUGAGGUGUUGAAGACCCACUUUUGUCAAGGAUUGGAGCAUUGGGCAGUUAUCGAUCCACAAACAUUCAAGAGAGGUGAGGUGUUGAAGACCCACUUCUGUCAAGGAUUGGAGCAUUGGGCAGUUUUCGAUCGACAACAUUUCAAGAGAGGUGAGGUGCUGAAGACCCACUUCUGUCAAUGAUUGGAGCCUCGAGCAUCCAUCAAUUUCUAAUCGUUUUAGAGAGAUAAGGUGUUGAAGAACCGAUCCUGUCGAGAACUGGAGCUCUGGGCAGUUUCUGAUCUUUAAUUGUAGAAGAGAGGUGAGUUGUUGAAGACCCCUGCUGUCAAGAGACUUGAGAUUCGAAAGCUCUACAAUUUGAAGAGAAGUCAGAGAAGAGGGCAGCAAACACUCCUUGGGAAAUAAUUCAAUGUCUUCACAUCCACCGGUGAUUGUGAAAUGAGUAAGAGAGGUCAGCCUUUGCAAACCCCACUCCACCUGGGGUGUGAGUUGGUUGCACUUCUUAAUUUCAAGUUCACGUAGGUUGGAAGGCAAACCCUCUCUCUGAAACAACAAUUCUGGACAAUCCCAUAAAUUCAACGACCUGAGCUUGGAGCACCUAUAAAUCUUACAAGACUCCAAGUUGAGAGCGUGCAAUUCGAUAGAUUCAAGAUCAGGGCAACCAUCUAGAGACAGGGAACAUAAAGAUGUGGGAUCACCCUCUGAAACCAAAAUGGAGAGCUUCUCAAGCCCCUUAAGAUCAAGGAUUGUGAAAUUAGUCAACUUUGGGAAGAUGCCUAAUGAGAAGGAUAACGAGAGAGAAUCAUCGAUAACACCAUCUUUGAUUUCUAGACUUUCAAGGACUGGGAGAUGGCAUCUGAACAACUCAGGUAGGAGAAACGCUAAUUUCGAGCAGUCAGAGAUGAAUAGUGAUUUCAGUGUAGUGGGUAAACCAACUUUGUGCAGGGAUCUAGAAAAACUACAAUCAUAGAUUUUCAGAUCAUGUAUGUUGGUUUGCGAGAUUUCCUCCUCUAGCAGAGACUCCACAUAAUCACAUUUUCUAAUUGACAGCUGGUGUGGUGCCAUUGGAAGUUGACUCCACUGAGACACAUCUAAAAUUUCAAUUUCUGAAGUUUGAAGAGCUGUGAAGUCACAACCUGCCAUUUGCAACUGCAGUUUACCAAAAUCCACCAUCCUCAAUUGACGAAUUGCAGGAACUGUGAGUGAAGCCAUAAGCAGUUGCGGACAUUCAUGAAUUUGAAGUUCCACCAAUGAAAGAAGCUGUUCUGGUAAUUUCCCAAUGAGUUUGGGACACCUUCGUAUAAAAAGCUUUUGAAGAUGAGGGAAUUCUCCACAACAUAACCAUUUCUCCCAGUUCUGCAUAUCCUCAAAUGAUAGUGUUUCUAGGAAUUGAAAGGAAGCAUUCCCAUAGAACUCAUCACCCACACACUCUACUCCAUUCAUCCUUGAGAUUUGCAGAUAUUUAAGUUGGGUUAGCUGUCCAAGUGGUGGCAAUGUUGAGCAAUUGCCACAACCCCGAAGCUCAAGGGACACGAGAUUCAACACUGAAGGAUCUCCAAGCCAAUUUGGAAAUCCUUCACCAGGAUAGUUUGUGAUGGAGAGUUGUUUUAAAUUUGGAUGAGGUUGUAACUUGUUGAGUAUAUCAUGCGUUGUUGCACCACUUUGUGUAACACCAUUGGUACACAUGUAACGCCAAUCAAAGAUCAACUCAUCAAGAUAACUUUUAUCCUGCAUAUUAGCUCUUGAUGCAUCAUUAACACUCACCACAUUCUCCAUGUUUGAAAUAUAAAGUUUUCCUCGAAGCUCUGAUAGCUCCCCCAAUUCUCCAAUUCUUAAUCCAUUGUUUUGGCCCACAAUAAAUCGAGUCAACCUUUGUAAAUUUUUUAAUUGACCAAUUCCAUGACUUGACAUUGCUCUCAAUGAACGACAUCCAUCAAUAUCAAGAUAGCGCAAAUUAAUCAAUUUUCCCAUCUUUGAAGGCAAUUCAUCAAGUUCUGAACAAUUUCUCAGCAUCAUCGUUUGUAAAUUGCAUAAACAACAUACUGAUUUAGGUAAUUUUUUAAUCCUCGUGACAGACAAAUCCAAGUAACGCAAAUGUUUUAAAUUACCUAUCGAUUUAGGCAAAUCAGUUAUUGUAUAUGCACAUAAUGAUAACACACGUAAACACCACAUUUUUGGUAAUAUAUCUUGCAAAACUCUUUUACUCAAAUUAUAUAUCGGAUAGUCUUCCAUUUGCUUCACUCCUAAGAAUGUUCGAAUAGAUUUAGCUUUAGUGAUAGCCUCAAAAUUCUUAAAUGCAACAAGCCUCUCAUAAUCACUUUUAAAGUACAAAAAGUGGUGAGCCUUCUCAGAUACUUUCAGUAACUUAUCAUCCUCUUCCACUCGAGCACAAAAAUCUCCAGACACGUGUUGAGCCAAUUCGUGUAUUAGAUCAUGCAUUACAAAGCAUGAUCCUUUUGUUCCAAUAGAUUUUUGAAAGAAUGACUUGGCGAGAAGUUCAUUAAAAUAUGACUCACCUAUCUCUUCCAUUCUCCUUCCUUCGUUUUCUUGUGGAUGUAAAAGACCUUCUGCCAUCCAUAAUAAAAUCAGCUUCUCUUUGUUGAAUUGGUGGUCCUGGGGAAAAAUAGAACAAUAAGCAAAACAAUGCUUCAGAGGUAGAGAAAGAUGAUGGUAGCUUAAUCUCAAAGAUGGAAGAAUUUCGGAGCCACUCUGCCGCCAUAUGUCACUGUUCAACACAACGUUCCAUUCCCCUUUGUCGGCCUCCGAAUACAAGAGACGGCCGAGUACUUUCACAGCCAAAGGCAAUCCUUGGCACUUGUCCACAAUCUGUCUGCCUAUGGGUUUAAGCUCAAGGAAUGCGUUGGGGUCUCUAUCUCCAAAUGCAUGCUUUUUAAACAGGGACCAACUAUCUUCAGAGCUUAAUUUCCCAAGAUCAUGAGUAGGGGCCGCUUUCAUGGCUUCUGCAACAGAUUUAUCACGACUGGUCACAACAAUCUUGCUUC
rnacentral:lncRNA from 1 species